rnacentral:lncRNA from 1 species
UUUUUUUAUUGUACUGAUGGAUAAAUUAAUAAAUUUUCAGGCCUCUGUUCGUUGGUGCAUCUGCAAGUGUUGUACAUUUAUAAUAAUGAUCUGAGAGGCAGCUUGCCUUGGUGCUUGGCAAAUAUGACAUCCCUCCGAUUAUUAGAUGUUUCUUCCAAUCAACUUACUGGAAGCAUCUCCUCAUCUCCCCUCAUUCAUUUGACAUCCAUUGAAGAGCUGAUGCUUUCAAACAAUCACUUCCAGAUCCCAAUUUCACUUGAACCACUUUUCAAUCACUCAAGACUCAAGAUUUUCAAUGCUUAUAACAAUGAAAUAAAAGCUAAAAUAACUGAGUCACAUUCUUUGACCGCCCCAAACUUCCAAUUAUCACGUCUCUCAUUGUCUUCCAGUUACGGAGACGGUUUCAUAUUCCCCAAAUUCCUUUACCAUCAACAUGACCUGGAGUAUGUUGAUCUCUCACACAUAAAGAUGAAUGGAGAAUUUCCAACUUGGUUGUUGGAAAACAACACAAAAUUAGAAACUCUUUCUCUCGUCAAUGAUUCUCUUGGAGGACCUUUUCGGUUGCCAAUUCAUUCACACAAGCGGUUAGGAAUGUUGGAUAUAUCCAACAACAACUUCCGAGGCCACAUUCCAGUAGAAAUUGCAGAUGUUUUACCAAGUUUAUACGCUUUCAACAAUUCCAUGAAUGCUUUAGACGGUAGCAUUCCCUCUUCAUUUGGUAAUAUGAAAUUCCUCCAAUUUCUGGACUUAUCCAACAAUCACUUGACUGGUGAAAUUCCCGAGCACUUGGCCGUGGGUUGCGUCAACUUGAGGUUUCUUGCGUUAUCAAAUAACAACCUACAAGGUCACAUGUUCUCUAGAAAUUUUAACUUGACAAACUUGAAAUGGUUACAAUUGGAGGGCAAUCGCUUCGUAGGUGAGAUCCCACAAAGUUUGUCUAAAUGCUCCUCACUAGAAGGAUUGUAUCUUAACAAUAAUAGUCUUUCGGGUAAGAUUCCACGAUGGUUGGGUAAUCUCACAAGGUUACAAUGUAUUAUAAUGCCCAAUAAUCAUCUUGAAGGCCCUAUUCCAGUGGAGUUUUGUCAGCUUGAUUUGCUUCAGAUUUUGGACAUUUCAGACAACAACAUAUCUGGAAGUUUACCAUCUUGUUUCCAUCCUCUCUCUAUCAAACAAGUUCAUCUUUCAAAAAAUACGUUACAUGGACAACUAAAAAGAGGUACAUUCUUUAAUUGCUCUUCCCUUGUGACAUUAGAUCUUAGCUAUAACCGCUUGAAUGGCAGCAUUCCGGAUUAGGUUGAUGGGCUUUCUCAGUUAAGCCACCUUAUCUUAGGUCACAAUAAUCUUGAAGGUGAAGUGCCAAUUCAAUUGUGCGAAUUGAACCAACUACAAUUGUUAGAUCUUUCUAAUAAUAAUCUUCACGGUCCUAUUCCUUCUUGCUUUGAUAACACCACACUUCAUGAAAGUUACAGCAAUAGUUCUAGUCCUGAUGAGCAAUUUUAAAUAUCUUUUUUCAUCCAAGAAACUCAAGGAUAUGUAGAAAAGCAAAUCCAUGAAAUUUUUGAGUUCAUAUAUGUAGAAAAGCAAAUCCGUGAAAAAUUUGAGUUCACAACAAAGAACAUUGCGUACAUUUACCAAGGAAAAGUGCUUAGCCUCCUAUCAGGACUUGAUCUUUCUUGCAACAAGCUAAUCGGUCCUAUUCCUCUUCAAAUUGGAAAUUUGACAAGGAUUCAAACAUUGAAUCUAUCACACAACAACUUGACAGGAUCGAUCCCAUCAACAUUUUCAAACUUGAAGUAUGUCGAAAGUUUGGAUCUUUCCAACAACAAAUUGAAUGGGAAAAUCCCUCAUCAACUAGUGGAGUUAAAGACAUUGGAGGUUUUCAGUGUGGCAUACAAUAACUUAUCAGGCGAAAUUCCAGAAUGGACUGCACAAUUUGCAACCUUCAAUGAGAGUAGCUAUGAGGGAAAUACUUUUCUUUGUGGAUUGCCAUUGCCCAUUUGCAGAUCACCAGCAACUAUGUCGGAGGCUUCAAUUGGCAAUGAACGAGAUGAUAAUUUAAUUGACAUGAACAGUUUCUUUAUCACAUUUACAACAUCGUACGUAAUUGUGAUAUUCGCAACUGUUAUUAUUUUAUAUGUAAAUUCUUAUUGGCGACGUAGAUGGUUUUACUUUGUUGAAAUGUGGAUAACUUCAUCUUACUAUUUUGUUGUAGACAAUCUUAUUCCAACAAGAUUUUGUCAUUGAAAUUAAUUAGUAGCUUAAUUACGAUUCUUUAAGUACUAAUCAAGUUUGCUUAGGAAAUAUUUUUUUAUUAAAAUUGUAGUAGUAUUUAGCAUUAUAUAGCUUCCAACUUCCAAGCACUUCACAUUUGUCUCUACACUUAAAAAACUGAGUAAUCAUGUUUUGCAGAUCUGUCCACCAUAACUUAUAGCUUCCCUAUACUGUGCAGCAUACUUAAAUAAGAGAACCAUCUCCAAUGUUAAAAGCAUUCACUCUAUAACAUUCAUUUAGAAACUAUAUUCAGAAUAAUUUUAUAAUUAAACACGAGAAAUGAAACACAUAGAUACACUUGAUCGCCUAUUUUACUCUAAAAAAGAACGAUUAUUGUGCUAUCAUCAUCUUCUUCACUAGCAACAUUAACACCAAAUCGAUGGACCCAUACAUUUCAUCAAGAAAGGUAUAUAUCCAAUAAAGUUGAAGCCUAACAAAAAAUUCAAGAAGAUUAAUGCCUCGCCACAACAAGGGGCACAACAACAUCAAAGUAGAGAUUAAGCAGUAUUCUCAAAGCUAAAACUCUCAAAUCCACCCACCAGAAUUUCAUAUCUCCUCAACAAUUUUAAGAACUAAAGAUAAUUAGGAUUUAACAUUAGUUUUUUAUAUAUUAGUUUCAUAAUUUACAAAUCAAUGAAGAUGAAGAUUAUGCUAAUAAAUUCAAAUUAUACCAUACAUUCUCUAGAUGUUACCAAAAAUUUCUAAGUCAAUCCCACAUAUUUCAUAAUUUUAAGACUAGAAAAUUUCACUAGUUAGAAGUUUCAUUACCUUCAAGUGGAAGAUAAAGAACAUUAUACAAGUGAUUCAGAUUAUAUCAUACAUACUCCAAAUGCAACUAGAAAUUAACAAGUUCAUGCGCACAUAUUUCAUAACAUUAUGAUUGAAAAGUUUCACAAAGAGAAAUUCUAAAUUCAAUCUCUUGCAUGAAGGCAGUUUGAUUGAUUUGAGUUACUUUCUUAUCAAGCUACUAAUAUAACAUUCAAGUCAGGGAGAAAAUAAAUUAAAACUGGGAAGAAAUAAUAGUAAAAAUUUGUUGCUCAACAUGAUGUGUAUUUUUUUUCAAGGCAAUUUGGAAACACAAUUGUUACUACAGAUAUUCUUCUCAACUUGGAGAUAAAUACAAAUAUUAAAAUGCAUAUGAUCGCACAUAUUACUUCGAGUUUAGUAAGAUUUCAUUAAAAGAAGCAAUCAAACCACUUAUCAAUUGUCGCAGUCGUUCUAUAAACUAAAAUAGCAAUAUAAUACAAGAAAAAGAACAUAUAGAUACUUGGCAAGAGUUCAUUAAGAAGUCGCAUCACAUUCGGGUGAGGAGUUUGCUUCUGAUAUCUUGCUAGCUGGGGCUUUUUCUUGUCUUUCUACGUAUGCCGAGGGAAACCAACCAGCUUGGCCCUUGCAUUCACCUUCCGACCAUCCAAUAGGAGCCACCUUGAGAAGUUAUAACUAAAACGGUGAAUUAAACAAAAGUUGACCGUUCAAAGACCUAAGGGGAAAACUAAUUCUUUUACGUAGGAGGAGUGAAUUAGUUGUGAUCACUGAAAUAACAGCAUAACUAUGGAAGCAUAACAAGAUAUAAAUUCACACGUCUAUAAGGAUAAACUGGGUGGUUCAGAACUGAGCUAGCAACCCUACUAUAUUCUGAUUUGCACUUCAAUGUAAAAGGGAAUAUAUGGUAGGAAGAAAGAAAACCAACCAUCAUUUGUUAACUCAUUGCUUUUCAAUCAAAAUUUUAAGAACAAAAUGCCAUGUGCUUUGAACAUCAAAUAAGUAUAAGCAUUAGUUCUAAAUUCCACAUAUCAUAAGUUGUUAGAAGGAUAAGUUAAUAGCAGAGUAGAAAAAUCUAUGUGUUGGUAUUUAGAGGGGAAAGUACCUGGCGAAUCACAACAUAAUCAUCAAUUGAAAGACUUAGCUCUCCAUUUGCUUGAGCAUCAAAUGGAUGUAUAACCUGCAAGAUAAUGGGAUAAAUAGAACUUAAAAAAAGCAUAACAAAAGCAGCAACAGUAGCAGCAACGUUCAUUGUAACCACUAUGAUCAUGGCCAACAAAGAUAUAUUAGAAACAAAAUUCCAUUUUUACUACGACAUUAAUAUGUACUAUACAAAUUCUAAUAAGUUCUGUAUAACUUUAUGUAGUUAUUUAAAUUAUGGAUCAGAUUUUAAAUUUGAAAUUUUGACUGCUCUCCACAAAACAUGGCCUAUGCACAAGAAAGUCAUAGAUAAUGAGGAUUACAAGUGUCCGGCAUCUUUUGAGUGAUGGAUUUAACAUGAGAGCUUAUGGUCAGUCAAUUUCCUCUGCCUAGCAAUAUAAGCUUUCUCGGCCAGAUUUAUCAUCAAAUACAUAGAUUGCCCCCAAGUCACAUCCAUAUAAACAUAGUUUUUCUAGGUAAACCAAGUAAGGAGUAUCAUAAUUCAGACAUAAUCAUAAAAAGGCCCAUCUAAAUUAAGAGAAAAUCUCAAAAAGAGGGAUGCUGAGCUAUCAGUCUUGUAUCUAUAAGCAAUAUCAAGACUUUACAUCACCUGCUACAUCGUGAGUGGCUACACAACUUUCAGUGGUUUGUCUUUCUUUGGCACGCCUAACUCAGCUUUGAUGUUAGUGAGAUAUUGAUAGUAGAGACACAUGAUACUUCUAGCUCAUGCAUUCUAUCUAACCCAUCCAACAACUAUCUCUUUUUUAAUUCAUUAGUGUUUGCUAAACCUCAUGCUUAAAAGUCCUAUUCUCCUUAGCACCACAGUUGGACACUUGUAGAGCAAUUUUAUUUGGGGGAAAAGAAUUUUCAAGGUGUUAACUAAUAAAUUUUAAAAAAUAAUUACAAUUUGUCCUACGAUCAUAUGACAAUUUAUCUGGGAUGAAAGGAUACAGAUAGACAUCUUCCACUUUCAAGACUAAUCACUACUUCCAUAGAUGUUGUGCAAUAAUACAAAUACUUGACCAGAUGGUAGUGAUGGUAGAAAAAAAUUUUAUUGCUCCAAAAUUAAAAUAAGAAUGCAAUAUGUUAAGCAAAAGGCUGUGCAACAUCAAAUUAAUUGAUAAGUUUGUAAUUCAGUAAAUUAACAACUUUCGUGGUAAAAUACAACAAAUUUCUUUUGAAAAAAAUAAAAAAAAUAAAUCUUAAAAGACAGCAUUCAAUUUUGUGCGCAUCUUAUUUCUUAAGAUUUUUCAGGAGGAGGGCAAUAGAGGGACUUUCACCUAUGCAAGAGAGCAGAAGCCUUACUUUCCCUAUAAAGUAGACGUCAUUCUGAUUAAUAUGCGUUUGCAAAUCAGCUCCGUUUGAAUCAGUAUUCUGAUAGACACACGAGCCAUUUACAUCCAUUUCCAAAGUCACAUGUUGCGAGGAGGACUCAUUUGAUUGCUCCUAUACGAUCAUCUAAUUCAAGUAGCAAGGGUUGGAAGAGAAUAAAAAGUCACAAUUAUUCUUUUGCAUAAGUGAGACGAAAAUGAUAAAUGCAAUAUUAUCAGCAGUAAACAAGAAGAGAACGCUCCAAGAAAUAGAUAGAUGCAGACAAGCAAGUUAAAAUGCAUAGUCCCAAACCUCCGCAUACAACUUCUCUAAAAUAGCAAUAACGUGUUGAUGCUAUGUUUUCUCAGCAUCUACCUGCAAAGGCCCGAGACCAGGAAAACAACAAUAAAACCACUAGCUGAAGGAGAAAGCAAAGAAAGAAAUACACUUGACAUAAAUCUUGACAAGAAGCACAAUUUAAGACAUAACAAACCCCAAUCAUAUUGUUUAGAACUACCAUUCGUUAUUUCGUUAUUGUAACAUUUCGAACAAGUGUUGACUUAAUUCAACAUUGUUGGAAAGAUGGGCUUUUAGAAGCAGAAGAAAGCCUCUCAAACCAAAGUGCUUGUCCUUGUAUUGAUCAAGGGAUGUAAACAUAUUACAUUUGCAGGAUGAGAUUUAAUCACUCCCCUGAUUUAUUUGGGUUGCAGUAAAACUAAGCGAGCAACUGUUUGACUUCCAAGCAACAGCUAAAUCAGCUAUUAAAAUUCAAAUAAAAUCAUAAUAGAAUAAUAACAGGCCAUCUUGCAUCAAAAAUUAAGUUUAAUUUGUGAAUUGUUUUCUAUAGACAUGUCAGUUUCUGCUAUUGAAAUGUUAAAAGCAUUGAAAAAUUAUUCAAUAAAUUAUGCAAGCAUUAAAAUAGAGGACAUAUUAAAAAGUUUCUAAUUACAAUGUUAAUAUUUCCUAUAUUCUAGCAUUUGCAUAUUUUAAUUUAUUUAAAAGCUACGUCGAUCAACUUUGGGCAUGAAGAUUUUAGCUUCUACGAGACUUGCUUGGAAUAUGCACAAGAGUGUUAAAAUAUGAUGCAUCCAACGAAAGACAAACCACGUGUAGUCUUUUAAUUAAGCCAAAGUAGCAGCUCAAACAAAUGACACUUGGACCAACAUGCAAUCAUGAAGUGGCCGGAAAAAGGACAAAUGCUACUUUGGCUUAAAUAAAAAAUAACAUGUGACUUGACUUUUGCUGGACAUGCAUCAUGUUAUUACAAGACAACAGAAAUCAGUAUGAUAGUACUAAAAGUUGACAAUAACAUGAAGAUAAGAGGCAGACUGUCAACACAUGCAUAGGCACACACAAGAAAGUAUUAACUUCUAUACCAUAGCAAAAAGUCUUUGAUAUGUCAUCUGUUGCUGCUGUGAUUCAACUGACAGCAUGGCAGCUGUUGCUUCUCUACCAAGAGCCAUUAUUGUAGAUUUAAGCUCCGUCUAUCUUGCUUCUGCAUUUCGAAGCUUCACAGCACUCUCUGCUGAUAUAUCAGAUUCCCUAAUCUUUGAUCGGCGCCUAAAUACUUCAGCUGCCUGGUGAAAAUAUUCAAUAUAAAUCUAACAUAAUUCUAAUCUUGCCUUAUACAUGCAUAUGUUACCUCAAAGCUUACCUGGGCUUCAACUUCAUGUCGAAGUUUGUCAUAACGAUGAGUCAGGUGUCGAGCAUCUUCCAAAGGUGUUCCGUUGAUUAACGCCCGUAGUGGCUCAGGUACCUACAUGUCCAAAAACCUGUAACAUAGUUAGAAAAAUGAAAAGAAAGAGCGAAACCUCAAUUAAAAAGUUCCUCCAACAUAAUCAUGGAAUUUGGGCCUACUUCAAGGAUAUAUAUAAGGAUAAUUUAUGCAAUUUUGGGUCUGAGGAUGAUUCAUAUUAGGUUAGUGUUCUUCUCUUCUGUAUUUAAGGUUAAAAUAGAAAUAAACCUAUGAAAAUAUCUAAAUUAGGGCUGUAAGACUUCCACAUGCAUCCUUCAGUCUCAUGGAUUUGAUUUUACUAUAGAUGCAAGUGUCUUUAAAGAAAAUGCUUGGAGUCAAUUGAGAGAACUCACGGCCAAAAACUUGUCACACGCUAGUCUUUGCUAGUGAUGUAAGAAGUCACAGGGUCUCUUCAACAUUUGAACCAAUAAAAUUAUUAAGUCAUGGAUGUCACUAGCAAUGAUUUUAAUAUAAAACAUUAAAUAUUUCAGAGUUGUAACUUUAAAAUGGAUUCUUUUAUUCAAUAUCAUAGAACUAAGUUUCCUUAUGAGAAGAUAAUAGUUUCGAUAAUAAUUUUACAUAUAAUUUUCUAUAUUUGAAUUAUUUUCUAGUUAGGGAUGAACUAACCUGAUCACGAAGAAUCCCGAGCAAAGUUUCCCUCUCAUUUUCCAUCAAAUCAUGUGAAGUGCCAAAUUGAAGAGCAGCUCUUGCAACGCAAGAAUUGUCACUUUGAUUCUCUGCUCCAUACUUGCAACAAUCUUCAGCCAACUUUCUCGCUACAAUAUUUGAAUACAAAAAUAUUGUACACAAGAACUAUAAAAAACUAAUGAAAAAUGCCAAGAUGGAGCAGAUGCUUCAAUACUGCCCGUACAAACCAUAAAAAACUAAUGAAAAAUAAAUAAAAUCAAGAAAUUUUACUAAUUAAAAGUCUAAAUAUAAUUUUGAAAAAAGAAAAGAAACGGACUUGCUGCUGCUUGGCGACUUGUUCUCGGAGCUUGAUUGCUUGUUUCUUGAUAGCUUCCAUACUGUUUCUUUCAAAAAGCGACGACGGCUCAGCUCAUGGAAGUGGAAAAAAAAAGUGUGAUCGAGAAAAAUGAAAAGGCGUGAAUAAUUUUUGACAAAAAGCGAAAAUCAAGGAAAGCCGGCUCUUUCCAGAAAAUAAAAAAAGAAAAAAGAAAAUCAUAAGUUUGAAAGGAGAAGAUGAUAGUGGAAGUAUGCAGUGUGGCUGCCAGGUACUUGGAUUGUAUUGUCGGGUAAGGUAAAAGUGGAGAAUUAUAAGUUUGAACAGAGCAUGUUGGACUUUUGUUGACCAAAUUCAAAAGCCCAAUGGGACGGUCCAGAAGCUUUUGAAUAGAAAAACUUGCUAGAAAGCAUCAGUUUAAAUCACUACUUAAACGCUUGCUUUAACUGCACCGCUUUGUACUGUUUUAUGUAUGUAGCGGUUGUGCGGUUGUAAUUCACGGCUGACGCUACGUGUUUGUUUGUACUGUUCUAUUCGGUGACAGAGUAUUAUUAGUUAGGCCAAAACUAUGUUGCAACAGUGGUACAAUAGCACUGUUGUUUUCAGUCAUUAGAUCUAUAGUUGUACAGUUGCAUUAACAAGAUCCAAUGGUUGAAAACAACAGUGGUACCGAACUACUGUUGCAACAUAGCUGGACCCUAUUAGUUAUUUCAAAGGGAUAAAUAAGAUUGGUUACAACAAACCUACUAAUUUUAUAAAAUUCAAGUAAUAUAGAAUAAAAUAAAAAAAUAAAUACAAAAUUGACUUUUAUUUUUUAUGGUUGACUAUAUUUUGUGUUCUCUUCGGGCACUGCUACAAUUCUUCCCUAUAUAUCAAUUACACCACAUACUAUCGACACAAGAAAUGAAAUCUAAUAUCACCUAUUUAGUUAAAAAAUCACUCAUGAAAAAAUUUUACCAUUUUGAUUUGAGGAUCCAUAUUUUGAACUACAAGCUAAUGUUCAUCAAGAAUCACUGAUGGCCGUUGAGUAGAAAAAUUAUUUUUGGACAAAUUAUUUUUGUUGAUAGAAGAAUUUCUUUAGGGACUACUAAAUUAUUAAUAAAAAUAUCGAACACACCCAAAUAUCAUCGACACAAUUGAUUUUGAGGAUCCAUGCUUUGAACUGCCGCCUAAUGUUCAUCAAGAAUAGAGUAUGGCUUGUGAGUAUAAAAUUUUCUUAUUUUGGCCCGAAAUAAAAAAAAAUUAAAUUGGAUGAGAAUCUGCCACUUUCUCAUGAAGAAAGGCAUACGGAGCAUACCAUGGUACCAUACAAUAUAAGGAGCCUCCGUUCUUUGGUUUUUCAAACUCUGAAGGGGCCAAUAUUGCCAAAUUCCCCCUUGAAAAUUCUGAUUACGACAUUAUUCAUCGCUUGAUGCAAUCAAAGUAGUGACAAAGUAAUUGCUAGGCAAGGUUGCUGAGAGCAAAAUUGUCCUAAGCAUUAUAUGCAUACAUGGUGCGGUACAUAGAGCACGUUGAAUUCCCCACUAUAACACAAAUCCAGAAAGACAAGUAAUAACUCAACUGAUAUAAAGACAAAAAGAAGAUAAAAUGAUAUAGAACAAAGAAUUUCAAAGAGACAGCAACAUACGAUAGACUGAAGCCACUUGAUCUGCUCAUUGAUUGCAGCCUUAAACUUGCAAAUAGUUACUGUACGCUAGUGCUCUAAGAAGUGAAAAUGAUGCAAGCCCUGAUUCCCUUUUGACUUCCAUUUACUGUCAAACAUUCUAGUAAUACAAAAAAUUGUUUAGAUAUCUUGCUAUAAAUAUAGCCGUUUGACUGUCAUAAUAAAGUCACAAAUAACCAUUCAUAUUGAUCUACUAUCACACAGCAUGCUUUAUGCAUACAACAGCUGUAUGUAUACCAACUCCUAACCUUAUCAACACAUUUGGCAAAAACUUAGGAAGAAAACUAUUUCUCCAUCUCUUUUUUGAAAUUUCACAAUAACCAGCACAAUGUGAAAGCUAUGUUCUAACCUUAUGAUAAAUGCUCCAGACUCCAAAAGGAUUUUAUAUAUGAGAGUUUGUUGCAGCAGAUAUAUUGACUUAUCAAGUAUGAAUCAUUGUCUGGAUGAACUAUCUUUAGAUAAAAGAAUAUUAGAACCACUGUAGAAUAUCUUUACGCUGCUGGUUCUAACAGGAAUCUGCAUGUGGCAACAAUUGCUAGAUCCACAACUCCCCAACUUGAAAUACAUAGUUGCACACCAUGAGAUAGUGCUACAAUCUACUGAGAUCUAACUUAUAUGGUACUUUAAGCUACUAAUGUUUGCAUAUUUCUACAUGUUAAAUUAACACUAUUAUCUAUAAUCACUCCAAAACAACAAAUGAUAAGCAACUUUUGGCCACUUAUUACUAGCAUCCACAAUUAUAAAUAAGAGAUCAUGGGUUUACUUGUUGCACCUACUUAAUUAUCUGCAGUUGACAUCCUGACGCAAGGUUUAAAUAGUGACUGCUUAGAACCCUUGUAGUUGGAUCUUGACCUCUCCCAUUGUAGCCAAGAUUGGUUACUCUGGUAAUGAAUCAACACUCUCCUGCUCAGGGCCAUGAAGAUCUGAAAGCUCAGCACUAGUGGAGAACUUCAUCAAUCUCUUCUUCUCAGCAUACUUGAGACAAGGCUGCCUUACGAGACCAAUCACCAUAGCACCAACGCUUAAAACUGCAACUUUUAAAGAAGAAAGAGCCAACACAACACAACACAACACAAAUCAAUAUGGUUGGAGGAAUACACAUGAUAAUGGCUCCAACAGUGACAGUGGGUAUCUUGUAGGGACGAGAUGCAGCAGGAUAUUGCAUCCUUAACCAUACAAAUGCUAUGAACUCCAUAAUCAUUCCAAAACAGUACAGGAAGUUCUCUGCAGCUACAAUAUCUCAAAAGCUCAGCCAUGAUAGCAAAACCACACCGGAUGCUGAGAAUAUGAUUCCAAUCAAAGGAGUCCCAUAACAAGACCUCUUAGCAAAAAACUCAGGUAGCGUUCCACGCUCAGCCAUCCCCAAAAGUUGGAAAGAGUCGCUGCUCAUCUCAGCCACAAACAUGCCCAUAUUGGACAUUGCUGCAGCCCCCUGGAUGCACCAUCUCAACCAAACUCCUCCAAGCACUUUAGCGAUAUCUGAAAAGUAACCAUCGGUCCACAAGUCGCGAUCUAAUGGAAUAGCUCCAGUUCCAACUAGAAGGGGAAAGAAAUAUCCAAAAACGACCAAGAUCAAAGCAUAAAACAAAGCCUUUGGAAGAGUCUUCUUUGGGUUAUCCACCUCUCCAGCUAGUUUACUUAUUGAGUCCCAGUAGUUGGAGAUUCCAAAACAGGGUGUUCAAAUACAAAUUCCAGUCCACUUCACCUAAAUUUACUACAAGCCAUCUUGAAGGCUCUAACUUGGGAAGGGACACAAGUCCCAUAACCACAAAAGGAAGGAAUGAGAAAAUCUCUAAAAGAACAGCAGCCCAUCCCACAAUGGUUAGACCCCUAUAGUUCAUGAAAGUGAGAACAAAAGUCAAAGCUAACGCCGCAAAGGCUCUAGGUAACCCAUCGCCCAAAGCAGGGAUAUACCAGACUUCAAGUAGUCAAGAAACAGAACUGGGUAUAAAGCAUUAUCAAUAACCCCACUUAGCCAUUUCAUCCAAACUUGCUGAAAACCCCAAUAUGGGCCUAAGGCAGAUGAAACCCAAACCACAUAACCACAAUUUUCAGGAAACACGGUACCCAUCUCGGCAGUAAUUAAAGCUUCAGGGACACUCCAUAUAAUCGGAAACACCAAGAAACCAAGAAGUGCUAAAAGAGGACCAGCUGCCUUUACACUAUCCUCAACACCAAACGCCCCCCCAGAAACCUCAUAGAAUAUAAGGAAAAUAAGUGGCAAGAUUGAUACUUUUUUAGCGCCAUGGACUCUAGGAGAAGAUGGUUGGUCAUUGAUAUUAACAUAUUCAACAGCAUCAGACUGCCCCAUUUCUACUGAAAGUUGCCUAUUCACAGUGUUCCUCAAUUUCUGCAUCAAGUUUAAGCAUAACUAUCAAAAGGGUAUCGGCAUCUAAAUUAUGAAACAAAAUGAGCAUUUACUUAUUAAAAAAAUUCAAAAAAACAGAAAUGGAUUUCACAGAACACAUGAAUUUAAGUUCAACAUUAAACAGGCGCUUAAGAAAACAAAAGGGUCUGGUCGUAAAGCCAUCAGAUUGCAAGAUUGAACAACAUUAACGGAAUCAAUAGAAUCGAUGUAAAGAGAUCUGAAAAGAAAAUAAAAUAAAAGAUGAAGAGGGAUAAAACGACCCAUCAAAUAAGUGCAUGCAGAGCAGAGAGGCAGAUACUAGAGAAGCUCCGUCAUGUUAGAGAGAGCCUAAAUCAAUCAGAGCUCACUGAGUUUCUUUUCAACUGACCGGCAGAUUUGGAGUAGCAUAACAUAAUAUUUUUGCUUUUAAUUUUCGGAACACUUUUGAAUGGAAUUUUUUGUUUUUCAAAACUAACGAAAUCGUAAAAAUAAAUAAACACGUGUUUGGUUUUGGGCUUCUUCUUUUGUUCAUUUAAUAUCAUUUGGUUCCCUGAUUUUUGACUAAUUAUCAACGGUAUCCUGUUAGUUUCCAAAUUGAAAUAAUAUUAGGUCAUGAGAUUAUUUACUCCAUUUAGCAAUGUAGACUUAAUAGUGUAUUGAAAAAGCUUUGUCAAAUAGUAGUAAUAGGGGCAUAAGAAAUAAGUUCUUCAGAAUUUAGAUAAUAUACUUGGCUCUAGGAAGAUUCCCCUCUUAUCACUCAAGUUAGGCUUUUACCUUAGAGUUGAGUAAAUUAUUAAAAUAAAUUAUAGCUAUCACAAAUUCGUCAGGAGACUUUCAAUUUUUUUCCAUCAAAUGGCAAUGAGGCAAAAUUACCUCAACUUAUAUUUCAAAACUAAUACUUCAAAUUCUGACAAUAAAUUUGAUGACAGUCAAUUUUAUGUAUAGUAAUUUUGACUCUUUUGUUUGGUCUAAAAGUAAUUAUUUAAAAUGACAAUAUAACUUAUUUAGAAGAAAUGGUAAACUUAUAGUUCGUAAUAUUAUUUACACAAAUAAUAAAGACUAAUUUGAUAAUAAUCUUUCAAAUAAUAAUGAAGUGUUAAUUACUAUUUAACAUUUUUGAUUAAUUUCUAAAUUUAAAACAAAUAUGAAAGUUGAUUGCUUUGAAGGUUGGAUCGUGACAAAUUGACAAAUGAAAAGAGAAGUAGAGAAUAUAUAUUCUGAUGAAAGGGACAAGAUUCAGCAAGGGGACAAUAUUCUCUAUUGGACCGACAAAUGGGGGAAAAGAAUAUAUAUAUAUAUAUAAUUUCUUAUUUGUGGAUUGGCCAACACGUGUAACAAAUAUGAAAAGAUAAAAUUUGGCGUGGUUUUAACCGAUAUAAGACAAGAAGAACAAAGCAAAGCCCAUGAAAAUUCACCUUUCAUGUGGGUUGGAUCGGAUAAAAUCAAUAUCUUGAAUCAAACAAAAUGUUUGGUACAUAAAGUUUUUUUUUUUUACAUGAUAUUAGAUUUUUAUCCCUCGAAUUUUUACAUGAUAUUAGAUUUUUAACCCUCACUAAUAUUCGAGAGAUAUCUACUCCUCAUUUUUGGGUAAGGGAGAAGACUACCUUCACUCAAUUAUAAUUAAGGAAUGAAAUACCCCCACAUUACACUUGUAGGGGUUCAAACUGUUGCCCUCCAACUUGGAGUGCAGCAGCGCUGACCACUCGGCCAAAGUCCGAGUGGCUGGUACAUGAAGGUUUUGAGUGUGUGUAAUGAGCCAAAAUUUACAUAAGGAUAUUUUAGUAAAUAUAAGAAAAAAAGGCUCAGGGAAUGGCCUAUAGAUAGAAGCACGCAGCCCAUGAGUGAUGAGAAUACAAUUUAACUGUUCAAACUAAUUAGAAGCAAAUUCUUUCAUAUCUUUCUUUAAUUUUUCCGCUUAGUUCCUUAGCAUCCAAUCAAGUUCAAGUUAAAACACUGUUGAGACAACAAUAUGCAGGCAUCAAUAAGCAUAGUAGUUUUUUAUAUGUAUUCUAUACGACAAUUAUAGAACUUUUUGCAGCAACUUUUUUUCAUUAACUAAUGUUUGAAGAACUUGUUAAAAAAAAUGGUAAAUUUAUAAUUUUGAAAAAAAAGAAAGAAAGUGACGUUACCUCAUCGUCAUUAGAGACUUGUUGCAAUGAUAGCUCAAAAUUAAAAUUUUUGAAGAAUUAGUAGACGACGAUGAUGUAAUAUUUAUACAGUCACCAACAUGUUGAUUUUUGUUUAAUGUUUGAUCGAUAGAAACGCUUGUCGUCGUCGCUGUUGUUGAAUUCAUACAUAGAACACAGAAGAGAAGGAGGGAGGAAAGGGAAGAGAAGAAGAGAGAAGUGGCAUAUAGCAAAUAUGAUAUGCUAGCUGCAUACCAGCCUUAGAGAGAUUUUUUUUAAUAUUUAUUAUAUUUUUGUUUUUGUUAUUGGUUUGUCAUAUGCUUCCAGGGAAGCAAUACGUUACAUCAUAAAUUGCACCUUUUAGGGGAGGUGGUAAAAAACGUGAGAGCACUACGCUCCAGCGCAUACAUAUAGAAAGAGUUUUCGAAUUUUAAAAAGUUUCUUUAUUUCUUCCAUGUUUUUGUGCUUAAAAUAAAAUUUAAUUGUAUUUUGCAUUAACUUAGAAAAGAAAAGCCAGUUCUAUAUAUAAACUCAUGCAUUAAUUAGAAGAGUUGAACUAUUGGCACCCCUCUAUAAUCUUUAUAAAAUUCCUCUCCUAUUGUAAUUACAUUAAAGGACAAAAUAAAUCUAAUUAUAUCAUUAUAUUUCUCUUUUCAACUCUUUACACCCGUGCAACUACACCAAAGUCUUUUACAAUUUUUGUUUCCUCACAAACAACUUUUUCUUGAGAGAUUUACAAAACUUAUUUUUAAUUUUAAAAAAUAAAUAAUAGUUAUUUGAGUCCACUUUAAUUUACAAAACUUUCUAAUAAUAAGUUUUGUAGACUUAUUUUUCAUUUACAAAACUUUCUGAACUUAUUUUUAUUUUUAAAAAAUAAAUAAUAGCUAUUUGAGUCCACUUUAAUUCUACUUAAUUCAUACAUGUAUUUGAUUUUUUUGAGUAAAAUAUGUAUGAUUUAAUAAUUCAAAAAUUUAUAAAAACAAUAUUUGUAAUUGGAGUUAUUUGGAAGAAACUGAAUUGUUUUUCUUUUUGAAUAAAAAAAAGCUGAAAAAAGAAAAAGGAUAUUUUAGGAAUUAAAAUAGAUUUUGAUAGAAAAGGGGUUUGAACAGAAAAUUACAGGGUGCUAAUAGUCCCACUCUAAUUAAAAAAUGAGUUCAUGUGGAUGCAAAUGUACAAUAAAAGAGAUUCUCUUUUGUAUAUUGGAAGUAACAUAACUAGUGAGUAUAAUAUGUAAAUACAAGUUACCAAGAAUUUGCACUAGUGCUAAUUAAUGGCACAACUUUUGAGCUAUGAAUUUCUUCUUGAUAGUUUAAUUAUAUUUUUGAGUUUUCGGUAAACCUAUUUUAAUAAUUAUUAAAUUAUUUUCACUUCUUACGCCUUAAUAAAAAAAAAUCAAUAUUUUCUGGUCUAUUCUAUAUUUUGAAACUUAAUUUUUAAUUCUUUAUAUUGCAAACCAAACUAAGUCAAACAGAGUAUGCUCUUCAAAGAAUUUUUCCAUUGGCCAUUGCCUUCAAGAAGAUUUUAUUUUAUUUUUAUAUAUUAAUUUAACAUUUUUCCGUGCACUUGUAAACCGGGCCGUCGGAUUCCACAUAAAGCAAAUGAUCAAACCGUUACAAGACCGACCCGGACCCACUGACUCUCAUUUUCUUUCAUUUGACCAUUAAAAGCUUUUGACCACCCCCGCCAAAUAAAUAAAUAAGCUCUUGUUCUCUUUUGUUCCUUCUUAAAGGAAAAUAUAUCUGAUCACCAGAUAAUGAUUCCGGUGUCACAAAAUAUCAAGACAACCCCUAAAUUCCCUUAAAUUUACGAUAACACCCCACCAUGGAUGAUUCCGUUGAAAUGCCGCCUUACGAUGAAAGGCCUUAGAAGGGUUUUAACUUCACACCCAUGCGCUUGAUCUUAACCCUCAUUUUCCCAAUUUUAACUUUCUUUUCGUUGGCAUUUUUGAUCGAGAUCGUUACUGUUUUAUUCGGCGAAUCAUCAGUUUCGAGUUCCAUUUUUGUCCCUUCCCAGUGCAAGAUAGUGCCAGCAGUAAGCUUUUUUAAAAUUUUCAAUUUUUUUCCAUUUAUGAAGCUCAAAAAUUUUAUUAAUUUUUGAAUUUUUUUUGAAUGAUUUUGCAGGUGUUGAUAUAAGGUCAUCAAAGGUUUGUGAACUUGGAGUGUUGAAUUAUAAGGCGAAGCGUGUGUUUUAUCCAUUUGAAGCAAGUAAAUUUCGCCGUCGAUAUGAUUACUAUUGGGCUUCUAUCUUCAAGGUAUUCAUACAUUUUCUCAACUUUAAUUACUUACCUGUACUAUUAGCUUCUUAGUGGCGGUCUUGUUUUGUGUUUUUGAUGAAUGUGUUUAAGGGUCAGUUUGGGAAUGCUGGUAAUAGGAUGUUGUUAGUGUUUGGCAGUAAAUUUGCUAUGCAUAAUUCAGCAAUGUGCUUGAUUUUGGUUAUUGUCUUUAACAAUUUUUAGGUAGAGUACUUAGAUCAUUCACUGGGACAAACGCAGAGCUUGGUUGACCAAAGAUAAGUUCCAGGCUGGGGUCGGCAAUGCAGAGCUUCUGCGUGUAUUAAAAUUUGAAGCCUAGUAAAUGAAUUUCUAAUUUAUUUAUAGUGUUUGUUUUAUCUUGAUAGAAAUGAAUGCUAACUCAAGAUUUUCCCAACUUUGAUUACUUACCUGUACUAUAAGCUUCUUAGUGGCGGUCUUGUGAGCGGUGUGGCUGACAGCUUCUUGAAAAUUAUAAGUUUGAACAGAGCAUGCUAGACUUUUGUUGACCAAAUUCGAAAGCCAAAUGGCACAGCUCAGAACCUUUUGAAUUGAAUAACUUACUAGAAAGCUCCAAUUUUUUGUUGGCUACGGUAAAAGGAUGUUGUUUUAUUCUUCUUAUACUUUACGCUUGCAUCAGCUUAAAUCACUUCUUAAACGCUUUGCUUUAACUCCACCGCUUCAUACUGUUCUAUAUAUGUAUCGGGUAUGCGGUUGUAGUUCACUGCUGAGACUACGUGUUUGUUUGACGUGGUAAUUACGUUACGAGUCUGUUAAACAUUCGGUGAUUAAAGUAUUAUCAGUUAUUUCGAGGGGACAAAAAAGAUUAGUUACAACACACCCACUAGUUUUAUAAAAUUUGAAUAAGAUGGAAUAAAAUAAAAAAAUAAAUAAGUAAAUUGACUUUUAAUUUAGUGGUUGAAUAUAUUUUGUAUUCUCUCGGGGUACUGCUGUAAUUGUUCCUUAAAUGUCAGUCACACCCACAUGUUACAGACACAAGAAAUGGAAUCUAAGAUCACCUGUUUAAUUAAAGAAUCACUCAUGAAAAAAUUUUGCCAUUUUGAUUUGAGGAUCCACAUUUUGAACAACCAACUUAUCUUCAUCAAGAACAGAUCAUGGCCUGUGAGUAGAAAGAUUAUUUUUGGACAAAUUAUUUUUGUUAAUAGAAGAAUUUCUCAAGGGACUAUUAAAAUUACUAAUAAAAAUGUCAGACACACCCACGUACCAUCGACACAAUUGACUAUGAGGAUCCAUGUUUUGAACUGCCACUUAAUGUUCAUUAAGAACAGAGUAUGGCUUGUGAGAAGAAAAUUUUCUGAUUUUGGCCUGGAACAAAAAAAAAUUAAAUUGAAGGAGAAUCUGGUACUUUCUCAUUAAGAAAGGCAGACGGGGCAUACUAUGGUACCAUAAAAUACGAAAAGUCUCCAUUCUCUAGCUUUUUAAACUCUGAAGGGGGCAAUAUUCCCCAAUUACCCCGUGAAAAUUCUGAUUACGACAUUACUCAUCGGUUGAUACAUAAGUACAAGUACUGACAAAAUUAGGAAAAAUAUGACUCAUAAGUAAUUACUAGGCAGGGCUCUUGAGAGCAACAUUAUACUAGGCUUUAUAUGCAUACAUGGUGUGGUACAUAGAGCACGUUGAAUUCCACACUAUAACACAAACCCAGAAAGACAAGUAAUAUCUCAACUGAUAUAAAGACAAAAAGAAAAUAAAAUGAUAUAGAAAAAAGAAUUUCUAAGAGACAGCAACAUACAAUAGACUGAAGCCAGUUGAUCUGCUCAUUGAUUGCAGCCUUAAACUUGCAAAUGUUUACUGUAGCCUGGUGCUCUAAGAAGUGAAAAUGAUGCAAACCUUGAUUCCCUGUUUACUUCCAUUUACCAUCAAACAUUCUAUUCAUAAGAAAAAAAAUCUUUAGAUAUCUUGCCGUAAAUAUAGCCAUUUGAUUGUCUUAAUAAAGCCACACACAACCAUUCAUAUUGAUCCACAUUGCCACAUAGCCUGAUUUAAGCAUACAACAGCUGAAUGUAUACUGACUCCUAACCUUAUCAAUACAUUGGCGACAACUUAAGAAAAAAACUAUUUCUCCAUCUCUUUUUUGAAAUUUCACAAUAAAACAGCACAAUGUAAGAGCUGGAAUGAAAAUGGACCGUUUGGAACUAUGGCGGAAGCUUCAACUAGUGUAGUGAGUUGACCUUCUUAUUAACCUAGCGAGAUCAAACACUGCCCUUGAUCUUGAACAUAUCAAUACGAUACGCACAACUUAUGAUUGAAUCCAGAAACAAUCAAAUCUUUAGCAAGAAUAAUUAAUCAGAAUCAAGAAACAAGUUUAAUGAAUAUAAACCUAUAAUUGGAACAAACACAGCCAAAGAACCCAAGAAUGACACAACGAACACCAAGGGAGAAGCUUUCCAGUGAGAUUAUAUUAAUGAUCAAAGAAGAAUCUUUUUACAAAGAUAACAAAAGAGAUUUCAGAGAAUAAGCUAUGACCCUCUCUCUCUUCAAUCUCUGUCUAGUUUGUUAACAGUGAUGACCCCAAUCUGCUUCGUUAGCCAGCUUCAUAACUGCGUCAGUGACAAACUAGCAAACCCAGAUUGAGCAGACUAACGACACGUGCAUAACGGCUUUAACGAACUUGGUUAAAGAACUGCUCACAUGUUCGUCACGCGUGUUGCUUAAAUGAUAGCCAAAACGACUUCAACCAAAUGCCGUUUUGAAGCUUAUGAAUUAUAAGUGAAAACACGUGCUUGUCUCGUGACAUUUAAAUGCAACAACAAGCCCAAAACACUGCCGGUUCACUAUGUUGAGUUUGCCAUCUCUAAGCUUCACAACUAGCAGCGGACAAGAUGAUAAUUUAAUUGACAUGGAGAGCUUUUAUAUCACUUUUACAACAUUCUAUAUAAUUGUGAUAUUGGGAAUCGUCGGUGUUGUAUAUGUGAACCCUCGUUGGCGACACUGGUGGUUUUAUCUUUAUUGAAAUAUGGAUGACUUUUCGUUACUAUUUUGUUGUACAUAACAUUAUUCUCAGGAGAUUUAAUCAUUGAAAUUAACAUGUUAGUUUCAUUAGAAGGCUGAGUGGUUAGGGCUGCUACCCUCCAACUUGGAGGGCAAUAGUUUGAACCCACAAGCGCAGUGUGGGGGUAUUUCAUUCUUUAAUUACAUUGUAUAAUUGAAUAAAGAUAAUAUUCUCUCUUACCCAAGUGUGAGUGGAGUAGACAUCCUUCGAAUAUUAGCGAGGGUUAAAACUUGGGCAGAGCUCAAUAAGUAUUGAUGUAAGUUGGUCCUAAUAAUAGUCUGAUUUGUAAAUAUCAGUUAUAGUCUCAUGUUUCCUUCCUUAAUUAUAUUGUAUAAUUAAGUAAAUGUACUCUUUUCUCUUACCCAAGUGUGAGUGGAGUAAACAUCCCUCGAAUAUUAGUGAGGGUUAAAAUCUGGGUAGAGCUCCAUAAGUAUUGAUGUAAUUUGAUCCUAAUAAUAGUAUGAUUUGUAAAUAUCAGUUAUAUUAUCAUGUAAUAUGAGUUGUAAUUUGAGUAAUAAUUUCAUGUAAUUACAAAAAAAAUGUUACUUUCAUUACUUUUUUCUUCGUUAAAAUUCUCAAGUAUCAAUUAUGUUUGCUUAAGAAAUAAAAUUUCGUUAUGAAAAUUGUAGCAGUAUUUCCGAGCACCUCACAUUUUCAAUGAUUUUUCAUAAAUCAAUUAAUCUGCCAUACCAAUAUCAGGUUUAGUUUUUCAGACUAAAUGAUCAAGAAAGCAAACAUACAAAUUCACAUUUUAGAGGGGUAAACUAGCUUUUAGAUUUUAGAACUAGGCUAGCUACCUCACCAAAUUCCAAUCUGUACAGUGAACUACAAGAUUAAGAAAAUAAUGUAUUUAUAGUUUAAUUGAAUCAUGAGAAAACAAUGUAGUCAUAGCUCAAUCGGACAUGAUCACGGAGAGGCAUAUUCUUUUCAAGUUAAUUUGAUCCAUUUAUAAGAAAUGAAGUGGAUUGAAGUUAAAAGUUCAAAUAACAAAUCCUUGUUCUUGAGUUUUACGACGUCGUUACUCCUUCAAGAGGCUGAUUAUGCAAGUGAAUGCGGAAACAGAAUGCAUUAUCCACGGGGAUGAUAAAUCAAAAGGCGGGAUCAUAGUCUAUGCCCGCAGAUUAACAAUUUCACUCAUAUAGAAAAUUAAUUUUUUUAUAUAUACUAAUCAACACUAGAUUGAUUAUGUUUUGUAUGUUUAUAUGCUAAUCAACAAUAAAUUAUAUUAAAUGAAGAAAUGCUUCAAAUUUUUCUAAUUUAAUUUAGAAAAUCAAUUAUUAACAUUAAUAUUCCUAAUAAAAAUUAUUUUCCAUCGGUAUUCAAAAUUUUCACUUAUAGAAAAUGUGUUUUACGUGAAUACAAGUUAUUGUGUAAAUUUGAAUGAUAGCGAAAAAUAAUUUUUUUAAUUAUUGUAAAAAUAAUUAACCAUAACAAAUCCCUUGUGUAAAUAAUAAUCAUUAUUUAAAAGGUAGAAAGAUGGUUAGUGCACAAUCAAAUUUUAAGCCCCUACCUCCUCGGCCCAAGAUUCAAACUUAGAUGAUCAGCCAAAUAAAAUUAUUUGAAAAUCAUUCAAUCAGGUUCUCGGGGAAAAAAUACAAGAUCCGUAUUUGCAUGAUAUAUAUGAAUUAAUGUAAUUUAUUUGAAUUAUCCAAAUUCAUUAGAGAUAAAACUAUAAAAGAUACCAAAAAAGUUAGAAGGAAGGGUGUGCUGGGAUAUUUUACAAACUAUAGGAAUCUGGUGAGAUUUUGAGCCAAACUGUAGGGAGUUGAAGGCAUUUGCCCAAUAUGUUUAGACGUACACUAACCGUUAUUUGAUCUUGUUGUUGGUCAUGUGAACUAAGAUGUAAAUUAAAGAAAAAGUAUAAAAUUAAAAAAAGAUAAGAUUUCUAAAAUGUGUGGAAGGUGAUUCAUGAUUCACUAAAAUUACUUGCCCCACAUAUAAAGGUAAACAUGUCUAAUUUCAUUAAAAAUAGGUGGAAAAAAUUAACUAAUAGAAAGCUACGGAAAUUAACCCCCACAAAAAUGACUUUUUAUAGAAGAAUUUAUGUUUUUUAAAAUAUGUUAUCAAAGUGUAUUUGAUCAAAUCUCAAUUGCUUAGUAUGGUUAGGAUUUUGUGAACAUAACUAAAAAGUGAAAAAUAUGAAUGAUAGGGGUGAUGCUUGCAAUAUGAAUAAAUAAUGGACUGAUUCAAUUGAUGAUUAAAUUUAUAUAUUAUUGAUUAUUUAUGAAUUUUCAGACUUGUUAUGAUGUAUAACUAUGUGAUUUUGAAACUUGAAACCGUGGCAAACAUUGAAAGGAAUUAUAACUUGAAAUCAUGACUCACGGGGUAUGUCAUGAUUCACGUGCACAAAAAAGGUAGAAUUGUGGAAAUUUACAACCCAACGACAAGUACGGAAAGAAAGGAAGAAAAUUAAAAGACUUCGGGCCUAGCCUGCGUGUAUUAAUUAUUAGAUUACUUUUUUUUAUAAGGGUAAUCAUCAAUUUACUCCAUAACAAUCUUUAAUUCAUUUCUUAAAAAUAUCAAAACUUUAAUUUAUCUUUUAAACAUCGUUACCUCUCUAUUGGUUUUAACAGUUCAAAGGGUAAAAUUAUAUUUGCAUAUUUUCUUGACCGCCAACUAAAUGAUAAAACUCAAAAUUCAAUCUUGUUAUCUUGUUUCAAUCCUCUAUCAAUCAAAUAAGAUUUCUAAAAUAUGUGGAAGAUAUUGCAUGAUUUCCUCAACCUACCUGGCCCGAACAUCAAGGUAAAUAUCUCUAAAAUAGUUGAUUAAAUCUCAGUUGCUAAGUAUAGUUAGGAUUGUGUGAACAUCACUGAAAACUAUGAUUGAUAGAAGUGAUCUUUGCAAUAUGAAUAAAUAAUUAACUGAAUCAAUUGAUUUAUAUAUUAAAGUUUAUGAAUUUUCGGGCUUGUUGCGAUAUAAUAAUAGCAUAUGAUUUUGAAACUUGAAACAGUGGUAAAUAUUGAAAGGAAUUAAUUUGAAAGCAUGAUCCGUGGGGAAUGUGAUGAAUCGUGUUUACAAAAAAGGUAGAAUUGUGGAAAUUUAUAACAGAACGAUAAAUAUGGUAAAAAGGAAGAAAAUUGAAAGACUUGGGGCCUGGCCUGGGUGUAUUUUCUAACUAUCCAAUGGACAAAAUUAUAUUUCUAUACUUUCUCUUACCUAAGUUUCAUAGAAUAGCUCAUUUCAUUUUUAUUUUUUAAAUAAUAGCCCAAAAUAUCAUUAUGUUAACUCAUUAUUAGUUGAAUGGCGUUUGUUAGUAAUUCAUUAAGGGUAAAAAAUGAUUUUCUAUCAAAGAGAAAAUUAGAAAAAUAAAUAAAAAUUGAUAUAUAACUAAAAAUUAUUUUAUCUAAUCCCACUAAAUAAGAAAUGCCAAAAAAGAUGAAAAAAUUAUAUUUCAAGCAAUUCUUUUUUCACUUAUUUCUAUUUUGGCAACAUGAAAGCCCUAUAAACCCUAGAUCUAAGUACCAAAAAUAUCACAAUUUUCUUAUUCAUAUAAGUAUACUCUCUAAUUGCAUUGUAAAAUGGCUUGAAUUGAAUUGAAGAUAAAGAAGAUAUUCAGCACAUGCAAGCACAUAAAAAUUGGUGGCAUUUUUGAGUUUUUCUUCCAAUGAUUUAAAGAUAUUGUUUUAAUUACAGUUUGUUCCUUAUGACAAUUAUUCAAUGGCGAUAUCAAACUAUAUCAUCGUUGAUUUCAUUUAAGAAAAAAGUUAAUGAAUUUUGCAUACUUUGUAGUGUUAUUUAAUUGUGUAAAAAAAUUAUUUUAAUAUAGUUUGUAUCGCUUUAAUGAAAAAUCCUAUUUUGCCCUCAAUGAAUUACUGGUUAACGAUUUUACACUAAUGGUGAGUUAAUGGAAAGAUAUUUUAGGCUAUUGUUUGAAAAGUAGGGAUAAAAUGAGCUAUUGCAUUAAACUCUAAGGAUGAAAAAUGAUUUUUCCCUUUUAUUAUCAAUCAACUAUCUGAUAAAAGUCAAAACUCAUAUUUUUUUUUCCCUUGUUUCAAUCCCCUCUCAAUCAAAAAAGUUUCCUUGUCUAAGCAAUGAGGAAUAUGGCUAGAAAGAUUGUUAUUAGAAAGAUUUAUCAAUAGUAAUUAGUUCACAACUGAACAGUUUUAGAUUAUUGUGAGUCAAUAUAGGUCCUGUUUAGGAUUGAAGUGUUGCAGUUUUUAAGCUACAGCUGCUGUAGAAAAAAAAACUAUAAUUAUGAAAUAAGAGUUAAUAAUAUAUAAUAAAUAUAAAUUUUAAAUAAUAAUUUUGACAAAAUUAUUAAAAAUAUAAUAGAUUUUUCAUAAUACAAAUAAAAAAAUCAUAUCAACAUAGCUUGCAAGGUACAACAGUUAGUAUGAUGUUAGUUUAUUUUUGCGUCAAUAUAAGUAGUCAAAUUGAAUAAGUUAGUGAAAUGCUGCCUCACUGUCCCAUUGAAUAUGAUUCAGCUAACAGGGCUAGAGCUUGUGGAUGCCAAUGGCACUGAACAAAGUAUUGGGUGGUAAUUUUAAGACCACGCUAUGCCCAAAACCCAAGUUAGGCGAUUACAAAUACGGGAAUCAAUGUCACUUUGCUAGGAAUGGAGAGGAUAGAUUGCUUAGUGAAAUGCAACUUUGUAGAAUGCUGAGAGAUGUGCUGAGAGAUGAGGAUAGUUGUCGAUUUCUUCAUGUAAAUGCUGAGAGAUGUGCGGAAGUUUCUACUCAGUUUAGGCUUAGUUUAAGAAUAGCCUGGUGAUAAACAUUUUGAGUGGUGGAUCUUCUGUGGAUAACAAAAGUAGGUCUAUUCAAUGGGAACGCGACAAGGGGCUGGCUAACUCGCUCAGGUUGUGCAAAUGUUAAAAGCAGAAUGCCAGUUGUAUGAAGUUAUGUCAUUUUCUUUAUAGAACUAUGAAAGCUUGGAGUCCACGAUUCAAUGGAAUCUCGGGCUGUGCCAAUGAUUGUUUCAAGUACUUUUUCUACUUUCAAUGUCCAGACUAAGACUAUUUCUAAGCAGCAAGUGCAGGAUAUAAAGUGCAAAUCAAAAUAGACAGAAGUGAAGAGGAAGAUACGUGGUAUAUAUGUUGAUUGGAUUGAAGAUAUACCACUUUUGCCUAGUUCUUAGAACAAAGCAGAAAGCUGUAGUUAAAAAUAUACCUUCUGCUAAAGAUAAGUAGUCAAUAGUUCUAUUAGUGCAUAACUUUGCGAUUAAGGAUGAUCGCUGUCUAUUUUAAGAGCUUUUAAUAGAAUUUAGUAGCCCUGAUUUUCAAUCUCAGUGUUUUGCGGCUGUUAUCGACAUCCCUCUGUUACAUUUUUCAAGUUUCAUUGAUAAAUUAGUAGUUAGCCUUAUGAAGAAUGCACACACCAUAACCAUGUACGUUAAAUAGCAAACCUGCAUUUUAUUGAACUGUGAACUACUGAUUCAAUAAAGCUCAACAUAAGCUAACAAGUCUUUGUGAAAUUGCUUCAUGGUACAUUGUUUGAAGUAUUUAAGCUAAUAUAUGAUUAUUAAUGGGCUCGUGAGCCAACCCCAUUAAUUAUAUGUACAUAUAUAUAAUGUUACCAUCAAUAUGAUAUGUGACAUCCCAUAACAGCUAAUUAUAGAUCUUUAUCCAUUUUCAUAAUUUGCCUUCUGGCUUCCACUGCUCGUCACUAAAUUCAAAAUCCAUUGCACCUCAAAACAACAUGAGAAAUCUUAUAGGCAAAUCAUGACCAGUUCAAAGAUAAUAGCGAUUAUAGGGAAAGAAAAUUAAAAUCGAAGACGCAUAUAAAAUAAUCAAGCUACUGAUGAACAAAAUAACAUGAAAGUGUAAGUAUUUAUACUAACCUUCACUUAUUAGGAAGUUUGUUUCGCUAUUGGGUAAGAUCAAGCUCUCUGCAUAUCCUAUUGGCAAAAGGAAAUCACGCACGUGUGAUCUCUCUCUCUCUCUCUACACACGCACACAUAUACACACGCAUAUACAUAUACAUGCAUGGUCAUCAUCUUAGAAACCGAUUGAGAAAUUAUUGUCAGAGUUUGAAUUUGCGCAAUGACUAGUCAUGUUGCUAAAAAGAAAAAAGAUUGAGAUUGAAAGAAAUUCAUUAUCAUCAAAUUGGUCCAAUAUCCACUUCACUGUGUGGAUCAAAUACGUUUUCGAAUAGUGCACUGAUCUACAAUCUACUGCAAUAAUUUGUUAGGACCCUACAUCAACAAAUUAUGGGAUUAGUUGGUUUAUUAACCCUAAUACAUCCGGACAAGUCAAUCCUUUCAUGAGAAACAAAAUGAAUUUUGCAUCCCAUGAAACACAACAUACUCAGCUAGUUGAAAUUGUGGAUAUACGGGGGUAACGUAAGCAUGCUUUCACAAUUUGAAAGAUUUAUUUUUUAAGAUUUAGUAUUUCUGGGAUCCUAUUGAGAUAGAGGGGUGGUGAAGGUCUAUAGAUUUUAACUUGACAGCUUCCUAUAACCAAAGAUACAUAACUAUACUAAAUGAGCAUCAUUGAAUUUCAAAGUUAUUCAUUAUAAAUACUUAAAGAAAGAAAAAUAGAUAUUUUGGUAAUAGUAAUACAUUAUACCUUUUCUCUUUUCCAAAUUUGCUUAACCUUACUACAAGGCAAGCUGAGUCCAAUCAGGUUCUCCAAUUCAAAAUCUGAUGUCAGUAUUUUCAAAAGAUAUUUAUGCCAAUGGAGAUUUCUCAAUUCUAUAGGAAGGCAUUUUUUUUUUUUGAAACUGAUUAAGCAUCAGUUGGUUACUGUAUUACACAGAGAUAUAUACAACUGCUAUGACAGCAGGUCAUUACACUGAUAUUUACAAUCAGAUAUAUACAUGUGACUUAUAUUAUUACAUUUUUAUUCUAUGAAGUACAUGCCCAUCCAAAUACCCCUCACAGAGGAGGGAUGUCUCUACUCCACUCCCAUUGCGCAAGGGAGAAAGACGUUGUAAGAAGUCUCCAUACAAUUAUAUUUAAUUGAGGGAGGUUGAGUCCGUGGGGACUCGAACCAUUGCCCUCAUAGUCAUGCUUAACUUUGAGGGCAAUGAUUCACCACUGGGCUACAAGCCCAAGUGGCUAUAGGAAGGCAUUCUAAACCUCAGUGAAGUUACACCCUGGAGCUUAUAAUUAGAACACCAUCAUACUCGGAUAUAUAAAAUUUCAGCAAUCUAAAAUUUGACAUUGUUUUAAAUGCUCCAGAAUCUAAACGUAUGUCUCUUAUCCUGGAGAAUUCAAGAAUAUACUUUCGGUUGCAUGUGUCCCUUCAGAAAAGAAGCAAAUAAUGAGUUCGCAUAAAUUUUCUCAGGAAAAAAAUCCUAAAAUUUAUAAAGAGCUCCUUAAAUGAAGACAAAACCUGCACUCGCUCAACUCUUUUUUUUUUUUUUUAUGUUGUUCUAGUCUUCUUCAAUCCCCCCCUCUAAAACUUUAAUCCAAGCGUUAAGUGUAAGUAAACUAAAAUAUGAUUUUCGUAUGCAAGUACAACACAACAUACCCAUAAAAAUGAAGAGCGGAAGUUAGAAUCAAACCUCCAGCAAUUGAUAUUUUGCAAACUGAUAUUUGAUUCUUCUGAGACUUAUGUAAUCGUUUUGAUGGUGCAGUUUUUGAAUUAGAUUACAUAGCCUCAGGUACUAAUACCAUUUUCACCAUUUUGUUUUUAUUUCAUCUUUCCAUCAAAGAUGAAGGGGUGGGAAAUUAUCAAAGCAGCUGUUAGAUGACACCUGCUUCUAGACCUGCAAGUAAAACCAAAGAAUGAGCUCCAUUAGAUACAUUUGAGUUAAUAAAAUCCCUUGUUCCUCCUAAUGAUUAUAGACAUUAAUUAGGAGGGAGAAAUGAAGUAAAUUAAAUUAAAUGAAGGACCUUCAUUCUCCACGCAUGCAGCCGGCUAUUUUGUUACCAAGUUGUUGAAAGGAAGUAAAUAGAGAAGCAUUCAGAUACCACUCUCCCAGAUCGAUAUUCCUAGUAAGACCAAGGUGUAGUUGUACCACUCGGCCUGUGGAGUUGCUGCAGUCAACCCUUUCCCUUUGUUCAUCUACCCAGUUUUGAAGUCUAUAAGGGGAAUUGAAGAAAUGUUUAAGCCACAAAAGAUCAAAUUCCUCAUGCUCCAAACAUCCCUCACUCCACCCCCCCCACCCCCCGGCGCCCUCUUCUAAUAUUAUUAAUACGAGAACUAACAUUGUCACCAUUUUGAAUUUUGAACCACCCAUUCUAGCUAUAUCUCUAACUAUUAAAAAACACACAUUCUCUCUUUCUCUAUAACUAUAAAUAACAAAAGGGCUCUAUGUUAUUUAUAACAAACACAUCUAACAAUUUAUACACUCAGGCCCCAGCUAGCUUUCAGUUGUCUUCUUUGGUAGUCUUCAGCCUUCUCAAAGACUUUCGUCAUGCCUUACUUUCAGCCUUCCUUUCCAUAUUUGUCAUUUUGCUUUAAUUUUCCACAAUUCUACCUUGGAUGGUAAUAUUUAAUUCGCCACGAAUUGAGUGAAACGCUGGUCCGUUACCCAUCCCACUUCAAUAUUAACAAUAUUAAUAAUAAUAAAUAAAUUCUUCAAGCAAUUGAGAUUUGACACCCACCCCACUUCAAUAUUAAUAUUAAUGGGAAAUCAUAAAUUCUUCUACAAAUGAGUCAUUAUUUUAAAAUUGUUAUAAGCUUAUUUAUUUAAAAAAAAAAAAACGAGAAGGGGAACUUGUUAUCUUAAAAUUAAAAGAUUCUGGUGUGGCUACCCGAAUCCGCACGUUUUUUAAGAUUUUUUUUCCAAUCUUGUGUACCGUUCAACACCUAUAUAUGCUUUGCAAUUGAUUAGUUAACAAAAUAAAAUUCUUGAUCAGUUGUGCGGUAAAAAUAAUAUUAUUUUACAAAGCUUUACCUGGUGCAGUCAAUACGGCUAGAAAUUAAAGGAUCCCCAGCAUGAUAAUUAAGGAAUAAUUAUUAUUCUAGAUUUGUGCAGUGGCGAAGCUAAUAGCAUUUUUCGUUUUCGAGUGAGCUGAACUUUUUCCCCCCCCUAAUUCAAUACAUUUUUAUCGUACAAUAUAAUUUUGUAAAUAAGAAAUUAUAGAUGCACCUAAUAAUGCGCGACAAAAUAAGCUUUACCUCUCAAAAUAUUUGUUCUAAACAUUAUUUAAAAUAAUUUAGACACAUAUUUAUUCACAAAAUGAUGAACAGACAAGAAUUUGAUGAUAAUUGAAGAGGCAGCAUAACUAAUUAAUAUAAAAAUUUUUAUAUAGGUUUCAAUAAAGGAAAUUUUGUAACUAAAUAAUUUUUUUUCUGAGAAGCCCGGCCUUGCCCUCUCCAAAAUUCGCCACUGAAUUUGUGGGGUGGUUACUGGAGUUCACACGUUUUCAAAUUUUUUUUUCCCGAUCAUUCAAUAGUAAUUUUGCUUUUUAGUUUAUUAUUAUUGUUGUUAUUAUUAUUAACUCAGGCAUUUAUUAAAGCUCGAACACAUAAUCUAAACUUUGAUAUAUUUUUUGCUGAGAGGAGUCAAAAUUUGGGAAUUAUAUGCGCAUCAUAACAUAAUAAACAACCGCAAAGUAUCCUACGGAAACUUUCAGUGCACUCUGACAGCAGCUUUUGGUAGUCAAAUAGUCUUGGAAUCAUUUUUUAGCGCAUAUUCUUUUCGGUAAUGUGAUGAAUUCAUAUCUAAAGAAUCAAAACUAUGAUGUGAAUUUGCUGCAAAAACUGAUCCAAGACUAUUCAUUCAUUAUUAAACAUAUGAUAUCGUCCGUAAGACUGGAGAAAUAUGAAUGAAUUUGUUGAUGAUAACUCAGAAGACGGUUAACGGUUAAAUAUGCUAUGUUGAAAUGCACUGUACAGUCAAUUAAUUUAGUUAGGACUCUGUUUCUAGAAAACAGAGUAUAAAAGAUGACUAACUGUUUUGGGAGAUGCUUUUGGAGGGACUUCUAGAUGAAAUUGAGAGAGAGAGAGUGUGAGAGAAACUCUGUAAAGUCUUCUCCAAUUGGUAACCCCUUUUGUUGCGAAUAAUAAAGCUUCAAGGCUGUUCAUUUAUUUGUACAUAAGCAGGGGGAAAGCCUAUGUAUAGACAGCUUCAAAUGAGGAAACUGCACCUAACUACGCAGCAGCUGUAAUGAAGAAGACAUUGAUGCAUUAGCUUCCUGUUCCGUCUUCUUGGUCUUCGGGGAGGUUGGUAGCAGCAACUUUAAUUGUUCAAAGCAAACACUUAUCUUUCGUUUCUCAUAAAACCUCGUGAGGUAAUGCUUUAGAUGACUGGUAUGCAAUAUUGUCAAUGACAAAAUGUAAUGUUGUAUUCUGCUGAUCAACAUGUAAAAACUACAUAUUACUUGAAUUAGUUUUUUUUUUUUUUAAUUUACUAAAUUUCAGAAUUUGUUAACGAUGUUUGUACUUGGUUUUAACUCGAUUAAAGCUCAUGAAACUUAAUUGAUUAAUUAAUCAUUUAGUUAAAUUUAUUCGCUUUCAUGCUAUGGAUCUUUGCUAUAAUAACAAAUGCUUAAUUAUAUGCGUAUGUGUGAUAUAAUAGCUGCGUCUUACAUAGCAUAACACUACACCAAAUAUGCCCCCCUCAGAUACUAAUUAAUUACACAAAUGUACUUUUAUUCAAUUUAUUAUUUAAAAUAAUAUUUGAAAAAAAAUGGACUUGAGCAGAGCAAAGUAGAGAUAAUAAACAAGGGUAGAUUAUGCAUGCGUCAAAAGAUUUUAAAAAAGAAAAAGAGAAAAUAUACGGAAAACAAGAAAAUUGCGGGGAGCCACUCUUGUCUUUUACUUUGGACUUGAAGUCGUUCCAGGUGGAUAAUGUUUUCCUUUUAAAUAUUUAGAAUUAUAUUGUGGCGCUAUUUAAAAUAAGUUAUAAUUUUCUUAAAAUCAGACUAUGAUUACGGUACUCCAUGGUCAGAGUGUCGUUGAAUAAUGCUGAGUCUAUUGAGUCCUUUUCAAAUCGAAACCAGAACUAAAGAAAAAUCCAGAACUGAAACAAGGGCACGAACCAGCAAGAUUUGAAGGAAAAAUUUACUUCGUUAGUGAUCAACAACUAAUCAAACGUAAGUGGAUUUACAGAAGACUUUGUACAGAUCACAAUGAAACAGAUUCUAUGCAAAUUGACGAACAACUGAAGAAGAAAAAGGAUCGUACAACAGGCACUGCUCAUAAGCUUCUAUUUAUACUGAUGUUUCUGGAAACGUUGUAACAGAUUAUAACUAAUUCGUGCCACGUCAGCAUAAAAUAUCUACUAGACCCAUUUAACUGAAGUCAAUCUGCACAACGACUCUGAACCUCUUCAUAUUUUCCAUUUCAGUCCACAGACUCAACUACACACGUCUCCAAAAAUAAUAAGUUUUAUUUAUUUAUUUUUAUUAAUAAAAUAAAUUUUUAUUAACUUUCGUUGAUUUUGGUAGAUUUUGUUUUUGAGCUGUUACUACACUGUCGGCUGGUGUGUCAUCAUACGUAGUAGCGUCAUCAACCCUCUCAUGACUUUGACGGCCGAAACAUGUUUCAUGGCACAAAUAAUGACAGAUUUGUUUGAGGUACGGCGGAGAUGCCUAUUCAAAUAUUUGAAGCCAGCCCCUCCUUGUUUAACAUUUUUUUUUUUAAAAGGGGAACAACUGCUUUAGCUGUAUAUAUCAAGAAAAUUAGCUAACAGUUUAUGCACUUAAUUAUUUAUUUUGCCACACAUUUGUAAGUGGUCAAUGCUGCCGUAAAAUUAUUAGACCCAAAAUAAAGUGUGAUGAGGGACAGGAAUUAAUGUUCCCAUUAGCUGUAGCACCUAUCUUCCAUCUCUAAUUUUAACUUUCGAUUGAUGAAGUGUUUUCAAAUUUGUCAAAUGUCUGUAAACUGUUUAAUAAUUGAAGAAAGUUAAAAUUCAUUUUCUAAAAAUUAUUUUCAUUCAAAAUUGCGAUUGGAUGGUAAUCAGGGUUAAUAUCAGAGCUUAAGAUACUAUAACCGUGAGAACCUAUUGACUGCCAAUUAAAAUAUCCAUUAAAAUGUCUAGGGAGUUAUGAAGGUGGGGGUAACUUCCAAUUUCUAAGGCCACAGAGUAGACAUCAUCCAGGAUCCUAGGAAAGUCCAGUUAACCUCCUGCUCGAUGCAAUUAAUAAAUUUGGUCAAUGCCACUGAAACCUGCUAACUGACGUCACAAUGCGACAUGAGCACUUCAAAAUGGGACGGACAGUCAGUAGCACUGAAUUUUUCUUGCCUAAGAUUGAGCAAUUGGUCUAACUACUAAUCCCUAUUGUAGGUUGAUCAUUAUUUUUUCAAUUAUGUUCAGUUUGACCCAAAAAGUUGCAGAAUCUUGAGCUGAAUAUUGUCACGGAACACUGUCAAUGUCGCUUAGCAUAGCCAACAAACUUGAUGUUAAAACAAACACACAGUGUGUCUCAUGUCUCACAAAUCAAAUUAUCAUCUGUAAUGAUGGAGAAUUUUUCCAAUGUAUGAAGUAUGCUUUGAUACGUGGGUUACCUUGGAGAAGAUAUCUCAAAAUAAAGAAUAUGGGGAGAAAACAGUUCAGUAGUUUAUUAUUCUGUAGUCAAGUUUUGUCUCGAAAAUGGUCAAAAUUUAAAUGAUUAAGGACAGGGGAUCUUCAUUCUUUUUCCCCUUUUUUAUACCAAGAUAUCUCUCAACCUUUAUAUAAUCCCCACUGGAUAUCUGCUUCUCAUAAUUAAAAUAAAAAUUUCACCGCUCUAACAAUAAAAAGUAACAUCUUUAGUCAAAUAAUUUUGCGGUUCCUCAUCAUCUUAGUGUGAGACUAUCAGUACUUCCAAAAACAUAAUAAAACUGGUUUGAUCCUGUUUAUUAAUGUUUAAAUGUUGUUCAUUGUGACAUGUAGAAAUGAUGAGGCGAAGUUUAUUUGGGCAUCAAUUAGUAAGAUCUUGUUCGAAGUUGUUUUCUGAAAUGAACUGCCAAAUGGUAGUUUUUUGGGGGCAUUUGAUGGCUCUUUUUUUUUCCUCAUUUUCAACAUGUGCCUGCUUGGAACAGGAAGGAUUAGGCUUUAGAGUUGUUAUUUAUUUUGAGAUGCUCUGGUCAUUGCACAAUUUGUUCACACUGGAAAUUAGAAUGAGAAAUUUGUUGAUGCUGUUUUGAGAGAUCUGCAUUCUAUGCACAAUAACAUGAUUAAUGAAAAUGUAUUGUAGGACUGGAAAGAUCUGUGGCAGCCUGAGCUCGCAGGAAGAAUUUCAAUGGUUAAUUCUCCCCGAGAGGUUAUUGGUUCAGUUUUGAAGUAUAGGGGAGCAUCAUACAAUUCAAACGAUAUUGAUUCGCAAGUUGCUGGUGGGAAGAUUGCUGUUCAGCAGAAUCUGGCAUUACUGGCAAACCAGGUACUCUUACAGAAAUGAUAUCUGGUCAUUGCAUGUUAUUGCCUGACAACUGAUUUUGUUUGUAAAAGUCUACUUCUUCAUACAUAUGAAUGCAUAUGUUAGUGUUUUCUUCUCGUUUUCAUACAUAUAAAUGCAUAUGUUAGUGUUGUCUUUUCCUUUUCAUACAUAUUACUACAUAUGUUGGUGUUCUCUCCUGAGAUGGAUGCAAUAAAGGCUUUUGCUCCUAAAUUUAGCUGAAGAAAUGGCAAGGGAUGUGAGAUUCUGUCUCAUUAAAUUAACAAAAACCCAAAGCAAUGAAAAUCCAUAAUAAUGUGGUGUGGGUAAAUUGGCUCCAUUUGGUUCGUUUCCUUAAUGUGAAUGCGCGAGCAAUAGAGACUAACAAAAUGAAGUGACAACAAGAAGUCAGUGUCCUUUGAUGGAUGCAUUUUUAGGCAGAAAUAGGUUUGUAAUUGACCAAAUUUGUCUGGCAUGCCAAUUUCAAAAAAAUUAAAUUAUGUGGUUAUUAGCUGUAAUGAAGGGGGAUAGUAGGUGCAAUCAGGUGGAUCCUGGAAAGUUCAAUAAAGUUUUGGUAUGGCGUAGUGAAAUUGGUUUGUGCAACUCAGGAGUCUUUCAGGUGAACGAUGAUAGGUUUUGAUUUAUGAAUAUUAUAAAUCUACUGUGCAUAGUAUUCUAGUAGAAUCAUCUAUAAGUUCUAGUUAUUGAAAUUGUAUACUUUGCCCGGUUUGAGUUAAGGGCACAUGUAAUAUGAAAGAUAGUUGUCGCAUCUUUUAGGUUACCUAACAUUUGAUCAAUCCUAUUAUGGGGGCUUCAAGAUGUCUAACAAUAUGUAGAAUGCCCAUGCUCCUCCCCAUUGUUUAUCUUCUACAAUAAUUUGUUUUAGAUGCUAAUAUCUUUGUCGAUACCGGUAACAAUAUUACAAUAUCUGCGUUUAUUGGGUUUUACAUAGGUUCGACUGUUUGACAGUACACACUAUCUGAAGGCAUUUGCAAUUGGAGAUGUAUGGGUUGCUGUUGGGUGGAUUAGUGAUGUUCUUCCUGCUGUCAAACAUAUGUCUAAUGUUGCUGUUGUUGUUCCCAAGUCUGGUGCUAGCUGCCUGCCAUUCUACUUCGAUAUUCACAUUGUUAUCUCCUUCAUAUUAGCGAUCAGUAAACACGAUAAUGUGACUAAUAAGUUCGUAUUCUCUUUAUAGGCAAUCCCUGCUGCCUCAAGACUUGAAACAAAACAAAUUGGAGGGCGAGUCGGAGGUCCAUCUCCGUUAAUCCAUCAAUGGAUAGAAUUCUGCUUGCAAACAGCGAGAGCAUUACCUUUCAAGCAAGAGGUAAUCCCAGGUGCAUCUCCCUCUGCCCUUGAAAGUACUCUGGUUAAGUUGCCUGAAGAACUUCUGGAGGGUAAACCAAGUCUGGAUACUAACUUAAUUGCUGGAGUACUCCCGGCUGAAAUUCUGGCCAGAUGUGAGUUUUUGGAGCCAUUAUCUGAAGCUACUUUGUCAGAUUAUGAGUGGCUGGUUGUUAAUCUGCAAAAACCUGCUCCUGUCUUGAUGAAAAGGGUGCAACAUUACUUGUCAUCAUUAAUCCAAAGCUUUCUAGCAAGAGCUACAUUGAAAAGUUAAUGGCGCUGCAUGCCAGUCAUUAUAAUGCUGUCAGGACAAUUGGGUCAGGGCAAUUAGGUCAGAGCAUAACUUCAUUAGGAAAGGGGGCUUCAGCUACGUUAAAUAUUACAGGAUGUACUGAGAUGGCUGAAGUUCUUGAGGUUUUAUGAGAAACGAAAGAUGAGUGUUUGUUUGAACAAAGUUGUUGCCAAUCUUGCAGAGUUUGAAAACAAAGAUCACGGAGCGAAUGCCACCGAUUUCUUCAUCAUUUUAGCCUCCAUAAUUGAAGUUUCCUCAUUUGAAGCUGUUUAUGCAUACGAUUUUUCCCUGCUCUAGUACAGGAAAUUGAAGAAUUAACCAGAUGUGAUAUGCUGAAAGAGGGAAGUUUUCUUCCUUGAAUGUGGCCUUUGUGAUUUGUCUUGAAGGAAUAGGAUGAUCACUGGCAAGAACCCUAUCAAGGUAGAUUUUAUGGUGUUAACAUAUUAUUCAGCAUUUUGUUACAUUAGCAAUGAUGCUUUCAUAGCAUGAAAGUGUUUAAAUUUAACUGAAUGAUCUUGAUUGAUCAAUUAUGAGUUUUAAUCGAGUAAAAACUAAAUACAAUAAUCGUAACAAANNNNNNNNNNNNNNNNNNNNNNNNNNNNNNNNNNNNNNNNNNNNNNNNNNNNNNNNNNNNNNNNNNNNNNNNNNNNNNNNNNNNNNNNNNNNNNNNNNNNUGCUACCUUUUGAUUUUAGUGCUUAAUAUUUAUUGAACUAUGAUGCAGGGAAUUUGAAAUCAAACUCGUAAUACAGAUUAUCUAAUUGCGAGUUGCUGUCCAUAGCUGCUAAUUUGUAGUGAUUAUCUAAUUGACUGAGGUGACAAUAAUUCUUUUAUUUUCAAUAGCACAAUGUGGAAUUCAAUAAUUAAAUUCUCCUGUUUAAUUUGUUUCAAGUUAAAUUAUUAAUUACUUAAACUCGGUUUUAAGUCUUUAAUUUUAUGUGUUUAUGCAGAAUUGGAUUCUUGAGCGUGUUGGACACGACCAACAAUGAAAUUGACAGUAAACAAACAUUAGAACAUGUGGACUCCGGUAAGCACCAAUGAAUUUCUAGCCCCGUUGACUCCGCCAACUAAAGUUUUGUAAAAUAAAAAAAAAUACAUAGAAUUCCACCAAAUGCAAAACGCGUAAAAUUUAAUUUUCGGCCGUGUGGACCAAAACAUAAUUUAACAAAAAAGAAAAAAAUGAUAAGAUUUUUAAAAUGUGUGGAAGGUGAUCCAUAUUUUACUGAAACGACUUGUUAAAUUUUUCAAGGAUUUAGAAUAUUUGGUCAUAAAUUACGUGCAUGUUAAUUUUUCCGCCAUUGACUAUCAUAUUCUAGACUUAAUGGUACCUUUUUUGAUGAAGGGUACUUAGUCUCUCUUCUCCUCUUAUAAAAAUUAUAUUAAUUGAUUUCUUGUUAUAGUUAAUAGUCUUCAAGAACGGAUAGAUUUAUUGUUUUCAUGACCAAAUUAUGCAUGCCUAACGUUGCAACUAUUAAUAAAAUUAAUAUUUAAUAUUUAUGUUAAAAGAUAUAAGAUUUUAUGCAUUCAUUAAUUGUUAUUAGCUAAAGGAUGAAUUAUUUUUUCCCAAUCAGUUGAUGCAUCUGCAAGAGUUUUUUUUUCUUUUAUUGACCAUAAUUAUAUUCCGGGUACAAUAAAUUGUCUUUGGUGCUUGGAAGAUAUGACAUCUCUCUGUCAACUUACUGGAAAUAUCUCCUCAUCUACUCUCAUUUAUCUAAUAUCAAUUGAAGAUCUCAUAUUUCCAAACUAUGACUUCCAAAUCUCAUUAUCAUUUGAGCAUUCAAAACUAAUCAAGUGUGGAAAUAAUCAAAUAUAUGCAAAAAUCGAGUCACAAUCUUUGGCCCCUCAAAAUUCUAAUUAUAUAACUUCUAUAUAUCUCAUACAUUUUCCAAAUUCCUCUUCCAUCAACAUCAUUAGGAGUAUGUUCAUCUCUCACACAUUAACUUGAGUGGAGAGUUUCCAAAUUGAUUGUCAGAAAACAACAAAAGAACUAGACACGCUUGAUCUGUCUAAUAAUUCUCUUUCGGUAAAAUUAAUUAAUUUUAGGGGAAUUCAGCCAACCUCUGUAAUUUUAUAGUGAUCAUUAAUUAAUUAAACAAUACAAAUAUCUAAAGUGAUUAGAUGUUUACUGACAAUACAAGUUCAUGGCUUGAAAUUUGAUCUCUAUCGAUUGGUUUUGUAGUGCUUAAUAUUUACAGAACUCCGGGAAUUUGAAAUCAAACUCGUAACUACAGAUUAUCUAAUUGUAAGUUUUUGUCCAUAGCUGCUGAUUUGUAGUGAUUAUCUAAUUGACUGAGGUGACAACAAUUGUUCUUUUAAUUUUCAAUAGCAUAAUGUGGAAUUCAAUAAUUAAAUUCUCCUUUUUAAUUUGUUUCCAAUUAAAUUAUUAAUUACUUAAACUCUAUUUUAAGUCUUUAAUUUUAUGUGUUUAUGCAGAAUUGGAUUCUUGAGCGUGUUGGACACGACCAACAAUGAAAUUGACAGUAAACAAACAUUACAACGCGUUGAGUGUCGACUCCGGUAGCUGCCCUACAAGUCUACAACUUUACAAAAAAUAAUUGAGUACACACAUUCGAUUCUCGGGACCCUUCAAUGAAUUUCUAACCCCGUUGACUCCACCGACAAAAGUUUUGGAAAAUAAAAAAAAAAUUUAUAGAAUUCCACCAAAUGCAAAACGCGUGGAAUUUAAUUUUCGGCCGUGUGGACCAAAACAUAAUUUAAUGAAAAAAAAGAAGAUAAAAUUUCUAAAAUGUGUGGAAAUUGAUCCAUAUUUUACUGAAACAACUUGUUAAAUUUUUCAAGGAUUUAGAAUAUUUGGUCAUAAAUUAUGCUCAUGUUAAUUUUUCCGCUAUUGACUAUCAUAUUCUAGACACAAUGGUACCUUUCUUGAUGAAGGGUACUUAGUCUCUCUUCUCCUCUUAUAAAAAUUAUAUUAAUUGAUUUCUUAUUAUAAUAAAUAGUCUUUAAGAACGUAUAGAUUUAUUGUUUUCGUGACCAAAUUAUGCCUGCCUAAGGUUGUGACUAUUAAUAAAAUUAAUAUUUAAUGUUUAUGUUAAAAGAUAUAAGAUUUUAUGCAUUCAUUAAUUGUUAUUAGCUAAAGGAUUAAUUAUUUUUUCAACCCAAUCUGUUGAUGCAUCUGCAAGAGUUUUUUCUUUUAUUGACCAUAAUUAUAUUCCGGGUACAAUAAAUUGUCUUUGGUGCUUGGAAAAUAUGACUUCUUACUUCAAGUUUGAUAUGUCUCUCUCCAUAAGCUUACUGGAAAUAUAUCCUCAUUUACUGUCAUUUAUCUAAUAUCAAUUGAAGAGCUCACUUUUUCAAACUAUCACUUCCAAGUCUCAUUGUCACUUGCCAUUCUUGGACCAUUCAAAACCAAACAAGUGUUGNNNNNNNNNNNNNNNNNNNNNNNNNNNNNNNNNNNNNNNNNNNNNNNNNNNNNNNNNNNNNNNNNNNNNNNNNNNNNNNNNNNNNNNNNNNNNNNNNNNNNNNNNNNNNNNNNNNNNNNNNNNNNNNNNNNNNNNNNNNNNNNNNNNNNNNNNNNNNNNNNNNNNNNNNNNNNNNNNNNNNNNNNNNNNNNNNNNNNNNNNNNNNNNNNNNNNNNNNNNNNNNNNNNNNNNNNNNNNNNNNNNNNNNNNNNNNNNNNNNNNNNNNNNNNNNNNNNNNNNNNNNNNNNNNNNNNNNNNNNNNNNNNNNNNNNNNNNNNNNNNNNNNNNNNNNNNNNNNNNNNNNNNNNNNNNNNNNNNNNNNNNNNNNNNNNNNNNNNNNNNNNNNNNNNNNNNNNNNNNNNNNNNNNNNNNNNNNNNNNNNNNNNNNNNNNNNNNNNNNNNNNNNNNNNNNNNNNNNNNNNNNNNNNNNNNNNNNNNNNNNNNNNNNNNNNNNNNNNNNNNNNNNNNNNNNNNNNNNNNNNNNNNNNNNNNNNNNNNNNNNNNNNNNNNNNNNNNNNNNNNNNNNNNNNNNNNNNNNNNNNNNNNNNNNNNNNNNNNNNNNNNNNNNNNNNNNNNNNNNNNNNNNNNNNNNNNNNNNNNNNNNNNNNNNNNNNNNNNNNNNNNNNNNNNNNNNNNNNNNNNNNNNNNNNNNNNNNNNNNNNNNNNNNNNNNNNNNNNNNNNNNNNNNNNNNNNNNNNNNNNNNNNNNNNNNNNNNNNNNNNNNNNNNNNNNNNNNNNNNNNNNNNNNNNNNNNNGUAUUUUACUUGGAAGAUAUGACAUCUCUCUGUCAACUUACUGGAAAUAUCUCCUCAUCUACUCUCUUUUAUCUAAUAUCAAUUGAAGAUCUCAUAUUUCCAAACUAUGACUUCCAAAUCUCUCAUUAUCAUUGAGCAUUCAAAACUAAUCAAGUGUGGAAAUAAUCAAAUAUAUGCAAAAAUCGAGUCACAAUCUUUGGCCCCUCAAAAUUCUAAUUAUAUAACUUCUAUAUAUCUCAUACAUUUUCCAAAUUCCUCUUCCAUCAACAUCAUUAGGAGUAUGUUCAUCUCUCACACAUUAACUUGAGUGGAGAGUUUCCAAAUUGAUUGUCAGAAAACAACAAAAGAACUAGACACGCUUGAUCUGUCUAAUAAUUCUCUUUCGGUAAAAUUAAUUAAUUUUAGGGGAAUUCAGCCAACCUCUGUAAUUUUAUAGUGAUCAUUAAUUAAUUAAACAAUACAAAUAUCUAAAGUGAUUAGAUGUUUACUGACAAUACAAGUUCAUGGCUUGAAAUUUGAUCUCUAUCGAUUGGUUUUGUAGUGCUUAAUAUUUACAGAACUCCGGGAAUUUGAAAUCAAACUCGUAACUACAGAUUAUCUAAUUGUAAGUUUUUGUCCAUAGCUGCUGAUUUGUAGUGAUUAUCUAAUUGACUGAGGUGACAACAAUUGUUCUUUUAAUUUUCAAUAGCAUAAUGUGGAAUUCAAUAAUUAAAUUCUCCUUUUUAAUUUGUUUCCAAUUAAAUUAUUAAUUACUUAAACUCUAUUUUAAGUCUUUAAUUUUAUGUGUUUAUGCAGAAUUGGAUUCUUGAGCGUGUUGGACACGACCAACAAUGAAAUUGACAGUAAACAAACAUUACAACGCGUUGAGUGUCGACUCCGGUAGCUGCCCUACAAGUCUACAACUUUACAAAAAAUAAUUGAGUACACACAUUCGAUUCUCGGGACCCUUCAAUGAAUUUCUAGCCCCGUUGACUCCACUGACAAAAGUUUUGGAAAAUAAAAAAAAAAUUCAUAGAAUUCCACCAAAUGCAAAACGCAUGGAAUUUAAUUUUCGGCCGUGUGGACCAAAACAUAAUUUAAUGAAAAAAAAAAGAUAAAUUUUCUAAAAUGUGUGGAAGGUGAUCCAUAUUUUAUUGAAACAACUUGUUAAAUUUUUUAAGGAUUUAGAAUAUUUGGUCAUAAAUUACGCUCAUGUUAAUUUUUCCGCUAUUGACUAUCAUAUUCUAGACUCACUGGUACCUUUCUUGAUGAAGGGUACUUAGUCUCUCUUCUACUCUUAUAAAAAUUAUAUUAAUUGAUUUCUUAUUAUAAUAAAUUGUCUUUAAGAACGUAUAGAUUUAUUGUUUUCGUGACCAAAUUAUGCUAGAUUAAGGUUGCGACUAUUAAUAAAAUUAAUAUUUAAUGUUUAUGUUAAAAGAUAUAAGAUUUUAUGCAUUCAUUAAUUGUUAUUAGCUAAAGGAUUAAUUAUUUUUUCAACCCAAUCAGUUGAUGCAUCUGCAAGAAUGUUUUCUUUUAUUGACCAUAAUUAUAUUCCGGGUACAAUAAAUUAUCUUUGGUGCUUGGAAAAUAUGACUUCUUACUUCAAGUUUGAUAUGUCUCUCUCCAUAAACUUACUGGAAAUAUAUCCUCAUCUAUUAUCAUUUAUCUAAUAUCAAUUGGAAGAUCGCACUUUUUCAAACUAUCACUUCCAAGUCUCAUUGUCACUUGGCCAUUCUUGGACCAUUCAGAACCAAUCAAGUGUUGAAAUAAGUCGAGAGGGGGGGCAAAAUUAGAGUCACAAUUUUUGGUCCCCCAAAUUCUAAUUAUAUAACUUCUAUAUAUUUCAUUGCCAGGUCACGAACUUGUUGGCACAUUUUCCAAAUUCCUCUUCCAUCAACUCUCACACGUUAACUUAAGUGGAAAGUUUCCAAGUUGAUUGCUAGAAAGCAACGCAAAAUCAGACACGCUUGACCUGUCCCCUAAUUCUCUUUUCUACGUUGAAAAAGAAAAAAAAAAUAUAUAUAUAUAUCUAUGUAAAAAUAAAUAAUAAACUGAAUAAAAGUACAUUUGUUUAAUUAACAUCUGAUCGUGGCAUUUUUGGUGUAAUUUCGUGCUGUGUAAGCCACAACUAAAAUCAAACAGCCCCUUAGCAUACUUCUUCCAUUUUAUCUGGUACUUUUGUGGAUCUUAUAGGGUGGGCAUGUGGACAGAAUUUAAAAGUUUUAAUAGUCUCAAAGAAUAAGAUAUGUUAAAGCUAAAGUUGUUGCACCUUCUAAUUAAAUAAAGUUGUACAAUUUCACCAACUUGGAAGAAUUGACAUUAAUGGACUGGUCCCUUCUCCAUAUAUGAAGCCUUCUUAAAAGUUAAUUUUUAUUUCAGAAAAAAAAAGUUAAAGUUACAUAUAUUAUAGUAAGAUUUUUUGAGACCAAUUCCCUUCUUGAAAUAAUAAUGGAAAAGUAUUAAUUUAAUAAUAAAAUGAAUAUGUAUUGAUUAUAUCUUGAUUUUCAUCGAUUAUAGUGAGAGUUUCUCCAAAUCAAUUCCCUUAUUCAAAUAAUAUCGAAAAAAUAGUAAUUUAAUAGUAAAAUAAACAGGUGUUGAUUAUAUAUUCUAAGUUUCAUCGAUUAUGUGAUCAAAGUGGCAUUGUUGAUUUAUUUCUUGUUCAAUGUUAAUUUUUAGGUUAUCUAAAUUUCAAGGAUUUAAAAUCUUUGAUCAUGGAUUACACGCUUGUUAAUUUUUCUGCCAUUGACUAUCAUAUUCUAGACUUAAUGAUACCUUUCUUGAUCAAGGGUAAUUACUCUCUCUUCUCCUCUUAUAAAUUCCUCUUCCAUUAACAUCACUAGGAGUAUGUUGAUCUCUUACAAAACAACAAAAGAACUAGACACACUUGAUCUGUCUAAUAAUUCUCUUUCGGUAAAAUUAAUUAAUUUUAGGGGAAUAUUCGACCAACCUCUGUAAUUUUAGAGUGAUCAUUAAUUAAUUAAACGAUACAAAUAUCUAAAGUGAUUAGAUGUUUGCUGACAAUGCAAGUUCAUGACUUGAAAUUUGAUCUCUAUCGAUUGGUUUACAAAUGGACAUACUUGUGCCUUUGUGGCGAUAAUCGAACAAGUUCCAAUGAUUAUUAUUUUUUCCAAAAACUUUUUUACAACAAAUUCAUCUCGCCAAAAAUUCUAUGUUGCUAGCUAACAAUAAUUGAGCACUUGGCCGCAUUGACUCCACGUCUCCACCUCUUUCUAAAUUCUAAGUAAAAACAUGGAAAUGUAAUUUCCACAAAAUGCCAAACGUGUGGAAUUUAAUUUUUUGCCUUGUGGAUCAAAAUACAAAUGAAAGAAACAGGAAAAAAAAAAAAGGCCCAAAGACUUCUAAAAGAUGAAGAAGUCUUUGGGCCUUUUUAUAAUGGUGGAUUUUUUAAAAGAAAAAAAUAACAACACUUUUAUGGUUGGUUUUGAUAAUCAUAUGUGCGUAUAUACUCUCUAAUUUUCAAAAUGGACACAUAAAUCUUUUUUUUUCACAAAAUAUAUAUUAUUCAUAUUUUUUAUUUUUUAUUAUCAUAUUUUUAUUUAUUAUAAAUGUUUAGAGUAAAUUUUUAGGUUGAAAUAUAAUAAAAGGGUAUAAUCGUUCUCUUAUUAAACACACAUACUUUUAUUAGUUUCUAUGCAUUUGUCAUCUCAAUCUCUCUCAAUUAUUCUUUAUUGCUAGCUCAAAACACGUUGCUGUUGCAAAUUAUAGCAAAAUGACAAAUAUGGAAAAAAAGGGAAGAAAAUUAAUGCAUGAAAGACUUGGAGAAAACAACAAAAUAAGCCAACUAUGAGCUAGUUGGGUGUAUAAAUUGUUAGAUGUGUUAUAUACAAAUAGCAUAGAGCCCUCUAGUUGGUUCUAGAGACAGAAAGAGCGUGUGUGUUUUUUCACAGUUAGAGAUAUAGUUAGAAUGGGUGGCUCAAAAUCAAAAAUGAUGAUAAUGUUUAUUAUGUUAUUAAUAAUAUUUAAAAGUGGGUGGAGUGAGGGAUGUUUGGAUCACGAGAGAUUUGCUCUUUUGCGACUCAAACAUUUCUUCACUGGUCCUUGUAAUUAUCUUUACGACUGGGUAGAUGGUGAGGGAGCUACUGAUUGUUGUCAGUGGGAAAGGGUUGAGUGCAGCAACACCACAGGCCGAGUGAUAACGCUAGACCUUUUUGACACGUAUGGGGGAGAGCACAACUGGUAUCUGAAUGCUUCUUUGUUUACUCCCUUCCAACAACUUGAGUCACUUGAUUUAACUUACAACAAAAUAACCGGUUGUGUUGAGAAUGAAGGUGCUUCGUUUAAUUUAAUUAAUUUACUUUCUCCCCCCUAAUUUAAGUUGAAUAUCAAGACCGAGCAAUUAUAUGCAUAUUCAUUCAGUUGACAAUUUUGACUUUUUUUUUAAAGAUUAAUUUUGAAAUUACACUAGUAUCUAUGAUCCUUUUUUUUUUUAUUUUACUUGCAGGUAUAGAGAGGCUAUCAAGAUUGAACAACUUGAAGAUGCUUAAUUUAAGUGAUAACUCGUUCAACAAUAGCAUUUUAUCAUCACUAACUCAUCUUUCAUCAUUAAGAUCAUUAAAUUUAUAUGGGAAUAGAUUAGAAGGAAGUAUUGACGUUAAAGGUACAUAAUUAAAACUUCAUCCCUUCUCCAAGCUCUUUCAUUAACUUGCUAAAAUAAGAUUCAAGGCUUUGAAUUCAAUUUUUUUUAUGAUUAGUAUUAAAAAAAAACAGUUUUAAGCAAUUUAUAAAUACAAGUUUUAAUCUUUCUCAUAAUUUCAUCUUGUACUUUCAUGUGUCUUGAAUUUAAGAUUAAAAAGAAAUCUAAUAGCAAACCAAACACCUCCACAACUUAUUAUUAUUAUUAUUAUUAUUUGCGGUGAGGUUUGAAACAUUCAACUCAAUUUGUACUUAUUACAGAAUUUGAUUCUUUGAGAGAUUUAGAGGAGCUAGACAUUGGCGAGAACAAGAUUGACAAAUUUGUGGUCUCAAAAGGUACUACAAAUACCAUAAAAAAAAAUGCUAACUUAUACAAAUUAGUUGGAUUCUUGGCCAUUUGGUUUAUUAUUUUACAGGUUUGAGUAAGUUGAAGUCUCUCUGUUUAAGUGGUAUCAAACUCAAUCGUAGCAUCUUCGCUUCUCUUUCUUCGUUAAGAGAAUUAGAUAUAAGUUAUACGGGAUUCAAAGGAACAUUUGAUGUUCGAGGUAAGUCUAAGCCUUGCUUUCUCAUUUUAUAUAUGCGAACUAGAUUUGUGUAUCAUCGACAUAAUUUAAUAUUUAAUUUAAUAAGUCUGAAGGUAUUACAUGCUAAUUUAAACAUACUUUUAUUUACUUUGUCAAUUAAUUAAUUAAUUAAUUAAUUACUAUUUGGCUUGGUUUGGACGAAAUUCUCAUGAUGUUUUAAUUUCUUUAAAUUAAUUAAUUAAUUAACUCUGUUUUUAAGUCUUAAGUCUGGGCAUGUUUGCAGAAUUUGAUUCCUUCAAUAACUUAGAAGUGUUGGACAUGGGAUACAAUGAAAUCGACAAUCUUGUGGUUCCUCAAGGUAAACAAUUAAAAUAUUAUUCAAUUACAUUAUUUUAAUUCAUUUGAUUAGAGAAGGCCAAAAAGGUCCCAAAAAAAUUAAUAAUAAAGAAACAGAUAAUUUGUAUUAUUUAAAAAAAACAGAAUGUAAUAAAGAUUUGAUUCCAGUUCUUUAAUCUUUAAAGCGAUUGAAAAACAAUGUUGCUCUUUUCCCAAAGUAUAAAAUACGAAUUGAAUGCCAAUUAACUUAAUCAUUCAUUUCGUUUAGCUCUAAAUUUAGACAAUGAAUUUUUAUAUUAUUUCAAAAACAGGACGUAAUAGAAUUUUUUUAAAAACAGAUUGUAAUGAAGAUUUGAUUCCAAUUUUUUAAUCUUUGCAGCGAUUGAAAAACCAUACCGCUCUUUUCCCAAAGCAUAAAAUACGAAUUGACUCCCAAUUAAAUUAAUCAUUUAUUUUGUUCAUCUCUGAAUUUAAAUAAUGAAUUUUGAUCUUCAAUCAUAUUCUAACUACUAUUAAAAAACAAGUUACAAAGGUUUGAGGAAGCUGAAAAGCCUUGAUCUAUCGGAAGUUGAAAUUAGAGAUGGAAGCAAGUUGUUACAGUCGAUGGGAUCAUUCCCAUCCCUCAACACUCUUUACCUGAAGGAUAAUAAUUUUACCGAUAUAGCGACAACUACUACUCAAGGUAAGUAAAAGGUACAGAUGUGGCCAAAUUUAUAAAUAAAUUGUUAAUUAAUUAAUUUUUCCGUAUUAUUAAUUAAGCUAAAUUCGUUGCUCCUUCCUUCUAAAUCUAAACAGAGUUGCACAAUUUCACCAACUUGGAAUAUUUGACAUUGACCGGUUCCUCUCUCCAUAUAAGCCUUCUGCAAAGCAUUGCAUCAAUAUUCCCUUUGUUAAAAAUUUUGCCGAUGAUUGGUUGUGAAGUCAAUGGCAUCCUACGUGGUCAAGGUAAAAGAAAAGCGUUGAAUGUGCACUCACUGAGUGUUGUCCUACGUGUUCAAUAUUUUCAUUUAUUCAUUUUAUUGUUUAAUGUUUCUGCUAGGUUUUACUCAUUUCAAGAGUUUGGAACAUUUGGACAUGGAUUACGCGCUCAUUGCACUCAACACCAGCUUUCUUCAAAUCAUCAGUGAAUCGAUGCCUUCUCUUAAGUACUUAUCACUAUCAAAUUCUACUCUUGGCACUAACAGCAGCAGGAUUCUUGAUCAAGGUUAAUCAGAUGCUCCCACCCCCCUUCUUAAUCUAUAAUAUUAAUUUUCAAUUAAAUAUUUAAUUACACAAACGAAUCACUUAUUAUAAAAGAAUAAUACGCAUUCAUUAAUUUUUAUAUUGUAUUAAUUGAUGAAUUUAAUAAAUUUUCAGGCCUCUGUUCGUUGAUGCAUCUGCAAGAGUUGUACAUUGAUAAUAAUGAUUUAAGAGGUAGCUUGCCUUGGUGCAUGGCAAAUAUGACAUCCCUCCGAUUAUUAGAUGUUUCUUCCAAUCAACUUACGGGAAGCAUCUCCUCAUCUCCCCUCGUUCAUUUGACAUCCAUUGAAGAGUUGAUGCUUUCAAACAAUCACUUCCAGAUCCCAAUUUCACUUGAACCACUUUUCAAUCACUCAAGACUCAAGAUUUUCAAUGCUUAUAACAAUGAAAUAAAAGCUAAAAUAACUGAGUCACAUUCUUUGAUCGCCCCAAAAUUCCAAUUAAAUACACUCUUGUUGUCUUCCAGUUACGGAGACAGUUUCAUAUUCCCCAAAUUCAUUUACCAUCAACAUGACCUGGCGUAUGUUGAUCUCUCACACAUAAAGAUGAAUGGAGAAUUUCCAACUUGGUUGUUGGAAAACAACACAAAAUUGAGCCAACUUUCUGUCGUCAAUGAUUCUCUUGCAGGACCUUUUCGGUUGCCAAUUCAUUCACACAAGCAGUUAAGACUGUUGGAUAUAUCCACCAACAACAUCCGAGGCCACAUUCCAGUAGAAAUUGGAGAUGUUUUGCCACGUUUAUACGUUUUCAACAAUUCCAUGAAUGCUCUAGACGGUAGCAUUCCCUCUUCAUUUGGUAAUAUGAAAUUCCUCCAAAUUCUGGACUUAUCCAACAAUCACUUGACUGGUGAAAUCCCCGAGCACUUGGCCGUGGGUUGCGUCAACUUGCAGGCUCUUGCAUUAUCAAAUAACAACCUACAAGGUUACAUGUUCUCUAGAAAUUUUAACUUGACAAACUUGAGAUGGUUACAAUUGGAGGGCAAUCGAUUCGUAGGUGAGAUCCCACAAAGUUUGUCUAAAUGCUCCUCACUAGAAGGAUUGUAUAUUAACAAUAAUAGUCUUUCGGGUAAGAUUCCACGAUGGUUGGGUAAUCUCACAUGGUUACAAUAUAUUAUAAUGCCCAAUAAUCAUCUUGAAGGCCUUAUUCCAGUGGAGUUUUGUCAGCUUGAUUCGCUUCAGAUUUUGGACAUUUCAGACAACAACAUAUCUGGAAGUUUACCAUCUUGUUUCCAUCCUCUCUCUAUCAAACAAGUUCAUCUUUCAAAAAAUAUGUUACAUGGACAACUAAAAAGAGGUACAUUCUUUAAUUGCUCUUCCCUUGUGACAUUAGAUCUUAGCUAUAACCGCUUGAAUGGCAACAUUCUGGAUUGGGUUGAUGGGCUUUCUCGGUUAAGCCACCUGAUCUUAGGUCACAAUAAUCUUGAAGGUGAAGUGCCAGUUCAAUUGUGCGAAUUGAACCAACUACAAUUGUUAGAUCUUUCUAAUAAUAAUCUUCACGGUCCUAUUCCUCCUUGCUUUGAUAACACCACACUUCAUGAAAGUUACAGCAAUAGUUCUAGUCCUGAUGAGCAAUUUGAAAUAUUUUUUUCCAUCGAAAGCCCUGUGGGAGAUGUAAAAGAGCAAAUCCAUGAAAUUUUUGAGUUAACAACAAAGAACAUUGCGUACAUUUACCAAGGAAAAGUGUUUAGCCUCCUAUCAGGACUUGAUCUUUCUUGCAACAAGCUAAUCGGUCAUAUUCCUCCUCAAAUUGGAAAUUUGACAAGGAUUCAAACAUUGAAUCUAUCGCACCAUAACUUGACAGGAUCGAUCCCAUCAACAUUUUCAAACUUGAAGCAUGUCGAAAGUUUGGAUCUUUCCAACAACAAAUUGAAUGGAAAAAUCCCUUAUCAACUAGUGGAGUUAAAGACAUUGGAGGUUUUCAGUGUGGCAUACAAUAACUUAUCAGGCGAAAUUCCAGAAUGGAAAGCACAAUUUGCAACCUUCAACGAGAGUAGCUAUGAGGGAAAUACUUUUCUUUGUGGACUGCCAUUGCCCAUUUGCAGAUCACCAGCAACUACGCCGGAGGGUUCAAUCGGCAAUGAACGAGAUGAUAAUUUAAUUGACAUGGACAGUUUCUUUAUCACAUUUACAACAUCGUACGUAAUUGUGAUAUUCGGAAUUGUUAUUGUUUUAUAUGUAAAUUCUUAUUGGCGACGUAAAUGGUUUUACUUUGUUGAAAUGUGGAUAACUUCAUGUUAUUAUUUUAUUGUAGACAAUCUUAUUACAACAAGAUAUUGUCAUUGAAAUUAAUUAGCAGUUUAAUUACGAUUCUUUAAGUUCUAAUCAAGUUUGCACUUGAUCGCCUAUUUUACUUUAAAAAAUAAUGAUUAUGGUGCUAUCAUCAUCUUCUUCACUAGCAACAUUAACACCAAAUCCAGCGAUGGACCCAGACAUUUUAUCAAGAUAUCCACCAUAACUUAUACUUCCCUAUACUGUGCAGCCUACUUAAAUAAGAGAACCAUCUCCAAUGUUAAAACCAGCCACUCUAUAACAUUCAUUUAGAAACUAUAUUUAGAACUCUCCAAUCCACCCACCAGAAUUUCAUAUCUCCUCAACAAUUUUAAGAACUAAAGAUAAUUAGGAUAUAACAUUAGUUUUUUAUAUAUUAGUUUCAUAAUUUACAAAUCAAUGAAGAUGAAGAUUAUGUUAAUGAAUUCAAAUUAUACCAUACAUUCUCGAGAUGCUACCAAAAAUUUCUAAGUCAAUCCCACAUAUUUCAUAAUUUUAAGACUAGAAAAUUUCAUUAGGUAGAAGUUUCAUUACCUUCAAGUGGAAGAUGAAGAACAUUAUACAAUUGAUUCAGAUUAUAUCAUACAUACUCCAAAUGCAACUAGAAAUUAACAAGUUCAUGCGCACAGAUUUCAUAACAUUAUGAAUGGAAAGUUUCACAAAGAGAAAUUAUAAAUUCAAUCUCUUGCAUCAAGGUAGUUUGAUUGAUUUGAGUUACUUUCUGAUCAAGCUAUUAAUAUAACAUUCAAGUCAGGGAGAAAGUAAAUUAAAACUGGGAAGAAAUAACAGUAAAAAUUUGUUGCUAAACAUGAUGUGUAUUUUUUUUUUAAGGCAAUUUGGAAACACAGUUGUUACUACAGAUAUUCUCCUCAACUUAGAGAUAAUACAAAUAUUAAAAUGCAUAUGAUCGCACAUAUUACUUUGGAAGCUUAGUAAGAUUUCAUUAAGAGAAGCAAAUCAAACCACUUAUUUCAUUGUUGCAUCGUUCUAUAAGCUAAAAUAGCAAUAUAAUACAAGAAAAAGAACAUAUAGAUACUUGGCAAGAGUUCAUUAAGAAGUCGCAUCACAUUCGGGUGAGUUUGCUUCUGAUAUCUUGCUAGCUGGGGCUUUUUCUUGUCUUUCUAUGUAUGCCGAGGGAAACCAACCAGCUUGGCCCUUGCAUUCACCUUCCGACCAUCCAGUAGGAGCCACCUUGAGAAGUUAUAACUAAAACAGUGAAUUAAACAACAGUUGACCAUUCAAAGACCUAAGGGGAAAACUAAUUCUUUUACGUAGGAAGAGUGAAUUAAUUCUGAUCACUGAAAUAACAGCAUAACUAUGGAAGCCUAAAAAGAUAUAAAUUCACACGUCUAUAAGGGUAAACUGGGUGGUUUAGAACUGAGCUAGCAACCCUACCAUAUUCUGAUUUGCACUUCAAUGUAAAAGGGAAUAUAUGGUAUGAAGAAAGAAAACCAACCAUCAUUUGUUAACCCAUUGCUUUUCAAUCAAAAUUUUAAGAACAAAAUGCCAUGUGCUUUGAACAUCAAAUAAGUAUAAGCAUUAGUUCUAAAUUCCACAUAUCAUAAGUUAGAAGGAUAAGUUAAUAGCAUAGUAGAAAAAUCUGUGUUGUUAUUUAGAGGGGAAAGUACCUGGCGAACCACAACAUAAUCAUCAAUUGAAAGACUUAACUCUCCAUUUGCUUGAGCAUCAAAUGGAUGUAUAACCUGCAAGAUAAUGGGAUAAAUAGAACUUAAUCUCAAAAAAAGCAUAACAAAAGCAGCAACAGUAUCAGCAGCGUUCAUUGUAACCACUAUGAUCAUGGCCAACAAAGAUAUAUUAGAAACAAAAUUCCAUUUUUACUACGGCAUUAAUAUGCACUAUAUGAUAUCAUGACGAUUGGGUUACCAAGAGCUAUCAAAGUCCAAUAAAUUCUGUAUAACUUUAUGUAGUUAUUCAAAUUAUGGAUCAGAUUUUAAAUCUGAAAUUUUGACUGCUCUCCACAAAACAUGGCCUAUGCACAAGAAGGUCAUAGAUAAUGAGGAUUACAAGUGUUUGACAUCUUUAGAGUGAUGGAUUUAAGAUGACAGCUUAUGGUCAGUCAAUUUCCUCCGCCUAGCAAUAUAAGCUUUCUCGGCCGGAUUUAUCAUCAAAUAUAUAGAUUGCCCCCAAGUCACAUCCAUAUAAACAUAGUUUUUCUAGGUAAACCAAGUAAGGAGAAUCAUAAUUCAGACAUAAUCAUAAAAAGGCCCAUCUAACUUAAGAGAAAAUCUCAAAAAGAGGAAUGUUGAGCUAUCAUUCUUGUAUCUAUAAGCAAUAUCAAGACUUUACAUCACCUGCUACAUCGUGAGUGGCUACACAACUUUCAGUGGUUUGUCUUUCUUUGGCAUGCCUAACUCAGCUUUGAUGUUGCUGAGAUAUUGAUGGUAGAGACACAUGAUACUUCUAGCUCAUGCAUUCUAUCUAGCUCAUUCGACAGCUAUCUCUUUUUUAAUUCAUUAGUGUUUGCUAAACCUCAUGCUUAAAAAUCAUGCUGUUCUAAACAAAGUUUCCUAAGAAUGACUUCCUCAGCACCACACUUAGACACUUUUAGAGCAAUUUUAUUUGGGGGAAAAGAAUUUUCAAGGUGUUAACUAAUAAAUUUUAAAAAAUAAUUACAAUUUGUCCUACGAUUAUAUGACAAUUUAUCUAGGAUGAAAGGAUACAGACAGACAUCUUCCACUUUCAAGACUAAUCACUACUUCCGUAGAUGUUUUGCAAUAACACAAAUACUUGACCAGAUGGUAGUGAUGGUAGAAAAUAUUUUAUUGCUCCAAAAUUAAAAUAAGAAUGCAAUAUGUUAAGCAAAAGACUGUGCAACAUCAAAUUAAUUGAUAAGUUUGUAAUUCAGUAAAUUAACAACUUUCAUGGUAAAAUACAACAAAUUUCUUUUCAAAAAAUUUUUUUAAAAGACAGCAUUCAAUUUUGUGCGCAUCUUAUUUCUUAAGAUUUUCCAGGAGGGCAAUAGAGGGACUUUCACCUAUGCAAGAGAGCAGAAGCCUUACUUUCGCUAUAAAGUAGACGUCAUUCUGAUUAAUAUGCGUUUGCAAAUCAACUCCAUUUGAAUCAGUAUUCUGAUAGACACAUGAGGCAUUUACAUCCAUUUCCAAAGUCACAUGUUGCGAGGAGGACUCAUUUGAUUGCUCCUCUAGGAUCAUCUAAUUCAAGUAGCAAGGGUUGGAAGAGAAUAAAAAGUCACAAUUAUUCUUUUGCAUAAGUGAGACGAAAAUGAUAAAUGCACUAUUAUCAGCAGUAAACAAGAAGAGAACACUCCAAGGAAUAGAUAGAUGCGGACAAGCAAGUUAAAAUGCACAGUUCCAAACCUCCGCAUACAACUUCUCUGAAAUAGCAAUAACGUGUUGAUGAUAUGUUUUCUCAGCAUCUACCUUUAAAGGCCCGAGACCAGGAAAACAACAAUAAAACCACUAGCUAAAGGAGAAAGUAAAGAAAGAAAUACACUUGACAUAAAUCUUGACAAGAAGCACAAUUUAAGACAUAACAAACCCCAAUCAUAUUGUUUAGGACUACCAUUCGUUAUUUCGUUAUUGUAGCAUUUAGAACAAGUGUUGACUUAAUUCAACAUUGUUGGAAAGAUAGGCUUUUAGAAGCGGAAGAAAGCCACUCAAACCAAAGUGAUUGCCCUUGAAUUGAUCAAGGGAUGUAAACAUAUUACAUUUCCAGGAUGAGUUUUAAUCACUCCCCUGAUUUAUUUGGGUUGCAGUAAAACUAAGCGAGCAACUGUUUGACUUUCAAGCAACAUCUAAAUCAGCUAUUAAAAUUCAAAUAAAAUCAUAAUAGAAUAAUAACAGGCCAUCUUGCAUCAAAAAUUAAGUUUAAUUUGUGAAUUGUUUUCUAUAGACAUGUUAGUUCCUGCUAUUGAAAUGUUAAAAGCAUUGAAAAAUGAUUCAAUAAAUUAUGCAAACAUUAAAAUAGAGGACAUAUUAAAAAGUUUCUAAUUACAAUGUUAAGAUUUCCUAUAUUUUAGCAUUUGCAUAUUUUAAUUUAUGUAAAAGCUACGUCGAUCAACUUUGGGCGUGAAGAUUUUAGCUUCUACGAGACUUGAUUGGAAUAUGCAUAAGGAAGAGUGUUAAAAUAUGAUGCAUCCAACGAAAGACAAACCACGUGUAGUCUUUUAAUUAAGCCAAAGUAGCAGCUCAAACAAAUGACACUUGGACCAACAUGCAAUCAUGAAGGGGCCGGAAAAAGGACAAAUGCAACUUUGGCUUAAAUAAAAAAUAACAUGUGACUUGACUUUUGCUGGACAUGCAUCAUGUUAUUACAAGACAACAGAAAUCAGUAUGAUAGUACUAAAAGUUGACAAUAACAUGAAGAUAAGAGGCAGAAUAUCAACACAUGCAUAGGCACACACAAGGAAGUAUUAACUUAUAUACCAUAGCAAAAAGUCUUUGAAAUAUCAAUAAAAAAAAAACAAUUAAUUAAAGGUCGAAGAUGGGUCCUUUACAUAUGUUUUUGUUUUCGUAUUAGGUAGGAGGUUAUUAUAUUAUAUCAUGUAAUUAAUUUAUAUUAUAUCAUAUUAUAUCAUAUAUAUAUGAAAAAAAAAAAGAAUUUCAAAGAGAUAGCAACAUACAAUAGACUGAAGCCAUUUGAUCUACUCAUUGAUUUCAGCCUUAAACUUGUAAAUACUUACUGUACGCUAGUGCUCUAAGAAGUGAAAAUGAUGCAAACCCUGAUCCCCUUUUGACUUCCAUUUACUGUCAAAUAUUCUAUUCAUACGAAAAAAAUGUUUAGAUAUCUUACUAUAAAUAUAGCCGUUUGACUGUCUUAAUAAAGUCACACACAACCAUUCUUAUUAAAUUAGCAAGAUCAAACACUGCCCUGGAUCUUGAACAGAUCCACGCAAGUUGCACAACUUACGAUUGAAUCCGGCCAGAAAAAAUCAACUCUUUAGCAAGAAAAAUUAAUCAGAGUCAAGAAACAAGUUUAAUGAAUAUAAACCUAUAAUUGAAACAAACAUAGCCAAGAAACAAAUAGAGAUUUUACAUGUUUCAGUUGUACCAAGGAUGGCACAACCUACACCACGGGAGAAGCUUUCUGGUGACCCCAAUCUGCUUAGUUAAUAAUAGAGAUUUCAGAGAAUAAGCUAUAACCCUCUCUCCCUCUUCAGUCUCUCUCUAUUUUGUUCCCAUUGAUGACCCCAAUCUGCUUAGUUAUCCAGCUUUAUAGCUGCAUCAGUAACAAACCAGCAAACCCAGAUUGAGCAGAUUGACGACACGUGGAUAACGGCUUUAACGAACCUGGUUAAGAACUGCUCACAUGUUCGUCACGCGUGCUGCUUAAAUGAUGGCCAAAACGACUUCAAACAAAUGUCGUUUUGAGGCUUAUGAAUUACAAGUGAUAACACGAGCUUGUCUCAUGACUUUUAAAUGCAACAACGUGCCCACAACGCCGUCGUUUUACUCUGUUGAGUUUGAUUCAUUACUAAGCUUUACGACUGGCAAUGGAGAAGAUGAUAAUUUAAUUGAUACGGACAGUUUUUAUAUCACUUUUACAACAUCCUAUGCAAUUGUAAUAUUGAGAAUUAUUGAUGUUUUAUAUCCUCAUUGGCAAAAACUAGUGGUUUUAUCUUUGUUGAAAUAUAGAUGACCUCUCGUUACUGUUUUAUUAUAAACAUAUAGUUUCAUAAGUGAAACUAUAUGUUUAUAAUAAAAUUAACAUAUAGUUUCGUUACAUUUCUGCCUCAUUAAGAUUCUCAAAUACCAGUCAGGUUUGCUUAAGAAAUAAAAAUUUUCCAUUAAAAUUGCAGUAGUAUUUCCAAGCAUAUCGCAUUUUCUAUGAUUUUUCAUAAAUUAAUUAAUCUGCGGUGCCAAUAUCAGAUUUAGUUUUUCAAACUAAAUAAUCAAGAAAGCAAACAUACAAAUAUACAUACAAAUAUACUAAGCCAGCUACCUCACUAAAUUCCGAUUCGUACAGUGAACUGCAAGAAAUUGAGAAAACAAUGUAUUUAUAAUUUAAUAGAAUCAUAAGAAAACAAUGUAGUCAUUGCUUAAUAUAAGAUGAUUUCGGAGAGCCACAUUGUUUUCAAGUUAAUUUGAACCGUUUAUAAGAGAUGAAGUGGAAUCAAGUUGAAAGUUUAAAUAACAAAUCCCUGUUCUUGAGUUUUACGACGUCGUUACUCCUUCAAGUGGCAGAUUAUGCAAGUGAAUGCAGAAACAUGUGCAGAGCAUGUCAACAUGGCACAUUUAACCAUCAUUCAAGUGAUGAUGGGUUUUAUAAGACUGCUUAUGGGUUUUAUCAAGUUCCUCUGCCUCUAAGCAAAAAAUUAAAUUCGUAAUUUGUAAACGAAUUUUCCUGACAUGUAUAGUAAAUGAAGUUGUUGAUCCUUUCUUUGGAUUAUUGCAGCUCUGGUUGUGGGUCACCGAUGAGCCAAAGUCUUAUGGGUUUUAUCAAGUUCCUCUGCCUCUAAGCAGAAUUACUAUUGAAGGGCCAAAAAGAAAAUGAAAACGUGUGAACUCCAACAACCACCCCACAAAUUCAAUGACGAUGCUCAGAGACGGUUACGUUGGGCCUCUGAGAAAAAAAAUUUAUUUAGUUAAAAAAUUACCCAUAUUGAAACAUGUAUAAAAAUUUUAUAUUAAUUAGUUAUGUUUCCUCUUCAACUAUGAUCAAAUUCUUAUUCGAGCUCAUUAUUUAAUGAAUAAACGCGUAUUUUAAUUAUCUCAAUUAAUAUUUAGAACAAAUAUUUUAAGAAAUAAAGCUCAUUACAUCUCCCAUCAUUAGGUAUCUCUUUAAUUUCUUAUUUACAAAAUUAUAUUGUACAUUAAAAAUGUAUUGAAUUAGAAGAAAAUAAAUUCAACUCACUCCAAAAAUAAAUAAAAAAUGCUGGUAGCUUCGUAAUAAUUACUGUAUUGACUGCACCAGAUAAAGUUUUGUAAAAUAAUAAGUUCCCAUUAGAGGUUUUUAAAUUUUUUUUUCCGGCACACCUGAUCAAGAAUUCUAUUUUGUUAACUAAUCAAUUGCAAAGCAUAAGUGUUGAACGGUACAAAAAAUUUGAAAAAAACACUUAAAACGUGGGGUGGGUAACGGUUCACUCAAUUCGUUAGGUAGAAUUUUGGAAAACUAAAGCGAAAUGAGAAAUAUAGAAAGAAAGGAAGAAAGUUAAGAUAUGAAAGAUCAGCAGUGAAAUUGAUAGUCAUGUUUGAUUCAUCCUUCUAUGAAUUUCUAGCUGUAUUGACCCCAACUGCUAAAGUUUUGUAAAAUAAAAAAAAAAAAAAACUGGAAUUUCAACAAAAUUCAAAACGUGUGAAAUUUAAUUUUUGGCCAUGUGGAACAAAAUGUAAAUUAAGGAAAAAAAGUAUAAAUCUGAAUUGCUUAGUAUGGUUAGGAUUUUGUGAGCAUCACUAAAAAGUGAAAACUAUGAAUGAUAGAGGUGAUGUUUGCAACAUGAAUAAAUGAUGAACUGAAUCAAUUGAUGAUCGUAAUUAUAUAAAAUUUUACAAAAUCAACAAAAGUUAAUAAAAUUUUAUUUAAAUAAUAAAAAAUCAAUAAAAACUUAUUAUUUUACGACGCUCUAACCAUGGAGUACCAUAAUCAUAUUCUUCUUUUAAGAAAAUUAUUCUAGAUAUUUAAAAGAAAACAUUAUCCACCUGGAAUGACUUGAAGUCUAAAGAAAAAGAGAGAAUGGCUCCCCGCAAUUUUCUUGUCUUCAGUAUAUUUUCUUUUUUUUUUCUUUUUUAAAAUCUUUUGCCGCAUACUUAAUCUACCCUUGUUUAUUAUCUCUACUUUGCUCUGUUCAAGUCCUUUUUUUUUUCAAAUCUUAUUUUAAAUAAGAAAAUUGAAUAAAAGUACAUUUGUGUAAUUAAUUAGUAUCUGGGGGGGGGGGGGGGGGAUAUUUGGUGUAAUGUUUUGCUAUGUAAGACUCAGCUAUUAUUAAACAGUUCCUUAACCUGUUUCGCAGUUUAUUUGCUAUCUUUGUGGAUCUCAUAGGCGUUGCAGAAUUUAAUAAUUUUAUUCGUCAGAAGAAUAGGAUAUUGGCUUCAAUAAAUUUAAUUUAAACCAACUUUUAUUUACUCCAUCAAUUAAUUAAUAUUAUGCAUUUAUUAAUUGUUAUAAUCUAAAAAAAAUUAAUUAGUUCAGGUCAAUCUGAGUUGAUGCAUCUGCAGGAGAUUUUUUUUAAAUUUUUUUUUCCCCUUAUUGACCAUAAUGAUCUAAGGGGUAUAAUUCGACCUUGGUUCUUGGGAAAAAUGACAUCUCCUUCAACAUGACUAUUGACUAGGAGCAUGUAAAAACAUGGAAACAGAAUUUCCACAAAAUGCCAAACGUGUGGAACUUAAGUUUUGGCCAUGUGGACCAAAUGCAAAUGAAGGAAAAAUGAUUUCCCCUGCUUAUGUACAAAUAAAGGAACAACCUCGAAGAAAAAGGGGUUACCAAUUGGAGAAGACUUUACAGAGUUUCUCUCACACUCUCUCUGUCAAUUUCAUCUAGAAGUCCCUCUGAAAGCAUCUCCCAAAACAGUUAGUCAUCUUUUAUGCUCUGUUUUCUAGAAACAGAGUCCUAACUAAAUUGAUUGACUGUACAGUGCAUUUCAACAUAGCAUAUUUAACCGUUUUAACUGUUAUUUGAACCGUCUUCAGAGUUAACAUCAACAAACUCAUUCACAUUGGUCCAAUCUUACGGACGAUAUCAUAUGCUUAAUAAUGAACGAAUUGGAUCAGUGUUUUGCGGCAAGAGCAACUCGACACAAUCUGGAUUCAACCUCCUCCUAUCUAACAAGGGAUUUCGAUUUGAGUUACUUUGUGCUCAAGCAAAUUCACAUCAUAGUUUUGAUUCUUUAGAUAUGAAUUCAUCACUUUACAUAUAUCAGAUUAAUGUGUAACAAAAUUUUUAAUUUACUGCGAAAAGAAUAUGCACUAAAAAAUGAUUUCAAGACUAUUUGACUACCAAAAGCAGCUGUCAGAGUGCACUAAAAAUUUCUGUAGGAUAUUUUGUAGCUGUUUAAUAUGUUAUGAUGGGCAUAUAAUUCUCAAAUUUUGAUGCCUCUCAGCGAAAAUCUAUCAAAGUUACAGAUGAUAUCACGUAAAACAUGCAUGGCUCAGGCUCAGGCUCAGGUAAGAAGCCACGGAAAAGGAAAAUCUCACUGUCACGACUCACGUCACGCAUCAUUCAAGUGAUGGAUUUAACAAGACUGCUUAUGUUCUAUCAAAUUCCUCUGCCUCUCAGAAGAUAACUUUUCUGGGCCAAAUUUCUCAUCUAAAGCAUAUUAUGCCCCAAAGUCACAGAUAACAAAAUGGGGCACUACCGAUUAUGAAAGAGAACUAGUAGUUGUCAGAAGCCUAAGUCAAAUUCCGGUAGUAAGAAGAGGCCUUUCUUGAGUUUAGAUUAUGUGUUCGAGUUUUAAUAAAUGCCUGAGUUAAUAAUAAUAACAACAGUAAUAAUAAACUAAAAAGCAUAAUUACUAUUGAAUGGUAAAAAAAAAAAAAUUGUGUGAACUCCAAUAACACCCCAGUGGCGAAUUUUGGAGAGGGCUAGGCCGGGCUUCUUAGAAAAAAAAAAUAUUUAAUUACAAAAUUACCUUUAUUGAAACCUAUAUAAAAAAUUUAUAUUAAUUAGUUAUGAUGCCUCUUCAAUUAUCAUUAAAUUCUUGUCUGUUCAUCAUUUGAUGGAUAAAUGUGUAUUUAAAUAAUCUUAAAUAAUGUCUAGAACAAAUAUUUUGAAUGGUAAAACUCAUUAUGUCUUGCAUUACUAGAUGUAUCUAUAAUUUAUUAUUUACAAAUUAUAUUGUAUGAUAAAAAUGUAUUGAAUUUUUUUUUUAAAGUUCGGCUCACUCAGAAAAAAAAAUGUUAUUAGACUCGCCACUGCACAAACCUAGAAUAAUAAUUAUUCCUUAUUAUAUUGACUGCACCAGGCAAUAAACUAAUAAGUUCUCAUCAGUGGUUUUUAAUCUUUUUAAUUCUUUUUACCGCACACCUGAUCAAGAAUUCUAUUUUGUUAACUAAUCAAUUGCAAAGCAUAUAUUAGUGUUGAACGGUGCACAAAAUUGAAAAAACAAAAUCUUAAAAAACGUGCGGACUCGGAUAGCCAGACCAGAAAUCUAUGACAAUAAUUAGAUUUGAUGCUGGGAAUCUAUUAAUUUCUGGCCGUAUUGACUCCACCAGUGAAGUUUUUAAAAUAACAAGUUCCCAUUCUCGGCUUAUAAUAAUUUUAGAAUAAUGACUUAUUUGUAGAAGAAUUUAUGAUUUCCCAUUAAUAUCAAUAUUGAAGUGGCAUGGGUCAAAUCUCAAUUGCUUGAAGAAUCUAUUUAUUAUUAUUAUUAAUAUUGAAAUGGGGUGGGUAACGGUUCACUCAAUUAAUAUGUGGGGAAUUAAAUAUUACCACCCAAGGUAGAAUUGUGGAAAAUUAAAGCAAAAUGAGAAAUAUGGAAAGGAAGGCUGAAAGUAAGGCAUGAUGAAAGGCUUUGAGAAGGCUGAAGACCACCAAAUAAGUCAACUGAAAGCUAGUUGGGGCCUGGUAUAUAUGUUAGAUGUGUUUGUUAUAAAUAACAUAGAGCCCUUUUGUUAGCUAUAGCUAUGGAGACAGAGAGAGUUUGUGUUUUUUAGUAGUUAAAGAUAUAGCUAGAAUGGGUGGUUCAAAAUCCAAAAUGGUGACAACGUUAGUUUUGUUAUUAAUAAUAUUAGAAGGGGGUGAAGUGAGGAAUGUUUGGAGCUUGAGAGAUUUGCUCUUUUGCGGCUUAAGCAUUUCUUCAAUUCUCCUUAUAGACUUUAAAACUAGGUAGACGAGCAAAGAGAUUGUUGUCAGUGGGAAACCGUUGAGUGCAGGAAAGUGAUACGACUACAUCUUAGUCUUACCAGGAAUAUCGAUCUGGGAGAGUGGUCUCUGAAUGCUUCUCUAUUUACUCUCUUUCAACAACUUGGCAACAAAAUAGCCGGUUGGGUUAAGAACGAAGGUCCUUCAUUUAAUUUAAUUUACUUAAUUUCUCCCUCUUAAUUAAUGUCUAUAACCAUUAGGAGAAAUAAGGGAUUUUAUUAACUCAAAUAUGUCUAAUGGAGCUCAUUCUUUGGUUUUACUUGCAGGUCUAGAAGCAGGUGUGUCAUCUAACAGCUGCUUUGAUAAUUUCCCACACCUUCAUCUUUGAUGGAAAUAUGAAAUAAAAACAAAUUGGUGAAAAUGGUAUUGGUACCUGAGGCCAUGUAAUCUAUUUCAAAAACUACACCAUCAAAACGAUUACAUAAGUCUCAGAAGAAUCAAACAUCAGUUUUGCAAAAUACCAAUUGCUGGAGGCUAGAUUCUAACUUCCCCUCUUGAUUUUUAUGGGCAUGUUGUGUCGUACAUGCAGACAAAAAUCAUAUUUUACUUUACUUAUUUCUUACUUUCACUUGCAACCCAAAGUGGCAAGAAAUAAAUAACAUGCUCCGAUUAGCUGGACAAAAGGAUGAUGACAAUCGAGUCGAUAUUAUAUGCAGAGUUUUCGAGAUAAAAUUAUUCCAACUAAUGCAAGAUCUGAAAAAAGAUCAACCAUUUGGAAAAAUAAUUGCAUGUAAGUUCACUUCAAAUUCGUAUACAUAACAAAUUCAACUCAUUUGUUAUUGAAAAGUGCAGGGAAGAACAAUAAUUUCACAAUUGAAAUCAAUGUUUCUAACUUUUAAAUUUUACUCCAUUUUGUGGCAGGUCUAUAGACAAUUGAGUUUCAAAAAAGAGGCUUGCUGUUGUGCAAAUUUUAAUGUACUCGCAAGCGCACGAAUCUAUUGUAGUAUAGAUCAAUGGUGACGAGUGUCGAUCCCACGAGGAGGUGGAUUUUAAUUGUGUAGAAUUAAUUUUGUGAAUGGGUGAUUGGAUUUUGUGGUGAAGGUGACUUAGAUUAUCCUAAAAUUGGAAUUGAAAUGGCGAGAAUAACUUGAAGAGAAUUCUAUUGAAAUGACGUACUUGGGUAUCUGGAUCCGUAUCAACAUGCAUCAUGGGCUAAAUAAUCUGUAUUAAUGCCAAUUAAAUCAUGAGGGGGGAAUCCACACUUCAUGAACCACGCUCUAAUCAAUAUGGUGCUAAGGGCUUAUCGUGCCAAAUAAUAAUAACCUUGUACUAGAGGGCCGGUGAAACCAAGGCGGUACUAGACAAGAUUAGUAUUAUUUAUCGACGAGAAGUCAAAACAUCCACAAAAACUAGAGGGGAAGAGAAAAUAAAUUUACCAAAUUAAGCCCAUGACACAUGUUGAGACUUCACCUUCAACCCAAGCUUGAAAGAAAAUUAGCCACUCAUAAUUGAACUAGGGGUAAAAUGGGAAUUUAUUACAAUACGAAGAAAAUACAAGAUGGAGAGGGAAUUACAGAAAACAGAGUCCAAAAAUGGAUUCAGAGGUAUCAAAUUAGGGGGGGGGAGGCCCCCUUUUUAUAGAUACAUGGAGUAAAUCAUGGCCAUCGGAUUAAAAACAGUUUGGACGCUCAGGAUUGCGCCACGUCAUCAGUCAACAGUCCACGGUUUGACCACGCGGAUGAACAGUAAUACGGUUUGACUCGGAUGAACAGUAACGUGGUUUGACUCGGAUGAACAGUAACGCAGUUUGGUUGAAAAUAAUCCUGUGUGAUGCAUGUACCGUACGCGAGAUUUUUCAUCCACUGAUAUGCUGCCACGUCACCAUCAACAGUACAUAAGAAUUUUAGCCCAACAGGAUCGUGACACCUCAUCAGUCAAUGCCACAUCAUCGGUCAAUGCCAUGUCAUCGAUCCGUCUAUGUGAACAGUGUUGUGAACAGUAACGUAGAUAGUACCGUACACGUGAAUAGUACCGUACAUAUGAAUAGUGCCAUUUUUCCUUUUAUGCUUCUCCUAAGGUUUUCGACCGUCCUGAGUUCAAAAGUGAUGUUCGUUUUGCCGUCUGAUCUCUCCUUUAUUGUGAAAUGACUAUAAUGCCCCUAAAAUACAUAAAAUACUUAAUUAAAAUAAAACACAUGUAAUUAAAUCACAAGAAGGUUAAAUACAUAAAAGUAAGGGUUGUUAGUAAGACUUGAAAUGUAAAAUGACGGUUUUCUCCUUUAUAAAUAUGCAUUUUCUAACACUCAACACACCCCCCAACCAGCUUAUUGCUAGUCCCUAGCAAAUAAAGCGAAAACAAAAUUUAAUUCAAAAUAUUUUUUUUUUUUAAUAAAAACACUCGUAUUUAUUCCAUCAGAUUAAUGAUAGCAAUCAAAUAAAAGUAUAAGCAUUAUCUCCAGUCUAAAGCAACAUCACACCCACAUCAACCAUCCACAUGAAUCAGCCCAGUAGACUUUUUUAUAGCUACUUUCAAGAAUGACAUGUCAAACCCCAAAAUCUCACUGGAAGUAGUGACACUCUCACAAAGAAAUUAAAACCAAUAAAAAUAGUCACUCCAAUGAAUGGUAAUUGAGAGAGAAAAUAAUAAAGAAGUGAUAUCACAUGCUCUCACCAAGAUGAAAUAAAUAUGCCCUUAGCUUAUAAAUAAUACGAUCUCAAGUCAAACAAAAAUGGUAGUCAACCCAAUUUAUUUAUCUUUUAUUUAUUUAUUUUUAUUAUGCACCACUACAUCUUUUUAGCCCAUAUAACUAGCUUCUACUUCAAACUAUAGUUCCCUAAAAUCAAGAAGGACUUUUAUUAGGACGUAACGUAGGCUAGGGAUAUGGCUAACAAAGAAAGGAAAUAAGGAAAACAAAGUGUAUGUUUGAGAAAAAUGCAGAGAAUUUUUUUUUUUUUUUGGAAGUUGCAAGGUGGAUUUCACCUAUUUUUAUUCUUUUGAAACAACAACUUUUGUUUUUGUUUUUUUUUUUGCUUUUAUUUGGCAUAACUUCACUGAACAAAAUAAUUAUUUACAUUUUCUCAAACAUAAAUAGGUGAUGGAACUUAUAAGAUAUCGGGUAACACUCCAAAUCGGAGUGGGUCAAGAUGAUAAGUUGACAAAGAAAAUGAUUUUUUUUUUAAAGGCUCAAAAUGGUUAACUAUGGAUAUUUAAUAAAAGGGAUGGCUAGAAAGGCUCAAACGGAUCAAAGAUGGCCUUUCCAUCGUCUUUUAGGGCUCUAAAUAAUCAUCCAUAUCUACUAGUUAGAUGGGCCUCCCAAUGUAGCAACACACAUUUUUUUUUCUUUUUUUUUAUUUUACCAUUUUUUUUUAAGGGUUAACGCAAAAGAAAUCUAGAGAUCGUGUAUAAAAUAAUAAACUGUUAAGCUGUAUAAAGAAUGGGCAAAAGGGUUACUCUCCAAGAAAAAUGAUAGGCUCAAAAACUCACUUAGUACUUAUUAUGACAUGUUCAUUCCUUCAAGCAACUCAUAUAUGUCUCCGACAUCAACAUGUAGAGUAGCAAACAUAAUGUAACAUCACUUAAGACCAAAGAUAAUACAAAUACUAAAAUUUGAAAUUAAUCAUGUCAUCCAAUGUUAAAACAAAUCACACAAUUUUUAUUUUUUUAAACAACAUUCUACCCCCCAACCUAUUCUAAACAUGAAAGGAAAAAUAUGCAUGCAGGAAUGUGAAAAUGAUGCAUAAAAACUAAUUAAAAAAAGUUACACUUAAAAUGAUAGAAAACGAAAAUGGGUUUUUUUUUUUUAACUUAGAAGAUGCGUUUCUAGAGGCACUACUCUCCAUAUUCAGCCAUCUUCGACUCAAAAUUUUGAAAAUAUAUAUUUAUAAGGAGAAAUUAAAAAGAAGAAGAAAAAUAAACAUCAAAACAUAAUAAAGAAAAAAAAAAUGUCUGAAUUUUUUUUUUUAGUUUUUUUUUUAAUUUUUUUUUUAAAACGAUGAAGAUGCGUUUCUAGAGUCACUACACUCCAUAUUCAGCCAUCUUCAACACAAAAAGUUAGCAACAGUUAGUUUCUACAACAAAAAAUUAGUAAAAACCUAACCAAAAUUCCACAAUUGUCGACUAUUCCCUCCCCCCAACCAGAAUGAAACAUUGUCCUCAAUGUUUGAAAGGAAAGAAGUAGAGUUUAGAAGACAUCACCUGGGUGGUGCAACACAGAAGAAAAUAUUUACAGGCGGAGAGUUAAAUCUAAUUUGUACUUCUUACUGCUGCUACUGUUACCAUCAUUAUUUGGACGCUCCAACACAAAGGUCCAGGGGUCUGGCUCCGGUCUAUAAGCUUGUAACAGAUCAAGUAGCUCAUUAGCAGUGUGAGCACAAAUAAAGAGUUUUUUCACAUUAGCGGGAAUGAAAUAGUUUUUUAUUGCAUGGUUAAGAAAUGCGAUAAAGCCAUCAUAAAAGUUAUUGACAUUUAACAAACCGAUGGGUUUCUGGUGGAUGUGGAGAUGGGCCCAAGAUGCUAGUGUGAUAAGUGCCUCUAGUGUUGCAAGAUCUCCUGGAAGGAAAAUAAAAGCAUCAGCAUGAUUAAGCAUUUCAGUUAUUCUUUCUUGCAUACCUGAGACAACUAACUCUUCUCCAGUUGAUGAGUCAGACGAACUGCCCAACGGUUUUAGGACUCUUGGGAUGAUGCCUAACACUUGGCUGCCUCUGAUUAAAGCUGCUUCUGAGACCAUUUUUGAUAACCCUCGAUUACCUCCUCCAUACACCAAGUGUAAUUUUCUCUCUGCUAUACUUCGACCAAGAUCUAUGGCUGCCUCAACGAACUCUUUAUGUUUGCCAUAGGUAAAUCCGGAAAGCACACAAAUGUUCUUGAAUUGUCUAUUGGGAGUAGCUACCAUUGCGAUACUUCUCAAAAACAAUUUGUGAGUGCUUGACAAAAGAUAUCACAUUUAAGAGUCUUGGUGAUAGUGGGUCAUGGUUGUGUAUGAGGUAAUAUGUCAGUGUCAAAUAACGCUUAAAGCACGUGGCUCGCAAGUAAAAAAGGAAACAGUAAAAAUGAAAAAGUAAACAGUAAUAAGAAAAAAGCAAACAGUAAUAAAAUUAUUAAGGACAAUAAUACACACAAUAAACAAUAGUGAAAUAAAAUAACAGUAAAGUGAAAGGAUAUUUACAGGUAGUUGCGACUGUGGCUCACAUCUUCCUCUGGUUUUAUGUCCAGAAAUGGCUUGAACGCCCUCUAUGGGUCGAGGAUAGGCUUCCUAUCCAGUUUUCUUAUAAACUGGCAAACAAGGUCGUUUAUAGUCAGAUUCCCAAGACUAUAUCGUGCAUGCUCUUUCUGGAAUAAUGGCCAUAACUGGAGAAUCGCUCCUUGCACAUAUCCACUGGGAUGCGUUUCAAGAGACAAAAGGAUAUCAUCCAAUGACUCCUUAUUCAAGCCAUCCCUAAUGAAUUGAAUCUUAUCUUCCCUGUUAUCAGACAUCAUUCCUAAAGAACAUGGGUUUUUAUUGCAACUCAUUCUGGCACACUUAUGACAAGCAACAGAAAUUCUUCGAGCUCGUCGUUUUCUUGCAUAAUUUCCUUUACCACAACCAGGCAUGUAUGUAAUAAAUUUUGGAGGUAACUCACCUGCCGAUCGUACUUUAGCCUCAAUUAACCAACGGAUGUCAGCAGGUAUGUUAUUCCUCAUAAGUAAUCGCAUGCGUUCGGACCGAGCUUUAUAGACCGUAAGGAGGGCAUUCUGAGGAAGUGAAGGGAAUCGCUUGUGAAGCUUCGCUAGAGUCUCGUUUCUGUCCAUACUUUCGCCUCAGAAUAUCAGUUAUUAUGGGAAACUGAAGUAACCGACUUGAUUGUCACGGAGUACCGUUAUCCGCCACUUCACCGGGGUAACAAACUAAAGCACACAAAUAGAAAAAAAAAAUUAAAACACACAAAGAAAAUUAAAAUCGUCCUCUUAUUGAAUAUACCUCAAGCUCCAACUGGAUGUCGUAAACACUUCUCUCAAUGUCUCUGAGUUGGAGUUCUAAACCCUCAACAUAGGCUACUAACUCUGGUGGUUGUAGAGCCCAAAUGCGUUGUGUUUUACAAAAUUGAAUCUGCCUUUUGAGAUGAGUUUUGACACGUUGAAGUGGUUUAAGAAUGUUCAGGAGGAACGGUCUAAGUAAUGUACUCAUGAUUAAAAAUGAUAAAAGAAAACAUACUAGUUAAACAAAUACACUUAUACAAAAAUAAUUUCAAUUAGCAAAAGAAUAAUAUAAAGAAAGAAAGAAAAAUCAAAUCAACGAAAAGAAAAAUCAAUUCAAAUCUGGUGGGUCACUCAAAUUUAUUUCGGUGUCUUCUCCAUGUGAUUGGUAUUCUAGAUAUGGCUUUAAUCUUUGACCAUUAACUUUAAACGUGACACCGUUCUUUGGGUCCUUAAUUUCAAUUGCCCCAUGUGGAAAAACAGUAUGAACAAUAAAUGGGCCAGACCAACGAGAGCGUAACUUACCUGGGAAUAGGUGCAAGCGAGAAUUGAAUAAAAGCACUUUCUGACCUGGAGUGAAAGAUUUUCUCAUAAUUUGCUUGUCAUGGAAGACUUUCAUUCGUUGCUUGUAAAUCUUGGCAUUUUCGUAUGCAUCAUUGCGAAUUUCUUCAAGUUCUGCCAACUGUAAUCUUCUUUCUGAGCUGGCUUGCUGCAUGUCAAAAUUGAAUUUCUUGAUGGCCCAAUAUGCACGAUGCUCGAGUUCCACAGGUAGGUGGCAAGCUUUUCCAUACACUAGCCUGUAGGGUGACAUCCCAAUCGGGGUCUUGAAAGCCGUUCUAUAUGCCCAUAAGGCAUCAUCAAGUCUUAAUGACCAAUCUUUUCUGUCUGGCCUCACCGUCUUUUCUAAUAUGUGCUUUAUUUCUCGAUUGGAGAUCUCAACUUGGCCACUGGUUUGCGGAUGAUACGGAGUCGCCACUUUGUGUGUGAUUGAAUACUUUGUCAAAAGAGAUUUGAAUGCUUUGUUACAAAAGUGGGCACCACCAUCACUAAUUAUUGCUCGAGGGAAUCCAAAGCGCGAGACAAUGUUGCUUUUCAAAAAUCCUAUCACCACCUUGUGAUCAUUAGUACUGCAUGGAAUUGCUUCUACCCAUUUGGAUACAUAGUCAACAGCAACCAAUAUGUAUUGAUGGCCAAAAGAAGGGGGAAAGGGUCCCAUGAAGUCGAUACCCCAUACGUCAAAAAUUUCAACCACUAAAAUUGGAUUUAAUGGCAUCAUGUUCCUUCGUGUAAUGCUCCCCAUUCGUUGACACCUAUCACAUGAAGAACAAAAAGUGUAAGCAUCUCGAAAUAUAGUUGGCCAAUAGAAACCACAUUGCAAAACUUUAGUAGCUGUUUUCUUAGCACUGAAAUGGCCUCCACAAGCUUGUUCAUGGCAGAAUGAAAGGAUAUUCUGAAUUUCAUUUUCUGGGACACAUCGUCUAACAAUUUGAUCAACACAAUACUUGAACAAAUACGGGUCAUCCCAAAAGAAAUUCUUUAUCUCUGCAAAGAAUUUAGCCUUAUCUUGCUUGGUCCAAUGCUUUGGAAGUUGACCUGUAACAAGAUAAUUCACGAUGUCAGCAUACCACGGUAAUACUUCCACAUUCAUCAAUUGUUCAUCAGGGAAUGACUCAUUUAAUGGUAAUGGCUCUGUAGUUGUGUCAAAAUGGAGACGAGAGAGGUGGUCCGCCACAACAUUUUCUGUCCCUUUCUUAUCUUUGAAUUCCAAGUCAAAUUCCUGCAAAAGUAACACCCAACGAAUUAGUCUAGCUUUUGCAUCUUUCUUUGUGAGAAGAUAUUUAAGAGCAGCAUGAUCCGUGAAUAUAAUUAUUUUACAACCAAUGAGAUAAGAUCGAAAUUUUUCUAAUGCAAACACUACUGCUAGCAUUUCUUUUUCAGUAGUUGAAUAGUUCAACUGUGCAUCAUUCAAUGUCAUACUAGCAUAGUAAAUAACGUGGGGAAUUCGAUCAACUCUUUGUCCUAAUACUGCUCCUACUGCAUAAUCAGAUGCAUCACACAUGAGCUCAAAUGGUAAGUUCCAGUUCGGGGGCUGAAUGAUGGGUGAUGAUGUCAACAAAUGCUUUAAUUUUUCAAACGCAACAAGACAUGAAUCAUAAAAAACAAAAGGUACAUCUUUAGCAAGUAGAUUGCAUAAGGGUCUAGAAACUUUGCUAAAAUCUUUAAUGAAACGUCUAUAAAAACCAGCAUGCCCAAUGAAAGAUCUUACUUCUCUGACUGUUUUGGGUGAAGGAAGAUUAGAAAUGAGAUCCACCUUAGCUUUGUCAACCUCAAUACCUUUGCUCGAAAUGAUGUGACCGAGAACAAUACCUUGUUUUACCAUAAAAUGACACUUCUCCCAAUUUAAGACCAAGUUCUUCUCGAUACAUCUCUGCAGAACUAGUGUUAGAUGAUGUAAACAUUGAUCAAACGAAUCACCAAAGACAGAAAAGUCAUCCAUAAAGACUUCAAGGAAUCGUUCAACCAUAUCAGAAAAAAUGCUCAACAUGCAUCGUUGAAAUGUAGCAGGUGCAUUACAUAAUCCAAAUGGCAUCCUCCUAUAUGCAAAAGUGCUAAAGGGCAAGUGAAAGUAGUUUUCUCUUGAUCUUUUGGUGCUAUGGGAAUCUGAUUAUAUCCUGAGUAGCCAUCUAGAAAGCAAUAAAAUUCAUGGCCUGCCAAUCUAUCAAGCAUUUGAUCGAUAAAUGGUAAAGGAAAAUGGUCUUUACGUGUGACAGAAUUCAACUUUCUAUAAUCAAUGCAUACACGCCAUCCUGUAGUCACUCUAGUGGGUAUCAAUUCAUUAUCAGCAUUGGUAACUACUGUGACUCCUGACUUUUUGGGGAUGACUUGUACAGGACUGACCCAUGAACUAUCAGAAAUUGGGUAAAUGAUACCUGCAUCUAAUAGCUUAAGGACUUCUGUUCUAACAACUUCUUUCAUAUUAGGAUUUAACCGACGUUGCAUUUCCCUAGUAGAUUUAGCAUUUUCAUCGAGGUGAAUGUAAUGCAUGCAGUCUACUGGAUUUAUACCUUUUAUAUCUGCUAUGGUCCAUCCUUAUGCUCCUUUGUGCUCUUUUAAAACAUCCAACAACUUACCUUUUUGUUCGUCAUUUAGGGAUGAUGAGAUGAUUACCGGCAGAGUACUUUCUUCUCCCAAAAACGCAUAUUCCAAAGUGUUGGGCAAUGGUUUGAGCUCGAGUUUCGGUGGUGAUUCUGAUGAUGGGAUGAGUUUCUUCUCUGAUGGUGCUACUCUUGACUUCCAUUUAUUAGUGUCCAUGGAUGGUGCUGAGUCAAGUAGGGCGUUGACCUCAUCGACCGAUCUGUCAAUAUCAAUAUCAAAAUCCAAACCAAAGUGAGUUAAACAUGUUUGUAAAGGAUCACCACUAAGGUUUGAAAGAAAAGUGUCAUCAACUAAUGAUUCAAUUAAAUCCACAUCAACAAUUCCAUCAUCUACACUGUGAGGUUGUUUGGCAAUGUUGAAAAUGUUUAGCUCCAUAGUCAUGUUGCCGAAGGACAACUGCAUAUUUCCAGUCCUGCAUUGAAUGUGAGCAUCCGCAGUUGCCAAGAAAGGUCGGCCUAGGAUAAUGGGGAUGUGCUUCCUUGAAUCCUGUAUUGGUUGAGUGUCAAUUACAAUGAAAUCAACAGGAAAAUAAAACUUGUCUACCUGGAUAAGCACGUCCUCCACAAUACCACGAGGUAUUUUCGUGGACCGAUCUGCGAGUUGUAACACCACUAGAGUUGGGUGCAAUUCUCCAAGUCCAAGUUUCACAAACACAGAGUAAGGCAAUAAAUUUACACUAGCUCCUAAAUCCAACAAAACAUUCUCAAUUGUGUGGUUCCCUAUACUACAUGAGAUAGUGGGGGAGCCUGGGUCUUUGCAUUUUAAAGGAAUUUUAUGUUGGAGUAUAGAACUAACGUUUUCUGUUAAAAAUGCCUUCUUUUGAACAUGCAUAUUUCUCUUUUUAGUACAAAGGUCUUUAAGAAACUUGGCAUAAGAUGGAACUUGCUUAAUAGCAUCAAGCAAAGGGAUGUUAACACUUACCUGUUUGAAGAUUUCAAGAAUCUCACUUGUGGAUUUUCCCUUUUUUCCUUUAGCUAACCUCUGAGGAAAUGGAGCUUUGGGAACAUAUUCCCGUGGGUUGGUUUCUUCUUUCUCCUCCGGUGAUGAGUCUUCAACAUUCACAGGUACAAUUUGAUUUUCUUUUGUCACCGGCAUCUCCACUUUGUUGUCGACUUCUUUUCCUUUUCAUAAGGUCAUGACUGCUUUGACCUCUCCAUGCUGCUGUGAUGAACUGGUACUUGCUUCAUGUACUCCUUUAGGAUUAGGCACUGGUUGACUUGGAAAUUUGCCUUUCUCAACAGUCAUUGCCAAUGUCUGAACUGAAGAAGCAAGUUGUCCCACCAUCUUCUCGAGGCUUGAAACUGAUUGAGCUUGUGAGUUGAAGCCUUCUCUCAACUCAUUUCGUAGUCCAUCAAUGGUGCGGUUCUGUUGCUCAAUCGUGGAGUGAGUAACAUUCCUGAAAUUCUGGAAUUCAUCCUCCCAUGGUCUAGGUUGAGAGUGGUUCUGGUUCUGAUUGUAUGGUCUAAAUGGUGGCUGAGAGGCUUGAGGAACUUGAGGAAUUUGUUGCAUUGGUGGAGCUGGAGCUGCUGGUCCAUUCUGUUGGAAUCCUUGAGACCAUGAAAAAUUGGGGUGGUCUCUCCAUCCAGGAUUAUAUGUGUUGGAGUAUGGGUUGUAAUUUGAUGGUUUUUUCAUUAUACCUAUGGCAUUGGCUUGAUCUGAGUAUGAGUCAAGGUCAUGUGGUUCAGUUGAUUUAGCAGUCGAUAACGAUGCUAUUUGUCGAGCAAGACCUUCAACCAUCUCCUUGACUUCUUUGAUUCCUGAAGUUGAUUCGCCAAUUUAAACCUCAUUCACUCCUUUAAUUCUUCUAGUAGUCCUGAGUGAUCGACUCCGUUGUUGGGAAUUAUCUGCUUGUCGUUGGAAGAAUUCCCAAAUUUCUGAUGCACUUUUUGACAUUAGCUCUCCUCCACUUGUUGCCAUUAGCCAUUCUUGCACAUUUGGUAGUAAUCCCUCCAAAAAGUAUUGGCAUUGGUGCCAUUUCUCGUACCCAUGAUGUGGACACUUCAAGAGUAGCCCAUUAAAUCGCUCCCAUGUUUCGAAAAAUUGUUCGUCCUCUCUCUGGGUAAACUCCGAGAUUUCCCUGCGAAUAGCAUUGGUUUUAUGCACUGGGAAAUAUUUAUUCAAAAAUUUAGUUACCAUUUGUUCCCAUGAUGAAAUGCUAUUAGCAGGUAAAGUAUUUAACCAUGAACGAGCUCUAUCUUUUAAAGAAAAUGGGAAUAGUCUAAGUUUAACAUUAUCGUCUGAAAAAUUUUCAUAUUUAAAAGUUUGACAAAUGGCAUGAAAAUCAUUCAGAUGAUUAUAUGGAUCCUCAUUUUCUAGGCCAUAAAAUGUUGGGAGACAAUUUAGCACACUGGGUUUUAAUUCAAAACUCCUAGCAGCUACAUUUGGGUAUCUUAUGCAUGAUGUGCUCAAAUUAGCUAAGGGACUGAAGUAGUCCUUAAAUGGCCUCUCCUGUGGUUGCAAAUCCAUUUUAUUUUUAAUUUGUUUGUGUGUGCGAAGUGUUCUUUCUAGUUCAAGGUCCAUAGGUUCAAGAUUAGGUAAUAAUGACCUACGACCAUGCAUGCAAAACAAAUAAAAAAAAUAAAGAUGGGAACAAAAAAAUAAAAUAAAAAUAAAGAAGAGGGAGAAAUUACGAUACUAACCUUAUUGCGCUAUUACAAUCUUUCUAUAAAAAUACACAAAAAUAAAUACGUGAAAUAAAUUAACUAAAAAUAAAUUAAUAAGAUAAACAAAAAAAAAUUACAAAGAAAAAUAAGUUGAAAAUGAAAUAAUAGAAUUUUAAAGAAGAGAAAAAGAAAAAAAAAUACUAACCUUUAAAUGUAGGUUCACUUUUUUUUCUUUUUUUUUUAAGAAAAAAAUAUAUAAGAAAACAAAUAAAAGAUAUUAUUCACACAAAUUAAUUCUAUGAAUUAAAAUUACUUACCUCCCCGGCAACGGCGCCAAAAACUUGUUGUGCAAAUUUUAAUGUACUCGCAAGCGCACGAAUCUAUUGUAGUAUAGAUCAAUGGUGACGAGUGUCGAUCCCACGAGGAGGUGGAUUUUAAUUGUGUAGAAUUAAUUUUGUGAAUGGGUGAUUGGAUUUUGUGGUGAAGGUGACUUAGAUUAUCCUAAAAUUGGAAUUGAAAUGGCGAGAAUAAAUUGAAGAGAAUUCUAUUAAAAUGACGUACUUGGGUAUCUGGAUCCGUAUCAACAUGCAUCAUGGGCUAAAUAAUCCGUAUUAAUGCCAAUUAAAUCAUGAGGGGGGAAUCCACACUUCAUGAACCACACUCUAAUCAAUAUGGUGCUAAGGGCUUAUCGUGCCAAAUAAUAAUAACCUUGUACUAGAGGGCCGGUGAAACCAAGGCGGUACUAGACAAGAUUAGUAUUAUUUGUCGAUGAGAAGUCAAAACAUCCACAAAAACUAGAGGGGAAGAGAAAAUAAAUUUACCAAAUUAAGCCCAUGACACAUGUUGAGACUUCACCUUCAACCCAAGCUUGAAAGAAAAUUAGCCACUCAUAAUUGAACUAGGGGCAAAAUGGGAAUUUAUUACAAUACGAAGAAAAUACAAGAUGGAGAGGGAAUUACAGAAAACAGAGUCCAAAAAUGGAUUCAGAGGUAUCAAAUUAGGGGGGGAGGCCCCCUUUUUAUAGAUACAUGGAGUAAAUCAUGGCCAUCGGAUUAAAAACAGUUUGGACGCUCAGGAUUGCGCCACGUCAUCAGCCAACAGUCCACGGUUUGACCACGCGGAUGAACAGUAACACGAUUUGACUCGGAUGAACAGUAACGUGGUUUGACUCGGAUGAACAGUAACGCAGUUUGACUCGGAUGAACAGUAACGCGGUUUGGUUGAAAAUAAUCUUGUGUGAUGCAUGUACCGUACGCGAGAUUUUUCAUCCACUGAUAUGCUGCCACGUCACCAUCAACAGUACAUAAGAAUUUUAGCCCAACAGGAUCGUGACACCUCAUCAGUCAAUGCCACAUCAUCGGUCAAUGCCACGUCAUCGAUCCGUCUAUGUGAACAGUGUUGUGAACAGUAACGUAGAUAGUACCGCACACGUGAAUAGUAAUGUACAUAUGAAUAGUGCCAUUUUUCCUUUUAUGCUCCUCCUAAGGUUUUCGACCGUCCUGAGUUCAAAAGUGAUGUCCGUUUUGCCGUCUGAUCUCUCCUUUAUUGUGAAAUGACUAUAAUGCCCCUAAAAUACAUAAAAUACUUAAUUAAAAUAAAACACAUGUAAUUAAAUCACAAGAAGGUUAAAUACAUAAAAGUAAGGGUUGUUAGUAAGACUUGAAAUGUAAAAUGACGGUUUUCUCCUUUAUAAAUAUGCAUUUUCUAACACUCAACACUUGCCCCAUGCACACAUACUGCUUUUUUUGCAUCCAACAAUGAAAAAUCCUUCUGCAAACCAUAUUGAUAAAAUAAUAAUUGCAGAAAUCCCUAACUUAAAUGUUGAUCCUGAUGGUUAUAAUGCAGUUAACAAAUUUAUGAUUCAUGGACCGUGUGGAAAACACAAUUCUCACUCUCCAUGCAUGAUGCAAGACAAGUGCACAAAACAUUUUCCAAAAAAAUUCAAUGAUCAAACAAUAGUGGAUACAUAUGGCUUUCCAGUCUUUAAAAGGAGAAAUACAGGUAUUCAUGUCGAAAAGAAAGGUGUCUUCUUGGAUAAUCGAUAUGUGGUCCCUUAUCACAGGAAUUUAAUUGUCAAAUUUGAUGCACAUAUUAAUGUUGAGAUUUGUAAUUACUCGAGACCAGUUAAAUAUUUUUUCAAGUAUGUCCAUAAAGGGUCUGAGAGAACAACUGCAACAAUAGAAUCUAUUGACACUACCCAAGAAAUGGACGAGUGAUGGGUGUUGAAGCCAACAAAAAUAAAUUCCUACUCUAAAUAAAUUGUGUAUAGUGAUUGAGCAGGGUCGUGUCCACAGAGAUCGGUAAUUAUUUAAAUCCUUUUGAAACGUAAAACGUAAAAUGGGGGAAUUGUUGACAAUAAUAAAAAUCAAAUUAAAAAUAACAAGAAUGCAAAUUAAAGUUGUAAUUCAAAUUGGAGAAAGCUCUGGUUGAAGGAAUUAACUCAGCUUGAUUCGACUACUGAUCAUUGAUUCAAAUAUAGAUGAUUAUUACUCAUGAAUAGACUGGUUAUAGCUACUGAGACCCUCUAAUAGCCAAUCUCUCCUUAACUAGUCGAUAACCAAGGUACGACCAUUGGUUAUUUCCCUAAUCAAUAGACAACCCUAGAUACGAUCAUAGAAUUUAAUCAAUUGACAGCCUGAAAAACCAGAGAGACCCAAAUCCUAAUCAACACAUAUGAUGAUUCAUUUAAAUUAGAUUGUUUAUUCUCACAACACAACUCUCUGCUAUGUUAUUUGUCACAAGCAUUAAAUUCUUCAUACGAUGAAUCCUUUAAUUGACAAUAGAUUAAGUUGAUAAUUAAAUAGUGGCCAAUUACCUAAUUAACAAACAUAAUCAUGAAAAUAAUUUAGAGAAUAAACAAAUACCCAAAAAGCAAUAAAACAAUUAAAGCACAAGAAAGAUCUCACAGUAGUGAUGAAUCAAAGCUUCGUUAUCCUUCAACUAGAAAAAUAGGUUUAGUUCUUCAUAGAGAGAAGAGAAAAAUUAAAUCUAGGGUUUCUUUCUUUUUCUCCAAUCCAAAAAAUCCCCCCUUUUUCACAAUUGAUUCCUCCCUUAAAUACUCUCUCUCUCUUCUCUUUUAGAGUUCUAUUUAAAAUAAAAUACUAAUAUCUAAAAUAUUAAAUUCGUAAUUACAAAAAUAGCCAAAAAUAUAAAACACGUUAAACUAAAAACUGCAGGUCCGCAAUUGACAGCACGCGCCCACGCCUUAUCAACAAAGUUCUUCUGCCGCUCAUAAUUUCUCCAAGGGAACAAUCAUCCCUAAACAUCAUCUUGUAGCUCAAUUUUAUCACCAAUCAAUAGAAUUGCACCUACAAAAGUAAAUCACAGGUAAAUCACUAUUAUUAAAUGCAAAACAUCGAUAUUAAGGGAAGUAAACAAUGCAAAACUAGUGCAUAAAUUGCACUCUAACAAAUUCCCCCACACCAAGAUGAUGCUUGUCCUCAAGCAUAUAACUCAAGAUUAAUCUCAAAUUUCCACUCAAUUCUCAUCUCAACUCAUCCAAAAACAAUUUUAAGCAAGCAUACCUCAAGAAAUUAAGUCGUUCAACGUUCGAGAGACAAGGAUUUUAAAGCAUAGAAUUUCGUAAGAUAGAAUAAGAACAUUCAACCACCAAGAAGAUCCAUUCAAAACUCAAGUGCAGCAAGAUUUAAUAGCCCUCUCAAUAACUUCACUCCAUGCACUCAAAGUGUUUAGGGUGUCAUUUAUCCACUCAAAUCAAAUCAAAGAAUGCUAUUACCAUAAGCUUGCUCAUAUAUCACAUCUCAAUCCACAAAACAUGAAUAAAAUGCAAAAAUCUAAGGGUCUUAAAAGGGUUGUAAUGGGGUUAAAUUGGAGAAAUGAAAAAGAAAGGUUUAUGAAAGAAAAAGAGAUCAAAAUGAGAAGAAUGAACUCAUUGAAUGAACUUAUGAUAUCAAAAUGCUUAUUUCUACUCAAGUCACCAAGAAUGUAAAAUUUUUUUUUUCGAUUUUUCUUUUUCUUUUUUUUUCUUUUUUUUCUUUUUUUUUCUUCUUUUUUUUUCUUUUUUUUUUGUUUUUGAUUUUUUUUUUGAAUCAAACAAAAGAAACGAACCUUGCACAAUUUAAUUCAAGCAUAAUGCUUGUUGAUCUAAUUGAGAAACUUUAAUACAAGGUAGAAAAAGCAACAAAAUAUAUCCACACAAUGAGUCCAAAAAUCUCCUUAAAUUGAGGCUCAAAAAGAAGAAAAAUGGUUAAGUCGACGGAGAGAAUUAGAUGGGUAAUGGUUAAGGCUCAAACAAAGGUAGCAAAUAAAGGUCUUCGGGUAGAGAAGGAAAAAAAAAUGCGAGAAUAGAAAAAUGGAAUAUGGUUUGCCCUUAUCAUUUUAAUGCAUAAAAUCCCGUAAUGUGGCUUCAACAUGCAUAAUAAAGCAAGUUCUAGAAUAAACAAAGUAGGAUUGAUAUUCACAUAACAAAAAUAAUUAGAGCAAAGUGGUUGCUCAUAGGCUCAAAUCCUCACAAAGUUGGUAAAUUUGCCAUCAAAUCAUGUACACUCUUCAAAUGAAUCAACCAUCAAUAGUGGUGUAGAAUGAGAAGAAGGUAUGAGUGAGAUGUAAAAGGAAAGGUAAAAAUGAUAAGAAGUGAGAAAGAUGUAUGUAGUAAUAUGAAAAGUGAAAGAUAAAAUGUGAGUGAUGAAAGAGUAUGAUAGAAUAAAAAUAGAUGUAAAUAAUUUGAGAUAGAUGGGAAAAGAGUAGUGAGAGAGAGAGGAAAAGAAAAUUAAUAAUAUAUGAAGCAUACUGCAAAAAUCAUUUAAGGAUGAGUAGAGUGAAAACAAUAAUUUCAGACAUCAAUAAUGCAAAAAUCCCUCCCCCACACUAAGAACUGACAUUGUCCCCAAUGUAAGAUAAUCAAAGCUCACAUAAAAAUUAAAGCGUAAGGAUAAAAGAUUAAGGGCAAAAACUUCCUUGAAUUGUGAGCUUUGAUCCUCAUAACGUCUAUGGGCUUGGCGGGAAUGGUGGGAUAAAUCCCACACUCUUGAAGUAUGCGGCCAAAUUCUGCUCCAUCUUGUCACGGAUUUCGAUUCACGGACCUGGAAUGCAGGUCGUAGGCUGGUUGCGUUGCGAUUGCUGCUCGGCUGGAGCUUGCUUGAUGGACGCGGGAUGGCACUGAUUGUGUUGCGCGCGCGCGCUGGGGCUGCUGGAUCUGCGCGUUGCGUGGGCUGUGUUGUGCGCGAGAGCUGGGCUGACGCUGGUGCUGCGUUGCGUUGCGCGCGCGGGACUGAUGCGCUGCGUGAUGGUGAUGGCUGGAGCUUGCUGCGUUGCGCGUGGCUGGUUUCGCUGGUGGGACUUCGUUGCGCGCUGCUGGGCUGCGAGACACGGGAUGCUGGUGCUUGCGCUCACGGGAUGGUGCGUUUUCCGGCGGGUUGGUUUGCUGCUGGUGUGCUGCAAGCGGCUGGAGAAGAAAACAAGUUCUGGAAAAUUAGGGAUUUUGUGAACAGUGAAUAGUGAACAGUGAUUUUCGAUUUUUGGUUUUUUUUUUAAUAAAUAAAUAAAUAAAAAGAAAGAAAGGAACGAAAAAAGAAAAAGAAAAAAAAAUAAUAAAUAAUUUUUUUUUUUUUAUAGUGAUGAAUCACUUUGAGACACUAAAAAUUUCAGAAGUACUUUUCUAAUAAGUACAUGGGCACGCCUUAUAAAAAAUUUUCUUCUGACCAAAAUAAGCAAACACAUUAAAUUUCAGAAGUACUUUUCUAUUAAGUACGUGGGCACGCCUUAAAACUAUGUUACUUUAAAAAUUACAGAAGUACUUAUUAGCUAAGACGUGGGCACGCCUUAUCAAAAAUUUUCUUCUGACCAAAAUAAGCAAAAUUUUUCUUUUUUUUUUUUGAAUUAAAAUUAAAAGAAGAUAUAACAAAAACCAAAACAAACAAAUCAUUUGGGUUGCCUCCCAAAAAAGCGCCUUUGUUUUAUGUCUUUGGCUAGACACAUUUAUGCAUCAAUCUCCAUAAUUGGGACUCUCGAGAGCCACAUCCUCCACAAUAUUCACCGAAAAACCUUCAUAAAAAGGUUUUAAGCGAUGACCAUUAACCUUAAAAACUUUGUCAGAGGUCGGGCUCCGAAUCUCAACUGCACCAUAAGGAAAAACAUUAGUAACAAUAAAAGGUCCAACCCAACAAGAACGUAAUUUACCCGGAAAAAGUUUAAGCUUAGGAUGAAAAAGAAGAACUUUUUGACCAACAGAGAACUCCUUUCUCAAAAUCAUUCUAUCAUGAAAUGUCUUCGUCUUUUCCUUGUAAAAAAUUUCCUGCGCUAUAGGGUUAAUAACAUCCACAGAAAAUACCGAAUGUUCCUCACUAGGAUAUUUCAUGGCAUCAUUCAUAUUGAAUUCUAUAACCUCUCCAUCAAACUCCAUAGUGAGAGUCCCUUUAUGUAUAUCCAUUUUAGUCCUAGCAGUCUUAAGAAAAGGUCUUCCUAGCAAAAUUGGGAUAGAAUUAGAGGAGUUAUCAUCUUCCAUAUCAAGUACAUAAAAAUCAGCAGGAAAAACCAACUCAUUAACUUGUACUAAGACAUCUUCUAAUACCCCAUCAGGAUAUGCAUUAGACCUAUCAGCUAGUUGAAUUAUCACACAAGUUUCUUUUAAUGGACCAAUAUUCAAAGAUGAAUAAAUGGAACGAGGCAUGACAUUAAUAGAAGCUCCUAGAUCUAACAAAGCCUUUUCAACUCUAACACUACCAAUUUUACAAGGGAUAGUAAACAUACCUGGAUCCUUGCACUUAGGAGGUAGUUUCUUUUGAAGAACUGCUGAAACAUUCUCCCCCAUGUGAACUUUUUCAUCUCCUCUUAAUUUUCUCUUGGAGGUGCACAGUUCCUUAAGGACUUUAGCAUAUCGAGGUAUUUGUUUUAUAGCAUCUAAUAAAGGAAUAUUUACCUCAACCUUGCGAAAUGUCUCAAGGAUGUCUUUCUCUUGUUCCUCCUUCUUGGAUUUUACAAAUCGGCUUGGAAAAGGAGGAGGUAUCACAAUAGGUAGGGGUUUCGCUUUGGUGGGUUGCGCAUCUUGAGAUUUAGGUAUCAAUUCAUUCUUCUCAAGCUCAUCUUCUACAUGCUUUGUCACUUUCUUACUAGGCUCUUGCAACUCCUUCCCACUUCUAAGGAUGACAGCACUAACGUUUUGCUUUGGAUUCACCUCAGAUUGUGAAGGCAAUCUUCCUAAUACUUGAGACUCCAGACGGCUUACUGUAGUCGCCAAUUGACUCAUUUGGUUCUCCAAGUUCUGAAUGCUUGUUGUAGUUGCCUGCUGAAAUUGUUGAGUGUUAGUCGCAAGUGAUUUAACAAUUUCUUCAAGAGAUAUACCUGACUUGGAGUUUGACUGUGGAGGUGUUGGUUGUCUUGGUGGAUACUGUUGUGGGAAUCCUGACGGCCUAAUGCCAUAGCUGAAGUUUGGAUGAUCCUUCCAUCCCGGAUUGUAUGUUUGUGCAUAAGGAUCAUACCUCCUCUGAGGCAUGCCUGGAAAUCCUCCAACUGCAUUGGCUUGUUCAACGGGUUCUUCUUGAAGUGUAGGACACAUAUCAGUUGAAUGACCCAUAUUGUAACAAAUACCACAAGUCUUCACCUGUUGCACAUUACCUACAACAAACUUUUCCACAAGAGAAGUGAGUUUAUCUAAACGUUGUUCAACAGAAGAAAUAUUUACCUCAUUCACAUUCCUUAAGGUGGCAUCUUGUCUGCUGCCAAAUUGUUGUGCAUUGGCAGCCAUAUUUGAUAUCAACUCCCUUGCUUGAGUAGGAGUCUUGUUCACCAACACACCUCCACUAGCAGCAUCUAUCAUACUCCUAUCCAUCAAUGAUAGUCCUUCGUAAAAAUAUUGAAUAAGAAGUUGAUCAGAAAUCUGAUGCUGAGGACAACUGGCACACAAUUGUUUGAAUCGCUCCCAAUACUCAUACAAAGUCUCCCCAGGAAGUUGUCUGAUCCCACAAAUAUCUUUUCUGAUGUUGGCAGCUCUUGAAGCAGGAAAGUACUUCUCGAGGAACUGCUUCUUCAAACCAUUCCACGUUGUAAUCGAUUCAGGAGGCAAGUAGUACAACCAAUCUUUAGCUAGCCCAUCUACAGAGAACGGAAAAGCACGCAGCUUAAUCUGCUCUUCAGUCACGCCUUGUGGCCUCAUACUUGAGCACACAACAUGAAACUCCUUGAGAUGUUUAUGAGGAUCUUCACCUGCAAAACCAUGAAACUUGGGUAAUAAGUGAAUAAGACCAGACUUUAAUUCAAAAUUUACCUCCAAGUCUACAUAUUGAAUGCAGAGUGGUUGUUGAUUCAAGUCUGGGUCAGCUAACUCUCUAAGAGUUCUUUCUACAGGUGCAGGUCUAUCCAUCACUUGUUCUUCUGAAUCGCUAGAUGAUUCAACUAAAUCAGGCACCGUAUCUGUUUCAGAAAGCAAAGGCGACGAGGAUCGUUGCUUAGCUCGUUUUGUCUGCUGUCUCAGCUGGCGAGCUGUCUUCUCAAUUUCAGGAUCAAACGAAAGUGUACCUGUACGAGAAGAACGAACCAUACACCAAGUAAAACGUAAAAAGGAUUAAAUAAAUGACACCAAUCCCCGGCAACGGCGCCAAAAUUUGAUGGGUGUCGAAGCCAACAAAAAUAAAUUCCUACUCUAAAUAAAUUGUGUAUAGUGAUUGAGCAGGGUCGUGUCCACAGAGAUCGGUAAUUAUUUAAAUCCUUUUGAAACGUAAAACGUAAAAUGGGGGAAUUGUUGACAAUAAUAAAAAUCAAAUUAAAAAUAACAAGAAUGCAAAUUAAAGUUGUAAUUCAAAUUGGAGAAAGCUCUGGUUGAAGGAAUUAACUCAGCUUGAUUCGACUACUGAUCAUUGAUUCAAAUAUAGAUGAUUAUUACUCAUGAAUAGACUGGUUAUAGCUACUGAGACCCUCUAAUAGCCAAUCUCUCCUUAACUAGUCGAUAACCAAGGUACGACCAUUGGUUAUUUCCCUAAUCAAUAGACAACCCUAGAUACGAUCAUAGAAUUUAAUCAAUUGACAGCCUGAAAAACCAGAGAGACCCAAAUCCUAAUCAACACAUAUGAUGAUUCAUUUAAAUUAGAUUGUUUAUUCUCACAACACAACUCUCUGCUAUGUUAUUUGUCACAAGCAUUAAAUUCUUCAUACGAUGAAUCCUUUAAUUGACAAUAGAUUAAGUUGAUAAUUAAAUAGUGGCCAAUUACCUAAUUAACAAACAUAAUCAUGAAAAUAAUUUAGAGAAUAAACAAAUACCCAAAAAGCAAUAAAACAAUUAAAGCACAAGAAAGAUCUCACAGUAGUGAUGAAUCAAAGCUUCAUUAUCCUUCAACUAGAAAAAUAGGUUUAGUUCUUCAUAGAGAGAAGAGAAAAAUUAAAUCUAGGGUUUCUUUCUUUUUCUCCAAUCCAAAAAAUCCCCCCUUUUUCACAAUUGAUUCCUCCCUUAAAUACUCUCUCUCUCUUCUCUUUUAGAGUUCUAUUUAAAAUAAAAUACUAAUAUCUAAAAUAUUAAAUUCGUAAUUACAAAAAUAGCCAAAAAUAUAAAACACGUUAAACUAAAAACUGCAGGUCCGCAAUUGACAGCACGCGCCCACGCCUUAUCAACAAAGUUCUUCUGCCGCUCAUAAUUUCUCCAAGGGAACAAUCAUCCCUAAACAUCAUCUUGUAGCUCAAUUUUAUCACCAAUCAAUAGAAUUGCACCUACAAAAGUAAAUCACAGGUAAAUCACUAUUAUUAAAUGCAAAACAUCGAUAUUAAGGGAAGUAAACAAUGCAAAACUAGUGCAUAAAUUGCACUCUAACAACGAGAUCAAAACAUAUUUGGAGUGCAGAUAUAUAUCAGCAACCGAAGCUUGCUAACGAAUCUUCUAAUUUGACAUACAUUAAAGAAAGCCGGCAGUUGAAAGAUUGCCGUUCCAUUUACCGGGAGAGCAUACAGUAAUAUUCGAAGAAUCCAAGUGCUUAGAAAAUGUGCUUACCAUACCUGGAAUAGAAAAAACAAAGUUCACAGAAUGGUUGCAGGCAAACAAGAAUUAUGAUGAUGCACGAGAGCUAACUUAUUCUAAUUUCCCUACAUGUUGGGUAUGGAAUUCAAAAGACAAAACUUGGACUAGGAGAAAAAAUGGCUUAGCAAUUAGAAGAAUUUACUUUGCACAUCCUUCAAGUGGAGAACGAUUUUAUAUGAGAAUGUUGCUCAAUUUUGUAAAAGGAAGCACUUCAUUUGAAAGUACUAGAACAGUAAAUGGAGUGACAUAUCCAACUUUUAAAGCUGCGUGCUAUGCUUUGGGAUUAUUAGACGAUGAUAAAGAAUGGAUCGACUGCUUGACUGAAGCUGCAAUAUGGGCGACUGGAAAUGAAUUAAGACAUCUUUUUGUCACGAUACUCAUUCAUUGUCAGGUUUCUGAUGCAUCCCAACUUUGGAAAUCUAAUUAUACUAGUUUAUCAUAAGGCAUAACUUCAUUGCAAAGGAAAAGAUUCAGAUUGAAAGAUCUUCAGUUAACCGAGCAACAAGUUGAAGCAUACACAUUGUUGGAGAUUGAAACUAUCAUGUUGAAAAUGGGAAAAAGUUUAAGAGACAUAGAUGGAAUGCCACUUCCUAAUUCUUCUUUGAUAAGAGAUUCAGGUAACCGAUUGGUCAAUGAAGAGCUUGAUUAUGAUCGUGAUCAAUUAAAGAAGUUGCAUGAGAAAUCAUUUACUGCUCUAAAUGCUUGCAAAAAAUCAGCCUAUGAAGCAAUAAUGCAUUCUGUUGAGAAUGAAGAAGGGUGUUUAUUUUUUAUCAAUGGACAUGGUGGUACUGGUAAAAUAUUUUUGUGGAAUACAAUUAUUGCAAAGCUCAUAUCACAUUCUAAAAUAGUCUUGCCUGUUGCAACUUCAGGUAUAGCAGCUUUGUUAUUGCCUAAUGGUAGGACAGCUCAUUCGCGAUUUCAUAUUCCUUUGGAUGUGAUAGCAGAGUGCACUUGUGAAAUCCGACAAGGCACCUUAUUAGCUGGACUUCUUAUGAAAACUUCUUUGAUCAUUUGGGAUGAAGCGCCUAUGGCACAUAAGUUCUGCUUUGAAGCUUUGGAUAAGACCUUGAGAGAUAUUCUAAGAACAAGGUAUGAAAAUACUUCUAUCAAACCUUUUUGAGGACUUACAAUAGUAUGUGGUGGUGAUUUCCGUCAAAUAUUGCCAGUUGUGCCAAAGGGGACAAGAGCAGACAUUGUUGACGCUUCACUUAACUCAUCCUACUUAUGGCCAUUUUUCAAAAUUUAUGAGCUCAAACAAAAUAUGAGGCUCUAUAAUGGAAGCAUGAGUGGCUCUGAGGCUGCUAAAAUAGCUUCUUUUGACAAAUGGUUGUUACAGAUUGGAGAUGGUUCAUUAUAUGAUGACAUUGAUAGAGAGUUAGUUAAACUACCUUCUGAUAUCUGUAAGAAACCAUAAAAAAAUCUAAUGAAAUCAAUAGUCGACACUAUCUACCCAUCAAUUCUACAUAAUUACAGUGAUCCAACAUAUUUGAAAGAAAGAGCAAUAUUAACGCCAAAAAAUGAAAUGGUGCAUGAAUUGAACGAGAUGAUUAUGAAUAUAAUACCUGGUCAAGGGAGAACCUAUUUUAGCUCAGACAGUAUAUGCAAAGCAAGCGCAAACACAAAUGAUGAAGAUGUUCUGUAUCCAACUGAAUUUUUGAAUAGUUUGAAAUUCAAUGGCAUCCCUAAUCAUGACAUACGACUUAAGGAAGGUGCUCCCGUAAUGCUUCUCAGAAAUCUAAAUCAAAUAGAAGGCCUAUGUAACGGCACAAGAUUGAUUGUAACUCGUCUUAGUAAAUGGUCCAUUAGAGGUGACAUCAUUUCUGGAACAAAUAUUGGACAAAAUGUCACAAUUCCAAGAAUUGUUAUGUCUCCUAAUGAAUCAAGAUGGCCAUUCAAGCUUAACAGACGGCAACUUCCUUUGGCACCAUGUUUUGCCAUGACGAUCAACAAAAGCCAAGGACAAUCUCUUAAACAUGUUGGCUUGUAUCUCCCUAAGCAAGUAUUCACACAUGGUCAAUUAUAUGUCGCCGUAUCUCGAGUUACCACAAGAGAAUGAUUGACCAUACUAAAUGCUGAUCAAGAGGUAGAAGACCGAACCUUCAUAAAAAAACAUUGUCUACAAAGAAGUAUUUCAAAAUAUUCACACAUUAGCUCACAAAAUCAAGGUAUCACAUUUUUAGAUUAUAUUUUAAAAUUUAAUUUAUACAUUGCAAGCUCUUACUUCACCCUAUAAUAAUGAUUUUUAUUAUGUGUUUUAAUUAUUCAGUAGACAAAUGAAUAAAUCAAAGGAACUAUCGAGACAGCAAAAUGGUAGUUUGGUUGAGUUUUCCAAGCUAUUAUGGAGAAUUUAAUCGCCAAAGAACAUAGUACGUGAAGAAGCAUUCCUUUUUACAUCAACUAUUUCUCCUUUCAUUCUCUCUAAUCCAUGGAGACAUGGUUUAUAUACAGAUAAAGAACAUUUUGGCACUAGGUGUUGCUGAUCCCCAUUGGAACUUGCCAUAGCUGCAAGCUUGAUAUAAACAACUGCUCACCUACGCAGCUACAAACGAUGCAAAAUAACUUACAGAAGUCUUUACAUGUAUUUUACUUAUUUCUUUUAUAAUUCAACGCAUUGCUAAGGAUCCUCAAUUACAAAAUUUAAUUUGGAACUUAUCAACUACAAAAGGUAUAAGGUCUGUACACCUAGACUAUACACGUUAAUAUAUAUAUUUAAAGUUAACAAAAAAAUAGUUAACUUUCAUAAAUAACAUUAGUUUUAUAAGGCUACCUCAUUUUAAAAAAAAUCAAUUUAUAUUUUUUAUCAGUUUUAUUGAGUAUAAAGAAAGAAAAAUUGAUAAUACUAAAUUCAUUUUCUAAAGCCGCGCGAAGCGCGGUUUUAUUUCCUAGUAUAUAUAUAAAGCUGGGACUAUAAGAGGUGAUGUGACAUCACCAUUUCUCAUCUUUGUAUAUUUUCUAUUAUCUAAUAAAUAGAGAAUUUUUCUUUCAAAUUUGGCUUUUCAUCUUCUCAUAAUUAAUUUGAUUGUUAUUACAAUUAUGUAAAUGUUUUAAUGAGGCAUAUUCUUUAUAAUGAACAUCCAAUGGGGAGUGUUAUAAAUUUAUUAAAAUAAAUGUGGAUGUUCAUAACAUAUAUCUCUUAGUCUCUCCACUAUCUCUCAUUAGCAACCUUUAGCUUCUCUGUAACUCCCACAAUCUCACAAGGAAUUAUGAUCCAUAAUUUUUCAUUAAUUUCAUGGAGUGAUUAUGUAACUACAAAAGGAGAGCUCAUCUUUUUGUUUUGUAUACACAAUUGGAAUGAAUAAAAUCACUCUAAAAUAUAUUCUCUCAUUUUAUUCUUUAUCUUGCGUUGCUUCUUUAUUUGUGUUGUUGGCUAAUAGUUUUUUUUUUAUUUAAACCACCCGGUUUCCGACGACCGCAUUGGAUACUUCUACUGCAUUCAACAUUUCUAAUUUUUAUUGGUUGAUAUACGUGUGAAUGACAACACAAUCCUCUGAGGUAUUUUUUUAAUUAUUAAUGUUUGUUAAUCUUUAAGUGUAUAUUAGAAAUUAUUGAUCCUUAUGUUUUAACAUAUUUAUGUUAUUUUCCCAUAAUAUUACAGAUGUUGUCGGAAGUUUAUGUGGUGUGGGUGAUAUUGAGAUUGUUGGAGCUGGUUGGAAAAAAAGACAUAUAAAAGUUCUAAAAGAUUAGCAAGUUGAAUAUAAUUUGGAACUUAUCAACAACUACAAAAGGUAUAAGGUUUGUACACUUACUAUACACAUUAAUAUAUAUAUAUUUAAAGUUAACAAACAAAUAAUUAACUUUAAUAAAUAACAUUAAUUUUAUAAGGUUGCCUCAUCUUUAAAAAAAAUCAAUUCAUAUUUUUUAUCAGUUUCAUCAAGUGUAAAGUAAGAAAAAAUGAUAAUACUAAAUUAUUUUUUUAAAGCCGCGUGAAAUGCGGUUCUAUUUUCUAGUAAUUUAUAAACCGAGGCCGGGCCCCAAGUCUUUUAAUUUUCUUCCUUUCUUUCCAUAUUUGUCGUUGGGUUAUAAACUUCCCCAAUUCUACCUUUUAUGUGCACGUGAAUCAUGACAUACCCCUUGAGUCAUGCUUUCAAGUUAUAAUUCCUUUCAAUCUUUGCCACGGCUUCAAGUCUCAAAAUCACACAGCAAUACAUCAUAACCCGAAAAUUUAUAAAUAAUCAAUAAUAUAUAAAUGUAAUCAUCUAUUGAAUCAGUUCAUUAUUUAUUCGUAUUGCAAGCAUCACCCCUAUCAUUCAUAGUUUUCACUUUUUAGUGAUGUUCACAAAAUCCUAACCAUACUAUGCAAUUGAGAUAUGAUCAAUAACACUUUGAUAACAUAUUUUAAAAAACAUAAAUUCUUCUAUAAAAAGUCAUUAUUCUGGGGGUUAAUUUCCAUAGGUUUCUAUUAGUUAAUUUUUUCCAACUAUUUUUGAUGAAAUUAGAUAGAUUUGCCUUCAUAUUUGGGGCAAAUAGUUUCAGCGAAUCAUGAAUAAGCUUCCACACAUUUUAGAAAUCUUAUCUUUUUUAAUUUUAUACUUUUUCUUUAAUUUGCAUUUUGGUUCACAUGACCAAAAAUUAAGUUCCAUGCGUUUUUCAAUUUGUGGAAAUUCAGUUUUUUUUUUUUGUGGAAAUUUCGGUGGAGUCAAUAUGGCUAGAAAUUCGUAGAAGGAUGAAUCAAAAUACUCAAUUAUUGUUGUAGACUUGUAAGGCAGCUAACGGAGUCCACACGUUUCAAUGUUUGUUUACAGUUCAGCUUUCCCUUUGAUUAGUUAUCAAAAUAGAAACAUGAUUAUCAAUUUCAACUGUAUGUCUUUCAUGCCUUAACUUUCUUCCUUUCUUUCCAAAUUUCUCAUUUUGCUUUAAUUUUCCACAAUUUACCUCCACGAAUUGAUUGACCUGUUACCCACCACACUUCAAUACUAAUAAUAAUAAAUAAAUUCUUCAAGCAAUUGACAUUUGACCCACCCCACUUCAAUAAUAAUGCUAAUGGGACAUCAUAAAUUCUUCUAUUCAAAUAUAAUACUCAUGACUUUGACGGCCGAAACAUGUUUCAUGGCACAAAUAAUGACGGUUUUGUUUGAGGUACGGUGGAGGUGUCUAUUCAAAUAUUUGAAGCCAGCCCCUCGUUUUAUCUAAACCACAAGCAGGCUCAGCCGAAAUUGUUUAAUAUUUUUAUUUUUUCAAGAAACUCUCACUAUAAGGCUUAUGUGAAAAUUUGGUUGACAGUUUAUGUAUUUAAUUAUUUAUUUUACCACACAUGUCAUGUGUAGGUUUUAUUUACCUUGAGCAGUGGUCAAUGCAUUAGACCCAAGAUAAAGUGUGUUGAGGUAGGGGAAUUAAUGAUCGCAUUAGCUGUAGCACCUAUCUUCAAUCUCUAAUUUUAACUUUCUAUAGAUGAAGUGUUUUCAAAUUCCUCAAAUGUCUGUAAUCUGUUUAAUAAUUGAAGAAAGUUAAAAUUCAUUUUCUAAAUUUAAGGUUAAACUCCCAAUAAAAAAUUUUAUUUUCAUUCAAUAUUGUCAUUAGAUGGUAAUCACUUUGUACGAGAGAUUCCAAAAAAUUUGUCUCAUUGCUCCUCACUAGAAAGAUUGUAUCUUAGUGAUAAUAAUCUCUUGGUAGGAUUUCACAAUGGUUGGAUAAUCUUUCAACAUUACAACAUUUUAUAAUGCUCAAGAAACACAUUCUUGAAGGUCUUAUUUCAAUGGAGUUUUAUCAGCUUGAUUCUCUUCAAAUUUUGGACAUUUCAAACAAUAAUGUAUUUAAGAGUUUAUUAUCUUGUUUACAUAAAAAUAUAUGCCUAUAGGCAGGUAAAAGAAGGUACAUUUUUUAAUUACUCUUCCUUAGGGACAUCAUAUCUUAGCUAUAGCCACUUGAAUGAGAUCAUUUCAAGUUGGGUUGAUAGGCUUUCUCAAGCAAGCCACUUCAUACUGACCCACAAUAAUCUUAAAGAUGAAGUAUCUGCUCAGUUGUGCCGAUUGAACCAAUUGCUAUUGAUAAAUCAUGCUGAUAACAGUCUUUCCAGCCAUAUUCUUCAUUGCUUAAACAAGUGAACUUGUUUCAUUGAGAGAGUAGUGAAACAAGGAAAAAAAAAAGUUUUGACUUUUAUCAGUUAGUUGACUGUUAAGUAAAAAGUAUGCAAAUAUCAUUUUAUACUUUAGAUUGUUAAAAACUAAUGGAAAAAUAACGUCAUUUGAGGAUAAAUUGAAAUUUUCAUACUUUUAAAAAGUAAAGUGAAAAUUAUCAUUCUAAGUGUGGAUAAAUUAAAGUUACACUCAUAAAAAACACAUCUAAUAAUUUAUACACCAAGGCAGGCCCAAGUCUUUCAAUUUUCUUCCUUUCUUACCAUACUUAUCGUCCUGUAAUAAAUUUCCACAGUUCUACCUUUUUUGUACACAUGAUUCAUGACAUACUCCAUGAGUCAUGCUUUCAAGUUAUAAUUCCUUUCAAUAUUUGCCACGUUUGCAAGUUUCAAAAUCACAUAGUAAUAUGUCAUAACAAGUCCGAAAAUUCAUAAAUAAUCAAUAAUAUAUAAAAGGAAAUUAUCCACCGUCUAUCCGUUUUUUCAACUUUUUCAAAAAUACACAAUUUUUUUUUUUUUUGCUGGAAUCCACCUGAAGUUACAUUUCUUUUCACUUUUCCACUUCCGUUUGGAAUCCGUUAAGGAAAUUAAGGGAAUAUUGUUAAAUGACUUUUUUACCCUCAAAUGUAAAAGAUAAUUUAUCCAUCGACCACUUGUUUUUUCGUAUUUUUUCAGAAAUACACAAUUCUUAAUUUUUUUUUUGCUGACCUCCACUCGAAGUUGUAUUGUUUUACACCUAUCCACCACUGUGUCGUUGUAAAAUGAUGAUUUACCCUUAUAAUGUUAGCAAAGUUAUAACGGUCUCCAAACGGAAGUGGAAAAGUGAAAAGAAAUGUAAUUUCAGGUGGAUUCCAGCAAAAAAAAAAAAGAAUUGUGUAUUUUUGAAAAGCAGUGAAAAACGGGUGGAUGGUGGAUAAUUUCCCAUAUAUAAAUAUGAUCAUCAAUUGAAUUUGAAUCAGUUCGUUAUUUGUUCAUAUUGCAAACAUCACCUCUAUCAUUCAUAGUUUUCACUUUUUAGUGAUGUUCACAAAAUCCUAACCACACUAAGCAAUUGAUAUUCAAUCAAAGACACUUUGAUAACAUAUUUUAAAAAACAUAAAUUCUUCUAUAAAAAGUCAUUAUUCUAGGGGUUAAUUUCUGUAGGUUUCUAUUAUUUAAUUUUUUUCCAAUUAUGUUUUAUGAAAUUAGAAGAUUUGUCUUCAUAUCUAGGGUACUUAGUUUUAGUAAAUUAUGCAUCACCUUCCACACAUUUUAGAAAGAUGAUCUUUUUUUUAAUUUUAUACUUUUCUUUCAUUUACUUUUUGGUUCAUAGGGCCAAAAUUUAAGUUCCAUGCAUAUGCAUUUUGUGGAAAUUCAGUUUUUAUUUUUUUAUUUUGUGGAAAUUUCGGUGGACUCAAUACGGCUAGAAAUUCUUAGAAGGAUGAAUCUAGGGCAGCUAGCAGAGUCUACGAGUUUUAAUGUUUGUUUACAGUUCAAUUUUCCAUUUGAUUAGUUAACAAAAUAGAAACAUGAUUAUCAAUUUCAACUAUAGUUCUUUCAUGCCCUUAACUUUCUUCCUUCCUUUCCAUAAAUUCUCAUUUUGCUUUAAUUUUUCACAAUUCUACCUUGGAUGGUGUUGAUUCAAAUUUUUUCUCAAUGUACAAUGAUUGAUUUGUGUUUCGGACAUUCUUCUAAAUCGAGUUCUGUGGCAUAUUUUUUUCCUUGAGGCGAGUGUCUCAAAUCAUAUGUCUCCUUGUGGUUAAUUAUUUUGUAAAAAGAAACAAUUAUCAAAGGGUGCCGACAUGCCGGCAAUAACCCUCCGACACUCAAGUUAGUUCUUUUUACUCAAGUUUUAAAGAGAGAGAAUCUAGAGCAAGAUGGGCAGAGUUUUGCUCGCAUUUUAUGCCUUUUUUCCUCUUACUUUCAAAUGCCGGUCUUGGCCUUUAUAUAGACAACUUAGAGUCAAUUGGAGAGAUUAUGUGGCACUUUUCUUGUGACAAGUGUCAGCCAAAGUCCAUGCAUGGCGACAUAUAUUCAUAUGUGUCAAUACUUGCUCAUGACAAAUAAUCUUUGGACAUUUGUCAUGUUUUUGGGCUAUUAACCUUUAAUGGACUUUAGCUUAAAUUCGGCACUUAUAUUGGUUUCUUACAAAGAGGAUUGAUUUUGCAACAUUUUGCCCAUAAGCACAUUCCGCAAAAUGUUUGUUAGCCAGUAGGUGUUGAGUGUUAGAAAAUGUAUAUUUAUAAAGGAGAAAAUCAUCAUUUUACAUUUCAAGUUUUACUAACAAUCCUUACUUUUAUGUAUUUAAGCUUCUUGCAAUUUAAUUAUGUGUGUUUGAUUUUAAUUAAGUAUUUUAUGUAUUUUAGGGGCAUCAUGGUUAUUUCACAAUAAACGAGAGAUCAGACGGCAAAACGAAUAUCACUUUUGAACUUAGGACGGUCGAAAACCUUAGGAGGAGCAUAAAAGAAAAAAUGGCACUAUUCACAUGUACGGUAUUAUUCACGUGUACGGUACUGUUUACGUUACUGUUCAUAAUACUGUUCACAUAGACGGAUUGAUGACGUGGCAUUGACUGAUGAGGUGUCACGAUCCUGUUGGGCUAAAAUUCUUAUGUACUGUUGAUGGUGACGUGGCAGCAUAUCAGUAGACGAAAAAAUCUCGCGUACGGUACAUGCAUCACACAGGAUUAUUUUCAACCAAACCGCGUCACUGUUCAACCCAGGUCAAACCGUGUUACUGUUCAUCCACGUGGUCAAACCGCGUACUGUUGACUGAUGACGUGGCGCAAUCCUGAGCGUCCAAACUGUUUUUAAUCCGAUAGCCAUGAUUUACUUCAUGUAUCUAUAAAAAGGGGGCCUCUCCCCCCUAAUUGGAUAGCUCUGAAUCCAUUUUUGGGAUCCAUUUUUUGUAAUUCCUUCUCCAUUUUGUAUUUUCUACAUAUUUUAAUAAUUCCCAUUUUGCCCCUAGUUCAAUUAUGAGUGGCUAAUUUUCUUUCAAGCUUGGGUUGAAGGUGAAGUCUCAACAUGUGUCAUGGGCUUAAUUUGGUAGAUUUACUUUCUCUUCCCAUCUAAUUUUUGUGGAUGUUUUGACUUCUCGUCGACAAAUAAUACUAAUCUUGUCUAGUACCGCCUUGGUUUCACCGGCUCCGUAGUACAAGGUUAUUAUUAUUUGGCACGAUAAGCCCUUAGCACCAUAUUGAUUAGAGUGUGGUUUAUGAGGUGUGGAUUUCCCCCUUAUGAUUUAAUUGAUAUUAAUAAGGAAUAUUUAGCCCAUGGUACAUGUUGAUACGGAUUCAGAUACCCAAGUACGUCAUUUCAAUAGAAUUCUCUUCAAUUUAUUCUCGCCAUUUCAAUUCCAAUUUUAGAAUUUAUUCUCGCCAUUUUAAUUUAAAUUUUAGCAUAUUCCAAAUCAUUUCCACCACAAAUCCAAUCACCCAUUUACAAAAUUAAUUCUACACACAAUUAAAAUCCACCUCCUCGUGGGAUCGACACUCGUCACCAUUAGUCUAUACUACAAUAGAUUCGUGCGUUUGCGAGUACAUUAAAAUUUGCACAGCAGUAGGCUCGCUCCGUGGAAUGUUUGUUGGCCCGUUGGCACAUUCCAUAAAAUGCAUAUAUUUGCCCGUAUGCACAUAUUGUAGAAUGUAUAUUUCUUCGUAGGCGCAAUCUGCCCGUAGCCGCCAUCCGUAGAAUGUGUAUUUGUCCAUAGGCCUAUUGCAUAGAAUGUGUGUUUGCCUGUAGACCCAUUCCGUAGAAUGUGCAUUUGCCCGUACGCCCAUUUCGUAGAAUGUGUAUUUGCCCGUAGGCUCAUUCUAUAGAAUGUAUAUUUGCCCGUAGGUGCACUCCGAGUAGCUCAUGUGCUCUUAGAAAUAUUUUUGAAGUGUCUAGAUCAUGAACGGACCUAGGUCAUUUUUUGUGAGGAAUGGACCUAGGUCGUUCUUUGUAAAAAAUAGACCUAGGUCCUUCUUUGUUGAAUCAUGCCUUUGGCACUUUGUGAAGACUCGUAAGGAAUGGACUUAGGUCAUUCUUUGUAAGCAAUGAACGUAGAUCAUUCUUUAAGACUUAGGUUUUUCUAUGAUAAAUCACGCUUUUGGCUUUUUGUCGUGUCUUGCAUUUAGACACUUUAGUUAGAAUUGUAAAUACCUUGGCCAUUCUUAUAGAGAACACACAUGGGUUAUUUUAUAUAAAAUAAUUUUAUUGGGCCUAUAUUUUUUGUGGGUUUUGGACCUUUCAUAAUUUGGGCUAACAGAGGCCCCCGAAGUCUUACUUUUCAAUUUUGAGAAGUGAGACUUUUUUUGUACUUUUUUUUAGGCUUUUCUUUGGCUUUUCUUAUUACAAAUUAAAUUUUAAGGCUUGAAAUUUCUCUAAGGCACCUAUCCUAUUAAAAUUAGUCUACAACCAAUCUCACAUACUUCAUUUAAUGAUUUGUAGCUCUCUACAAUCUAUCUUAAUUUAACAAUUAUUGAAAAGUAUAAAAAUAAGGAGUUAGUAAAAGUAUCAUUUAAAAAGAGAUACUUGACUUUUUCUAAAUAGUAUGUGAGAAUUUUCUGACAAUUCUUUGGCGAGCUACUGUUGAAGCUCUUCGAGUGCUCAUCGAUCUAAGAAGCAAUGCCAAAUCUUUUCCUGAAAGGUCAUCUUUGAAACUGAAUUGCUUCAAUGGUAAACAUUUUUGUAGAUAGCGAUCCCAGUCAAUUCUCAUAUAUACUUACCCUUAGGCAUUUUGGUUGAGAUCAACCAAAGCUGUAGUCAACAUCCGCCCUUGGAAGAUUUAGUCAAUAGUUGCCCCUAAGCUUUUUGACAUUGGCUUUAAGGUGUUUCUCGUCAACACUAACUCUCGGACGUUUUUAUCUAAAACAUGUCAUUAGGUGUUUCAGACAAUCAUUUGCCUUUUAAUGUUUCACUUAGAAUAUUUUCCCUCAGGUCUAUUAUUAUAAUUCGCUUGUGGACGGUUUCCUUCAAAAAUUAAUUUGAAGUAAUUGGACCUAGGUCAUCCUUUAAAAGAAAGGACCUAGGCCCUUUUAUCAUAAUUUACUCGUGGGCAGUUUCGUAGAACUUAGCCCGUAAGCAUUCUCUUUAGAAUGAUUUUUCUAAGAAUUGGACCUAGGUCAUUUUUUACAAGAAUGGACCUAGGUCUUUUUAUUAUAAUUCGCAUGUGGGCACUUUUUAUAGAAUACUAAUUCUAAGUGAUUGGACCUAGAUCAUUCUUUGAAAGAAAGGACCUAUAUCUUUUUAUCAUAAUUCAGCCAUAUAUGGUUUCCUUAGAAGAUUAAUUCUAAGUAAUUUGACGUAGGUCUCUUUAUUAUAAUCCGCCCGUAGGCACUUUCCUUAGAAAAUUGAUUUUAAGUAAUUGGGCUUAAGUCUCUUUUUAAAGGAAAUGACGUAGGUCUCUUUUUAAAUUGAUUCUAACUUUGUCACUACUUUGAUUGCAUCAAGUGAUGAAUAAUGUCGUAAUCAGAAUUUUCAAGGGGGUAUUUGGGAAUAUUGCCCCCUUCAGAGUUUUAAAAGCCAGAGAAAGAAGACUUUUUGUAUUGUAUGGUACCAUGGUAUGCCCCGUAUGCCUUUCUUAAUGAUAAAGUAGCAGAUUCUCCUUCAAUUUAAUUUCUUUUUGUUCCAAGCCAAAAUAAAAAAAUUUCUGCUCACUAGCCGUACUCUGUUCUUGAUGAACAUUAGGAGGCAGUUCAAGACAUGGAUUCUCAAAGUCAAUUGUAUCGAUGAUACUUGGGUGUGUAUGACAUUUUUAUUAAUAAUUUUAAUCAUUCAUUGAUAAAUUCUUCUAUUAACAAAAAUAAUUUCUCCAAAAUUAAUUUUUCUACUCGCAGACCAUACUUUGUUCUUGAUGAACAUUAGUUGGUACUUCAAAACGUGGAUCCUCAAGUCAAAACGGUAAAUUUUUUUCAUCAGUGAAUCAUUAACUAAACAAGUGAUCUUAGAUUUCAUUCUUGUGUCUAUGAUAUGUGGGUGUGACUGACAUUUGAGGAACAAUUACAAGAGUGAAAAAGGAGAAUACAUAAUAUAUUCAACCACUAAAAAUAAAAGUCAUUUUUAUUUUAUUCCAUCUUACUCGAAUUUGAUACAACUAGUGGGUGUGUUGUAACUAAUCUUAUUUGUCCCUUUGAAAUAACCGAUAAUAAUCUUAUCACCGAAUGUUUAACAGACUCGUAACGUCAUAACGUAACUACCACGUCAAGCAAACACGUGGACUCAGCCGUGAACUACAACCGCAUAACCGUUACAUAUAUAGACUAGUAUGAAGCGGUGGAGUUAAAGCAAGCGUUUAAGAAGUGAUUUAAGCUGAUGCAAGCGUAAAGUAUGAGACGAAUAAAACAACAUACAAUUCAACAAAAGUCUAACAUGCCCUGUUCAAACUUAUAAUUUUCUACUAUUACCUUACCCGACAAUACAAUCCAAGUAGCUGGCAGCCACACCGCAAACUUCCACUAUCAUCUUCUCCUUUCAAACUUAUAAUUUUCUUUUUUCUUUUUUAUUUUCUGGAAAGAGCUGGCUUUCCUUGAUUUUUGCUUUUUGUCAACAAUUAUUCAUGCCUUUUUAUUUUUCUCCAUCACACUUUUUUUCUUUCCCAACUUCCACGAGCUGAGCCGUCGUCGCUUUUUGAAAGAAACAGUAUGGAAGCUAUCAAGAAACAGGCAAUCAAGCUCCGAGAACAAGUCGCCAAGCAGCAGCAAGUCCGUUUCUUUUCUUUUUUUGUUUUUAAAUUAUUUAGACUUUUAAUUAGUGAAAUUUCUCGAUUUUAUUUAUUUUUCAUUAGUUUUUUAUGGUUUGUACAGGCAGUAUUGAAGCAUCUGCUCCAUCUUGGCAUUGAAAAUGUUGCGGUUGAUAAAGCUGACAUUGAGUGUCACCAACAACUUCAAAAUCUAUACAAUUCCACCAGGGCAGCUAAGGCACCAUCCUCCUUUAGCUAAUAAUAAGACUCUGUUUGAUAUUGAUUUAUUGUGGCUUUUGGUAAUUAGAUAUGAUUUUUAAAUAAUAAUUUUGUCAAAUAUGGUACAAACAACUGUAUUUUCUAGACUGAAGUUGCAAGUAUUUACCAACGGAGCUUAAUGUAUGUUGAACAAUUAUGAUGGUUUGUAUGGUUUUAUCUGAACAAUAAUUUGGAAUAUAUGCUCUGUAGCGCAGCAUUUUCAGAGGAAUAUUGUCCGUGGCGUUGAAGGGUUUGUUGCAGUAAGCUUGAAACAAAUGGAAAUAUGUUGUUUGUUUGCUCUUGCUCUUGUUAUAAUAUUUGAUUUUUUUUUAUUUAUUUUCUUGACUAGUUCUUGUGUACAAUAUUUUUGUAUUCAAAUAUUGUAGCGAGAAAGUUGGCCGAAGAUUGUUGCAAGUAUGGAGCGGAGAAUCAAAGUGACAAUUCUUGCGUUGCAAGAGCUGCUCUUCAAUUUGGCACUUCACAUGAUUUGAUGGAAAAUGAGAGGGAAACUUUGCUUGGGAUUCUUCAUGAUCAGGUUAGUUCAUCCCUAACUAGAAAAUAAUUCAAAUAUAGAAAAUUAUAUGUAAAUUACUACGGAAACUAUUAUCUUCUCAUAAGGAAAUUUAGUUCUAAGAUAUUGAAUAAAAGAAUCCAUUUUAAAGUUACAACUCUGAAAUAUUUAAUGUUUUAUAUUAAAAUCAUUGCUAGUGACAUCCAUGACUUGAUAGUUUUAUUGGUUCAAAUGUUGAAGAGACCUUGUACUUCUUACAUCACUAGCGAAGACUGGCGUGGGACAAGUUAUUGGCCGUGAGUUCUCUCAAUUGACUCCAAGCAUUUUGGAUAAAGACAUUUGCAUCUGUAGUAAAAUCAAAUCCAUGAGACUGAAGGAUGCAUGGGGAAGUCUUACAACCUUUAUUUGCAUAGGUAGAUGCUGAGAAAACAUAUCAUCAACACGUUAUUGAUAUUUUAGAGAAGUUGUAUGCGGAGGUUUGGGACUAUGCAUUUUAACUUGCUUGUCCCCAUCUAUCUAUUCCUUGGAGCGUUCUCUUCUUGCUAUUUUCGUCUCACUUAUGCAAAAGAAUAAUUGUGACUUUUUAGUCCCUUCCAACCCUUGCUACUUGAAUUAGAUGAUCCUAUAGGAGCAAUCAAAUGAGUCCUCCUCGCAACAUGUGACUUUCGAAAUGGAUGUACAUGCCUCAUGUGUCUAUCAGAGUACUGAUUCAAAUGGAGCUGAUUUGCAAACGCAUAUUAAUCAGAAUGACGUCUACUUUAUAGCAAAAGUAAGGCUCCUGCUCUCUUGCAUAGGUGAAAGUCCCUCUAUUGCCCUCCUCCUGGAAAAUCUUAAGAAAUAAGAUGCGCACAAAAUUGAAUGCUGUCUUUUAAGAUUUUUUUUUUUAAAAAAAAAGAAUUUUGUUGUAUUUUACCAUGAAAGUUGUUAAUUUACUGAAUUACAAACUUAUCAAUUAAUUUGAUGUUGCACAGUCUUUUUCUUAACAUAUUGCAUUCAUAUUUUAAUUUUGGAGCAAUAAAAUUUUUUUUCUACUAUCACUACCAUCUGGGCAGGUAUUUGUAUUAUUGCACAACAUCUACGGAAGUAGUGAUUAGUCUUAAAAGUUGAAGAUGUCUGUCUGUAUCCUUUCAUCCUAGAUAAAUUGUCAUAUGAUCGUAGGACAAAUUGUAAUUAUUUUUUAAAAUUUAUUAGUUAACACCUUGAAAAUUCUUUUCCCCCAAAUAAAAUUACUCUAAAAGUGUCCAAAUGUGGUGCUGAGGAAGCCAUUCUUAGGAAACUUUAUUUAGGAGAACAGGACUUUUAAGCAUGAGGUUUAGCAAACACCAAUGAAUUAAAAAAGCGAUAGAUGUCGGAUGAGCUAGAUAGAAUGCAUGGGCUAGAAAUAUCAUGUGUCUCUACUAUCAAUAUCUUAGCAACAUCAAAGCUGAGUUAGGCAUGCCAAAGAAAGGCAAACCACUGAAAGUUGUGUAGCCACUCACGACGUAGCAGGUGAUGUAAAGUCUUGAUAUUGCUUAUAGAUACAAGACUGAUAGCUCAACAUCCCUCUUUUUGAGAUUUUCUCUUAAGUUAGAUGGGCCUUUUUAUGAUUAUGUCUGAAUUAUGAUUCUCCUUACUUGGUUUACCUAGAAAAACUAUGUUUAUAUGGAUGUGACUUGGGGGCAAUCUAUGUAUUUGAUGAUAAAUCUGGCCGAGAAAACUUAAAUUAUUAGGCAGAGGAAAUUGACUGACCAUAAGCUGUCAUGUUAAAUCCAUCACUUAAAAGAUGUCGGUCACUUGGAAUCCCCAUUAUCUAUGACUUUCUUGUGCAUAGGCCAUGUUUUGUGGAGAGCAGUCAAAAUUUCAGAUUUAAAAUCUUAUCCAUAAUUUAAAAAUGGAAUUUUGUUUCUAAUAUAUCUUUGUUGGCCAUAAUCAUUGUAGUUACAAUGAACGCUGCUGCUACUGCUGCUGCUUUUGUUAUGCUUUUUUAAAGAUUAAGUUCUAUUUAUCCUAGUAUCUUAUAGGUUAUACAUCCAUUUGACGCUCAAGCAAAUGGGGAGCUAAGUCUUUCAAUUGAUGAUUAUGUUGUGGUUCGCCAGGUACUUUCCCCUCUAAAUAACAACACAGAGAUUUUUCUACUAUGCUAUUAACUUAUCCUUCUAACAACUUAUGAUAUGUGGAAUUUAGAACUAAUGCUUAUACUAAUUUGAUGUUCAAAGCACAUGGCAUUUUGUUCUUAAAAUUUUGAUUGAAAAGCAAUGAGUUAACAUAUGAUGGUUGGUUUUCUUUCUUCCUACCAUAUAUUCCCUUUUAUAUUGAAGUGCAAAUCAGAAUAUAGUAGGGUUGCUAGCUCAGUUCUAAACCACCCAGUUUACCCUUAUAGAUAUGUGAAUUUAUAUCUUGUUAUGCUUCCAUGGUUAAUGUUGUUAUUUCAGUGAUCACAACUAAUUCACUCCUCCUACGUAAAAGAAUUAGUUUUCCCCUUAGGUCUUUGAACGGUCAACUUUUGUUUAAUUCACUGUUUUAGUUAUAACUUCUCAAGGUGGCUCUUAUGGAUGGUCGGAAGGUGAAUGCAAGGGCCAAGUUGGUUGGUUUCCCUCGGCAUACAUAGAAAGACAAGAAAAAGCCCCAGCUAGAAGGAUAUCAGAAACAAACUCCUCACCCAAAUGUGAUGCGACUUCUUAAUAAACUCUUGCCAAGUAUCUAUAUGUUCUUUUUCCUGUAUUAUAUUGCCAUUUUAGUUUAUAGAACGACUGCGACAAUUGAUAAGUGGUUUGAUUGCUUCUCUUAAUGAAAUCUUACUAAGCUCCAAGUAAUAUGUGCGAUCAUAUGCAUUUUAAUAUUUGUAUUUAUCUCCUAGUUGAGGAGAAUAUUUGUAGUAACAACUGUGUUUCCAAAUUGCCAAAAAAAAAAAAAUACACAUCAUGUUUAGCAACAAAUUUUUACUAUUAUUUCUUCCCAGUUUUAAUUUACUUUCUCCGUGAAUUGAAUGUUAUAUUAGUAGCUUGAUCAGAAAGUAACUCAUAUCAAUCAAACUACCUUGAUGCAAGAGAUUGAAUUUAGAAUUUCUCUAUCUUUGUGAAACUUUCCAAUCAUAAUGUUAUGAAAUAUGUGGGCAUGAACUUUUUAAUUUCUAGUUGCAUUUGGAGUAUGUAUGAUAUAAUCUGAAUCACUUGCAUAAUGUUCUUCAUCUUCCANNNNNNNNNNNNNNNNNNNNNNNNNNNNNNNNNNNNNNNNNNNNNNNNNNNNNNNNNNNNNNNNNNNNNNNNNNNNNNNNNNNNNNNNNNNNNNNNNNNNUUCUAACUAAUGAAAUUUUCUAGUCUAAAUUAUGAAAUAUGUGGGAUUGACUUAGAAAUUUUGGUAACAUGUCGAGAAUGUAUGGUAUAAUUUGAAUUCAUUAGCAUAAUCUUCAUCUUCAUUGAUUUGUAAAUUAUGAAACUAAUAUAUAAAAAACUAAUGUUAGAUCCUAAUUAUCUUUAGUUCUUAAAAUUGUUGAGGAGAUAUGAAAUUCUGGUGGGUGGAUUUGAGAGUUUUAGCUUUGAGAAUAUUGCUUCAUCUCUACUUUGAUGUUGUUGUGCCCCUUGUUGUGGCGAGGCAUUAAUCUUCCUAAAUUUUUUGUCAAGCUUCAACUUUAUUAUAUAUAUACCUUUCUUGAUAAAAUGUCUGGGUCCAUCGCUGGAUUUGGUGUUAAUGACACUAGUGAAGAAGAUGAUGAUAGCACCAUAAUCAUUAUUUUUUAAAGUAAAAUAGGCGAUCAAGUGCAUCUAGGUGUUUCAUUUCUUGUGUAUGAUUAUAAAACUAUUCUGAAUAUAGUUUCUAAAUGAAUGUUAUAGAGUGGCUGCUUUUAACAUUGGAGAUGGUUCUCUUAUUUAAGUAUGCUGCACAGUAUAGGGAAGUAUAAGUUAUGGUGGAUAGAUAUGAGUUUGGAAGUGUGGAGACAAAUGUGAAGUGCUUGGAAGUUGGAAGCUAUAUAACGCUAAAUACUUCUACAAUUUUAAUAAAAAAUAAAAAUAAAUUUAUUUCCUAAGCAAACUUGAUUAGUACUUAAAGAAUCAUAAUUAAGCUACUAAUUAAUUUCAAUGACAAAAUCUUGUUGGAAUAAGAUUGUCUACAACAAAAUAAUAACAUGAAGUUAUCCACAUUUCAACAAAGUAAAACAAUUUACGUCGCCAAUAAGAAUUUACAUAUAAAACAAUAACAAUUCCAAAUAUCACUAUUACGUACGAUGUUGUAAAUGUGAUAAAGAAACUGUCCGUGUCAAUUAAAAUGUCUGGGUCCAUCGCUGGAUUUGGUGUUAAUGUUUCUAGUGAAGAAGAUGAUGAUAGCACCAUAAUCAUUCUUUUUAAAAGUAAAAUAGGCGAUCAAGUGCAUCUAGGUGUUUCAUUUCCUGUGUAUGAUUAUAAAACUAUUCUGAAUAUAGUUGGCGAUCAAGUGCAUCUAGGUGUUUCAUUUCUUGUGUAUGAUUAUAAAACUAUUCUGAAUAUAGUUUCUAAAUGAAUGUUAUAGAGUGGCUGCUUUUAACAUUGGAGAUGGUUCUCUUAAAUAAAGUUUGCUGCACAGUAUAGCGAAGUAUAAGUUAUGGUGGAUAGAUAUGGGUUUGGAAGUGUAGAGACAAAUGUGAAGUGCUUGGAAGUUGGAAGCUAUAUAACACUAAAUACUACUACAAUUUUAAUAAAAAAUAAAAAUAAAUUUAUUUCCUAAGCAAACUUGAUUAGAACUUAAAGAAUCGUAAUUAAACUGCUAAUUAAUUUCAAUGACAAUAUCUUGUUGCAAUAAGAUUGUUUACAACAAAAUAGGAACAUGAAGUUAUCCACAUUUCAACAAAGUAAAACCAUCUACGUCGCCAAUAAGAAUUUACAUAUAAAACAAUAACAAUUCCGAAUAUCACAAUUAUGUACGAUGUUGUAAAUGUGAUAAAGAAACUGUCCAUGUCAAUUAAAUUAUCAUUUUUUGUUGGGGGGGGGAAAAAAGGGGCCCCCAAAAAAAAAAAAAAAAAAACUUUUUUUUUUUAAAAAAAAAAAAAUUUUUAAAAAUUUUUGGAAGGCGUUAAAUGUUGCAAAUUGUNNNNNNNNNNNNNNNNNNNNNNNNNNNNNNNNNNNNNNNNNNNNNNNNNNNNNNNNNNNNNNNNNNNNNNNNNNNNNNNNNNNNNNNNNNNNNNNNNNNNNNNNNNNNNNNNNNNNNNNNNNNNNNNNNNNNNNNNNNNNNNNNNNNNNNNNNNNNNNNNNNNNNNNNNNNNNNNNNNNNNNNNNNNNNNNNNNNNNNNNNNNNNNNNNNNNNNNNNNNNNNNNNNNNNNNNNNNNNNNNAUCAGCUUGUUGCAAGAAAGAUCAAGUCCUGAUAGGAGGCUAAGCACUUUUCCUUGGUAAAUGUACGCAAUGUUCUUUGUUGUGAACUCAAAAUUUUCACGGAUUUGCUUUUCUACAUCUCCGUCAGGGCCGUCGAUGGAAAAAGAUAUUUCAAAUUGCUCAUCAAGACUAGAACUAUUGCUGUAACUGUCAUGAAGUGUGGUGUUAUCAAAGCAAGGAGGAAUAGGACCGUGAAGAUUAUUAUUAGAAAGAUCUAACAAUUGUAGUUGGUUCAAUUCGCACAAUUGAACUGGCACUUUACCUUCAAGAUUAUUGUGACCUAAGAUAAGGUGACUUAACUGAGAAAGCCCAUCAACCCAAUCCGGAAUGCUGCCAUUCAAGCGGUUAUAGCUAAGAUCUAAUGUCACAAGGGAAGAGCAAUUAAAGAAUGUACCUCUUUUUAGUUGUCCAUGUAACAUAUUUUUUGAAAGAUGAACUUGUUUGAUAUUGAGAGGAUGGAAACAAGAUGGUAGACUUCCAGAUAUGUUGUUGUCUGAAAUGUCCAAAAUCUGAAGCAAAUCCAGUUGACAAAACUCCAUUGGAAUAGAACCUUUAAGAUGAUUCUUGUGCAUUGUAAUAUGUUGUAAACUUGUGAGACUGCCUAACCAUCGUGGAACCUUACCCGAAAGACUGUUAUUAUUAAGGUACAAUCCUUCUAGUGAGGAGCAUUUAUAUAAACUUUGUGGGAUCUCUCUUAUGAAGUGAUUGUCCUCCAAUUGUAACCAUAUUAAAUUUGCCAGGUUAAAAUUUCUACAGAACAUGUGACCUUUUAGGUUGUUGUUUGAUAACGCUAGAAACUCCAAGUUAACGCAACCGACGGCCAAGCGCUCAGGGAUUUCACCAGUCAAUUGAUUGCUGGAUAAGUCCAAAAUUCUGAGGAAGUUCAUUUUACCAAAUGAAGAGGGAAUGCUACCAUGCAAGGCAUUCGUGGAAAUGUUAAAAGAAAAUAAACUUGGUAAAAUAUCUCUAAUUUCUACUGGAAUAUGGCCUUGGAAGUUGUUGUUGGAGACACCCAAGAAUCUUAACCGCCUGUGUGGAUGAAUUGGCAAUUAAAAAGGUCCUCCAAUAGAAUCAUUGAUGAGAAAAAGAGUUUCUAAUUUUGUGUUGUUUUCCAACAACCAAUUUGGAAAUUCUCCAUUCAUCUUUAUAUGUGAGAGAUGAACAUCCUCCAGGUCAUGUUGAUGGUAAAGGAAUUUGGGGAAUGUGACACCAUCUCCACAACCGGAAGACAACAAGAGAGAUUGUAAUUGGAAGUUUGGGGCGGUCAAAGAAUGUGACUCAGUUAUUUCAGCUUUUAUUUCAUUGUUGUAAGCCCAUAAGCUCUUGAGUCUUGAGUGAUUGAAAAGUGGUUUAAGUGAAAUUGGGAUGCAGAAGUGAUUCUUUGAAAGUAUUAGCUCUUCAAUGGAUGUCAAAUGAACGAGGGGAGUGAUAACUCUAGGAAAUGAGAGUUAUUACAUCAAUUCUAAACUUGAAUCAGGAUCUUUUAGAGAACAAAUAAGGUGUUUUUAUUACAUUUUGCUUAAACAUUCAUUUUAGUUGAGUAUUAAUAAGUUUUGCUUGAAUUAUAGUAAUUUGUGCUAAAAACAUAUGCAUAAUUGUAGGUUCUUGGAAAGUCUUAAUUCAUGAGGGGAUGUUGAGGCAUUAGAUGAGCAAGAGGAGGAAAUAAGCCAGUCAUAAAAGAACAAAAGCACAAUCGGGAGUAAUGCAGUGCUGUUACGGAUGUUAGAGCAACCCGUUCUGUAGCAAUCUGGAAGUAAAUGCGAGAGAAAACUUGGGCGCGGGUCAGCACAUGUUUCUUAAUUUAACGCAUGCACACUCAUAGGCUUGUGUUUACCCUAAUUUGCAAUAUAAAAGGGAGGCAAUACCACAAAGAAAGGCGGCAAGGAAAUUAUCACUAGAAUAAUCACAAAGGAACGAAGAAGAAGAAGAUCAGAAUUAAAGAGUUUUGUUUUGGAAACAUUGGAGAAUCGUGCAGAAUUACUUGGCUUUGAUUUUCGCCGUGCUCAACUUAUAUUUAUCUUCUUCCUUUAAUUAUUUUGAUGUAUUCCGGGAUCAAUAUAUUUAUGAUUAUUUUUGUCAUCCAGAUUAUGAACUAAAUUUACUUGUAGUUGAGUGACAAAUAAUCCAAUGGGUUCUUGAUUGUUCUUAUAUGUUGUUAUGGUAAUGCUGUAGCAUUUUACUCUAGUAGUUUUUAUGAGUAUAACUGUUAUUUCGGUUGACCACCCAUUUAAUAGUUUCAGUUAAGAGCAGCAAAGGGGCAUGUCUUAGCGGACAUUAUUAGAGUAUUACUUGUUCUUAAAUUGAGUUUCCUGGAUUAGGUUAUCUUGAAUCCCAUAAGGGCAAUACUUGAAGUUAAGAUUUGUGACACUCUGGACAUAGGUGUUCACCUUGUAGGGUAGAGAGAUUAAAGGAUAUAAUGACGUACCAUAAAUAUAUGAGCAACUGGUCAUUGUUAGUAGAUUUAAAGGUAUGAGAUUUCUAACAUGCGAUAGCUGAGGAUGCAGAUUUAUUCUGCCCAGUGCUGCAGCACUUAUUGUAACAACUGGUGCUAAUUUGGUAAACACCAAUCACCCCAUUAGGAGAGUUUGAUUAUUCAACUACUAUAUUCUCAAUUGAAUCUUAGACACAGUUAACUUAGUUUAUUUCAUUACAGUAUUGUUUUAUUUCCAUCUCUCGCAAUUAUUAAUUACGAUAGAAUUAUUUAACAAUUGUUUGUUUCGGUUUUAGUUAAUUUGCACUAUUGUGAUUGCUUUAGCAUUUUGAGUAACAUCAAUCCCUGUGGAGACGAUCUUGAAUACUCAUCACUUUAUUACUUGUUGUGUAUAUGAUGAAGAGUAGGAAUCCAUAUUAUACUAGGAUUAGUUUCCUUAUUAACUAAAGUUUAAGACUUUUAAAUUCCUUUCUAAUUUAGAAUUUUGUUUCCCUUUCAAUUUAGGAUUUUGUUUUUACUUCAUGAAUUAGGAUAAUUACUACUACUAUAAAUAGCUUCCUCUUGUAACCUUUGAAUGCAUAAUUUUGAGUUCAAUAAUAUUUCAAUUUUCAAAUCUCUUUGUGAGUAUUUGAACAGUUAACUCUCGGUAUUCUGCGGAAUCAACGAGUCUUAAUCCCUAAAUUCACGGUAUUCUUUUGAAUCAACGUGAAUUUAAUUAUUAUUUUGUUCCGGUAUUCUCUAGAAUCAACGGAAUAUUUUGAACAUUAAACUUCCGCUGCAUCAGUAUAUUUGCACAUCGGCAUUGGUAGUAAUUGAUUAUAAAAAUAAAUCAAUAAGUGUUUGGGGUCGUUGCCGGGGAUUGAUUGUUUAUUUUUAAAGUGUAAAGUAAAUCUUGAUAGCGCCAAAUUUGAUUUGAUUUAUUCUAUUUAUUAGGAGAUCGGUACAUGCAUGCGCAAAGACAGGUCUGUGGUAUUCUAAUUCGAUCCUGAGAUUGAAAGGACUGUCAGGAGAUUGCGAAGAGAACAAAGGAAUUCAGAAAUUGAUUCAAGCAUGAAUAAUUUGCAGGAUGCGGGAAAUUUGAAUCCUCACGGGCCCUUACAACCAGUAAACAUUCAAGGAGAGCAGAAUGAACAUGUUAACGGGAGACAGCCAGGCAAUAACAAUAUUAUUUACAUGGCUGAUGACAGAGACAGAGCUAUAAGAGAUUAUGCUGUGCUAACUCCUCAAGUUGUACAUCCUGACAUCAUCAGACCUGAAGUAGACGUUGCAAAUUUUGAGUUAAAGCCAGUGAUGUUUCAAAUGUUGCAAACAGUUGGUCAAUUCAAUGGAUUGCCAGAUGAAGAUCCUCAUCUCCAUCUUAAAUUGUUCUUGGAAGUAAGUGAUACUUUCAAGAUUGCUGGAGCAAUACAAGAUGCUUUAAGGCUGAGACUCUUUCCUUAUUCCUUAAGAGAUCAAGCAAGAGUAUGGUUAAAUUCGUUACCAUCUGAUUCCAUCACUACAUGGAAUGAAUUGGCUGAUAAAUUCCUAAUGAAAUAUUUCCCACCAACAAAAAAUGCAAAGUUGCGGAAUGAGAUUACUUUCUUCCAUCAACUUGAAGAUGAAAUGCAAAAAAUGCAAAAAAUGCAAUGUUAGUUAAUGAGUGACCUCAUUAACUAACAUAGUAAAGGCCUUGACAUCUGCUCCAGCAACAGUAAAGCAAGUUACUGAACUUUCUUGUGUAUACUGUGGUGAAGAGCAUAACUUUGAUAAUUGUCCUGGAAACCCAGCUUCAGUAAACUAUGUGGGUAAUUUCAGUUGAUAACCUCAGAACAACCCAUAUUCAAAUACUUACAACCCUGGCUAGAAGCAACACCCAAAUUUUGCAUGGAGCAGUCAGAAUCGAAAUGCUCCAGCAUUAAAUAGACAAAAUAAAAACACACAACCACUUGGUUUUCAUCAGCAGAGUCAAGGGCAAAAGCAUAACAGUCAGGAUCCAAUCACUUCACUGGAAGCACUGAUUAAAGAGUACAUUGUAAAGAAUGAAGCAAUUGUGCAGAGUCAAGCUGUAUCCUUGAGAAACCUGGAAAACCAAAUGGGACAACUAGCCACAGUAAUAAGCAGCAGAACUCAAGGAAGCCUACCUACCAACACAAAAGACCCUAGGAGGGAGGGCAAAGAACACUGCAAAGUAAUUAAUUUGAGGUCUGGAAAGAAUGUUGAUAUCCCAGCUGAUGUAACAAAAAAUGGGAUGGAAUUCAAUUCAGCACAAAAAUUACCUCAAAAGGGAAGCAUGUUACAACAACCUCCUCUUCAAGACACUGGUUACAUGGGCCAAGUUACAGCAACUACAGAGGAAAUUCAACCAAAACAUGUUGAAAAAGAAAUUGCAACACCAGUAGUCACAACCUGCACCAAACCAAACAAACAGAGUUUGAUAUCUCCUGAAGCUACCUAGCAGUUUAGACAUCCACCACCUUUCCCACAAAGGAUCCAGAAGCAAUAACAAGACAAGCAGUUUAGCAAAUUCCUGGAAGGGCUGAAACAACUGCACAUAAAUAUACCUUUUGUGGAAGUUUUGGAGCAAAUGCCAAAUUAUGUGAAAUUUUUAAAAGAUAUCUUAGCAUGAAAAAGAAAGCUGAGAGAGUUUGAAACUGUUGCUUUAACACAGAAGAGCAGCCAUAUGCUCAAGAGUAAAAUUCUCACAAAAGUAAAAGAUCCAGGGAGUUUUACAAUACCCUGCGCUAUAGGAACUAGGUAUGCUGGCAAAGCACUUUGUGACUUGGGAGCUAAUAUUAAUUUGAUGCCAUUAUCUGUAUUUAAGCAGCUGGGAGUAGGGGAGUGCAGACCAACAACAGUCACUCUGCAAUUAGCUGAUAGAUCUCAUGCAUACCCUGAAGGAAAAAUAGAGGAUGUAUUGGUGAAGGUUGACAAAUUCAUUUUUCCAGUGGAUUUCAUUGUACUGGACUUUGAAGUUAAUAAAGAGGUACCCAUUGUAUUGGGAAGACCUUUUCUAGCAACUGGAAAGACUUUGAUAGAUGUGCAGAAAAGAGAGCUCACCAUGAGAGUGAAUGAUCAGCAAGUCACAUUUAAUGUCCUAGAGGCUAUGAGAAACCCCGAUGAAGUAGAAGAUUGCAAUUUCCUAAGUGCAGUGGAUUUUGUUGUAGCAAACAAAAUGGACAGAUGCUACAAUAAUGCACUUGACAAAGUCACCACCUUUGAAGAUGUUGCAGCAAUCCAAACAUAUUAGAUGGACAAACAGCAAUCUAAUAGGCACAACAUGUUUAUUGAACACCUGAAUGUUUCAGACAGGGAAGUAAAAACAACUUUACCAUCUAUUGAAUCACCUCCUAGUUUUGAAUUAAAACUGUUACCUUCACAUUUGAAGUAUGCAUAUCUUGGUCAAAACAACACACUCCCUGUAAUCAUUUCUUCUACUGUGGAUGCAGGUCAAGAACAGAGUCUAGUAGAUUUACUGGGAAAAUACAGAAGAGCAAUUGGAUGGACCAUGGCAGAUAUAAAGGGGAUAAGUCCAUCAAUAUGCAUGCAUAAAAUCCUGUUAGAAGAUUGUUCCAACAAUUCGGUGGAGCACUAGAGAAGGAUGAAUCCUAUUAUGAAAGAAGUGGUGAAGAAGGAAAUCAUCAAAUGGUUGGAUGCUGGAAUCAUAUACCCAAUAUCGGACAGUUCAUGGGUAAGCCCAGUUCAAUGUGUUCCAAAGAAAGGAGGGAUAACAGUAAUGGCUAAUGAAAAGAAUGAACUUAUUCCUACAAGGAUAGUGACUAGAUGGAGAGUGUGUAUGGAUUACAGGAAACUCAACAAAGCCACAAGGAAAGACCAUUUCCCACUUUCAUUCAUAAAUCAGAUGUUGGACAGACUUGCUGGAAAACAAUACUAUUGUUUCUUAGAUGGGUACUCAAGUUACAACCAUAUUGCUAUAGCUCUAGAAGAUCAAGAGAAUACUACAUUUACUUGUCCCUAUGGAACAUUUGCCUUCAGAAGAAUGUCAUUUGGGCUAUGCAAUGCUCUAGCAACUUUUCAGAGAUGCAUGAUGUCUAUAUUUUCUGAUAUGGUAGAGCAGACUUUGGAAGUUUUCAUGGAUGACUUCUCAGUUUUUGGAGAAACAUACAAUGAUUGUUUACACAACUUGGAAGAAGUUCUUAAAAGAUGUGAGAUGACCAACUUAGUACUCAAUUCGGAAAAGUGUCAUUUCAUGGUGCAAGAAGGAAUAGUGUUGGGUCACAAGAUAUCCAAGGAUGGUAUUGAGGUAGACAAAGCUAAGAUAGAGGUAAUAGAUAAACUGCCACCUCCAACUUCAGUAAAGGGAAUUAGGAGUUUUUUGGGCCGUGCUGGAUUCUACAGAAGAUUCAUUAAGCAUUUUUCCAAAGUAGCUAAACCACUGUGUUCAUUGCUGGAGCAUGACAAACCGUUUCACUUUGACAAAGAUUGCCUUCAAGCAUUUGGAGAAUUAAAGAAAGCUUUGAUCACUGCUCCAGUAGUUAUAUCUCCAGACUGGACUUUACCAUUUGAAUUGAUGUGUGAUACUAGUGAUCACUCUGUGGGGGCAGUAUUAGGGCAAAGAAAGGAUAAAGUUUUUCACUUCAUCUACUAUGCAAGAAAACUCUCACUCAAACUCAAAUCAAUUACACCACUACAGAGAAAGAGUUGCUAGUAGUAGUAUUUGCUUUUGACAAAUUCAGAGCCUACUUAGUAGGCACUAGAGUGACUGUAUAUACAGACCAUGCAGCAAUCAAAUACUUAAUUUCAAAGAAGGAUGCCAAGCCAAGAUUAAUUAGAUGGAUUUUAUUGCUUUAAGAAUUUGAUCUGGAAAUUAAAGAUAGAAAGGGGACUGAGAAUCAAGUAGCAGACCACCUGUCACGGCUGGAUGCAGACACAAGCACAUUGACCAGAAACGACAUCACUGAAACUUUUCCUGAUGAACAGCUGUUGGUAGUACAAUAAGCACAGAUGCUGCAGCAGUCAGAAUCUCCAUAGUAUGCAGAUUUUGCUAACUAUUUAGUAAGUGGGUUGCUACCACCUGAGCUAAAGUUUUAAGAGAAAAAGAAAUUUCUUCAUGAUGUUAGAAGUUAUCAGUGGGAUGACCCACAUUUAUAUAAGCUAUGCUCAGAUCAAGUAAUAAGAAGAUGUGUUGCAGCAGAAGAGAUACCCCAUAUACUGGAGUCAUGUCAUGCUGCAGCAUAUGGAGGACAUUUUGGUGGUCACAGAACAGCUGUCAAAGUUCUGCAAUUAGGUUAUUAUUGGCCCACUAUUUUUAAAGAUACUUAUGAAUUUGUUAAAUGUUGUGACAGGUGUCGAAGGACAGGGAACAUAAGUAGAAGACAUGAAAUGCCACUGACCAACAUCCUGGAAGUGGAAGUUUUUUAUGUCUGGAGAAUAGAUUUUAUGGGACCCUUCCCGCCAUCUUUUGGGAACUUAUAUAUCCUUGUUGCUGUGGAUUAUGUCUCCAAGUGGGUAGAAGCUGCAGCAUUACCUACCAAUGAUGCUAAAACAGUUGUGGCUUUUCUUCAGAAAAAUGUUUUCUCUAGGUUUGGCACUCCUAGAGCAAUUAUUAGUGAUGAGGGCACACAUUUUACAACAAAAUCUUUGCUGCAGCAAUGAUGAAAUAUGGAGUCAGGCUGAAGUGUCCAACAGAGAAAUUAAAAAGAUCUUAGAAAAAGUGGUGAAUCCAAUAAGGAAGGAUUGGUCUUUACACUUGCAUGACUCUCUAUGGGCCUACAGAACAGCAUACAAAACUCCACUCGGAAUGUCUCACUACCGAAUUGUUUAUGGCAAAGCUUGUCAUUUGCCACUAGAGCUAGAGCAUAAAGCACAUUGGGCACUGAAGAAAUUAAAUUGGGAUAUGCAUGCUGCAACAGAGCAAAGGAAACUUCAACUUUGUGAGCUUGAUUAAUUACAACUAUUUUCAUAUGAAAAUGCAAGAAUCUAUAAAGAGAGGACAAAACACUGGCACGACAAGCAUAUUCAGCACAGGAAAUUCAACCCUAGUCAAUUAGUGUUGCUCCACAAUACAAGACUAAGAUUAUUUUUGGGAAAGCUCAAGUUACGAUGGUCUAGCCCGUUUAAGUUGUUAAAAUCUUAUUCUCAUGGAGUUGUUGAUCUUCUAGAUGAACAAACAGGCCACGAAUUCAAAGUUAAUGGACACAGGGUUAAGCAUUACAUACAUCCAGCAGUAGAAUGUUCAAAGGAGAUGUUACUCCUUAAAGAACCCAGCUAUUGAACAAUGAAGGAAGGUCAGGCUGAAGGACCUUAAAUCAAGCGCUCCAUGGGAAGCAGCCCAUUUGGGAGACAACCACUUCAAACCAAUUUUGAUCUCCUUUGGUUUAGUUGACAGCUCUCCCUCCUUACCAUUUUAUUUAAUUUUGUUCUUUCAUUCUAGCUAUUUAAUUUUAUCUUUUCAAAUUAUUGCAUUCUUUAAUUUUGCUAUCAUUUAAUCUAUUUAUUUUUAAAUGUUAGAAUUAAUUUGAAUUUGUGGGAAGUAUGUGUAACAAUUGAAUUCCAUACUGACAAGUGAGGUUGUAUGGUGGCAGAGUAUAGAGGUGAGCCACGUGUCAGAGGCUUUAGUGUGGAGUAUGUACCGUUGCUAGAGUAAGCGAAUGGGUGCUGCAGCAACCAAUUUUACCGUUGCAAUAAAUUGAAAGAUGAAGCCUCUCACUUACCGUUGGAGAUAAAUCAUGACAGAUGGAGGCUUGGAUGUGGAUAGAAAUUGCAAAUAAAUCUCUGAAAUUAAUGCCUUAAAUUACCUAGCCGAUGUUUUUGGGAUACGCGCUUUAAAUUAAAAAAUAUUUUCUUCCCUCAUUUAUCUUUAGUUACCGUAUUUAUCUCCAAUUAAAAGUCCACUAUAAAAAAGUCAUUGUACUUAGUGCUCUACACCACUAUUCCCCAUCUCCUUCGCAAAUCCAACUCUCCUAAUUCUUAGCCUCUUCUUCUCUUUUUACUCUCAGGAACAGUAGACUAAAUUUGUUACUGCUACAGUAAUGCCGAGAUAUAAGAAAACAGCAAGCCGCCUCAAAGAUCCGUCACGAUUCUAAAGUUACCACGCCGAAAAAAAAUAUGAAGAAUUCAUAGAGCCGCGUAGGAUUCUGGAAGAAAAAAGGUUUCAAUUUCCAGACCAACUCACGGGAAUUGUGCAAACAAUUCAUAAUGCUGCAGCAAAGCGAGGAUGGCUAGAGUUUUACAAACACCCUCGGGAUCCUGUGCUGCCUGUAGUAAAAGAAUUUUACGCCAAUUUGGUAAGCCCUGAUCAGCACAACAUUUGGAUAAGAAAUACACUUGUCCCAUUAGACUCUCGUGUUAUCAAUGCUUUUUAUAACUUACCUGCUGAAAUUACUUGUGAGUAUGCUAAGUUGCGUGAUAAGUUAACCCCGAAAAAGUGGAACACCAUUUUUACAACUCUUACAAUCGAAAGAGCAUCAUGGGCUAACAAGGAAGGGCGUGUAGUUAAUAGGAUAGAUUUGAAACCUAUUGCUAAGAUGUGGGUGAAAUUUCUGAAAUCUAGGCUUAUGCCCACCACUCACACUACUACAGUUUUGCAAGAAAGGUUGGUCUUGUUAUAUGUCAUAGUUCGCGGGCUUCCCAUAGAUGUGGGUAGCAUCAUCGCAAAAGAAAUCCGAGAUUGUGCAGUCAAGACUCACCGAACUGCUGCUUUGCUAUUUCCAUCACUCGUUACUAGCAUUUGUGUAGUUUCAGGUGUUCAUCUUGACGCCAGAGAUGACCAUGUCAAUAAUGAUGGUGCCUUUACGGCAUGAACCAUUGAGAGAGUUGCUGGUGAGAGUGCUGGAACAACCACUGAACCAGCUGCUGAGACAGGAGCAAGAUGAGCUAUUGGCUUAGAAAAGACCAUCCAGGCACUCAGCACAAGUAUAACUCAAUGUACGGAACCACAGCAGUGGGAAAACGAUCGAUUUUGGAGCUAUCUCCAGCACCUGGACAACCAACUACACCAAUUUUCUCUGUACAUGAAACGCACUCACCGGAACUUCCUUGAUGCACUGCUCCAGCAGUACAAUUUUGACACCAACACCACAAAUGCAUCAACAGAGGCUAGUGCAGAAGCCACUGCCACAGAGGAACCAGCAGAAGAUGCUACAGCCGAACCUCAAGCAGAGGAAGAAUCAGAAGAUGCUGAACCAUCUGAUUAGCCUGAGGAAGAAGGUGACAAGUCUGAGAUUGAUAGCUCACCUACAGAGGAAGAAGACAACUCGGAGAAAGACCGUGAGGAACCAACCAUCCUAACCCAGCCCAAAACCAGAAAAAAAAAAAGCACGUUAUUCAAGAAAAUGAGGAGGAAGACCUUGAAGAGGAGCCGUAUAUUCCAGUCCUUGCAGGCAAGAGAAAGGACAAGGGUAAAGCAAAAAUGGCAACAACUCCAGCCUCUGAAGAUGAGAUGGAGCAAGUCGAUGCUAAGCUGGCUGCUGCAGCAGCCAGAGCUAUGCCUACACCUAAGCAAGCUAAGCAACUACUUGCGGUUAUUGCUGCCAUCACAACUGAGGGCCAGGCAGCUGAUGCAUUAACUCAACAACCUCCACAGCAAACUCCUAGCCAGCCUAUUCGCACAAGUCCAAGACAAUCCAGCAAACAAAAAGGCAGUACGUCUACAAGUACUUCUACAGCAACCCCAGCCACAACUCCUCUCACCAGCCGCGCAGUGAAAAAGACAAAGACAUUGCCAGCUACUUCCCCAAAAGCUUCACCAAAGGAUGAGCUGCGCAGUGCAUCCAAGAAGUGCUGAUAGCAUCCCGUCAUGCACUCCAGUCCCCACCACAGGGGAGUACUCUAUCCUUACUAGUUCAUAUUUAAAAAAAAAAAAUUAUGUUUGUCAAUUUGUAUGCCUUUGUUAUGUAUGCUUGUGAGGACACAGCAUCUCUCAAGUUUGGGGGGAUUGUGUCCGAAUGCAUGUGUUUAUGUAUGUGUUUAUGUUUGUGUUGUGUGAAGCUCUGUUAUCUGUUAUUUGUGUAUGGAUUUGAAAACCUAAUAAAGAUAAAUUGAGUGUUAUUCAGUAUUUAUGAGAAUGCCAAGUAGAGAUAGUUAUAGAUAGAAGUGAAAUUAUGUCCCAACACUUAGACUUUGGUUGAAUUGUAUGAGACUGUUAGAGCAAAGCCAAAAGAAUAGAAAAUAUCUUAAGUUUGAAGGGAGAAGCAAGUUGAUUGACUGUGAUAUUUAUGAGAUAAAACUCUACUCCAAUGGCUCAAGUUGCUGAGUAACCAAAUCUGAGUAUGUACCCCAUAUGCAGAAUUGUGUAAAAGGUAGCAAGAGUUAUGAGCAAUGCUGUAGCAAAUAAAAAAAAAAGUCCUAUGUCUAAGGCAUUGAGUAGUCAGGUCUGUUCAUGAACCCCAUGUUCAGCCUUGAGUAAAAGAUACCUUUAGAUGAGAUUAUACCGCAAAUAUUGCUGCAGCAACUCUGAUCUGGGCAUGGUUUAAGUAAUUGGGUGUCAUCAUUACAAGUGAUUGACAUUCACAUGAAAGAUAAAUGUUACAGUAAGGAGGUUGAUUACUCCCCAGUUUAUCAAUGUAAAACAAUCACAGUUUGAAUAUGUGAAAUUUAUGCUACCCCAUUUAUGAAUGAAGUAUAUCACUGCUGAAAUUUAUGCAGUCCUUUGGUGAUGUUACAGCAUAUCUGGAAUUCAAUCAAAGGAAGCACACACACACAAUGGACAGAAAGAAGCUUAAGUCUAGAACUGAUUUACUAUGGCAUUUUGUAUGAUUGGGAUUGUGAUCUGAAGGUGGAAGAAUCCUUGCAAAUUUGAUAAAAGAGCUAAAGUUGUGUGCAUGUUUGUUUGCGGAAAAUGUUAGUAUGUGUCAUUACUUGAAGGCAAGUAAUGGUUUAAGUUUGGGGGUGUGAUAACUCUAAGAAAUGAGAGUUAUUACAUCAAUUCUAGACUUGAAUCAGGAUCAUUUAGAGAACAAAUAAGGUGUUUUUAUUACAUUUUGCUUAAACAUUCAUUUUAGUUGAGUAUUAAUAAGUUUUGCUUGAAUUAUAGUAAUUUGUACUAAAAACAUAUGCAUAAUUGUAGGUUCUUGGAAAGUCUUAAUUCAUGAGGGGAUGUCGAGGCAUUAGAUGAGCAAGAGGAGGAAAGAAGACGGUCAUAAAAGAAGAAAAGCACAAUCGGGAGUAAUGCAGUGCUGUUGUGGAUGUUAGAGCAACCCGUGCUAUAGCAAUCUAGAAGUAAAUGUCGGAGAAAACUUAGGCUCAGGUCAGCACAUGUUUCCUAAUUUAACGCACGCACGCUCAUGGGCUUGUGUUUACCCUAAUUUGCAAUAUAAAAUGGAGGCAAUACCACAAAGAAAUGCGGCAAGGAAAUUAUCAUUAGAAUAAUCACAAAGGAACGAAGAAGGAGAAGAUCAGAAUUGAAGAGUGUUGUUUUGGUAACAUUGGAGAAUCGUGCAGAAUUACUUGGCUUUGAUUUUCACCGUGCUCAACUUAUAUUUAUCUUCUUCUUUUAAUUGUUUUGAUGUAUUCCGAGAUCAAUAUAUUUAUGAUUAUUUUUGUCAUCCAGAUUAUGAACUAAAUUUACUUGUAGUUGAGUGACAAAUAAUCCAAUGGGUUCUUGACUGUUCUUAUAUGUUGUUAUGUUAAUGCUGUAGCAUUUUACUCUAGUAGUUUUUAUGAGUAUAACUGUUAUUUAGGUUGACCACCCAUUUAAUAGUUUCAGUUAAGAUAGAGCAGCAAAAGGGCAUGUCUUAGCGGACAUUAUUAGAGUAUUACUUGUUCUUAAGUCGAGUUUCCUGGAUUAGGUUAUCUUGAAUCCCAUAAGGGCAGUACUUGAAGUUAAGAUUUGUGACACUCUAGACAUAGGUGUUCACCUUGUAGGGUAGAGAGAUUAAAGGAUAUAAUGACGUACCAUAAAUAUAUGAGCAACUGGUCAUUGUUAGUAGAUUUAAAGGUAUGAGAUUUCUAACAUGCGAUAGCUGAGGAUGCAGAUUUAUUCUGCCCAGUGCUGCAGCACUUAUUGUAACAACUGGUGCUAAUUUGGUAAACAACAAUCACCCCAUUAGGAGAGUUUGAUCAUUCAACUACUAUAUUCUCAAUUGAAUCUUAGACACAGUUAACUUAGUUUAUUUCAUUACAGUAUUGUUUUAUUUCUAUCUCUCGCAAUUAUUAACUACGAUAGAAUUAUUUGACAAUUGUUUGUUUCGGUUUUAGUUAAUUUGCACUAUUGUGAUUGCUUUAGCAUUUUGAGUAACAUCAAUCCCUGUGAAGACGAUCUUGAAUAUUCAUCACUUUAUUACUUAUUGUGUAUACUUGCACAUUGGCAUUGGUAGUAAUUGAUUAUAAAAAUAAAUCAACAGGGAGAUAAGGAGAUGCUUCCAGUAAGUUGAUUGUAAGAAACAUCUAAUAUUCGGAGGGAUGUCAUAUUUGCCAAGCACCAAGGCAAGCUACCUCUUAAAUCAUUGCUUGCAAUGUACAACUCUUGUAGAUGCACCAACGAACAGAGGCCUGAAAAUUUAUUAAUUCAACCAUUGGUACAAUAAAACAAUUAACAAAUGCAUAACAUUCUUUUAUAAGUGAUUGGUUUGUGUAAUUAUAUUUUUAAUUGAAAAUUAAAAUUAUAGAUCAAGAGGGGAGGGUGGGAGCAUCUGAUUAACCUUGAUCAAGAAUCAUGCUGCUGUUAAUGCCAAUAGUAGAACCUGACAGUGAUAAGUACUUGAGAGAAGACAUCGAUUCACCGAUGCUUUGAAGAAAGCUGGUGUUGAGUGCACUGCGCAUGAAUUCCAUGUCCAAAUGUUCCAAACUCUUGAAAUGAGGAAAGCCUAGCAAAAACAAUAAAAUAAAUAAAUAAAAAUGUUGAACACUUAAGACGACAUUGAGUUCACAAUCAACACUUUUCUUUUACCUUGACCACGUACGACACCAUUGACUUCACAACCAAUCACCGACAGAUUUUUUAACGAAGGGAAUAUUGAUGCAAUGCUUUACAGAAGGCUUAUAUGGAGAGGGGAAUCGUUCAAUUUCAAAUAUUCCAAGUUGGUGAAAUUGUGCAACUCUGUUUCGAAGCAAUAAUUUUAGCUUUAUUAACAAUACGGAAAAAUAAUUAAUUAUUUAACAGUUUAUUUAUAAAUUUGGCCACAUAUGUACCGUUUAUUAAUAAUAUGGAUAAUUAAUUAAUUAAUUAGCUGCUUAUUUAUAAAUUUGGCCACAUUUGUACCUUUUACUUACCUUGAGUAGUAAUUGUCACUGUUUCCGUAAAAUUAUUAGACGAAAGGUAAAGAUUGUUGAGGGAUGGGAAUGAUCCCAUUGACUGUAACAACUUGCUUCCAUCUCUAACUCCAACUCUCGAUAGAUCAAGGCUUUUCAACUUCCUCAAACCGCUGUAACCUAUUUAAUAACAAUAAUUAGGAUAGGAUUUAAGAAAAUCAAAAUUCAUUGUCUAAAUUUAGAGCUAAACGAAAUAACUGAUUAAUUUAAUUAGGAGUCAAUUUGUAUUUUAUGCUUUGGGCAAAGAUCAGUAUCAUUUUUCAAUCGCUGCAAAGAUUAAAAAAUUAAAAUGAAAUCUUUAUUACAUUUUGUUUUUGAAAUAAUAAUAUUACGUCCUAUUUUUGAAAUAAUAUAAAUUCUAUGUUUCUUUAUUUUUAUUUUUAUUUUUUUGUACCUUUUGGGCCUUCCCUAAUCAAAUGAAUAAAAUUUAUGUAAUUGAAUAAUAUUUUAAAUGUUUACCUUGAGGAACCACAAGAUUGUUGAUUUCAUUGAAGCUCAUGUCCAACAAUUCUAAGUUGUUGAAGGAAUUGAAUUCUGCAAACAUAAACAGACUUAAGACUUAAAACAGAGUAAAUUAAUUAAUAAAUUUAAAGAAAUUAAAACGUCAUUAGAAUUUCGUCUAAACCAAACCAAAUAGUAUUUAAUUAAUUGAUUGAAAAAGUAUGCUUACUUUGUAUGUAAUUCCUUCAGGCUAAUCAAAUUAAAUAUUAAAUUAUGUCGAUAAUACAGAAGUCUAGCUGGCAUAUAUAAAAUGAGAAAGCAGGGCUUAGACUUACCUCGAACAUUGAAUGUUCCUUUGAAUCUCGUACCACUUAAACUAAGAGACUUCAAUUUACUCAAACCUGUAAAAUAAUAAACCAAAUGGCAAAGAAUCCAGCUAAUUUGUAUAAGUUAGCAUUUUUUAUGGUAUUUGUAGUACCUUUUGAGACCACAAAUUUGUCAAUCUUGUUCCCGCCAAUGUCUAGCUCCUCUAAAUCUCUCAAAGAAUCUAAUUCUGUAAUAAGUACAAAUUGAGUUGAAUGUUUCAAACCUCACCAAAUAAUAAUAAUAAUAAUAAUAAUAAGUUGUGGAGGUGUUUGGUUCACUAUUGGAGUUUUUUUUUAAUCUUAAAUUCAAGACAUAUGAAAGUACAAGAUGAAAUUACGAGAAACAUAAAAACUUGUAUUUAUAAAUUGCUUAAAACUGUUUUUUUUAAUAUUAAUCAUAAAAAAAUUGAAUUCAAAGCCUUGAAUCUUAUUUUAGCAAGUUAAUGAAAGAACUUGAAGUUUUAAUUAUGUACCUUUAACGUCAAUACUUCCUUCCAAUCUAUUCCAAAAUAAAUUUAAUGAUCUUAAUGGUGAAAGAUGAGUUAGAGAUGAUAAAAUGCUAUUAUUGAAUGAGUUUCCACUUAAAUUAAGCAUCUUCAAGUUGUUCAAUCUUGAUAGCCUCUCUAUACCUGCAAGUAAAAUAAAAAAAAGAUCAUAGAUACUGGUGUAAUUUCAAAAUUAAUCAUUUAAAAAAAAAGUCAAAAUUGUCGACUAAAUGAAUAUGCAUAUAAUUGCUCGGUCUUGAUAUUCAACUUAAAUUAGGGGGGAGAAAGUAAAUUAAUUAAAUUAAACGAAGCACCUUCAUUCUCAACACAACUGGCUAUUUUGUUGUCAGUUAAAUCAAGUGACUCAAGUUGUUGGAAGGGAGUAAACAAAGAAGCAUUCAGAUACCAGUACUCUCCCCCAUACGUGUCAGAAAGGUCUAGCGCUAUCACUCGGCUCAUGGUGUUGCUGCACUCAACCCUUUCCCACUGACAACAAUCAGUAGCUCCCUCACCAUCUCCCCAGUCGUAAAGAAAAUUAUAAGGAUCAUUGAGGAAAUGUUUGAGUCGCAAAAGAGCAAAUCUCUCAUGAUCCAAACAUCCCUCACUUCACCCACCUUCAAAUAUUAUUAAUAACAAAACAAACAUUAUCACCAUUUUUUUAUUUUGAACCACCCAUUCUAACUAUAUCUUUAAGUUUUAAAAAACACACACACUCUUUCUAUCUUUGUAACCAACCAGAGGACUAUACGCCAUUUGCUUAUAACGCAUGUAACUAUUUAUACACCCAACUAGCUUAUAGUUGACUUUUUUAGUUGUUUCUCCAAGUCCUUCAUGCAUUAAUUUUCUUCCCUUUUUUUUUCAUCUUUGUCAUUUUGCUAUAAUUUGCAACAGCAACGCGUUUUGAGCUAGCAAUAAAUAAUAAUUGAGAGAGAUUGAGAUGACAAAUGGAUAGAAACUAAAAGUAUGGGUGUUUAAUACGAGAACGAUUAUACCCGUUUAUUAUAUUUCAACCUAAAAAUUUACUCUAAGCAUUUAUAAUAAAUAAAAAUAUGAUAAUAAAAAUAAUAAAAAAAUAUGAAUAAUAUAUAUUUGUAAAAAAAAAAGAUUUAUGUGUCCAUUUUGAAAAUUAGCGAGUAUAUGUAAAUAUAAUUAUCAAAACAAACCAUAGAAGUGUUGUUAUUUUUUCCUUUCAAAAAAUCCACCAUUAUAAAAAAAGCCCAAAGACUUUGACAUCUUUUAGGAGUCUUUGGGCCUUGUUUUUUUCCCUCUUUUUCUUUCAUUUGCAUUUUGAUCCACAAGGCCAAAAAUUAAAUUCCACACCUUUGGCAUUUUGUGGAGAUUACAUUUCCAUGUUUUUACUUAGAAAGUAGGUGGAGACGUGGAGUCAAUGCGGCCAAGUGCUCAAUUAUUGUUAGUUAGCAAAAUAGAAUUUUUGGCGAGAUGAAUUUGUUGUAAAAAAGUUUUUGGAAAAAAUAAUAAUCAUCGGAACUUGUCUUGUGUCUUUAUAACAAUUUACUACUGCGAAAUCUUUACAACUUCACAUCUUUGAUUCAAUUAUCGCCACAAAGGCACAAGUACGUCCAUUUGUAAACCAAUCGAUAGAGAUCAAAUUUCAAGCCAUGAACUUGUAUUGUCAGCAAACACCUAAUCACUUUAGAUAUUUGUAUCGUUUAAUUAAUUAAUGAUCACUCUGAAAUUACAGAGGUUGGCCGAAUAUUCCCCUAAAAUUAAUUAAUUUUACCGAAAGGGAAUUAUUAGACAGAUCAAGUGUGUCUAGUUUUUUUGUUGUUUUGUAACAAUCAAUUUGGAAACUCUUCACUCAAGUUAGCAUCUUAGAGAUCAAGAUAAACAAACUCCUAGUGAUGCUAAUGGAAGAGGAAUUUAUAAGAGGAGAAGAGAGAGUAAUUAUGCUUGAUCAAGAAAGGUACCAUUAAAUCUAGAAUAUGACAAUUAAUGGUAGAAAAAUUAACAAGCAUGUAAUCCACGAUCAAAGAUUUUAAAUCCUUGAAAUUUAGAUAACCUAAAAAUUAACAUUGAACAAGAAAUAAAUCAACACUGCCACUUUGAUCACAUAAUCGAUGAAACUUAGGAUAUAUAAUCAACACCUGUUUAUUUUACUAUUGAAUUACUAUUUUUUCUGUAUUAUUUGAAUAAGGGAAUUGAUUUGGAGAAACUCUCACUAUAAUUGAUGAAAAUCAAGAUAUAAUCAAUACAUAUUCAUUUUAUUUUUAAAUUAAUACUUUUCCAUUAUUAUUUGAAGAAGGGAAUUGGUCUCAAAAAAUCUUAUUGUAAUAUAUGUAACUUAAACUUUUUUUUUCUGAAAUAAAAAUUAACUUUUAAGAAGGCUUCAAAUAUGGAGAGGGGACCAGUCCAUUAAUGUCAAUUCUUCCAAGUUAGUGACAUUGUGCAGCUUUAUUUGAUUAGAAGGUGCAACAUCUUUAGCUUUAACAUAUCUUAUUCUUUAAGACUAUUAAAACUUUUAAAUUAUGUCCACAUGCCCACCCUAUAAGAUCCACAAAAGUAGCAGAUAAAAUGGAAGAAGUACGCUAAGGGGCUGUUUGAUUUUAGUUGUGGCUUACACAGCACGAAAUUACACCAAAAAUGCCCCGACCAGAUUUAAUAAAACAAAUGUACUCUUACUCAGUUUAUUAUUUAUUUUUACAUAGAUAUAUUUUCUUUUUUUUCUUUUUUUUUCUUUUUCAACUUAGAAAAGAGAAUUAGGGGACAGAUCAAGUGUGUCUGAUUUUGCGUUGCUUUCUAGCAAUCAACUUGGAAACUUUCCACUCAAGUUAACAUGUGAGAGCUGAUGGAAGAGGAAUUUGAAAAAUCGUGACUCUAAUUUUGCAUAUAUUUGAUUAUUUCAACACUUGAUUGGUUUUGAAUGGUCCAAGAAUGGGCAAGUGACAAUGAGACUUGGAAGUGAUAGUUUGAAAAAGUGAGAUCUUCAAUUGAUAUUAGAUAAAUGAGAGUAGACUAGGAUAUAUUUCCAGUAAGCUUAUGGAGAGAGACAUAUCAAACUUGAAGUAAGAAGUCAUAUUUUCCAAGCACCAAAGACAAUUUAUUGUACCCGGAAUAUAAUUAUGGUCAAUAAAACAAAAAACUCUUGCAGAUUCAUCAACUGAUUGGGUUGAAAACAUAAUUCAUCCUUUAGCUAAUAACAAUUAAUGAACGCAUAAAAUCUUAUAUCUUUUAACAUAAAUGUUAAAUAUUAAUUUUAUUAAUAGUCGCAACCUUAUGCAGGCAUAAUUUGGUCAUGAAAACAAUAAAUCUAUCCGUUCUUAAAGGCUAUUAACUAUAACAAAAAAUCAAUUAAUAUAAUUUUUAUAAGAGGAGAAGAGAGACUAAGUAUCCUUCAUCAAGAAAUGUACCAUUAAGUCUAGAAUAUGAUAGUCAAUGGCGGAAAAAUUAACAUGCGCAUAAUUUAUGAUCAAAUAUUAUAAAUCCUUGAAAUUUAACAAGUCAUUUCAUUAAAAUAUGGAUCACCUUCCACACAUUUUAGAAAUCUUAUCAUUUUUUUUCUUUUUUCAUUAAAUUAUGUUUUGGUCCACACAACCGAAAAUUAAAUUCCACGCAUUUUGCAUUUAGUGGAAUUCUAUGUAUUUUUUAAUUUUACAAAACUUUAGUCGGUGGAGUCAAUGGGGCUAGAAAUUCAUUGAAGGGUCCCGAGAAUCAAAGGUGCUUACUCAAUUAUUAUUUGUAAAGUUGUAGACUUGUAGGGCAGCUACCGGAGUCCACACGUUGUAAUGUUUUGUUCACUAUCAAUCUCAUUGUUGGUCGUUUCCAACACGCUCAAGAAUCCAAUUCUGCAUAAACACAUAAAAUUAAAGACUUAAAACAGAGUUUAAGUAAUUAAUAAUUUAACUGGAAACAAAUUAAAAAGGAGAAUUUAAUUAUUGAAUUCCACAUUGUGCUAUUGAAAAUUAAAAAAAAAAAUUGUUGUCACCUCAGUCAAUUAGAUAAUCACUACAAAUAGUUCUUUAUGUAGAUGAUAUUCUUCUAAUUGGAAAUGAUAUAGGAAUAUUGACUACAAUAAAGAGUUGGUUAGCAAAACAAUUUGAUAUGAAAGAAAGACAUGAGAGAAGCAAGUUAUAUUCUUGGUAUCAAAUUACUACGAGACCGGAAGAAUAAAACUUUAGCCUUGGCUCAAGUGGUCUAUAUCGACAAGAUAUUGGUUAGAUUUAGCAUAGAAAAUUCCAAGACUGGUUUAUUACCAUUUAGACAUGGAAUUGUAUUCUCUAAGGACCAAUCACCUAAAACAUCUAAAGAGAUGGAGAAAAUGAGACGAGUUCCCUAUGCAGAAGUUGUGGGAAGUCCCAUGUAUGUCAUGCUUUGCACUAGGCUAGACAUCUGUUUUGUGGUAGGAAUGGUUAGCAGAUAUCAAAUCCUGGACCUGAACACUAGACUGUAAUCAAGCAUAUAAUGAAGUAUCUUAAAAAAACUAAAACUUAUAUGCUUGUGUAUUCUAGUGAUGAACUCAUUCCAGUGGAUUCUAGAAAAUCAACUUUCGGCUAUAUGUUUACAUUAGGAAGUGGAGCUAUUAAUUGGAGGAGUGUGAAACAAUUUGUAUCACAGACUCCACAACUGAAGCUGAAUAUGUGGAUGCAUCUGAAGCUGCAAAAGAAGUUGUAUGGCUUUGCAAGUUCCUACAAAAUCUUAAGGUGGUACCUGUUGUAACUGCACCCCUUAAACUAUUUUGUGAUUAUGGUGGUGCAGUAGCUCAAUCUAAGGAACCACAAGAAACAAAAACAUAUUGAGAGGAAACAUCAUCUUAUAAGGGAAUAGUAUAGAAAGACUAUAUGACAGUACCCCAAAUGACAUUAGAUGCUUUAUGGUAGAUUUUAUUACAAUGGCCAUUAGUGGGAAACCUUUAUAACCUGCACUUAGAGCCCCUAGAGCAUGUGCAAUAUGCCAGAUAUGCUUUAAAGAGCUAGUGGGAGAUUGUUGGGAUUAUGUGCUCUUUUAAAAGUAUUAUUAAUUUAUUUUCUGAUUAAUAAAAUAUUUGAGAUAUUUCAAUUGCAUAAAUAUAUUGAAUAAGGUCCGUUUAAUCAUAUUAUAUUUUCUCUUGCUAGUUGCUUUUAGUAGUGAUAAAAGCACCCACACGUCAAGUGCAGAUCAAACUUGAGUCAUAACCCAGAAGAUUAUUUGGUGACAGAUCGUGAUCUAACAAGCGUGGUGGUGACAGAUCGUGAUCUAACAGGCGUGAUGGUGACGGAUCAUGAUCUGGGAAGCCUGGAUUAAUUUCAAUUGUUCAUCUUCUCAGUUGCACUCAAUGUGUAUUAGAAUCCACGAAGGUCCGAUCCNNNNNNNNNNNNNNNNNNNNNNNNNNNNNNNNNNNNNNNNNNNNNNNNNNNNNNNNNNNNNNNNNNNNNNNNNNNNNNNNNNNNNNNNNNNNNNNNNNNNAACGUAGAACCCUGUAGUUGGUUGCAGAGAUAGAAAGAGUGAGUGUGUUUUCCAUAGUUAAAGAUAUAGUUAGAAUGGAUAGUUCAAAAUCAAAAAUGGUGAUAAUGUUUGUUCUGUUAUUAAUUAAAUUUGAAGGUGGGUGGAGUGAGGGAUGUUUGGAUCAUGAGAUAUUUGCUCUUUUUCGACUCAAAUAUUUCUUCAAUGAUCUUCAUGAUUGGGUAGAUGAUGAGGGAGCUACUGAUUGUUGUCAAUGGGUAAGGGUUGAAUGCAACAACACCACAGAUCGAGUGAUAGCACUAGACCUUUCUGAUACUAGGAAUUGGGAUUUGGGAGAGUGGUAUCUGAAUGCUUCUUUGUUUACUCCCUUUCAACAACUUGAGUCACUUGAUUUAAGUUGGAACAAAAUAGCCGGUUGUGUUGAGAAUGAAGGUGAAUUUACUUCUCCCUCCUAAUUUAAGUGGAAUAUCAAGACUGAGCAACUAUAUGCAUAUCGAUUCAGUUGACAAUUCUGACAUUUUUUUUAAGUGAAUAAUUAAUUUUGAAAUCACACAAGUAUCUAUAAUCCUUUUUUAUUUUACUUGCAGGUCUAGAGAGGCUAUCAAAAUUGAACAAUUUGAAGAUGCUUGAUUUAAGUGAAAACUUGUUCGACAAUAGCAUCUUAUCAUUUGUAGGUCGUCUUUCAUCAUUACGAUCAUUAAAAUUAUCUUACAAUAGAUUGGAAGGAAGUAUUGAUGUUAAAGGUACAUAAUUAAAACUUUAUCUCUUCUCCAAGCUCUUUCAUUAACUUGCUAAAAUAAGAUUCAAGGUUUUGAAUUCAAUUUUUUAAUGAUUAAUAUUUUAAAAAAAUAGUUUUUAGCAAUUCAUAAAUACAAGUUCUAGUGUUUCUCAUAAUUUCAUCUUGUACUUUCAUAUGUAUUGUAUUUAAGAUGAAAAAAAAAUUCUAAUUGCGAACCGCACACCCCCACAACUUAUUUUUUUGUGAGGUUUGAAACAUUCAACUCAAUUUGUACUCUUUACAGAAUUAGAUUCUUUGAGAGAUUUAGAGGAGCUAGAUAUUGGCUGGAACAAGAUUGACAAAUUUGUGGUCUCAAAAGGUACUACAAAUACCAUAAAAAAUAUAAACUUUUACAAAUUAGCUGGAUUCUUUGCCAUUUGUUUUAUUAUUUCGUAGGUUUGAGGAAGUUGAAGUAUCUCGGUUUAAGUGGCAACAAACUCAAUCAUAGCAUCUUAUCUUCUCUGACUAUCUUUUCUUUGUUAAGAGAAUUAUAUCUACGUGAUACGGGAUUCAAAGGAACAUUUGAUGUUCGAGGUAAGCCUAAGCCUUGCUUUCUCAUUUUAUAUAUGUCAGCUAGACUUGUGUAUCAUCGACAUAAUUUAAUAUUUAAUUUGAUUAGUCUGAAGGAAUUACAUGCUAAUUUAAACAAACUUUUAUUUACCCUGUCAAUCAUUAAUUAAACACUAUUUGGUUUGGUUUAAACCUACUUUUUUAUUUUAUAUGCUAGCUAGACUUAGAUACUAACUAUUUUGAUGAGUCUGAAGGAAUUAGAUACUAACUAAACAUACUUUUAUGUACUCCCUCAAUUAAUUAAUUAAUUAUUUCACUUGGUUUGGACGAAAUUCUCAUGAUGCUUUAAUUUCUUUAAAGUUAUUAAUUAAUUAAUUCUGUUUUUAAGUCUUAAGUCUGGGUAUGUUUGUAGAAUUCAAUUCCUUCAAUAACUUAGAAGCGUUGGACAUGAGCAACAACGAAAUCGACAAUCUUGUGGUUCCUCAAGGUAAACAAUUAAAAUAUUAUUCAAUUACAUAAAUUUAAUUCAUUUGAUCAGGGAAGACGCAAAAGGUACAAAAAUAAUAAUAAUAAAAUAAAGAAACAGAGAAUUUAUAUUAUUUCAAAAACAGGACGUACUAGUUAUUUCAAAAACAGAAUGUAAUAAAGAUUUGAUUCCAGUACUUUAAUCUUUACAGUGAUUGAAAAACGAUACUAAUCCUUUCCCAAAGUAUAAAAUACGAAUUGACUCCCAAUUAAAUUAAUCAUUUAUUUAGUUCAUCUCUAAAUUUAAACAAUGAAUUUUGAUCUUCAAUCCUAUUCUAAUUACAAUUAAAAAACAGGUUAUAGAGGUUUAAGGAAUUUGAAAAGCCUUGAUCUAUCAGAAGUCGGAAUUAGAGAUGGAAGUAAUUUGUUACGGUCAAUGGGAUCAUUCCCAUCCCUCAACACUCUUUACUUGACUUCUAAUAAUUUUAUCGAUACAACGUCAGGUACAGAUGUGUCCAAAUUUAUAAAUAGGCUGUUAAUUAAUUAAUUAAUUUUCUGUAUUGUUGAAAAAGCUAAAUUUGUUGCUUCGAAACAGAGUUGCACAAUUUCACCAACUUGGAAUAUUUGGCAUUGGACUCUUCCUCUCUCCAUAUAAGCCUUUUACAAAGCAUUGCAUCAUUCACUUCGUUAAAAAUAUUGACGAUGACUAAUUGCGAAGUCAAUGGCGUCCUAAGUGGUCAAGGUAAAAGAAAAGUGUUGAUUAUAAAUAAACUAUUAAUUAAUUAAUUAAUUUUCCGUAUUAUUGAUAAAGCUAAAUUUGUUGAUCCUUCCUUUUAAUUCUAAACAGAGUUGCACAAUUUCGCCAACUUGGAAUAUCUGGCAUUGGACUUUUCCUCCCUCCAUACAAGCCUUCUGCAAAGCAUUGCAUCAUUCACUUCGUUAAAAAAAUUGUCGAUGACUAAUUGUGAAGUCAAUGGUGUUCUAAGUGGUCAAGGUAAAAGAAAAGUGUUGAUUAUGAAUAAGCUGUUAAUUAAUUAAUGUUGUUGCUCCUUGCUUCUAAAAUGAGUUGCGCAAUUUCACCAACUUGGAAUAUUUGAAUUGGACUCUUCCUCGCUCCAUAUAAGCCUUCUGCAUCUGCAAUUGCUUGAAGAAUUUAUUUAUUUAUUUAUUAUUGUUGUUGUUGUUGUUGAAAUGGGGUGGGCAAGCGUUCACUCAGUUAAUAUGUGGUGAAUUAAAUAUUACAAUCCAAGUUAGAAUUGUGGAAAAUUAAAGCAAAAUGAGAAAUAUGGACAGAAAGGAAGAAAGUUAAGGGCAUGAAAGACUAGGAGAAGACUGAAGACCACCAAAUAAGUCAAUUGAAAACUAGCUGGGGCUUGGGUGUACAAAUUGUUAGAAGUGUUUGUUAUAAAUCACAUAGAGCCCUCUUGUUGGUUGCAGAGCCAAAGAGACAAAGAGUGUGCAUUUUAUUAAUUAAAAAAAUAUAUAGAAUGGGUGGUUUAAAAUCCAAAUGGUGAUAAUGUUAGUUUUGUUAGUAUUAAUAAUAUUAGAAGGGGGUAGCGUGAGGGAUGUUUGGUGCAUGAGAGAUUUGCUCUUUCGAGACUUAAAAAAUUUCUUCAAUUCUCCUUAUAAUUUUUGUCACGACUGACCAUUGUCAAUGGGAUGGGGCUGGGUGCAGCAACACCACAGGGCGAGUGGUAUCUGAAUGUUUCUUAGUUUACUCUUUUUCAACAAAUUGAGUGGGUUAAUUUAAGUUGGAACAAUAUAGUUGGUAGUGUUGAGAAUGAAGGUGUUUCGUUUAAUUUAAUACUUUCUCCCUCCUAAUUUAAGUCGAAUAUCAGGAUUGAGCAACUAUAUGUAUCUUUAUUCAGUUGACAAUUUUGACAUAUUUUUUUAAAUGAUUAAUUUUGAAAUUACAUCAAACUGAUGUGAUCUCUGUUUUGAUUUUACUUGCAGCACUAGAGACGCUCUCAAGAUUAACCAACUUGAAGAUGCUUGAUUUAAGAGGAAACUUGUUCAAUAAUAGCAUUUUAUCAUCUCUAGCUCAUCUUUCAUCAUUAACAUCAUUAGAUUUAUCUGAGAAUAAAUUGGAAGGAAGUAUUAAUGUUAAAGGUACGUAAUUAAAAUGUCAUCGCUUCUCCCAACUCUUUCAUUAACAUGCUAAAAUAAGAUUCAAGGCUUUGAAUUCAAUUUUUUUUAAUGAGUAAUAUUAGAAAAAUAGUUUUAAGCAAUUCAUAAAUACAAGUUUCAAUGUUUCUCAUAAUUUCAUCUUGUACUUUUGUAUGUCUUGACUUUAAGAUUAAAAAAAAAAAUUAUUCUAACUGUGAAGCAAAUACCCCACGACUAAUUUAUUAUUUUGUCUAGUUAAAAAUGAUAAAAUUUAUUAUUUGCUUAUAUUGAUUAAUUAACUCUAUUUUUAAGUCUUAAGUCUUGGCGUCUUGGCAUGUUUGCAGAAUUUGAUUCCUUGAGCAACUUAGAGGAGUUGGACAUGAGCGGCAAUGAAAUAGACAAUUUUCAGGUUCCUCAAGGUAAACUAUUAAAAUAUUAUUCAAUUACAUUAAUUUAAUUCGUUUGAUUAGGGAAGGCCAAAAGGUACAAAAACAUAAUAAAAAACUAAAGAAACAAAGAAUUUAUAUUAUUUCAAAAAAUAAAAUGUAAUACUAUUAUUUCAAAAAUAGAAUGUAAUAAAGAUUUGAUUCCGGUUCUUUAAUCUUUACAGCAAUUGAAAAACAAUGUUGCUCUUUUUCUAAAGCAUAAAAUAUGAAAUGAGUCAUAAUUGAAUUAGUCAUUUAUUUUGUUUAGCUCUAAAUUUAGAUAAUAAAUUUUGAUUUUUUUCAAUCCCAUCCUUAUUAUUAUUAUUAUUAUUAUUAUUAUUAUUAUUAUUAUUAUUAUUAAACAGGUUACGGAGGUUUGAGGAAGCUGAAAAGCCUGCAUCUAUCGAGAGUUGGAAUUAGAGAUGGAAGCAAGUUGUUACGGUCAAUGGGAUCAUUCCCAUCCCUCAACACUCUUUACCUUUGGGGUAAUAAUUUUACGGAAACAAUGACAACUACAACUCAAGGUAAGUAAAAGGUAUAGGUUUGGCCAAAUUUAUAAAUAAAUUGUUAAUUAAUUAAUUUUCCACAUUAUUAAUGAAGCUAAAUUCCUUGCUCCUUCUUUGUAAUUCUAAACAGAGUUGCACAAUUUCACCAACUUGGAAUAUUUGACAUUGGACCAUUCCUCUCUCCAUAUAAGCCUUCUGCAAAGCAUUGCAUCAAUAUCCCCUUCAUUAAAAAAUUUGUCGAUGUGUGGUUGUGAAAUCAAUGGUGUCGUACGUGGUCAAGGUGAAAGAAAAGGGUUGAAUAUGAACUCACUCAAUGGUGUCCUAUGUGUUCAACUUAUUUAUUUUUUUAUUAAUUUUAUUUUUUAAUGUUUCUACUAGGUUUUCCUCAUUUCAAGAGUUUGGAACAUUUGGAGAUGGAUGACGCGCGCAUUGCACUCAACACCAGCUUUCUUCAAAUCAUCGGUGAAUUGAUGCCCUCUCUUAAGUACUUAUCACUAUCAUAUUCUACUCCUGGCACUAACAGCAUCGAGAUUCUUGAUCAAGGUUAAUGAGAUGCUCCACUCUCCCCGCUUAAUCUAUAAUAUUAAUUUUUGAUUAAAUGUUUAAUUACACAAACGAAUCACUUAUUUUAAAAGAAUAAUACGUAUUCAUUAAUUUUUAUAUUGUAUUAAUUGAUGAAUUUAAUAAAUUUUCAGGCCUCUGUUCGUUGAUGCAUAUGCAAGAGUUACACAUUGCUCAUAACGAUUUAAGAGGUAGCUUGCCUUGGUGCUUGGCAAAUAUGACAUCCCUCAGGAUAUUAGAUGUUUCUUCCAAUCAACUUACUGGAAGCAUCUCUUCAUCUCCCCUCAUUCAUUUGACAUCCAUUGAAGAGCUGAGGCUUUCAGACAAUCAUUUUCGGAUUCCAAUUUCACUUGAACCACUUUUUAAUCACUCAAGACUCCAGAUUUUCGAUGCUUACAACAACGAAAUAAAUGCAGAAAUAACUCAAUCACCUUCUUUGACCCCAAACUUCCAAUUAUCACAUCUCUCAUUGUCUUUCGGUUAUGGAGAUGGUGUCACAUUCCCCAAAUUCCUUUACCAUCAACAUGACCUUGUGAAUGUUGAUCUCUCACACAUAAAGAUGAAUGGAGGAUUUCCAAAUUGGUUGUUGGAAAACAACACAAGAUUAGAAACUCUUUCUUUGGUCAAUGAUUCUCUUGCAGGACCUUUCCGAUUGCCAAUUCAUUCACACAAGCAGUUAAGACUGUUGGAUGUCUCCAACAACAACUUCCAAGGCCACAUUCCAGUAGAAAUUGGAGAUAUUUUACCAAGUUUAAUAUCCUUUAACAUUUCAAUGAAUGCUUUAAACGGUAGCAUUCCCUCUUCAUUUGGUAAUAUAAACUCCCUUCAAAUUCUGGACUUAUCCAACAAUCAAUUGAUUGGUGAAAUACCCGAGCACUUGGCUGUGGGUUGCGUCAACUUGGAGUAUCUUACAUUAUCAAACAACAACCUAGAAGGUCAUAUGUUCACUAGAAAUUUUAACCUGACAAACUUGAGAUGGUUACAAUUGGAAAGCAAUCACUUCGUAGGAGAGAUCCCACAAAGCUUGUCUAAAUGCUCUUCACUAGAAGGAUUGUAUCUUAAUAAUAACAGUCUCUCGGGUAAGAUUCCACGAUGGUUAGGUAAUCUCAAAGGGUUAAAACAUAUUAUAAUGCCCGAGAAUCAUCUUGAAGGUCCUAUUCCAAUGGAGUUUUGUCAACUUUAUUCGCUUCAGCUUUUGGACAUUUCAGACAACAACAUAUCUGGAAGUUUACCAUCUUGUUUCCAUCUUCUCUCUAUCGAACAAGUUCAUCUUUCAAAAAAUAUGUUACGUGGACAGCUAAAAAGAGGUACAUUCUUUAAUUGCUCUUCCCUUGUGACAUUAGAUCUUAGCUAUAAUCGUUUGAAUGGCAGCAUUCCGAAUUGGGUUGAUGGGCUUUCUCAACUAAGGCACCUUAUCUUAGGUCACAAUAAUCUUGAAGGUGAAGUGCCAGUUCAAUUGUGCGGAUUAAACCAACUGCAAUUGUUAGAUCUUUCUAAUAAUAAUCUUCAUGGCCAUAUUCCUCCUUGCUUUGAUAACACCACACUUCAUGAAAGUUAUAGCAAUAGUUCUAGUCUUAAGCCAUUUGAAAUAUCUCUUGUCAUGGAAAGCGGGAUGAUCUAUGCAGAAAAGCAAAUCCAUGAAAUUUUUGAGUUCACAACAAAGAACAUUGCGCACAUUUACCAAGGAAAAGUGCUUAGCCUCCUAUCAGGACUUGAUCUUUCUUGCAACAAGCUAAUCGGUCAUAUUCCUCCUCAAAUUGGAAAUUUGACAAGGAUUCAAACAUUGAAUCUAUCACACAACAACUUGAUAGGAUCGAUCCCAUCAACAUUUUCAAACUUGAAGCAAAUCGAAAGUUUGGAUCUUUCUUACAACAAAUUGAAUGGGAAAAUCCCUCAUCAACUUAUGGAGUUAAACGCAUUGGCUGUUUUCAGUGUGGCAUACAAUAACUUAUCAGGCGAAAUUCCAGAAUGUAAAGCACAAUUUGCAACCUUCAACGAGAGGAGCUAUGAGGGAAAUACUUUUCUUUGUGGACUGCCAUUGCCCAUUUGCAGAUCACCAGCAACUAUGCCAGAGGCUUCAAUUGGCAAUGAACGAGAUGAUAAUUUAAUUGACAUUGACAGUUUCUUUAUCACAUUUACAACAUCAUACAUAAUUGUGAUAUUUGGAAUUGUUAUUGUUUUAUAUGUAAAUUCUUAUUGGCGACAUAGAUGGUUUUACUUUGUUGAAAUGUGGAUAACUUCAUGUUACUAUUUUGUUGUAGACAAUCUUAUUCCAACAAGAUUUUGUCAUUGAAAUUAAUUAGUAGUUUAAUUACGAUUCUUUAAGUACUAAUCAGGUUUUCUUGGGAAAUAAAUUUUUUUAUUUUUUAUUAAAAUUGUAGUAGUAUUUAGCAUUAUAUAGCUUCCAACUUCCAAGCACUUCACAUUUGUCUCUACACUUAAAAAGCGAGUGAUCAUGUUUUGUAGAUCUGGAUUUGGAGCAGGAUGGAUCCAAACCCAUAUCUAUCCAUCAUAGCUUAUAGCUUCCCUAUACUGUGCAGCAUACUUAAAUAAGAGAACCAUCUCCAAUGUUAAAAGUAGCCACUCUAUAACAAUCAUUUAGAAACUAUAUUCAGAAUAGUUUUAUAAUCAUACACAAGAAAUGAAACACCUAGAUGCACUUGAUCGCCUAUUUUACUUUGAAAAAGAACAGUUAUGGUGCUUUCAUCAUCUUCUUCACUAGCAACAUUAACACUAAAUCCACCGAUGGACCCAGACAUUUCAUCAAGAAAGGUAUAUAUCUAAUAAAGUUAAAGCUUGACAAAAAAUUCAGGAAGAUUAAUGCCUCGCCACAACAAGGGCCACAACAACAUCAAAGUAGAGAUGAAGCAGUAUUCUCAAAGCUAAAACUCUCAAAUCCACCUAGGGGUGUUUAGAAUCCAAUUUGAUCCGCUCAAUCCGUCUAAUCCAUAGAAAUCCAAUUUGUAAAAAUCUGAUCCGUGGAUUGGUGGAUUAGAUUAGAUUGAAAAUUUGAUAAUCCGCAAUCGGUGGAUUAGAUACGGAUCUACUUCUGUAAAUCUAUAAAAAUCUGUGAAUCCGCAAAAAAAUAAAAAGUAUUUAUUUAAUUAAAAAAUAAAACUUGUAAAUAUGGUAUUAGUACUUACUAGUACAUAAAUAAGUUAAAAUAUAGUUAUAUUAACAGUAUGUUAUAUCUUAUCCGAUAAUAAUAAAAAAUAAAAAAAUAAUUAAAUAAACAAAUAUAGCUUUCUAAAUAGUUAAUUUCUAUGUACUGAUCUAAACGAAUGAGAUUUUUUUCGUUUUGAUGUGUUAUAUUUCGAAACUUUAAAUGAAUUUUUUAAGCUUUAUUUAAACAAUUAAUUUAUUUAAAUCUUAUUUAAUUUUAAAUUUGAAGUCCGUAAACCAAUCCGCAAAAUAUUAGAUUUGGUCAAAUCUGCAUCCGAUCCGUAGAUGUAUGGAUUGGAUUUGGAUUGAAUUUUACCAAUCCGUGGAUUGAAUUGAAUUGAAGAUUUAUAAUCCGCAAAAUCGUAGAUCGGAUAUGGAUUGAGGUCUAAUCCAUAAAAUCCGAUCCACGAACACCCUUAGUUGGAUUCUUGAGUGAGAACAAUUCCUAGGCCAAAUCCAAAUUGUCUACAAGAAAUCCAACGUCCUCAAGAGAUCAUAUAUAGUUUUCAAAUUGCGGGAAAGCUCUAAAACUUGUGAAUUGAGAAAUUGUACAUGCAUGUCAAGCUUUAACCAAUGAAUUUGCUUUAAUUUAUCAACAAUAAGAAUAUAAGAUGAGAUUUGACCUAGUUGUUACUCUUGUGAAUAAAAAAAUUGUGUGCCUGAACAUGAUUUAACUAAUGAAAUGAAUUUUCUUUAAUUUUUUUUAAUAAUAGGAUGAGACUUUCCUGAAACGAAAAGUACGGAUAUAUAAUUUGUUGGCUUUAGUUACCUUACAUAAUAAUGUAUGGUACAUAACCGUUUGAUGAAAAUCCAACAGUCGUGGAAAUAAUAAAAUUUUAUUAUCUUAUAUUUUCACAACUGUUGGAUUUUCAUCAAACGGUUGUGGAAAAUCAAAUGGUUGUGGAAGAGUCAUUUACCUUACAUUAUUAUGUAAGGUAACAAGCUCCUAAUUUAUUUAGUAUGAUUGAAAAUUAUGAAUGAAAAUAGUUUUGCCAAAAUUGACAAAAUCAAAAUCUUUAAAUUAGUGAAAAGUCUUCAAGUCCUAUGUGAUAUAAACACGUAUUUGGCCUACUUCUUAGAACUCUUAUGGCUAUAGUCAAGCUAGAUGAAAAAGAGAUUUACUAAUUCUGAGUUAGAGAUCAUGAUGGUAACAUCUACACCUUACUCAAUAAAAUUCUUUGCUUAUUUUUUUAUUACUUAUGGUUGAAUUAGAAAUUCAAUUAUUCUUUUAUAACGUGGUUUAAAAUAUUUAAUAAAAGGAAAUUCUUAAAUACUUUGGAGAUUUCAGAGCUUUUUUUUUAAUUUUUAAAAAAGAUAGAGAUGUGACAAAACUAAAAAAAAAAAAUUAAACUCAGAUGACCAACUAAAAGUUAUCUGAUCACUUUAUUUGAACGAAAACUUUAAUGCUGUUAUGAAAAUGUGUAGAUCAAGCAAUGAAAAAUUCCAAAAUAUUGGUAAUAACUUCAAAUUACAACGACGGAGGUAGGUUGACGGCGACCUUAUGUAGCGGAGGCAGCCAUAAAUUUUAAAUUUUGUUUGCGUUGAAGUCAAAAUUCAACUGUCGCCGACCCAUUUGGUUUGAACUCUAUGUCAAUCGGGUCUGCCCAAAACCAAACACAACCCAAACCAUAGCCAGCAUAGGUGCUAAGAAGAUUCUUUUACUUUGUCACUUGUCGCCUACAAUGAAAUUGACAUUAAACAAACAUUAAAACGUGUGGACUCCGAUAGCUGCCCCACAACUGUACAAUAAUAAUUGAGUAUGCACUUUUGAUUCUCGGGACCUUUCAAUGAGUUUCUGCCCCGCUGAUUCUAUCAACUAAAGUUUUGUAAAAUGAAAAAAAAAAAGUACAUAGAAUUCCACAAAAUGCAAAACGUGUGGAAUUUAAUUUUUGGCCGUGUGGACCAAAAUAUAAUUUAACGAAAAAGGGCAAAAAUGGUAAGAUAUUUAAAAUGUAUGGAAGAUGAUCCAUAUUUUACUGAAACGACUUAUCUCGAACAUUAAGAUGAUUGAUUUUUUCUUUUUGAAUAAUAUCAACUUCCAUAUCUUUCUACCGGAGAACAUGCUCACAUUAAAGUCUAUCUUACUAAUUUGAAAAAGAAAAUCAAAUCAACACCAAAGCAAUGAAAAGUAAAGCUUUUGAAUUUUAACUCCGGCUGGCAAACGUAUUCAGGAAUUCUUCCCAUUGCAUAUCUUAUUCCUCCAUCAAUGCAAUAUUAAGUAAUUUUUCUUUAUCAUAUUCUUUUCUUUGCAUUUCUUCUUCCUCUAUCAAUGCAAUAUUUGAACAAUUAAGAAAGAGUUUAAGAACAUAAAAGAUCUCCUAGAUUUAUACGGUAUAACAAAUUUAAAUUCUCAAUUAUAAUGGAUAAUAAUUAAACUAAUAAUUAUUUAUUUACUUAUUUUAAUAGUUUCACCUAAGAAUAAUAUUGUAAUUAGAAAAAAUCUAAAAAGCGGGGUGGUUUUAUACAAAAUCAAUUGCAUACACAUAUCCAGAAGCAUAUGCGGAUGCAAAUAAUAUUUUUUAUUCUUUUUUUAUAAGAAAAUUGUGUAUUGAGAUGAAUAAAAUGUUUAAUUUAAUUAAUUUCCUUACUUUCAUAUACAUUGUCUUUCUAUCUAAAGAAAGCUCAUGUUUGUUAGUAUUCAUUCUUAGAGAGGUGAAAAAAUUACAAAUCUUGAACAACAAGGAGUAGUUUAAUUGCCACUAACUUUACUUGGCCUUCUUUAGUUGGAGCUGUGUUUUCUGAUAAGCCAAAGAAUUAGUAGCUGUUAGAAAGCUGAAAUGAGAUUGUAAACUUUGUUUGGAAGCUAAGAAAAUGAAAAGAAAAUGUUCUGGAAAUUUCUUGAUUUUAUUCAAUUUUUCUCAUUACAUAACAAAUACAAUCACGAUAGUAUUUAUACUAAAUCAAGUCUCUAAAACAAAAAUAAUAGUUUGCUUAACAGCUGACGAACAGGACGUAAUGCAUGCUUAACGGAAUUGCUGAGCUGGCUUCUUUUCUUAACUAACUGCUGACGUGUCAUUGGCACACACGUGUUGAAUAUGCAGCUCCCUUUUGUACAAUGUGUGCUUCCUUAACAGCCCCCCUCAAACUCAAGGGGCAGGGAUGCACAUUGAGUUUGCUUCUAAAGUAGUUAAAGUGAAUGAAUGUGAGAGGCUUGGUCAAGAUGUCUGCAAUCUGCUCUUCACUGGGAAUGUAAUUGAUCUCCAGCUCUCUUGCCAACACUUUAUCUCUUAUGAAGUGCAUGUCUAGUUCAAUAUGUUUAGUUCUCGAGUGGUAGACAUGAUUUUUGGCUAGCUCAGUUGCACUUAUAUUAUAGCACUAUUUUGUAGGCACUGAAACACAUUCUAUCUUGAUCGUCUUGAAUAAUGACUGCAACCAUGUAAUUUCUGCACUUGCAAAAGCAAGAGCUCUGCACUCACUCUCUGCACUUGAUCUUGUGACUAUUGAUUGCUUCUUGGAUGACCAAGAUAUCAAAUUAUGCCCCAAGUAAAUGCAGUAUGCCCCUAUUGAUUUUUCUAUCAUCAACAUCAUAUGCCCAAUCUGCAUCUGCAUAUUCUAUUAGCUUUAUUUCUCCACCAGCUGUACACUUUAAUCCAUAGUCUUCUGUUUCUUUCAAAUAUCUAAGUAUCCUCUUACAAGCCAUGAUAUGUUGAAGUGUUAGUGUAGACACAUAUUGACUUAAUUUGUGCACUGCAAAAGCAAUUUCUAGCCUAGUCAGGACUAAAUACUGUAACUCUCCAAUCAAGCUUCUAUAACUAGUUGCAUCUUCAACAUACUGACCCAAAGAUCCCUUAACUUCUUUAUGAAGUUUUGUUCUUGUAACCAUUGGAGUAUCACACCCUUUGCAGUCAAGCAUAUCAACUUUUCUCAGCAAGUCUUUAAUAUAUUUUUUUUUGGGACAGAUAUAUAUCAUUCUCAGUAUAAGAGACUUCUAUACCAAGAAAAUAUGAAAGCUUUCCUAAAUCUUUUAAUGCAAACAUUUUGCUCAAACCUGAGAUAAAUUUUUCAAGUUCAUCACUAUUAGGUCAUGUUAUCAAUAUGUCAUCAACGUAAAUCAGGAUUAGUAUCAUUGAAUUCUGUUCUCCCUUGAAAAAUAGUGAAGUGUCGGCUCUGGAAUUUUGAAAACCCCAAUUUGUAACCAAACAACUCUUCAGUUUGUCAAACCAUACUCUAGGAGAUUGUUUCAACCCAUAUAAGGCCUUCUUCAACUUGCAUACAUAAUCAGGUCUUAUCUCAUCAACAAAUCCUUCAGGUUGGCACAUGUAAACAUCCUCUGUCAAGUCUCCAUUUAGGAAAGCAUUACUAACAUCUACUUGUCUGAUCAUCCACCUAUGCAUUACAGCCAAGCUCAAUAUAACUCUCACUGUAGAAGCCUUUAUAACAGGGCUAAAUCUUUCAAAAUAAUUGAUUCCUUUAGUUUGUUGGAACCCUUUUGCAACCAACCUAGCUUUAUAUUUGGCAAUACUGCCAUCACUAUUUUGUUUGACUCUAAACACCCAUUUGUUUCCAACAAUUUUGUAUUCAGCUGGAGGUGGUAUAAGAGACCAAGUCUCAUUUCUGAUCAAGGCUUCAUAUUCCUCUUUCACGGCCUUAUACCAGUGUUUAUCAUUAAGAGCUUCUCGAACUGUGUUAGGUUCUUUGUUGAUCAAGGUGGUUGUGUACAACUUAGGCUUGAAUAUUCCAGACUUCGAUCUAAUGGUCAUUUUGUGUGUGGGUUGUGAAGUCAGAAUUCUGUUUGGACUGAGUUCAGUUUGUUGUUGACUGGUUACAUGUGGUUCAAAUUGUGUUUGAGUUGGUUCAGGAAUAUGACGGAUAGUUUGUGAUGUUGAUGAUUUUGAUAUGAAUGACUAGAUGAUUCUUGUUGAUGCUGAUUAUUUGUAUGCUCAGGUAAUACAGGUGUUUGUUCAUUACUCGGUACUCUUGCUGAGUAAGUAUCUUCAAAGCUGCUGUUGAGUAAGGGUAAUGUUGAGAGAUGAUAGAUUUGUUGUUUAGAGAAAUUUGACACUGGAGUUUCUGAUUGGAUGACAUUUUCAGAAGAAGAAGUGGCAAAGAUUGUUGCAUAUGGAAAUACAGUCUCAUCAAAGACAUCAUGCCUAAGAAUAUGAACUUGACCUGAGCUUGUAAGACAUUUGCAUCCUUUAUGAGAUGAGCUAUAUCCAAUAAAGAUGCAUUUGCUAGUAUGAAAAUCAAACUCAUGUCUGUUAAAGUCUCUCAUGUAUGGAUAACAAAGACAACCAAAUCAUUUAAGGAAAUUGUAAUCAGGUUUAUGCUUGAAAAGUUUCUGAUGUGGGGAUAAGAGUCUCAAUACAGGUGUUGGCAACCUGUUUAUGUGAUAUACUGCUAUAUGAACAGUUUCCCACCAGAAUUUGAAAGGAAGAUCAGCUUGAGUUAAAAGAGUCAAGGCCAAUUCAAUUAUAUGCCUAUGUUUUCUUUCUACCAGUCCAUUCUGGUGAUGAGUGUAAGGGCAUGAGUGUUUGAAAAUGAUCCCAUUUUGGUUCAAAAAAUCAGUGAAUACUCAAUAUUCUCCCCCUAGUCAGAUUACAUCAUCUUAAUUGUUGUAUUGAACUGAUUCUAUAAUUCUGUCUUUAGAAAUGCAACUAAAUUUUUAAUCUCUUACUCUACAUAAAAUUGAAAUUCGAGUGGCUUAUCAAAUAAAAUUAAAACUAUUAAUUAACCAAAUAAAAUUAUUUAAAACCAUUGGGUAUGGUAGCAGGAGUUCUUGAAACUAUCGAUGCCAUGAAAUUUACUGGCGAAAAGGGUUUUAGAUGUCUAUUUUAUAAAUCUUUUAAUAAUUUUUUUAUUUACCAUUUUACUAUCCAUGGUAAAAGUGUCGCAUCGACAUUGAACAGUUCAACAUAUCAGUCAUUUCUCAUUCAGUCAUUAAGAAUUUACGUUUGGGGUAUUUUUGUAAUUAUGAGAAGGUAAACUAAUCGCAAAAUUCAUUUGGCUUGCACUUGCUCGCCUUUGCUGUGUGUUUGGUUAUGGCGUUAUCAUUAUCAUCUUCUCCACUCCUGCUGACACCAGACCUUAACCGUUCAGAUUCCCUUUCUCGACUGUCAUACCCUACGCCCCGUCUCCGUGUCUCCGAUAAACAGUGCUCAAUUAAGACCAUCAGAUUAUCCCGGACCCACAUUAAUCCAACGGCUCACAAUGACCGACAACCUCUCCAUCUCCAUUACAAGCUCCCUCUUCAGCUGGCUUCUUCUUCCGUCCUACUCUUUCUCGGAUUCGGAGCCCGUAUAUGCUCGGCUGGUCCCACGCAGCUCCCUCUCACUCCAGCUGUCAACCAACAAGACCAAUUGCUUGAUCAAGACACAGAACAAAAAGAGGAUGAGAAAUUGAAUCAAGAAUUUGAGAAUUGGAAAUGGAAGACGUACGCAUUGACCGUGCCUUUGAGAGUCGUUUCUCUUCAGAAUUCAGUGCCUCAAUCUUGGGUUAAGGAUUUUAUGCGAAGUCAAGGAAAGAGAUUGAAGUUUCAGAUGAAUUUGUGUGCUAGCAUUGAUGGGAUCGUUAACAAUUUAUCUACGCCCUUUAACAAAGUUAAGGCUAAGUCAGCUUCGUAUAUGGCUGCUGAUUUGGUUAGUGUUGGUGAUUCAUGGCUCAGUUUUGCGAUUAAAAAGAGAUUGAUCGAGCUAAUAGCUGAAGCUGAAGAUCAAGAUUGGUUCAAAUGCUUAAGUCACAAAUGGAAGGUAACAUCUUUAUCUUUUACCCGAUAAUUUUUAUUGUCUUACCUUGAAAUUUGGUAAUGUAAUUUGUUCUCUAUCUGUGUUACCCUUUAUAGUCAUUUUAUUUAUUUGUUUAUUGCUUUUAUUUGCACUAACGAAAUCUCAGGUAUAUCUACGCAGCAAUGAUGCAGGAGAAAUUGAUCCUCGAGGUCAAAUAUGGGCGGCACCAUACAGGUGGGGCACAAUGGCGAUAGGCUACAAGAAAAGUAAAUUUCAAAACCAUAAUUUGGCUCCGAUUGAGGUAAUAAUUGUACUUAAACUCAUUUAGUUUAAUAUCAAGCAAAAUCAAGACUGCCUUUCUCUUCAAUAUUUUCAAUGAUAAUAUCUUUAGAAGCAUCUCAUUGACGGGUAACAAUGGUAUCCCUGAAAGAGUCUAUAAACUCAAUGAUAUUAUCUUCUACAAUGGCUCAUUAAACUUUGUCGUUGCAGUCAAAUGUACACUCAGAGCAAUGAAAAGCUAUGCCACUGUAGCAUGUAGUGAUGGCACUUAAUAAGUGAAUUGCUAGGAUGUGAACUAGAAAAAUUAAAUAUUGUCUCCUUGGGUAUGCUAGCUCGUAAGUCAGGGUUACUAUUAGAGCUUAAGAUACUAUAACCAUGAGAAGCUAUUGACUGCCAAUUAAAAUAUCCAUUAAAAUGUCUAGGGAGUUAUGAAGGUGGAGGUAGCUUCCAAUAACUAACUUGAGUUUGGUAAAACAAACAGACAGUGUGUCUCAUGUCUCACAAUUCAAAUUAUCAUCUGUAAUGAUGGAGAAUUUUUCUAAUGUAUGAAGUAUGCUUUCAUACGUGGAUUAGCUUGGAGAAGAUAUCUCAAAAUAAAGAAUAUGGGGAGCGAAUGGGAAAAAAACAGUUCAGUAGUUUAUUAUUCUGUAGUCAAGUUUUGUCUUGAAAAUGGUCAAAAUUUAAAUGAAUAAGGACAGGGGAUCUUCAUUCUUUUUUCCCUUUUUUAUACCAAGAUAUCUUUCAACCUUUAUAUAAUCCCCACUGGAUAUCUGCUUCUAAUAAUUAAAAUAAAAAUUUCACCCACACAAAUAAAUACUGACCAAGCUCUAACAAUAAAAACUAACAUCUUUAGUCAAGUAACAUCUUUAGUCACGUAAUUUACAGUUCCUCAUCAUCUUAGUGUGAGCUAUCAGUACGAUCUAAAAACAUAAUAAAACUGGUUUGAUCCUGUUUAUUGAUGUUUAAAUGUUGUUUAUUGUGACAAGUAAAUUAGUAAGAUCUUGUUUGAAGUUGUUUUCCGAAAUGAACUGCCAAAUGGUAGUUUUUUUGGGGCAUCUGAUGGCUCUUUUUUCCUCAUUUUAAACAUGUGCCUGCUUGGAAUGGGAAGGAUUAGGCUGCAGAGUUGUUAUAUAUUUUGACAUGCUCUGGUAAUUACACAAUUUGUUCACACUGGAAAUUAGAAUGAGAAAUUUGUUGAUGCUGUUUUGAUAGAUCUGCAUUCUAUGCACAAUAACAUGAUUAAUGAAAAUGGAUUGUAGGACUGGAAAGAUCCGUGGUGGCCUGAGCUCGCAGGAAGAAUUUCAAUGGUUAAUUCUCCCCGAGAGGUUAUUGGUUCAGUUUUGAAGUAUAUGGGAGCAUCAUAAAAUUCAAACAAUAUUGAUUUGCAAGUUGCUGGUGGGAAGAUUGCUGUUCAGCAGAAUCUGGCAUUACUGGCAAACCAGGUACUCUUAAAGAAAUGAUAUCUGAUCAUUGCAUGUUAUUGCCUGACAACUGAUUUUGUUUGUAGAAGUCUGCUUCUUCAUACAUAUGAAUGCAUAUGCUAGUGUUUUCUUCUCCUUUUCAUACAUAUGAAUGCGUAUGUUGGUGUUGUCUUUUCCUUUUCAUACGUAUUAAUAAUACAUAUGUUGGUGUUCUCUCCUGAGAUGGAUGCAAUAAAGGCUUUUGCUCCUAAAUUUAGCUGAAGAAAUGGCAAGGGAUGUGAGAUUCUGUCUCAUUAAAUUAACAAAAACCCAAAACAAUGAAAAACCAUAAUAAUGUGGUGUGGGUAAACUGGCUCCAUUUGGUUCGUUUCCUUAAUGUGAAUACGCAAACAAUGGAGACUAACAAAAUGAAGUGACAACAACAAGUCAGUGUCCUUUGAUGGAUGCAUUUUUAAGCAGAAAUAGGUUUGUAAUUGACCAAAUUUGUCUGGCAUGCCAAUUUCGAAAAAAUUAAAUUAUGUGAUUAUUACCUGUAAUGAAGGGGGAUAGUAGGUGCAAUCAGGUGGAUCCCGGAAAGUUCAACAAAGUUCUGGUAUGGUGUAUUGAAAUUGGUUUGUGCAACUCAAGAGUCUUUCAGGUGAACGAUGAUGGGUUUUGAUUUAUGAAUGUUAUAAAUCUACUGUGCAUAGUAUUCUAGUAGAAUCAUUUAUAAGUUCUAGUUAUUGAAAUUGUCUACUUUGUCCGGUUUGAGUUAAGGGCACAUGUAAUAUGAAAAAUAGUUGUCGCAUCUUUUAGGUUACCUAACAUUUGAUCAAUCCUAUUAUGAGGGCUUCAAGAUGUCUAACAAUAUGUAGAAUGCCCAUGCUCCUCCCCAUUGUUUAUCUUAUACAAUAAUUUGUUUUAGAUGCUAAUAUCUUUGUCGAUACUGGUAACAUUAUUACAAUCUCUGCUUUUAUUGGGUUCUACAUAGGUUCGACUGUUUGACAGUACACACUAUCUGAAGGCAUUUGGAAUUGGAGAUGUAUGGGUUGCUGUUGGGUGGAGUAGUGAUGUUCUUCCUGCUGUCAAACGUAUGUCUAAUGUUGCUGUUGUUGUUCCCAAGUCUGGUGCAAGCUUAUGGGCCGAUCUUUGGGUAUUCCCAUGCCUGCCAUUCUACUUCGAUAUUCACUUUGUUAUCACCUUCAUAUUAGUGAUCAGUAAACACGAUAAUGUGACUAAUAAGUUUGUAUUCUCUUUAUAGGCGAUCCCUGCUGCCUCAAGACUUGAAACAAAACAAAUUGGAGGGCAAGUCAGAGGUCCGUCUCCAUUAAUCCAUCAAUGGAUAGAGUUCUGCUUGCAAACAGCAAGAGCAUUGCCUUUCAAGCAAGAGGUUAUCCCAGGCGCAUCUCCCUCUGCCCUUGAAAGUACUCUGGUUAAGUUGCCUGAAGAACUUCUGAAGGGUAAACCAAGUGUGGAUACUAACUUAAUUGCUGGAGUACCCCCCCGCUGAAAUUCUGGCCAGAUGUGAGUUUUUGGAGCCAUUAUCUGAAGCUACAUUGUCAGAUUAUGAGUGGCUGGUUGCUAAUCUGCAAAACCUGCUCCUGUCUUGAUGAAAAGGGUGCAGCAUUACUUGUCAUCAUUAAUCCAAAGCUUUCUAGCAAAGCUACAUUGAAAAGUUAAUGGCACUGCAUACAAUCAUGAGUUUUAAUGGAGCAAGAACUAAAUACAAUUAUCGCUAACAAAUACUGAAAACACAACCCACACAGGAAAUCACCCUUCGCGUGGGGAUGGAGAUGUUUACUGGAGCGAUAUUGAAUAUGUGCAAGGUGUUGUCCACUGCUCUUUGGGUUAUGGUGUGACUUGCGAUUUCAAGAUUGCCCAGAAACAAUGGAAAAGAUUAACAUAUCCUCCCAUGAGUGAAAACGGCUUGACUAAUUCUAAUUACCGAAUUGACUCAGGAUCAGGUAGCAAUAAUAACAGUUAACUAACAUUGCACAGUCCCGAGUACUUUUCCAGGAUCAGAUACAACGUGGUCUAAUGUUGAUAAUAAUACCUUAUUAAAGGACAAAUCAUUGUUCUUGGGUGUUGAUAGUAAUAGCUUAUUAAAGUAGAAGAUGAAGGUUGUGCAGGUGAUUUCAGAAAUAAAAUACAUUCUGAGAGAUGAUGGUCUACUAUUGCAAGCCCCCAGAUUUCAGAAUCUUUUGAUUGCGGCAUUUGGCAACGAUUCCACAAAUUCUAGAUUCCAACUGAGUUAUCAAUUGAAAAUGAAGUUGAAUUGAAAAAGAACAACAAAUACACAGUGAAGUUGAAUUGAAAAUGAAGUUGCAAGUUGCGCCCAUAGCUGCUGACUAAUAAUAAAACGAGACAAAUUAAUUAAACUCAGAUCUCUAUGUACAUGUCAACCUAACUUUACUUUUCCUUGUUUGUUAUAUUCACUUAACACUUGAUGCCUAAACCAUUAAAACCAAAUGACCAUAGAGGUAUUUGUAAUAUGUAAAAACAAACAAAAACACGUAAAAAAUUUUAAAAACAAUUAAUAAUCACACUCUAAAUUUACCACUCAACUCUAAAUAAUAACCAUACUCAAACAAUUUACAACUUUUGACGGGAGUAGCUAUGAGGAAAAUCCUUUCUCAAUGGAUUGCCAUUGCCCAAGAGUUGCAAUGAAAACGUACCACCUGCAGCUGUGCCGGAAGAUUCAACUAGGUCUGAAAAAGAUGAUAAUUUAAUUGAUAUGGACAGUAAUUGUGAUAUCGGAAAGCAUUAGUAUUCUAUAUGUGAACCAUUAUUGGCGACAUCGAUAGUUUUAUAUUAUUAAAAUGUGGAUGACUUCCAUUUACUAUUUUGUUAUAGACAAUCUUAUUCAAUUAACAUAUAGUUUUAAACUAUUAUGUAAAUCAAUCUAUUAAUUUUCAUGAUAUUUAACUGAGUUAAAACUAAGUGCAAUCAAUAAAUCUCUUUUCCUUUAAAAAACCGCUACGUUUUAAUUUUAGUGCUUAAUAUUUAUUGAACUCUGAUACAGGAAAUUUGAAAUCAAACUCGUAACUACAAAUUAUUUAAUUGCGAGUUGCUGUCCAUAGCUGCUGAUCUGUAGUAAUUAUCUAAUUGACUGAGGUGACAACAAUUUUUUUUUUUUUCGGAAAAAUGUCAAUAGCACAAAUUCAAUAAUUAAAUUCUCAUGUUUAAUUUGUUUCAAGUUAAAUUAUUAAUUACUAAAACUCUGUUUUAAGUCUUUAAUUUUAUAUCUUGGCGUAUAUGCAGAGUUGGAUUCUUGAGUGAGUUGGGCAUUAAAAUGUGUGGACUCCGGUAGCUGUCCCACAAGUGUACAACUCUACAAUAAUAAUUGAGUACACACUUUUAAUUCUGGGGACCCUUCAAUGAAUUUCUAGCCCCGUUGACUCCACUGACUAGAGUUUUGUAAAAUAAUAAAAAAAAAGUACAUAGAAUUCCACCAAAUGCAAAAGCAAAAUGUGUGGAAUUUAAUUUUUGGCCGUGUGGACCAAAAUACAAUUUAACGAAAAAAGAAAAAAAAAAUUGUAAGAUUUCUAAAAUAUGUGGAAAGUGAUUCAUGUUUUACUGAAAUGACUUGUCUCAUGAUUGAUUUUUUUUUUUUUUUGAAAAAUAUCAACGUCCAUAUCUUUCUACCCUAGAACAUGCUCACAUUCAAGUCUAUCUUUGCUAAUUUGAGAAAGAAAAUCAAAUCAAAUCAAUACCAAAGCAAUGAAAAGUUAAGCUUUUGAAUUUUAACUUCAGCUAGCAAACGUAUUCAGCGUUUUCAAAUUCUUCCCAUUGCAUAUCUUCUUCCUCCAUCAAUGCAAUAUUAAGUACUUUUUCUUCAUUAUAUUCUUUUCUUUGCAUUUCUUCUUCCUCCAUCAAUGCAAUAUUUGAACAAUUAAGAAAGAGUUUAAGAACAUAAAAAAUCUUCUAGGUUUAUACGGUACAACAAAUUUAAAUUCUCAAUUAUAAUAGAUAAUAAUUAAACUAAUAAUUAUUUAUUUACUUAUUUUGGUAAUUUCACCUAAGAAUAAUAUUGCAUUAGAAAAAAUCUAAUAAGUGGGGUGGUUUUAUACAAAAUCAACUACAUACAGUAAUAAGUGAGUACGCACCUUUGAUUCUCGGGACCCUUCAAUGAAUUUCUAGCCCCGUUGACUCCACGGGCUACGGCUAAAGAUCUGUAAAACAAGUAAAUAGAAUUUCCACAAAAUGCAAAACUUGUCGAAUUUAAUUUUUGACCAUGUGGAUCAAAAUGUAAAUUAAAGAAAAAGACAAAACAAAAAGAGGUAAAAUUUCCAAAACGUGUGAAAGAUGACUCAUGAUUUAUUAAAACGACCUGCCUCGAAUAUCAAGACGAUUAAUCUUUUUAAAUUUUUUUUUUUGAAAUAAUAUCAACUCUCAUAUUUUUCCACUCGCAGAACAAGUUCACAUUCAAGUCUAACUUGCUAAUUUGGAAAACGAAAUCAAAUCAAAUCAAUAUCAAAGCAAUGAAAAGUAAAACUUUUGGAUUCUAACUCCAGCUAGCAAACGUUGGAAUGCAAUAAUUAAAUUCUUCUGUUUAAUUUGUUUUAAGUUAAAUUACUAAUUACUUAAACUCUGUUUUAAGUAUUUAAUUUUAUGUGUUGGUGGGUAUGCAGAAUUGGAUUCUUGAGUGACUUGGACAUGACCACAAUGAAAUUGAUGGCAAACAAACAUUAAAAUGUGUGGACUCCGGUACCUGCCGCACAAUUCUACAAUAAUAAGUGAGUACGCACCUUUGAUUCUCGGGACCCCUUCAAAAAAUUUCCAGCCUUGUUGACUCCACUGGCUAAGGCUAAAAUUUUGUAAUAGAAAAAAGGUCAAUUCUUGUGGAAUUUAAUUUUUGGCCUUGUAGACCAAAAUGUAAAUUAAAGAAAAAGACAAAAAAGAAAAGGGGCAAGAUUUAUAAAACGUGUAGAAGGUGGUCCAUGAUUUAUUCGAAUAACCUGCCUCGACUCGAAUAUUGUAAUGAUUGAUUUUUUUUAUUUUUUUAAAAUAAUAUCAAUUCUCAUAUCUUCCCACUCCUUGAAAAUGCUCACAUUCAAGUCAAAUUAAAUGGACACCAAAACAAUGAAAAUUGAAAAGUAAAACUUUUGAAUUCUAACUCUAGCUGGCAAACGUAUUCAGUAUUUUUAAAUUCUUCGAAUCGCUUAUCUUCUUCCUCCAUCAAUGCAAUAUCAAGUAUUUUUUUCUUUUUCGUAAUCUUUUCUUUGCAUUUCUUUUUGCUCCAUUAAUGUAAUUUAACUUCUUUUUUUAUUUGAACGGCUCGGAAAGAGUUGAAGAACAUAAAAAAGCUCUUGGUUUUAUACGGUAAAACAAAUUUAACUUAUAAUUAUUCAACUAACAAUUAUUUAUUUACCUAUUUUAGUAAUUUCACCGAAGAAUAAUAAUCUAAUUACAAAAAAUCUAGUCAGUUGGGUGGUUUUAUACAAAGAGUAAUGAUAUAGCCACAAACUCUUGUACAAACUUAUUUUGUACAAACUGAUGUGGCGUUAAUUCAUUGGUUGAAUUAAAUAUCUCUUGGCCCACAUGAUUUGUUUAUAUUAUUUUAUAUUUCUAUUCAACCAAUGAAUUAAUGCCACAUCAGUUUGUAUAAUAUAAAUUUAUACAAGAGUUUGUGGCUGUAUCAUUACUCUUAUACAAAAUCAACUACAUACCCAUAUACAGAUGCAAAUGCAAAUAAUAUUUUUAAAUAAGAAAAUUGUAUAUUGAGAUGAAUAAGAUGUUUCUAUGAUUCUAUCUUAGGAAAGCUCGGUGGUGGUAACGACAUGAAGUUGCGAGUUGCCGCACACAGUUGCUAGUAAUAUAAUAAAACAAGACAAAUUAAUUAAACUCAGGCCUUUACGUAUAUGUUAUCUUAACUUUACUUGCCCUUGUUUGAUGAUAUUCAUUCUUGGAGCUAAGGGCGCAUGUAAUAUUUGUAAUUGUAUUAAGUAUAUAUUAAUGUGAUUUUCAAAAUCAGGUUUUAAAAUCUGUAGGAUAGGCUGAUUUUGGUAGUUUUGGGUCGGCCGUUGCAGUCAUUGGGACUGACUUAUUAUUAUUAUUAUUAUUAUUAUUAUUAUUAUUAUUAUUAUUAUUAUUAUUAUCAUCAUUAUUAUUAUUAUUAUAAUUAUAAUAUCAACUUCCAUAUCUUUCUAAACCCGGAAUAUGCUCACGUCACGUUCAAGUCUAUCUUGCUAACCUGAAAAAGAAAAUCAAAUCCAAUCAACACCAAAACAAUGAAAAUUAAAGCUUUUGAAUUUCAACUCCAGCUAGCAAACAUAUUCAGCGUUCCCAAUUUCUUCCCAUUGCAUAUCUUCUUCCUCCAUCAAUGCAAUAUUAAGUACUUUUUCUUGAUCAUAUUCUUUUCUUUGCAUUUCUUCUUCCUCCAUCAAUGCAAUAUUUGAUCGAUUAGGAAAGAGUUUAAGAACAUAAAAAAUCUCCUAGGUUUAUACGGUAUAGCAAAUUUAAAUUCUCAAUUAUAAUAGAUAAUAAUUAAACUAAUAAUUAUUUAUUUACUUAUUUUAGUAAUUUCACCUAAGGAUAAUAUUGUAAUUAGAAAAAACUAAUUAGAACAAUUUAAUUUUUGGCCGUGUAGACCAAAAUAUAAUUUAACGAAAAAGGAAAAAAAAAAGGGUAAAGAUUUUUAAAAUGUGUGGAAAGUGAUCCAUAUUUUGUUCGACUUGUCCCGAACAUCACGACGAUUGAUUUUUUUAUUUUUUUUUUAAUAACAUCAACUUCCAUAUCUUUCUACCCUCAGAACAUGCUCACAUCCAUAUUUUUUAUGUACUUAUUUUAGUAAUUUCACCUAAGAAUAAUAUUGUAAUUAGAAAAAAAUCAAAUAAGUAGGGUGGUCUUAUACAAAAUCAACUGCAUACAUAUAUGCAGAUGCAGAUAAUAAUUUUUAAUUCCUUUUUUUAAUAAGAAAAUUGUGUAUUGAGAUGAAUAAGAUGUUUAAUUUAAUUAAUUUCCUUACUUUCAUAUACAUUGUCUUUCUAUCUAGAGAAAGCUUGGUGCUCAGAACGACAUGAAGUUGCGAGUUGUCGCCCAUGGCUGCUGAUUAAUAAUAAAACGACACAAAUUAAUUGAACUCUGGCCUCCAAGUAUAUGUUAUCCUAACUUUACUUGCUCUUGUUUGUUAAUAUUCAUUCUUAGAGAGGUGAAAAAAAUUACAAGUCUUGAAUAACGAGGAGUUUAAUUGCCUCUAACUUUACUUGGCCUUCUAUAAUCUCAUUAAUAAUACAGAGAAUUAAUUAUCUUUUUAUUAUUAAACCAAAGAAUUAGUAGCAGUUAAUAUUAAUAUUGCCCACCCAAGAAAUAUGAGUGAAUUAAAGUAUUGGCAAGAGUUCGCUCAGAGGAGCAUUUAAACCACUUCCUUAUCAAUUGCGGCAGCCGUCUAUUAACUAAAACGCCAAUCUAAUACACGAAGAAAGAACAUUUACAGACUUGGCAAUUGAGUUCAUUAAGAAGUAGCAUCGCAUUCGGGUGAUGAGUUUCCUUUUGUUAAUAAUUUUAGUCUAAUUUCCAUUGUACUGAGAUCGCUUCUCGAGGUAAGUGAAAGUUACAGAUGUGGCAAAAUAAAUAAUUAAAUUAACAAAAUGCUAACUAAUUUUCCUAAAUACCUAGGGUUGUACAAUUUCAUCAACCUGGAAGAAUUGACAUUAAUGGACUGGUCUCCUCCCCAUAUAAUUAUAAUCCUUCUAGAAAGCUAAUUUUUAUUAAAUAUUUUCUUUUAAGUUAAUUUCAAUUAAAAUUUUUUUUAAGUUAUAUAUACUCUAAUGAGAUUCUGAAUUCCUUUCUUCCAAUAAUAAUGAAAACGUAUUAAAUUAGAAAUGAAAAAAUUGGUGUUGAUGAUUCAACCUGUUUGGAUAGAUUACGCGAAUAAAAUUGAAAUUUUGAUUUAAUUUUUGUUUAUUGUUAAUUCUCAGGCUAUCUUAAUUUCAAGAAUUUAGAAUGUUAAUUUGGUCAUGGAUUUCAACCCAUGAGUGUCAUAUUCUAGACUUAAUGGUACCAUUCUUUGAUUGAGGGCAAUGACUCUCACUCCUCUUGUAAAAAACUAUUUUCAACUAUUUUGAUGACUUAAAAAUUGAUAGAUUUAUUGUUGUCAUGACCAAAUUAUUCAUUUUAAUUAAACAUAAUUAAUGCAUCAAAGUUACCAGGUUUAUGUUCUAUCUUAAUGCGCUUUUUUUUUUUUUUCAGUUAUCAGCUAUGCCCCUGAGGCAUUUUGUAGAGUAUAGCUUCUGCUUACCUCUGUUUCAUUUUUUUUAAUAAAAAAAACAAGGGAAGGUUUUUCCGAGUCGUCCAUUAUUUGAUUACCGUCAAUCAAGAAAACGACCAAAUUAAUUUCUCUCCAAAAUUUCCAAAAGCUAGAAAAUUUUGUUAUUUGAAAAUAACAUCAUUAAUUAUAGAGUGGAUCAAACCGCGUUAUUGUCUUUUAUAAAAUUGAUGUCUUUUUAAGAGUCAAUGCAUUUUAUUUACACAAACCAGUCGACAUCAACUUGAACUUCCAUAUUUUUAUUAUUAUGUUAUUUAUUUUAAUCCCCGAUUAUUUGAUUAGCCACUAUAUAUAUCAAGAAAGCGACAAAAUUUAUUUCUCAUGACUUCCAAAAACUAGAAAACAACAUCAUUUAUUAUUUUUUUGCAACCCUAAUUGACAUCAACUUUAACUUUAUUAUGUUAUUAUUUCAAUCCCCCAUUAUGACCUUUCUAAUCCUCCAUUAUGCAUCUUUUAUAGUGCAAAUUUAAUUGCACAUCUAAAUAAAUUGAUUAUUGUCACUCCACCACCAAUAUUUCAAAUAGUCACUAGACCAUUUCUGCCUUUAAUUUUCCCUUAACUAUUGACUGUUUUUAGCAUCUUAAAAUAUACAUUUAUUCCUUGAUUAUGUGAUAAAAUUAUGAAAAUAUCCAUUUUAGCUUAAAUUAAUUGAAAUAACCAUAAGCGUAACUUAAAUUAAUAGAACAAAAUUAUCAAGUGUAUGUUCUAUGUUACAUUUUGAAGAAUUUAACAUAUACAAUGCUAUACUAUUAAUUCAUUUAUCAUUUAAUAUAUAUGUUCAAAUAUUUUAUAUAUUUAUUAAUUGUUAUAUAGUCAAAGGAUGAAUGAUUUUUCAGGUCUACAUGAGUUGGUGCAUCUGCAAGACUCAAUUUUGACAACAAUGAUCUAAGGGGUAAUUUACCUUGGCGUUUGACAAAUUUAACCUCUCUUCAAGAUUUACUUCCAAUCUACUUACUGUAAAUAUCUCCUCAUCUCCUCUCAUUUAUAUGAUAACCCUUGAAGAUCUCACAUUUUCAAACAAUCAUAUUAGGGUUUUUAUUAUUAGCAUCAUCGUGUCAAUAAUAUAUGUUGCAGUAAGAUUUUUUCAGACCAAUUCCCUUCUUCAAAUAAUAAUGGAAAAGUAUUAAUUUAAAAAUAAAAUGAAUAUUGUAAAAUAAAGAACAGAGUUUAUGAAUAAAACUCUUGUAUUCCUUGCAUUAACGUUGCUACAUAUAUAUAUAGAUGUACAACCCUAAAGAAUAGAAUCCCAGGUAGAAAAGCAUUACAGAUUCAUAAUAUAUAUACAAAUCUAAUUGCUUUAAAUAUGAAACCGAAUUCUAUACGACUUCUAUAUACAAAACCGAAUGCUAUACGAAUUCUAUACGUUAAUAAAUAUGCAUUGAUUAUAUCCUAAUUUUCAUCAAUUAUAGCGAGAGUUUCUCCAAAUCAACUCCCUUAUUCAAAUAAUACAGAAAAAAUAGUAAUUUAAUAGUAAAAUUAACAAGUGUUGAUUAUAUAUCCUAAGUUUCAUCGAUUAUGUGAUCAAAGUGGCAUUGUUGAUUUAUUUCUUGUUCAAUGUAAAUUUUUAGGUUAUCUAAAUUUCAAGGAUUUAAAAUCUUUGUUCAUGGAUUACACGCUUAUUAAUUUUUCUGCCAUUGACUGUCAUAUUCUAGACUUAAUGGUACCUUCCUUGAUCGAGGAUAAUUACUCUAUGUUCUCCUCUUAUAAAUUCUUCUUCCAUUAACAUCACUAGGAGUAUGUUGAUCUCUCAGACGUUAACUUCAGUGGAGAGUUUCCAAAUUGAUUGUCACAAAACAACACAAAAACUAGACACACUUGAUCUGUCUAAUAAUUCUCUUUCGGUAAAAUUAAUUAAUUUUAGGGGAAUAUUCGACCAACCUAUAUAAUUUUAGAUUGAUCAUUAAUUAAUUGGACGAAAAAAGUACUUGUGCUUUUGUGGCGACAAUUGAACCAGAGAAGUGAAGCUGUAAAGAUUUGGCAGUAGUAAAUUGUUAGAAAGACAUAAAGACAAGUUCCCAUUAUUAUAAUUUUUUCAAAAAACUUUUUUACAACACAUGCACCUGGCCAAAAAUUUUAUUUUGCUAACUAACAAUAAUUGAUUAGCUGACCGAAUUGACUCCACCUACUUGCUAAAGUAAAAAAAUAGAAAUAGAAUUUCCACAAAAUGGCAAACAUGUAAAAUCUAAUAUUUGGCCGUGUGGAACAAAAUACAAAUGAAAAAAAAAAUAGAAAAAAGGCCUAAAGACUUUUAAAAUGUGUGGAAGUCUUUCUGCCCUUUUAUAAUGGUGUGUUUUUCAAAGGAACAAAUAAUAAUAAUGACACUUCAACGGUUUGUUUUGAUAAUCACACCUAUACUCUUUAAUUUGAUAAAUGGUUACACAAAUUUUGUUUACAAAAAUAUAUUAUUCAUGUUCUGUAUUAUUUUUUAACAUCAUAUUUUUAUUUAUUAUAAUUGUUUAAAGUUAAUUGUUGGGUUGAUAUAUAAUAAAAAUGUAUAAUCGUUCUCUUACUAAACACACAUACUCAUAGUUUCUGUUCAUUUGUCAUCUCAAUCUAUCUCAUUUAUCCUUUGUUGAUAGCUCAAAACGCGUCACUGUAGAAAAUUAUAGCAAAACGACAAAUAUGGAAAAAAUGGGAAGAAAAUUAAUGCAUGAAAGAGUUGCAGAAGACAACCAAAUAAGUCAACUAUACGCUAGUUGGGUGUAUAAAUUGUUAGAUGUGUUAUAAACAAAUAGCAUAGAGCCUUGGUUGGUUACAGAGAUAGAAAAAGUGUGUGUUUUUUAGAACUUAAAGAUAUAGUUAGAAUGGGUGGUUCAAAAUCAAAAAUGGUGAUAAUGUUUGUUCUGUUAUUAAUAAUAUUAGAAGGUGGGUGGAGUGAAGGAUGUUUGGAUCACGAGAGAUUUGCUCUUUUGCGACUGCAACAUUUCUUCAAUGAUCCUUAUAAUUAUCUUCCCAACCGGGUAGAUGAUGAGGGAGCUACUGAUUGUUGUCAGUGGGAAAGGGUUGAGUGCAGCAACACCACAGGCCGACUGAUAGCGCUAGACCUUUUUGGCACGUAUUGGCGAGAGUACAGCUGGUAUCUGAAUGCUUCUUUGUUUACUCCCUUCCAACAACUUGAGUCACUUGAUUUACAUGGCAACAACAUAGCCGGUUUUGUUGAGAAUGAAGGUGCUUCGUCUAAUUCAAUUAAAUUACAUUUCGCUCUCCUAAUUUAAGUCGAAUAUCAAGACUGAGCAGCUAUAUGCAUAUUCAUUCAAUUGACAAUUUUUACAUAUUUUUUAAAAUGUUUAAUUUUGAAAUUACACCAAACAUCAUAUGUGAUCUUUGUUUUGAUUUUACUUGCAGGUCUAGAAAGAUUGAGCAACUUGAAGAGGCUUGAUUUAAGUUAUAACUUGUUCAACAAUAGCAUCUUAUCAUCUGUGGCUCGUCUUUCAUCAUUAGCAUUAUUAUAUUUAAGUGGUAAUAGGUUGGAGGGAAGUAUUGAUGUUAAAGGUACAUAAUAAAAACGUCAUCUCUUCUCCCAACUCUUUCAUUAACAUGCUAAAAUAAGAUUCAAGGCUUUGAAUUCAAUUUUUUUUAUGAGUAAAUAUUAGAAAAAUAGUUUUAAGCAAUUCAUAAAUACAAUUUUCAAUGUUUCUCAUAAUUUCAUCUUGUACUUUUGUAUGUCUUGACUUUAAGAUUAAAAAAAAAAUUACUCUAACUGUGAAGCAAAUACCCCAUGACUAAUUUACAAUUUUGUCCAGUUAAAAAUGAUAAAAUUUAUCAUUUGUUCAUAUUGAUUUAUUAACUCUAUUUUAAGUCUUAAGUCUUGGCGUCUUGGCAUGUUUGCAGAAUUUGAUUCCUUGAGCAACUUAGAGGAGUUGGACAUGAGCUACAAUGAAAUAGACAAUUUCGAGGUUCCUCAAGGUACACAAUUAAAAUAUUAUUUAAUUACAUUAAUUUAUUUCGUUUGAUUAGGGAAGGCCCAAAAUGUACAAAAACAUAAUUAAAAAAAAUAAAGAAACAGAGAAUUCAUAUUAUUUCAAAAAACAAAACGUAAUACUAUUAUUUCAAAAAAAGAAUGUAAUAAAGAUUUGAUUUCGGUUCUUUAAUCUUUACAGCAAUUGAAAAACGAUGUUGCUCUUUUCCUAAAGCAUAAAAUAUGAAAUGAGUCAUAAUUGAAUUAGUCAUUUAUUUUGUUUAGAUCUAAAUUUAGACAAUAAAUUUUGAUUUUUUUUUCAAUCAUUUCCUAAUUAUUAUUAUUAAACAGGUUACAGAGGUUUGAGGAAGCUGAAAAGCCUGCAUCUAUCGGGAGUUGGAAUUAGAGAUGGAAGCAAGUUGUUACAGUCAAUGGGAUCAUUCCCAUCCCUCAACACUCUUCACCUUUCGUUUACUAGUUUUACGAAAACAGUGACAACUACUCGAGGUAAGUAAAAGGUACGGAUGUAGCCAAAUUUAUAAAUUAAUUGUUAAUUAAUUAAUUUUUCCGUAUUAUUAAUUAAGCUAAAUUUGUUGCUCCUUCCUUCUAAAUCUAAACAGAGUUGCACAGUUUCACCAACUUGGAAUAUUUGAGAUUGGACGACUCCUCUCUCCAUAUAAGCCUUCUGCAAAGCAUUGCAUCAAUAUUCCCUUCAUUAAAAAAUCUGUCGAUGUUGGGUGGUAAAGUCAACGGUCUCCUACGCGGUCAAGGUAAAAGAAAAGCUUUGAUUGUGAACUCACUCAAUGGUGUCCUACGUGUUCAACAUUUUUAUUUAUUUAUUUUAUUGUUUAAUGUUUCUGCUAGGUUUUCCUCAUUUCAAGAGUUUGGAAUAUUUGAAUAUGGAUUUCACGCGCAUUGCACUCAACACCAACUUUCUUCAAAUCAUCAGUGAAUCGAUGCCUUCUCUUAAGUACUUAUCACUGUCAGAUUCAUAACAGUAAAAAUUUGUUGCUCAACAUGAUGUGUAUUUUUUUUCAAGGCACUUUGGAAACACAAUUGUUACUACAGAUAUUCUUCUCAACUUGGAGAUAAAUACAAAUAUUAAAAUGCAUAUGAUCACACAUAUUACUUCGAGUUUAGUAAGAUUUCAUUAAAAGAAGCAAUCAAACCACUUAUCAAUUGUCGCAGUCGUUCUAUAAACUAAAAUAGCAAUAUAAUACAAGAAAAAGAACAUAUAGAUACUUGGCAAGAGUUCAUUAAGAAGUCGCAUCACAUUCGGGUGAGGAGUUUGCUUCUGAUAUCUUGCUAGCUGGGGCUUUUUCUUGUCUUUCUACGUAUGCCGAGGGAAACCAACCAGCUUGGCCCUUGCAUUCACCUUCCGACCAUCCAAUAGGAGCAACCUUGAGAAGUUAUAACUAAAACGGUGAAUUAAACAAAAGUUGACCGUUCAAAGACCUAAGGGGAAAACUAAUUCUUUUACGUAGAAUGAGUGAACUAGUUGUGAUCACUGAAAUAACAACAUAACUAUGGAAGCAUAACUAGAUAUAAAUUCACAUGGCUAUAAGGGUAAACUGAGUGGUUUAGAACUGAGCUAGCAACCCUACUAUAUUCUGAUUUGCACUUCAAUGUAAAAGGGAAUAUAUGGUAGGAAGAAAGAAAACCAACCAUCAUUUGUUAACUCAUUGCUUUUCAAUCAAAAUUUUAAGAACAAAAUGCCAUGUGCUUUGAACAUCAAAUAAGUAUAAGCAUUAGUUCUAAAUUCCACAUAUCAUAAGUUGUUAGAAGGAUAAGUUAAUAGCAGAGUAGAAAAAUCUAUGUGUUGGUAUUUAGAGGGGAAAGUACCUGGCGAACCACAAUAUAAUCAUCAAUUGAAAGACUUAGCUUUCCAUUUGCUUGAGCAUCAAAUGGAUGUAUAACCUGCAAGAUAAUGGGAUAAAUAGAACUUUAAAAAAGCAUAACAAAAGCAGCAACAGUAGCAGCAACGUUCAUUGUAACCACUAUGAUCAUGGCCAACAAAGAUAUAUUAGAAACAAAAUUCCAUUUUUACUACGACAUUAAUAUGUACUAUACGAUAUCAUGACGAUUGGGUUACUAAGAGCUAUCAAAGUCUAAUAAGUUCUGUAUAACUUUAUGUAGUUAUUUAAAUUAUGGAUCAGAUUUUAAAUUUGAAAUUUUGACUGCUCUCCACAAAACAUGGCCUAUGCACAAGAAAGUCAUAGAUAAUGAGGAUUACAAGUGUCCGACAUCUUUUGAGUGAUGGAUUUAACAUGAGAGCUUAUGGUCAGUCAAUUUCCUCUGCCUAGCAAUAUAAGCUUUCUCGGCCAGAUUUAUCAUCAAAUACAUAGAUUGCCCCCAAGUCACAUCCAUAUAAACAUAGUUUUUCUAGGUAAACCAAGUAAGGAGUAUCAUAAUUCAGACAUAAUCAUAAAAAGGCCCAUCUAACUUAAGAGAAAAUCUCAAAAAUGGCUACAUCGUCUUGUAUCUAUAAGCAAUAUCAAGACUUUACAUCACCUGCUACAUCGUGAGUGGCUACACAACUUUCAAUGGUUUGUCUUUCUUUGGCAUGCCUAACUCAGCUUUGAUGUUGCUGAGAUAUUGAUAGUAGAGACACAUGAUACUUCUAGCUCAUGCAUUCUAUCUAACUCAUCCAACAACUAUCUCUUUUUUAAUUCAUUAGUGUUUGCUAAACCUCAUGCUUAAAAGUCCUGUUCUCCUAAACAAAGUUUCCUAAGAAUGACUUCCUUAGCACCACAUUUGGACACUUUUAGAGCAAUUUUAUUUUGGGGAAAAGAAUUUUCAAGGUGUUAACUAAUAAAUUUUAAAAAAUAAUUACAAUUUUUCCUACGAUCAUAUGACAAUUUAUCUGGGAUGAAAGGAUACAGAUAGACAUCUUCCACUUUCAAGACUAAUCACUACUUCCGUAGAUGUUGUGCAAUAAUACAAAUACUUGAUCAGAUGGUAGUGAUGGUAGAAAAAAAUUUUAUUGCUCCAAAAUUAAAAUAAGAAUGCAAUAUGUUAAGCAAAAGGCUGUGCAACAUCAAAUUAAUUGAUAAGUUUGUAAUUCAGUAAAUUAACAACUUUCAUGGUAAAAUACAACAAAUUUCUUUUGAAAAAAAUAAAUCUUAAAAGACAGCAUUCAAUUUUGUGCGCAUCUUAUUUCUUAAGAUUUUUCAGGAGGAGGGCAAUAGAGGGACUUUCACCUAUGCAAGAGAGCAGAAGCCUUACUUUCCCUAUAAAGUAGACGUCAUUCUGAUUAAUAUGCGUUUGCAAAUCAGCUCCGUUUGAAUCAGUAUUCUGAUAGACACACGAGGCAUUGACAUCCAUUUCCAAAGUCACAUGUUGCGAGGAGGACUCAUUUGAUUGCUCCUAUACGAUCAUCUAAUUCAAGUAGCAAGGGUUGGAAGAGAAUAAAAAGUCACAAUUAUUCUUUUGCAUAAGUGAGACGAAAAUGAUAAAUGCAAUAUUAUCAACAGUAAACAAGAAGAAGAUGAUAGUGGAAGUAUGCGGUGUGGCUGCCAGGUACUUGGAUUGUAUUGUCGGGUAAGGUAAUAGUAGAGAAUUAUAAGUUUGAACAGAGCAUGUUGGACUUUUGUUGACCAAAUUCAAAAGCCCAAUGGCACGGCCCGGAAGCUUUUGAAUAGAAAAACUUGCUAGAAAGCAUCAGUUUAAAUCACUACUUAAACGCUUGCUUUAACUGCACCACUUUGUACUGUUUUAUGUGUGUAGCGGUUGUGCGGUUGUAAUUCACGGCUGACGCUACGUGUUUGUUAGGUCAAAACUAUGAUACAAUAGUGGUACGGUACCAUUGUUACUUUCAAUCAUUGGAUCUAUAGUUGUACAGUUGCAUUAAUAAGAUCUAAUGGCUGAAAACAACAGUGGUACCAUACCACUGUUGCAACAUAACAGGACCCUAUUAGUUAUUUCAAAGGGAUAAAUAAGAUUGCUUACAACAAACCUACUAAUUUUAUAAAAUUCAAGUAAUAUAGAAUAAAAUAAAAAAAUAAAUACAAAAUUGACUUUUAUUUUUUAUGGUUGACUAUAUUUUGUGUUCUCUUCGGGCACUACUACAAUUCUUCCCUAUAUAUCAAUUACACCACAUACUAUCGACACAAGAAAUGAAAUCUAAUAUCACCCGUUUAGUUAAAAAAUCACUCAUGAAAAAAUUUUACCAUUUUGAUUUGAGGAUCCAUAUUUUAAACUGCAAGCUAAUGUUCAUCAAGAAUUACUGAUGGCCGUUGAGUAGAAAAAUUAUUUUUGGACAAAUUAUUUUUGUUGAUAGAAGAAUUUCUUUAGGGACUACUAAAUUAUUAAUAAAAAUGUCGAACACACCCACAUAUCAUCGACACAAUUGAUUUUGAGGAUCCAUGCUUUGAACUGCAGCCUAAUGUUCAUCAAGAAUAGAGUAUGGCUUGUGAGUAGAAAAUUUUCUUAUUUUGGCCCGAAAUAAAAAGAAAUUAAAUUGGAUGAGAAUCUGCCACUUUCUCAUGAAGAAAGGCAUACGGAGCAUACCAUGGUACCAUACAAAAUAAGGAGCCUCUAUUCUUUGGUUUUUCAAACUCUAAAGGGGCCAAUAUUGCCAAAUUCCCCCUUGAAAAUUCUGAUUACGACAUUAUUCAUCGCUUGAUGCAAUCAAAGUAGUGACAAAGUUAGGAAAAAUAUGAGUCCUAAGUAAUUGCUAGGCAGGGUUCCUGAGAGCAAAAUUGUCCUAAGCAUUAUAUGCAUACAUGGUGCGGUACAUAGAGCACGUUGAAUUCCCCACUAUAACACAAACCCAGAAAGACAAGUAAUAACUCAACUGAUAUAAAGACAAAAAGAAGAUAAAAUGAUAUAGAAAAAAGAAUUCAAAGAGACAGCAACAUACGAUAGACUGAAGCCACUUGAUCUGCUCAUUGAUUGCAGCCUUAAACUUGCAAAUAGUUACUGUACGCUAGUGCUCUAAGAAGUGAAAAUGAUGCCAGCCCUGAUUCCCUUUUGACUUCCAUUUACUGUCAAACAUUCUAGUAAUACAAAAAAUUGUUUAGAUAUCUUGCUAUAAAUAUAGCCGUUUGACUGUCAUAAUAAAGUCACAAAUAACCAUUCAUAUUGAUCUACUGUCACACAGCAUGCUUUAUGCAUACAACAGCUGUAUGUAUACCAACUCCUAACCUUAUCAAUACAUUUGGCAAAAACUUAAGAAGAAAGCUAUUUCUCCAUCUCUUUUUUGAAAUUUCACAAUAACCAGCACAAUGUGAAAGCUAUGUUCUAACCUUAUGAUAAAUGCUCCAGACUCCAAAAGGAUUUUAUAUAUGAGAGUUUGUUGCAGCAGAUAUAUUGACUUAUCAAGUAUGAAUCAUUGUCUGGAUGAACUAUCUUUAGAUAAAAGAAUAUUAGAACCACUGUAGAAUAUCUUUACGCUGCUGGUUCUAACAGGAAUCUGCAUGUGGCAACAAUUGCUAGAUCCACAAUUCCCCAACUUGAAAUACAUAGUUGCACACCAUGAGAUAGUGCUACAAUCUACUGAGAUCUAACUUAUAUGGUACUUUAAGCUACUAAUGUUUGCAUAUUUCUACAUGUUAAAUUAACACUAUCAUCUAUAAUCACUCCAAAACAACAAAUGAUAAGCAGCUUUUGGCCACUUAUUACUAGCAUCCACAAUUAUAAAUAAGAGAUCAUGGGUUUACUUGUUGCACCUACUUAAUUAUCUGCAGUUGACAUCCUGAAGCAAGGUUUAAAUAGUGACUGCUUAGAACCCUUGUAGUUGGAUCUUGACCUCUCCCAUUGUAGCCAAGAUUGGUUACUCUGGUAAUGAAUCAACACUCUCCUGCUCAGGGCCAUGAAGAUCUGAAAGCUCAGCACUAGUGGAGAACUUCAUCAAUCUCUUCUUCUCAGCACACUUGAGACAAGGCUGCAUUACGAGACCAAUCACCACAGCACCAACGCUUAAAACUGCAACUUUUAAAGAAGAAAGAGCCAACACAACACAACACAACACAACACAAAUCAAUAUGGUUGGAGGAAUACACAUGAUAAUGGCUCCAACAGUGCCAGUGGGUAUCUUGUAGGGACGAGAUGCAGCAGGAUAUUGUAUCCUUAACCAUACAAAUGCUAUGAACUCCAUAACCAUUCCAAAACAGUACAGGAAGUUCUCUGCAGCUACAAUAUCUCGAAAGCUCAGCCAUGAUAGCAAAACCACACCAGAUGCUGAGAAUAUGAUUCCAAUCAAAGGAGUCCCAUAACAAGACCUCUUAGCAAAAAACUCAGGUAGCAUUCCACACUCAGCCAUCCCCAAAAGUUGGAAAGAGUUGCUGCUCAUCUCAGCCACAAACAUGCCCAUAUUGGACAUUGCUGCAGCCCCCUGGAUGCAUUAUCUCAACCAAACUCCUCCAAGCACUUUAGCGAUAUCUGAAAAGUAACCAUCGGUCCACAAGUCGCGAUCUAAUGGAAUAGCUCCAGUUCCAACUAGAAGGGGAAAGAAAUACCCAAAAAUGACCAAGAUCAAAGCAUAAAACAAAGCCUUUGGAAGAGUCUUCUUGGGGUUAUCCACCUCUCCAGCUAGUGUACUUAUUGAGUCCCAGUAGUUGAGAUUCCAAAACAGGGUGUUCAAAUACAAAUUCCAAUCCACUUCACCUAAAUUUACUACAAGCCAUCUUGAAGGCUCUAACUUGGGAAGGGACACAAGUCCCAUAACCACAAAAGGAAGGAGUGAGAAAAUCCCUAAAAGAACAGCAGCCCAUCCCACAAUGGUUAGACCCCUAUAGUUCAUGAAAGUGAGAACAAAAGUCAAAGCUAACGCCGCAAAGGCUCUAGGUAACCCAUUGCCCAACGCAGGGAUACCAGACUUCAAGUAGUCAAGAAACAGAACUGGGUAUAAAGCAUUAUCAAUAACCCCACUUAGCCAUUUCAUCCAACCUUGCUGAAAACCCCAAUAUGGGCCUAAGGCAGAUGAAACCCAAACCACAUAACCACAAUUUUCAGAAAACACGGUACCCAUCUCGGCAGUAAUUAAAGCUUCAGGGACACUCCAUAUAAUCGGAAACACCAAGAAACCAAGAAGUGCUAAAAGAGGACCAGCUGCCUUUACACUAUCCUCAACACCAAACGGCCCCCCAGAAACCUCAUAGAAUAUAAGGAAAAUAAGUGGCAAGAUUGAUACUUUUUUAGUGCCAUGGACUCUAGGAGAAGAUGGUUGGUCAUUGAUAUUAACAUAUUCAACAGCAUCAGACUGCCCCAUUUCUACUGAAACUUGCCUAUUUACAGUGUUCCUCAAUUUCUGCAUCAAGUUUUAGCAUAACUAUCAAAAGGGUAUCCGCAUGUAAAUUAUGAAACAAAAUGAGCAUUUACUUUUUAAAAAAAAAUCAAAAAACAGAAAUGGAUUUCGCAGAGCACAUGAAUUUAAGUUCAACAUUAAACAGGCGCUUAAGAAAACAAAAGGGUCUGUUCGUAAAGCCAUCAGAUUGCAAGAUUGAACAACAUUAACGGAAUCAAUAGAAUAGAUGUAAAGAGAUCUGAAAAGAAAAUAAAAUAAAAGAUGAAGAGAGAUAAAACGAACCAUCAAAUAAGUGCAUGCAGAGCAGAGAGGCAGAUACUAGAGAAGCUCCGUCAUGUUAGAGAGAGCCUAAAUCAAUCAGAGCUCACUGAGUUUCUUUUCAACCGACCGGCAAAUUUGGAGUGGCACAAAAUAAUAUUUUUGCUUUUAAUUUUUGGAACACUUUUGAAUGGAAUUUUUUGUUUUUAAAAAAGGUAAGGGAGAUUAGGGCAUCAUAAAAAGAUUUUUUAAAUAAAAUUUUAUUAAUUAUUUAAAAAAUUAUUUUAAUAUUUAAUAUUUUAAAAAAUAUUUUAAUUAAAAUUUUUUAAAUAAAAAAUAAUUUUUUUUAAAUUUAGAGAAUUAAUUUUUUUUAUAAUUUUUUUUAUUAUUUUUUAUUGAAAAAAAAGAGAUAAAUACUUUAAUUGUUAUUAUUUUUUUUAAAUAAUUAUUUGAUUAAAAUAAUAUUAAAUUAUUUUUAUUUGAAGAGUUUUUUAAAAAAUAUCAUAUUUUUUUAUCCUUCUAUUUGCCACAUGAGUAAACAAAUAGAUAUUUAAAGAAUAAAAUUUAUAUAAUCUUUUGGAAAUGCUCUUAAUAUUUAUUUAGUCUUAUAUUUUUUAAAAUAUUUUUAAAAUAUUUUUGUCGUUAAAAUAUUGAUAUUAUUAUUAUUUUUUUAUAUUUUUUAAUUUAUUUUUAUAAUAUUAUUUUUAUAAUAAUUUUUUAUUUAGAUAUUAAUAAAAAAAUAAUUUAAUUAAUAAUUUAAUCCUAAAAUAAAUAAACACGUGUUUGGUUUUGGGCCUUUUCUUUUGUUCGUUUAAUAUCAUCUGGCUCGCUGAUUUGUGACUAAUUAUCAACGGAAUCCCGUUGGUUUCUAAAUUGAAAUAAUAGAAGGUCAUGAGACUAUUUACUCCAUUUAGCACUGCAGACUUAGAGUAUAUUGAAAAAGCUUUGUCAAAUAGUAGUAAUAGGGGCAUAAGAAAUAAAUUAUAGCUAUCACAAAUUCGUUAGGAGAAUUUCAAUUUUUUCCGUCAAUAAUGGCUAUGAAGCAAAAUUACCUUAGGUUAUAUUGCAACACUAAUACUUCAAAUCCUGAUAAGGGGUGAUAAAAUUAAGGUUGUUCAAAUCCCUUAAAAUGCUCCUUUGUUUAGUUUAAAAGUUGUUCUUAAAAUGGAAACGAUGACUUAUUUAGAAGAAAUGGUAAAUUUAUAAUUUGUAAUAUUAUUUGCACAAACAAUAAUAAUGAAGUGUUAAUUACCACUUAACAUUUUUAAUUAAUUUCUAAAUUUAAAACAAAUAUGAAAGUUGAUUGCUUCGAAGGUUGGAUCGACAAAUUGACAUUUGAAAAGAGAAGUAGGGAAUGUAUAUUCUGAUGAAAGGGACAAGAUUAAGUAAGGGGACAAUAUUCUCUAUUGGACCUACAAAUGGGGGGAAAGAUAUAUAUAUAUAUAUAUAUAUUCUUAUUUGUGGAUUGGGCAUCACGUGUAACUAAUAUAAAAGGAGAAAAUUUAGCAUGGUUUUAACAUAUAUAAGAAGAGAAAAUUAAUUGUUCAAACAAAUUAGAAGCAAAUUCUUUCAUAUCUUUCUUUAUUUUUCCGCUUACUUUCUUAGCAUCCAAACAAGUUAAAGUUAAAACGCUGUUGAGCCAACAAUAUGCAGGCAUCAAUAAGCAUAGUAGUUUUGUAUAUGUAUUCUAUACGAUAUUCUGGGGAUGUCAAUUGUAGAACAUUUUGUGGUAACUUUUUUACAUUAAUUAAUGUUUGAAGAACUUGUUAAAAAGAAAAUGGUAAUUUUAUUAUUUUGAAAGACAAAAAAAAAUAAAAAUAAAAGAGUGAAAGUGGCGUUACCUCAUGGUCAUUAGAGACUUGUUGCAAUGAUAGCUCAAAAUUAAAAAUUUGUGAAGAAUUAGUAGACAACGACGAUACUAUAUUUAUAUAGUCACCAACAUGUUGAUUUUUGUUUAAUGUUUGAUCGAUAGAAACUUUUGUCGUCGUCGUCGCCGUUGUUGAAUUCAUGCUUAGAAUACCACAAGAGAAGAAGAAGGGAUGAAAGGGAAGAGAAGAAGAGAGAAGUAGUGGAUAGCAAAUAUGAUAUGCUAGCUACACACAGGCCUUAGAGAGUUUUUUUUUUAAUAUUUAUUGUAUUUUUGUUUUUGUUAUUGGUUUGUCAUAUGCUUCCAAGGCAGCAAUGUGUUACAUCAUAAAUUGCACCUUUUAGGGGAGGUGGUAAAAAACAUGAGAGGAAUGCAUUCUAGCGCAUACAUGCAGAAAGAGUUUCCAAAUUUUCAAAAGUUUGUUAUUUCUUCCACCUUUUUUUUGCUUAAAAUAAAUUUUAAUUGUAUUUUGCAUUAACUUAGAGAAAAAAAAAAUCAAGUUCUAUGCAUAAACGCAUACAUUGAUUAGAAAAUGAGUUUUAUGGACACAAAGGGACAAUAUAAGAGAUUCUUUUUGUUUAUUAGAAGUAACAUAACUAGUUAGUGUAACAUGUAAUUAUAAGCUACCAAGAAUUUGCACUGAUGAUAAUUAACGGUAUAGAUUUUGAGCUAUGAAUGUCUUGUGGCUAGUUUAAUUGGAUUUUCGAGUUUUCAGCAGAUCUAUUUUAAUGAUUAUUAAAUUAUUUUCACUUCUUAUGCUUUAAUAAAAAAAAUUCAAUAUUUUUUGCUGUAUUCUAUAUUUUAAAACUUAAUUUUUAAUUCUUUAUAUUGCAAACCAAACUGAGUCAAAUAGAGUAUGCUCGAAUUUUUCCAAUGCCUUCAAGAAGAAUUCAUUUUAUUUUUAUAUAUUAAUUUAACACAUGUAAACCGGGCCGUUGGAUUGCACAUAAAGCAAAUGAUCAAACCGUUACAAGACCGGCCCAGGCCCACCGACUCUAUUUUCUUUCAUUUGACCAUUAAAAAGCUUUUGGCCACCCCCACCAAAUAAAUAAGCUCUUGUUCUCUUUUGUUUCCCUCUCAAAGGAAAAUAUCUGAUCACCGGAUAAUGAUUCCGGUGACACAAAAGAUCGAAACACCCCCCUAAAUUCCCUAAAUUUACAAUAAUACCCCACCAUGGAUGAUUCCGUUGAAAUGCCGCCUUACGAUGAAAGGCCUAAAAAGGGUUUUAACUUCACCUCCAUGCGCUUGAUCUUAACCCUCGUUUUCCCAAUUUUAACUUGCUUUUUGUUGGCAUUUUUUAUUGGAAUCGUAGCUGUUUUAUUCGGCGAAUCAUCAGUUUCCAGUUCCAUUUUUGUCCCUUCCUAGUGCAAAAUAGUGUCCAGCAGUAAGCUUUUUUUAACAUUUUCAAUUUUUUUUCCAUUUAUGAAGUCCAAAAAUUUUAUUAAUUUUGAUUUUUUUGAAUGAUUUUGCAGGUGUUGAUAUAAGGUCAUCAAAAGUUCGUGAACUUGGGGUGUUGAAUUAUAAGGCGAAGCGUGCGUUUUAUCCAUUUGAAGCAAUUAAAUUUCGCUGUCGGUAUGAUUACUAUUGGGCUUCUAUCUUCAAGGUAUUCAUACAUUUUCCCCUGUACUAUAAGCUUCUUAGUGGCGGUCUUGUGAGCGGAAGUGAGCGGUGUGGCUGACAGCUUCUUGAAAAUUAUGAACAGAGCAUGUUAGACUUUUGUUGACCAAAUUCAAAAGCCAAAUGGCACAACUCAGAAGCUUUUGAAUUGAAUAACUUACUAGAAAGCUCCAAUUUUUUGUUGGCUACAGUAAAAGGAUGUUGUUUUAUUCUUCUUAUACUUUACGCUUGCAUCAGCUUAAAUCACUUCUUAAACGCUUUGCUUUAACUCUACCGCUUCAUACUGUUCUAUAUAUGUAUCGGGUAUGCGGUUGUAGUUCAUUGCUGAGACUACGUGUUUGUUUGACGUGGUAGUUACGUUCCGAGUCUGUUAAACAUUCGGUGAUUAAAGUAUUAUCAGUUAUUUCAAAGGGGCAAAUAAGAUUAGCUACAACACACCCACUAGUUUUAUAAAAUUCGAAUAAGAUGGAAUAAAAUAAAAAAAUAAAUAAGUAAAUUGACUUUUAAUUUUUGUGGUUGAAUAUAUUUUGUAUUCUCUCAGGGCACUGCUGUAAUUGUUCCUUAAAUGUCAGUCACACCCACAUGUUACAGACACAAGAAAUGAAAUCUAAGAUCACCUGUUUAAUUAAAGAAUCACUCAUAAAAAAAUUUUGCCAUUUUGAUUUGAGGAUCCACAUUUUGAACAACCAACUUAUCUUCAUCAAGAACAGAUCAUGGCCUUUGAGUAGAAAAAUUAUUUUUGGACAAACUAUUUUUAUUAAUAGAAGAAUUUCUCAAGGGACUAUUAAAAUUACUAAUGAAAAUGUCAGACACACCCACGUACCAUCGACACAAUUGACUAUGAGGAUCCAUGUUUUGAACUGCCACUUAAUGUUAAUCAAGAACAGAGUAUGGCUUGUGAGAAGAAAAAUUUCUGAUUUUGGCCUGGAACAAAAAGAAAUUAAAUUGAAGGAGAAUCUGGUACUUUCUCAUUAAGAAAGGCAGACGGGGCAUACUAUGGUACCAUACAAUACGAAAAGUCUCCGUUCUCUGGCUUUUAAACUCUAAAGGGGGCAAUAUUCCCCAAUUACCCCGUGAAAAUUCUGAUUACGACAUUAUUUAUUGCUUGAUACAUAAGUAAAAGUAGUGACAAAAUUAGGAAAAAUAUGACUCAUAAGUAAUUACUAGGCAGGGCUCUUGAGAGCAACAUUGUACUAGGCUUUAUAUGCAUACAUGGUGUGGUACAUAGAGCACGUUGAAUUCCACACUAUAACAUAAACCCAGAAAGACAAGUAAUAUCUCAACAUAUAUAAAGACAAAAAGAAGAUAAAAUGAUACAGAACAAAGAAUUUCUAAGAGACAGCAACAUACAAUAGACUGAAGCCAGUUGAUCUGCUCAUUGAUUGCAGCCUUAAACUUGCAAAUGUUUACUGUAGCCUGGUGCUCAAAGAAGUGAAAAUGAUGCAAACCUUGAUUCCCUAUUUACUUCCAUUUACCAUCAAACAUUCUAUUCAUAAGAAAAAAAAUGUUUAGAUAUCUUGCCGUAAAUAUAGCCAUUUGAUUGUUUUAAUAAAGCCACACACAACCAUUCAUAUUGAUCCACAUUGCCACAUAGCCUGAUUUAAGCAUACAACAGCUGAAUGUAUACCUGACUCCUAACCUUAUCAAUACAUUGGCGACAACUUAAGAAGAAAACUAUUUCUCCAUCUCUUUUUUGAAAUUUCACAAUAAAACAGCACAAUGUAAGAGCUGCAAUGAAAAUGGACCGUCUGGAACUAUGGCGGAAGCUUCAACUAGUGUAGUGAUUUGACCUUCUUAUUAACCUGGCAAGAUCAAACACUGCCCUUGAUCUUGAACAGAUCAAUACGAUACGCACAACUUAUGAUUGAAUCCAGAAACCAUCAAAUCUUUAGCAAGAAUAAUUAAUCAGAAUCAAGAAACAAGUUUAAUGAAUAUAAACCUAUAAUUGGAACAAACACAGCCAAAGAACCCAAGAAUGACACAACGUACACCAAGGGAGAAGCUUUCCAGUGAGAUUAUAUUGAUGAUCAAAGAAGAAUCUUUUUACAAAGGUAACAAAAGUGAUUUCAGAGAAUAAGCUAUGACCCUCUCUCUUUUCAAUCUCUGUCUAGUUUGUUAACAGUGAUGACCCCAAUCUGCUUCGUUAGCCAGGUUCAUAACUGCGUCAGUGACAAACUAGCAAACCUAGAUUGAGCAGACUAACGACACGUGCAUAACGGCUUUAACGAACUUGGUUAAAGAACUGCUCACAUGUUCGUCACGCGUGUUGCUUAAAUGAUAGCCAAAACGACUUCAACCAGAUGCCGUUUUGAAGCUUAUGAAUUAUAAGUGAAAACACGUGCUUGUCUCGUGACAUUUAAAUGCAACAACAAGCCCAAAACACUGUCGUUUCACUAUGUUGAGUUUGCCAUCUCCAAGCUUCACAACUAGCAGCGAACAAGAUGAUAAUUUAAUUGACAUGGAGAGCUUUUAUAUCACUUUUACAACAUUCUAUAUAAUUGUGAUAUUGGGAAUCGUCGGUGCUGUAUAUGUGAACCCUCAUUGGCGACACUGGUGGUUUUAUCUUUGUUAAAAUAUGGAUGACUUUUCGUUACUAUUUUGUUGUACAUAACCUUAUUCCUACGAGAUUUAAUCAUUGAAAUUAUGUUAGUUUCAUUAGAAGGCUGAGUGGUUAGUGCUGCUACCCUCCAAUUUGGAGGGCAGUAGUUUGAACCCCCACAAGCGCAAUGUGGGGGUAUUUCCUUCUUUAAUUACAUUGUAUAAUUGAGUAAAGGUAAUUUUCUCUCUUACCCAAGUGUGAGUGGAGUAGACAUCCCUCGAUGGUUAAAACCUGGGCAGAGCUUCAUAAGUAUUGAUGUAAGUUGGUCCCAGUAAUAGUCUGAUUUGUAAAUAUCAGUUAUAGUCUCAUGUUUCCUUCCUUAAUUAUAUUGUAUAAUUAAGUAAAGGUACUCUUUUCCCCUACCCAAGUGUGAGUGGAGUAAAUAUCCAUCGAAUAUUAGUGAGGGUUAAAAUCUGGGCAAAGCUCCAUAAGUAUUGAUGUAAGUUGAUCCCAGUAAUAGUAUGAUUUGUAAAUAUCAGUUAUAGUCUCAUGUAAUAUGAGUUGUAAUUUGAGCAAUAGUUUCAUGUAAUUAAAAAAAAUGUUACUUUCAUUACAUUUUUCUUCGUUAAAAUUCUCAAGUAUCAAUUAUGUUUGCUUAAGAAAUAAAAUUUUGUCAUUAAAGUUGUAGUAGUAUUUCUAAGCAUCUCACAUUUUCAAUGAUUUUUCAUAAAUCAAUUAAUAUGUCGUACCAAUAUCAUGUUUAGUUUUUCAGACUAAAUAAUCAAGAAAGCAAACAAAUUCACAGUUUAGAGGGGUAAACUAGCUUUUAGAUUUUAGAACUAGGCUAGCUACCUCACCAAAUUCCAGUUUGUACAGUGAACUACAAGAUUGAGAAAAUAAUGUAUUUAUAGUUUAAUUGAAUCAUGACAAACAAUGUAGUCAUAGCUCAAUCGGACAUGAUCACGGAGAGGCAUAUUCUUUUCAAGUUAAUUUGAUCCAUUUAUAAGAAAUGAAGUGGAUCGAAGUUAAAAGUUCAAAUAAAAAAUCCUUGUUCUUGAGUUUUACGACGUCGUUACUCCUUCAAGAGGCUGAUUAUGCAAGUGAAUGGAGAAACAUAAUGCAUUUAUAAUUUUUUUAAUAAUUAUAAAAAUAAUUAACCAUAACAAAUCCCUUGCGUAAAUAAUAAUCAUUAUUUAAAAGGUCCAAAGAUGGUUAGUGCACAAUCAAAUUUUAAGCCCCUACCUCCUCGGCCCAAGAUUCAAACUUAGAUGAUAAGCCAAAUAAAAUUAUUUGAAAAUCAUUCAAUCAAGUUCCGGGGCAAAAAUACAAGAUCCUUAUUUACAUGAUAUAUAUGAAUUAAUGUAAUUUAUUUGAAUUGUCCAAAUUCAUUAGAGAUAAAACUAUAAAAUAUACCAAAAAAGUUAGAAGGAAGGCUGUGUUGGGAUAUUUUACAAACUAUAGGGAUCUGGUGAGAUUUUGAGCCAAACUGUAGGGAGUUGAAGGCAUUUGCCCAAUAUGUUUAGACGUACACUAACCGUUAUUUGAUCUUGUUGUUGGUCCCGGAUGAGCUGUAGUCUUAUUUUAAUUUUAUUUAAACUCACCAUAAGAUUCGCGGAGCUCCUAACUAACUUAAAUGACUCUGCAGAGCAUGUCAACACAUACCAUGUUUAACCGUUUUAUUUGUAGAAGAAUUUAUGAUUUCCCAUUAGCAUUAUUAUUGAAGUGGGGCAGGUCAAAUCUCAAUUGCUUGAAAAUUUUAUUUAUUAUUAUUAGUCUUGAAGUGGGGUGGGUAACGGUUCGCUCAAUUCGAGGGGAAUCAAAUAUAUCAUCCAAGGUAGAAUUGUGGAAAAUUAAAGCAAAAUAAGAAAUAUGGAAAGACAAGAAGAAAGUUAAGGCAUGAAAGACAUAUACAGUUGAAAUUGAUAAUCAUGUUUCUAUUUUGUUAACUAAUCAAAUGGAAAGCUGAACUGUAAACAAACAUUAAAACGUGUGGACCAAGCUCGCUGUCCUACAAGUCUACAAUAAUAAUUGAGUACUUUGAUUCAUCCUUCUAUGAAUUUCUACCCAUAUUGACUCCACCGAAAUUUCCACAAAAUAAAAUUAAAAAAAAAAACUGAAUUUCCACAAAAUACAAAACCCGUUGAACUUAAUUUUUGGUCAUGUGAACUAAGAUGUAAAUUAUAAAAAAAAGUAUAAAAUUAAAAAAGAUGAGAUUUCUAAAAUGUGUGGAAAGUGAUUCAUGAUUCACUGAAAUUACUUACCCCAGAUAUAAAGGUAAACCUAUCUAAUUUCAUUAAAAAUAGUUGAAAAACAUUAACUAAUAGAAAGCUACGGAAAUUAACCCCCCACAAAAAUGACUUUUUAUAGAAGAAUUUAUGUUUUUUAAAAUAUGUUAUCAAAGUGUAUUUGAUCAAAUCUGAAUUGCUUAGUAUGGUUAGGAUUUUGUGAACAUCACUAAAAAGUGAAAACUAUGAAUGAUAGGGGUGAUGCUUGCAAUAUGAAUAAAUAAUGGACUGAUUCAAUUUCUGAUUACAUUUAUAUAUUAUUGAUUAUUUAUGAAUUUUCAGACUUGUUAUGAUGUAUAACUAUGUGAUUUUGAAACUUGAAACCGUGGCAAACAUUGAAAGGAAUUAUAACUUGAAAGCAUGACUCACGGGGUAUGUCAUGAUUCACGUGCACAAAAAAGGUAGAAUUGUGGAAAUUUACAACCCAACGACAAGUACGGAAAGAAAGGAAGAAAAUUAAAAGACUUUGGGCCUAGCUGCGUGUAUAAAUUAUUAGAUUACUUUUUUUUUUAUAAGGGUAAUCAUCAAUUUACUCCAUAAAAAUCUUUAAUUCAAUUAAAAUUUAUGGUAUUUUAUAUAUUAAAAAUUCUAAAAUAAUUAUGUAUUCACUUGAAUAUAGUUUUAGUUAUAAAUGUUAAAAUAUUGUGGUAUUUAAUAUAUUAUUUAUUUGACAUUCAAAUUUAAUAAGGAUACAAAUGUAAAAGUAUAUAUUUUUCAGCUUUUUAAGUUGAAAAAAACAAACAACUUAAUACUUAUUUUUUGAGAUUCAGACAAAAAAAUAAACAUAUUAUUCAGAUUCAGACAUUCAGAUCUAUUCAGAAUUCUCACUAAUUCAGAUCUAUUCAGAUUUCAGAUAAAAAAAAAAAAAACAAAACGCCACCUAAGUAUAGUUAGGAUUGUGUGAACAUCACUGAAAACUAUGAUUGAUAGAAGUGAUCUUGGCAAUAUGAAUAAAUAAUUAACUGAAUCAAUUGAUUUAUAUAUUAAUGAUUGUUUAUGAAUUUGCGGACUUGUUGCGAUAUAAUAAUAGCAUAUGAUUUUGAAACUUGAAACAGUGGUAAAUAUUGAAAGGAAUUAAUUUGAAAGCAUGAUCCGUGGGGAAUGUGAUGAAUCGUGUUUACAAAAAAGGUAGAAUUGUGGAAAUUUAUAAUAGAACGAUAAAUAUGGUAAAAAGGAAGAAAAUUGAAAGACUUGGGGCUUGGCCUGGGUGUAUUUUCUAACAGUCCAAUGGACAAAAUUAUAUUUGUAUACUUUCUUUUCAGGAAAAAGUUAUUCUCAUCCCUAGGUUUCAUGCAAUAGCUCAUUCCAUCCUUAUUUUUUAAAUAAUAGACCAAAACAUUCUUCCGUUAACUCACUGUUAGUUGAAUGUCGUUUGUUAGUUAUUCAUUAAGAGUAAAAAAUGAUUUUCUAUCAAAGAGAAAAUUAGAAAAAUAAAUAAAAGUUGACAUAUAACUAAAAAUGAUUUUAUCUAAUCCCACUAAAUAAGAAAUACCAAAAAAGAUGAAAAUUUUAUAUUUCAAGCAGUUCUUUUUUCACUUAUUUCUAUUUUGGCGGUAUGAAAGCCCUAUAAACCCUAGAUCUAAGUACCAAAAAUAUUGCAAUUUUCUUAUUCAUAUAAGUAUACUCUCUAAUUGCACUAUAAAAUGACUUGAAUUGAAUUGAAGAUAAAGAAUAUAUUCAGCACAUACAAAGCACAUAAAAAUUGGUGGCAUUUUUGAGUUUUUCUUCCAAUGAUUUAAAUAUAUUAUUUUAAUUACAGUUUGUUCCUUAUGACAAUUAUUAAAUGGCUAUAUCAAACUAUAUCAUCGUUGAUUUCAUUUAAAAAAAAAAGUUAAUGAAUUUUGCAUACUUUGUAGUGUUAUUUAAUUGUGUAAAAAAAUUAUUUUAAUAUAGUUUGUAUCACUUUAAUGAAAAAUUCUAUUUUGCCCUCAAUGAAUUACUAGUUAACAGUUUUACACUAACGGUGAAUUAACAUAAGGAUAUUUUAGGCUAUUGUUUGAAAAGGAGGGAUAAAAUGGGCUAUUACAUUAAACUCUAAGGAUGAAAAAUGCUUUUUCCCCUUUCUUAUCAAUCAACUAACUGAUAAAAGUCAAAACUCAUAUUUUUUUUUCCUUGUUUCAAUCCCCUCUCAAUCAAAAAAGUUUCAUUGUCUAAGCAAUGAGGAAUAUGGCUAGAAAGAUUGUUAUUAGAAAGAUUUAUCAAUAGUAAUUGGUUCACAAUUGAACCGUUUUAGAUUAUUGUGAGUCAAUAUAGGUCCUGUUUGGAAUUGAAGUGUUGCAGCUCUUAAGUUAUAGAUGCUUUGGAAAAAAAACUAAAAUUAUGAAAUAAGAGUUAAUAAUAUAUAAUAAAUAUAAAUUUUAAAUAAUAAUUGUGACAAAAUUAUUAAAAAUAUAAUAGAUUUUUGAUAAUACAAGUAAAAAAAUCAUAACAACAUAGCUUGCAAGCUACAACAGUUAGUGUUUAACAAAUACUUUAAUACUGUGGCUUUUAAGUUACAGCUGUUCAAUACCUCAAUUCCAAACGCACCUAUAAAAUGGCUUGCUUCAAAAGUCUAUCAACCCAACUUGGAAUGCUCUCAUUCAAGUGGCUAUAACUAAGAUAAAACUUCGCUAAGGAAGAGUAAUUAAAAAAUGUAACUUUAACAUGUCCAUAUAGCAUUUUUGUUUACAAGUGAAUUUGUGUGAUAGAGAGAGGAUGUAAGCAAGAUAGUAAAGUCCUAAAUAUAUUAUUGUGUAUAAUGUCUAAAAUUUAAAGAGAAUCAAGCUGAUAAAACUCCAUUGAAAUUAGACCUUCAAGAAUACGGUUCUUGGGCAUUAUAAAAUGUUGUAAUGUUGAGAGAUUACCCAACCAUUAUGGAAUCCUACCAAGAUGAUUGUUACCACUAAGAUACAAUCCUUCUAGUGAACAACAAUCAGAUAAAUUUUUUGGGGAUCUCUCUUACAAAGUGAUUACCAUCCAAUCGCAAUUUUGAAUGAAAAUAAAUUUUUUUUAUUGGGAGUUUAACCUUAACAUUAAAUUUAGACAAUGAAUUUUAACUUUCUACAGUUAUUAAGCAGAUUACGGACAUUUGAGGAAUUUGAAAACAUUUCAUCCAUCGAAAGUUAAAAUUAGAGAUGGAAGAUAGGUGCUACAGCUAAUGGGAACAUUACUUCCUGUCCCUCAUCACACUUUAUUUUGGGUCUAAUAAUUUUACGGUAGCAUUGACCACUGCUCAAGGUAAGUAAAACUUACAAAUGUGUGGCAAAAUAAAUAAUUAAGUACAUAAACUGUUAACCAAUUUUCUUGAUAUAUACAGCUAAAGUAGUUGUAUAUUAGUGUCCUGAAACAUGUUUAUUAUGAUAGACACCUCCACCGUACCUCAAACAAAUCUGUCAUUAUUAGUGUCCUGAAACAUGUUUCGGCCGUCAAAGUCAUGAGAGGGUUGAUGACGCUACUACGUAUGAUGACACACCAGCCGACAGUGUAGUAACAGCUCAAAAACAAAAUCUACCAAAAUCAACGGAAGUUAAUAAAAAAAUAUUUUAUUAAUAAAAAAACUUAUUAUUUGUGGAGAUAUGUGUAUUUGAGUCUGUGGACUGAAAUGGAAAAUAUGAAGAAGUUCAGAGUCGUUGUGCAGAUUGACUUCAGUUGAGCGGGUCUAAUAGAUAUUUUAUGCUGACGUGGCACGAAUUAGUUAUAAUCUGUUAUAACGAUUCCAGAAAUAUCGGUAUAAAUAGAAGUUGAUGAGCAGUGCCUGUUGUACGAUCCUUUUCUUCUUCAGCAGUUCGUCAAUUUGCAUAGAAUCUGUUUCACUUAUGUUUGAUUAGUUGUUGAUCGAUAACGAGAGUAAAUUUUUCCUUCAAAUCUUGCUGGUUCGUGCCCCUGUUUCAGUUUUGGGUUUUUUUUUUUUUUUAGUUCUGGUUUCUUAAUUCAAUUGAAUUUCUUGGUGCUUAAUUCAUCAAGAUUCAGUGGAAUUGACUUGAAAAGGACUCAAUAGACUCAACAUUAUUUAACGACACUCGGACCGUGGGGUACCGUAAUCAUAAUAUUAAAAGAUUUAAAAUUUUAUGCAUUUAUUAAUUGUUAUAAUCUAAAAAAAAAUUAAUUAAUUCAGGUCAAUCUGAGUUGGUGCAUCUGCAGAGCCUUUUUUUUUUUUCCCCUUAUUGACCAUAACUUUCGACUUAUUAAUAGUUAUAUCAAAGGGUGUGGGUGUUUUACCUCAUCAUGUCUUCAAGCGGAAGAUGAAGACUAUGCAAGUGAAUACAGUGCAUUUCAACAUAGCAUAUUUAACCGUUUUAACAGUUAUUUGGACCGUCUUCAGAGCUAACAUCAACAUACUCAUUCAUAUGCUUAAUAAUGAACGAAUAGUCAUGGAUCGAUGUUUUGCAGCAAGAGCAACUCGACACAAUCUGGAUUCAACCUCCUCCUUUCUAACAGGGUGAUACGCCGCGGAGGUCGUCAAGGAUUCCAAAGCCUAGCAACAAGUAUGCUGGGUACAUUUGAAUUAUGCAUGGAUGCUUGGAAGUCGAACGGUCACAUGGCUCAAGACUUAUGCAUACGUUACAUGCAACAUGCAGCACGUUGGAAGAAUGGUCAUUGGAGCAGUCUACAUGGAUCAUGGGGGGGAUUCGGUCAACAUGGGAUCACUUGCUGAUUUAAUGGAGAUUUAUCAUUUGGUUUAAUUCAUUUUCGGUUGUUUAGUUAAGCUAAAAGAAUAAGUUAAGUUGUUAGCUUAGGACCUGCCUACAAUCUCGAGUGAUAGUUAGAUUGUUUGGCUAAGUUGUUUUAAGUAUAAAUAAGCUCCAACGGACUUGAAUAAAGGGCAUUGACUAUUAUCCAAAAAUCAAAUAUCUUGUGGUCUUAUUUCUCACCCUAAGUAGAAAUAUAUUCAACCACUUACGCUUUGACUGGGACCCCUAUCAGUGGUAUCAGAGCGAGGUUACUAUGUCAACCAACAAGGAACGCAUAGAGCGUGUGGAAGCCGAGAUCGGAAGCUUGCAAGAUGGAAUGAAGCGUAUGGAACUAGGGCUUACUGACAGAUUGCACCGCCUAGAAGAAACAAUGAGCAAACUGGUAGAUUCACUUCCAACUUCAAAAGGGAUGCCAAGUCACAACAAUUCUGAUCACGUUGGAUCCUCACAGCCUAGCCGUGGAGAUAGUGAAGGGAGCCGCCAUCAGCUAGCAUCAAGACUUACCAAACUGGAGUGUCCACGAUAUUCCGGCGACGACCCAACGGAGUGGUAUAAUAGGAUCAUGCAAUUUUUCGAGUACCAGAAAGCAACCAAUGAACAGAAAGUCUCCUUAGCUUCUUUUCACCUCGAAGGAGAGGCCAACCAAUGGUGGCAGUAGAUGCGACGAACUUAUCAAGAAGACGAAAAAAUAGUAACGUGGGAAAUUUUUGUGGAGGAGCUUUGGGCACGGUUUGGCCCUACUGAGUGCGAAGAUUAUGAUGAGGCGUUGUCCAGGGUUAAGCAGACAGGGUCACUACGUGAUUAUCAGAGGGAAUUCGAAAGGCUUGGGAACUGGGUACGAGGCUGGACGCAAAAGGCCUUGGUCGGGACCUUUAUGGGAGGAUUGAAGCCGGCAAUCUCAGAGGAAAUUCGGAUGUUUCGGCCCAAAACUUUAAAAGAAGCUAUAAGCCUCGCACGUAUGAAGGAUGAUCAAUUAACGCGACAAAGGAAGUUGCUACGACCACAGUACCUCAACCGUACACCACCAACACCAACAAACAAUACCCGUGCCCAACCAACGAGACCCAUCAAACGGCUGACUUGGGACGAAAUGCAGCGGCAUCGAGUAAUGGGACUUUGCUUCAAUUGCAACGAUCGGUUUACAGCAGGUCAUAAGUGCACCCAACCUCAGCUAUUGCUCCUUGAAAGUGAGACAAUGAAUGAUGAAACUACAUAUGAGGGAAUUCCUGAAGUCUUAUGAACAAAACCUGACACUAAAGAGCCUACCGAUCCAAAAAUCACUUUCUAUGCCCUCACUGGAUGGGCAGCCCCAAGAACCAUGCGGGUCACGGCAACGGUAGGACCAUAUGAGAUUAUGGUUCUGAUCGAUAGCGGUUCAACUCACAAUUUCAUCAGCUCCCGAAUGGCCAACAUGUUACGGCUGCCAAUCAUUCCCACAGCAGGAUUUUUGGUGCGAGUGGCAAACGGAGAAACGCUAUCGUGCAAGGGAAAAUUCGAACGGGUUCAGGUAUUAUUACAAGAAGUUCCAUUCACUUUGACUCUUUAUUCACUUCCAAUUACAGGGUUGGAUAUGGUGCUUGGAGUCUAGUGGCUUGAGAUGCUAGGCUCAGUGGUUUGCAAUUGGAAACAACUUACCAUGGAUUUCACUUGGGAGAACAAAAGUUGCCGGUUACAAGUCAUCGGGCCUCAAUCAAUCCAAACAGCAUCCUUGACCGAAAUUACCAAAGAGCUGAGACAAGGGCAGUCCGGUUUUGCUAUUUGUUUCCAUGUGAAUGUAGAAGACUCUCUCAACACAACAACUCCAGAUAUGCAAGACUUGUUAAAGGAAUACAACACUUUAUUUCAAAAGCCAACAAAACUGCCACCUAGACGAGAAAUCGACCAUAACAUCACAUUGAAAGAGGGAACUGAGCCAGUCAACGUACGGCCAUACCGUUAUGCCUAUUUCCAGAAAGCCGAAAUUAAAAAACAAGUCCAGGAGAUGCUGAAUUCGGGACUCAUUCGGCCUAGUACCAGCCCUUUUUCAUCACCAGUACUACUUGUCAAAAAAAAAGAUGGAAGUUGGCGAUUUUGCACCGACUAUCGGUCUCUCAAUAACGCCACUGUUAAAGACCGAUUUCCAAUCCCUACAGUCGAUGACAUGCUGGACGAGUUACAUGGAGCAGCAUACUUCACUAAAUUGGACCUAAGGGCCGGAUACCAUCAGGUACGUGUAAACCCAGCCGAUAUCCACAAAACGGCUUUUCGUACAUACAAUGGACAUUACGAAUACUUAGUAAUGCCGUUUGGCUUAUGCAAUGCACCAUCGACAUUCCAGGCCAUCAUGAACUCUAUCUUCCGUCCCUAUCUCAGGAAAUUUAUCCUUGUUUUCUUUGACGAUAUAUUGAUAUACAGUCCCUCUUGGUGUAGCCACCUUACUCAUGUUAAGCAGGCAAUGGAGGUUCUUAAACAACAUCAAUUUUUUCUUAAAGCAAGCAAGUGCACUUUUGGCCAACAAGAACUCGAGUACCUUGGCCACAUAAUUACCAGCCAAGGGGUAAAAGUAGAUGAGACAAAAAUUGCGGCCAUGGUCUCCUGGCCUCAACCGAAGAACAUCUCAGAGUUACGGGGAUUCCUUGGCCUUACAGGUUACUAUAGAAAGUUCGUCCAAGGAUAUGGAGUUUUAGCUCGGCCACUCACGAAUCUUCUAAAAAAAGGACAGUUUGAAUGGAAUGCAGAAGCGGACAAAGCUUUUAUCAAUUUAAAAAAGGCAAUGACAAGUACACCCACAUUAGCCAUGCCUAAUUUUAAUGAAACUUUUAUUAUUGUGACAGAUGCAUCCGGUGACGGCAUCGGCGCAAUACUCCAGCAACAAGGGCAUCCCAUCGCAUUUAUGAGUCGUGCCUUGGGAGUCACAAAAAAAUCUUAGUCCACAUACGCAAAAGAGAUGUUGGCGAUUAUAGAAGCUAUCCGUGUGUGGCGACCUUAUCUGGUGGGACGAAAGUUUAUCAUCCAAACCGAUCAACGCAGCCUUAAGUACCUUUUGGAACAAAAAAUAACGACACCCGAAUAGCAACAGUGGCUGGCCAAAUUGAUGGGGAUUGAAUAUGAAAUCCAAUAUAGGCCCGGCCGUGAGAAUGUUGCCGCCGACGCCCUUUCACGACGACCUGACAGUUCUGCUCUUAACAGUUUAUUUGUGGCGCAGGUAUCUAUUUGGAAUGAAAUAAAAACGGCUGCCCAAGAUGAUGAUUACAUGCAGCAAAUUACACAUCAGGCUCUGACUCAACCUACUGGCCCUUAUUUCAUGCGUAACGGGCUAAUUUUCUUCAAGGGCCGAGUUGUAGUUCCUCUUCGACUCCGUCAAUCUUUAAUUUUUUAAGCCCAUGACACUAAGAUGGGAGGUCAUUCAUGAGUUCUACGUACUUACAAACGUUUGAAACAACAAUUCUAUUGGCCUUCAAUGUUUCAAACGGUUCAUGACUAUGUAGGUAAAUGCGAGAUUUGUCAAAAAACGAAAGCAUCAACCCUUAAGCCUGCGGGUCUCCUCCAGCCCUUGCCAAUUCCUUGCCAAGUGUGGGAUGAUAUCACGCUCGACUUCAUUGAAGGGCUGCCAAACUCACACGGUAAAAAUUCUAUUCUAGUGGUGGUGGAUCGGCUCAGCAAGAGUGCACACUUUAUGGCCUUGACUCACCCAUUCACAGCAAAAACAGUGGCUGAGAAGUUUAUUGAUGGAGUGGUAAAAUUACAUGGCAUGCCGAAAUCAAUAAUCAGUGACCGAGACCCUAUUUUUAUUAGCAAGUUUUGGCAGGAGUUUUUUCAUAUGUCCGGUACACAACUCAAUAUGAGUUCUGCGUACCAUCCGCAAACCGACGGUCAAACGGAAGUUAUUAAUAGAUGUCUUGAACAAUACCUGCGAAGCUUUGUUCACCAAUGGCAGAAGCAAUGGAACUCUUACCUACCUUGGGCAGAAUACUGGUACAACACAACGUACCAUGAGUCCACAAGCAUGACUCCUUUUUUGGCUUUGUAUGGGCGACAUCCACUGGUAGUACCAAUGUAUCAUGUGGAAUCUUCUCCAGUGCACAAGGUAGAUCAAGCUUUGUUGUCUAGGGAUGAGCUGCUGCGACAAUUAAAACAGAAUUUGAAAAUGGCAACCAAUCGCAUGAAACAAUUUGCGGAUACAAAAACGCGCGACGUGGAGUUUAAGGAGGGUGACAUGGUAUUCCUAAGACUUCCACCGUAUAGGCAGACUACUGUAUUCCGUCGUGCUCAUCAGAAGUUGACCAGCAAAUACUCUGGGCCAUAUCCAAUUCUGCGAAGAGUGGGACAAGUGGCUUAUGAGCUUAAACUACCGACGGGAUCUCGAGUGCAUCCGGUAUUUCAUGUGUCCUUACUCAAAAAAUACGUUGGUGAGAUGCCUCAAUUCAGUGCAGAUCUUCCAUAUGUCAAUGACGACGGAGUACUCGUUUUAGAACCGGACAAAAUUAUUGAUGUUCGUUGGCUUAAAAGAGGUGGCAAGUUGGUGGAACAAAGUCUUGUCCGUUGGAAACGCCUUCCACAUGAGGACGCAACAUGGGAAGAUUCAGAGUUCCUGGCAAAGCAAUUCCCUCACCUGACCCUUGAGGACAAGGGUCCUCUUCGUGGAGGCGGUAUUGAUACACCGCGGAGGUCGUCAAGGAUUCCAAAGCCUAGCAACAAGUAUGCUGGGUACAUUUGAAUUAUGCAUGGAUGCUUGGAAGUCGAACGGUCACAUGGCUCAAGACUUAUACGUUACAUGCAACAUGCAGCACCUUGGAAGAAUGGUCGUUGGAGCAGUCUACAUGGAUCAUGGGGGGGAUUCGGUCAACAUGGGAUCACUUGCUGAUUUAAUGGAGAUUUAUCAUUUGGUUUAAUUCAUUUUCGGUUGUUUAGUUAAGCUAAAAGAAUAAGUCAAGUUGUUAGCUUAGGACCUGCCUACAAUCUCGAGUGAUAGUUAGAUUGUUUGGCUAAGUUGUUUUAAGUAUAAAUAAGCUCCAACGGACUUGAAUAAAGGGUAUUGACUAUUAUCCAAAAAUCAAAUAUCUUGUGGUCUUAUUUCUCACCCUAAGUAGAAAUAUAUUCAAUCACUUACGCUUUGACUGGGACCCCUAUCACAGGGGAUUUCGAUUUGAGUUACUUUGUGCUCAAGCAAAUUCACAUCAUAGUUUUGAUUCUUUAGAUAUGAAUUCAUCACAUUACAUAUAUCAGAUUAAGUGUAACAAAAUUUUUAAUUUACUGCGAAAAGAAUAUGCACUAAACAAUGAUUUCAAGACGAUUUGACUACCAAAAGCAGCUGUCAGAGUGCACUAAAAAUUUCUGUAGGAUAUUUUGUAGCUGUUUAAUAUGUUAUGAUGGGCAUAUAAUUCUCAAAUUUUGAUGCCUCUCAGCGAAAAAUAUAUCAAAGUUUAGAUUAUGUGUUCGAGCUUUAAUAAAUGGUCGGAAAAAAAGCUGCUGUCAGAGUGCACUGAGUGAAUAAUAAUAACGACAAUAAUAAUAAACUAAAAAACAGAAUUAAUUACUAUUGAAUGGUCGGAAAAAAAUUUGAAAACGUGUGAACUCCAAUAAUCACCCCACAAAUUCAGUGGCGAAUUUUGGAGAGGGCAAGGCCGGGCUUCUCAGAAAAAAAUUUAUUUAGUUACAAAAUUAUCUUUAUUGAAACCUAUAUAAAUUUUUUUUUAUAUUAAUUAGUUAUGUUACCUCUUCAAUUAUCAUCAAAUUUUUGUCUGUUCAUCAUUUGGUGAAUAAAUGUGUGUCUAAAUAAUUUCAAAUAACAUUUAGAACAAAUAUUUUGAGAGGUAAAGUUUAUUUUGUCUCCCAUUAUUAGGUGCAUCUAUAAUUUCUUAUUUACAAAAUUAUAUUGUACGAUAAAAAUUUAUUGAAUUAGGGGGAAAAAAAAAGUUCAGCUCACUCAAAAACAAAAAAUGGUAUUAACUUCGCCACCGCACAAAUCUAGAAUAAUAAUUAUUCCUUAUCAUGCUGGGGAUCCUUUACUUUCUAGCCGUAUUGACAGCACCAGGUAAAGCUUUGUAAAAUAAUAAGUUACUCAUUAGUGGUUUUUAAUCUUUUUAAUUCUUUUUACCGCACACCUGAUCAAGAAUUUUAUUUUGUUAACUAAUCAAUUGCAAAGCAUAUAUAAGUGUUGAACGGUACGCAAGAUUGGAAAAAAAAAUCUUAAAAAACGUGUGGAUUCGGGUGGCCACACCAGAAAUCUAUUACAAUAAUUAGCUUUGAUGCUGGGAAUCUUUUAAUUUCUGGCCGUAUUGAAAUUUUUAAAAUAACAAGUUCCCCUUCUCGUUUUUUUUUUUAUAAAUAUAUAAGCUUAUAACAAUUUUAGAAUAAUGACUCAUUUGUAGAAGAAUUUAUGAUUUCCCAUUAAUAUUAAUAUUGAAGUGGGGUGGGUCAAAUCUCAAUUGCUUGAAGAAUUUAUUUAUUAUUAUUAAUAUUAUUAGUAUUGAAGUGGGGUAGGGAACGGACCAGCAGUUCACUCAAUUCGUGGCGAAUUAAAUAUUACCAUCCAAGGUAGGAUUGUGGAAAAUUAAAGCAAAAUGACAAGUAUGGAAAGGAAGGCUGAAAGUAAGGCAUGACGAAAGGCUUUGAGAAGGCUGAAGACUUACCAAAGAAGUCAACUGAAAACUAGCUGGGGCCUGAGUGUAUAAAUUGUUAGAUGCGUUUGUUAUAAAUAACAUAGAGCCCUUUUGUUAUUUAUAGUUAUAGAGAAAGAGAGAAUGUGUGUCUUUUAAGAGUUAGAGAUAUAGCUAGAAUGGGCGGCUCAAAAUCCAAAAUGGUGACAAUGUUAGUUCUCGUAUUGGUAAUAUUUUGGGUGGGGGGGGGGGGGGGGGGGGGGGGGGGUUGUGAGGGAAGGAAGGUCCACAGGCCGAGUGGUACAACUACACCUUGGCCUUACUAGGAAUAUCGAUCUGGGAGAGUGGUAUCUGAAUGCUUCUCUAUUUACUUCCUUUCAACAACUUGGUAACAAAAUAGCCGGCUGCAUGCGUUGAGAAUGAAGGUCCUUCAUUUAAUUUAAUUUACUUAAUUUCUCCCUCCCAAUUAAUGUCUAAUGGAGCUCAUUCUUUGGUUUUACUUGCAGGUCUAGAAGCAGGUGUCAUCUAACAGCUGCUUUGAUAAUUUCCCACCCCUUCAUCUUUGAUGGAAAGAUGAAAUAAAAACAAAAUGGUGAAAAUGGUAUUGGUACCUGAGGCUAUGUAAUCUAAUUCAACAACUGCACCAUCAAAACGAUUACAUAAGUCCCAGAAGAAUCAAACAUUAGUUUGCAAAAUAUCAAUUGCUGGAGGUUAGAUUCUAACUUCCGCUCUUGAUUUUUAUGGGCAUGUUGUAUUGUACUUGCAUACGAAAAUCAUAUUUUAGUUUACUUACACUCAAUGCUUGGAUUAAAGUUUCAGGUGGGGAAAAUUGAAGGAGACUAAAAUGACUCAAAAAAAUAGUUGAAUGAGUGAGGGUUUUGUCUUCAUUUGAGGAGCUCUUUAUAAAUUUUAGGAUUUUUUUUCCCGAGAAAAUUUAUGCCAACUUAUUCUUUGCUUCUUUUCUGAAGGGACAAAUGCAACUGAAAGUGUAUUCUUGAAUUCUCCAGGAUAAGAGACAUAUGUUUAAUUAGAUUCUCGAGCCUUCAAAACAAUAUAAAAUUUUAUAUAUCUGAGCAUGAUGGUGUUUGACAUGACUUAAAAUUGUUUAAUUUACUCUCACGUACAAGAAUGCCUAGUUAUAUUGUCGCUCAGAGUCCGAGGUUAAUCCAUAAAGAAAUGAUUUAAUUUGUUUAUUUAAGAUUAUCCCAAAAAAUAAAAAUAAAAUUUAAAUAUAUGUAAUUUAAUUUGAAAAAAGUUAUGAAAUUAAAUUAUUUAGAGUCAUGGAUCCACUCUUAGUAAUAAAUACAAUUUAAUAAAUUCUUUUUAUUUUUAUUUUAUUGCCCAAAAGAUUAAUUAUAUAAAUUAUAAUUAUUUUUCCAUUAAUUUUAUUAUGGAUUAAGUACUUAAUGUGCCAAAACUUAACUUGUCUACAAUAUGUCAAAAUACCAUUUUACCAUACUUUAUGCUAAGAUAUUAAGAAUUCAUGUGCCAAACUCCCAUGUUUGUCUACAAUAAAUCCAAAUUUCAAAACAUAAAAUAUGGAUCAAAUUAAAUAAAAAAUAAUUUAAUUUAUAUAAUUAAAAAUAGAAUUUGAUUAAAUCAUAUUUUUCUACUUAGAGUUUUACCUCACCCUAACUAUUAGUAUUUAGCUAAACAUAUUUGAAAUAAAUGAAAUUAUUAAAAUUGAAAAAUACAUAAUUAAAAAAAUGGUAUUUGAAAAUUAGAAAUAAAACUAAUUUUAUUUAUUGAAAAUGUAUUACAAAGAGAGAUGAGAAGAAGAAUUUGAGGGAAAAGAAGAGAAGAAAAUGUGUGGAGAGGUGUGUGAAAUUAUAUUGUAAAGAUGUUACACAAACAAAUGAAUAAAAAAAAACUAAAUGAAAAUUACACAAAUUAAAAAGAAAAUGAAAAUUAAAUAAAAAAGAUAAAUGUGUAAGAAAAAAAUGCGCAAUAAAAAUAAAUAAACUGAAAAGUAAUUAACUAAAAUUAAAAUAACUAAAUAGGCGGUAAACAAAGUAAAUGCCAAAAAUAAAAUAAGUGCGAAAAUUAAAUUACAGAAAUUAAAAGAAGAAAGAAAGAAAAAAAUAAUUAUCUCAAAGUGUAAACUCUUUUUCUUUUUCUUUUCAAAUUUUAAAUAUUACCAGCCAAUUAAGUGAUUAAUUCAAAUUAUUAGGCUUUAAUAGUAAUUUUUAAAAUCAAUAUUCAGUUUAUUGAGUCCAAAUAAGGUCCAAAGAAGUUCAAGUUGUUGGUCUAAAAUUGAGAAUUUUGGGAAAUAUUGGCAACGGACCUAUUCAAAAAGCUCUAUAAUUUUGUGGUCAAACUGCAAUUAUGAGAAGAAUGAUCCAAAAAUUAGAAUUUUUGGGGUGAGUGAGAUUUAGAAAGAUUUUGUGGAUAUAACAUAAUUUAAGAAAGAAAAAGGAGGUAAAUGAAAAUUUACACAAAAAGUAUAAAAAGAAAGAAAAAAGAAAACAAAAUAAAUACCUCUCCCAGCAAUGGCGGUAAAAACUUAACACGACUUAAAAGCAUUUAAUUUACUCUAAAGUAUAAGAGUACCUAGUUAUAUUAUAUCGCGAGAAGUCCGAGAUCGAUCUACAGAAAAAUGAUUUAAUUUAUUUAUUUAAGUUUAUCUAAAAAAUAAAAAUAAAAUUAAAUACAUGCAAUUUAAUUUGAGAAAAACUAUGAAAUUGAAGUAGUUAGGAUUAUGGAUCUACUCCUAGUAAUAAAUGUAAUUUAAUAAAUUCUUUUUAUUUUUAUUUUAUUGACCAAAAGAUUACUUGUAUAAAUUACAAUUAUUUUCCCAUUAAUUUUAUUAUGGAUUAAGUACUUAAUGUGCCAAAGCUUAACUUGUCUACAAUAAGUCAAAAUACUAUUUUACCAUACUUUAUACUAAGAUAUUAACAAUUCAUUGUGCCAAACUCCCAUGUUUGUCUACAAUAAAUCAAAAUUUCAAAAUAUAAAAUAUAGAUAAAAUUAAAUAAAAAAUAAUUUAAUUUAUAUAAUUAAAAAUAGAAUUUGAUUAAAUCAUAUUUUUCUACUCAGAGUUUUACCUCACCCUAACUAUUAGUAUUUAGCUAAACCUAUUUGAAGUAAAUGAAAUUAUUAAAAUUGAAAAAUACAUAAUUAAAAAAAUAGUAUUUGAAAAUUAGAAAUAAAACUAAUUUUAUUUAUUGAAAAUAUACUACAAAAAGAGAUGAGAAGAAAAAGUUGAGGGGAAUGAAGAGAAAAUAAGGUGUGGAGAGGUGUGUUCCUCCCCCCACUUCUCUAUUUAUACUAAUACAUGAUUAAUCUAUACCACACAAAUAAAUAAAACUAAUUACAUCUUAGGCAUACAUUUGUCCCACUAACAAAAUAUAAACCUAAGUUAAUCCACUUAAGCACAUCCAACACAUUUCACUAACAAUUACCACACCUAACAUGAUAAAAACUUAUAAUUUCACAAUUACCACAUUUACUUUUACAACAAAAACCACGAAUCUUCUCGACAAUAACCUAAUUUCUCGGACUUUCGGAAUCUAAAAAUUUAAAUAAUAUUAAAUUUAUCUAAUAUAAUUAAAUGUAUUAAAUAAAAUAAUGUUUCAUUUUAUAUUUACCCUCCUUUUAUUAAAUUUACUAUAAUUAUAUUUAAUAAAAUAAAUAAUAUUAUAUAUUUAAAUAAUAUUAGUUAUAUUUAACUAAAUUAAAGCAAAAUGACAAGUAUGGAAAGGAAGGCUGAAAGGAAGGCAUGACAAAAGGCUUUGAGAAGGCUGAAGACUACCAAAGAAGUCAACUGAAAGCUAGCGGGGGCGUGAGUGUAUAAAUUGUUAGAUGUGUUUGUUAUAAAUAACAUAGAGCCCUUUUGUUAUUUAUAAUUAUAGAGAAAGAGAAUGUGUGUUUUUUAAUAGUUAGAGAUAUAGCUAGAAUGGGUGGCACAAAAUCCAAAAUGGUGACAAUGUUAGUUCUCGUAUUGAUAGGGGGGGGGGGAGAGGUCGAGUGAGGGAUGUUUGGAGCAUGAGAAAUUUGAUCUUUUGCGGCUGGAUGUUUGGAGCAUGAGAAAUUUGAUCUUUUGCGGCUUAAACAUUUCUUCAAUUCCCCUUAUACACUUCAAAACUGGGUAGGUGAACAAAGGGAAAGGGUUGAGUGCAGCAACUCCACAGGCCAAGUGGUACAACUACACCAUGGCCUUACUAGGAAUAUUGAUCUGGGAGAGUGGUAUCUGAAUGCUUCUCUAUUUACUUCCUUUCAACAAUUUGGUAACAAAAUAGCCGGCUGCAUGCGUUGAGAAUGAAGGUCCUUCAUUUAAUUUAAUUUACUUAAUUUCUCCCUCCCAAUUAAUGUCUAAUGGAGCUCAUUCUUUUGUUUUAUUUGCAGGUCUAGAAGCAGGUGUCAUCUAACAGUUGAUUUGAUAAUUUCCCACCCCUUCAUCUUUGAUGAAAAGAUGAAAUAAAAACAAAAUGGUGAAAAUGGUAUUGGUACCUGAGGCUAUGUAAUCUAAUUCAAAAACUGCACCAUCAAAACGAUUACAUAAGUCCCAGAAGAAUCAAACAUUAGUUUGCAAAAUAUCAAUUGCUGGAGGUUUGAUUCUAACUUCUGCUCUUCAUUUUUAUGGGCAUAUUGUGUUGUACUUGCAUCCGAAAAUCAUAUUUUAGUUUACUUACACUCAACGCUUGGAUUAAAGUUUUAGGGGGGGCAUUGAAGAAGACUAAAAUGACACAAAAAAAGAGUUGAGCGAGUGCGGGUUUUGUCUUCAUUUAAGGAGCUCUUUGUAAAUUUUAGGAUUUUUUUCCUAAGAAAAUUUAUGCCAACUCAUUCUUUGCUUCUUUUCUGAACGGACAGAUGCAACCGAAAGUAUAUUCUUGAAUUCUUUAGGAUGAGAGACAUACGUUUAGAUUCAUCGAGCCUUUAAAACAAUAUCAAAUUUUAGAUUGCUGAAAUUUUAUAUAUCUGAGUAUGAUGGUGUUCCAAUUAUAAGCUCCAGGGUGCAACUUCACUAAGGUUUAGAAUACCUUCCUAUAGAAUUGAGAAAUCUCCAUUGGCAUAAAUAUCCUUUGAAAAUAUUGCCAUCAGAUGUUGAAUUGGAGAACCUGAUUGAACUCAGCUUGCCUUGUAGUAAGGUUAAGCAAAUUUGGAAAAGAGAAAAGGUAUAAUGUAUUACUAUUACCAAAGUAUCUAUUUUUCUUUCUUUAAGUAUUUAUAAUGAAUAACUUUGAAAUUGAAUGAUGCUCAUUUAGUAUAGUUGUGUAUCUUUGGUUAUAGGAAGCUGUCAAGUUAAAAUCUAUAGAUCUUCACCACCCUCUGUAUCUCAAUAGGAUCCCAAAAAUACUAAAUCUUAAAAAAAUAAAUCUUUCAAAAUGUGAAAGCAUGCUUACGUUACCCGCGUAUAUCCACAAUUUCAACUAGCUCAGUAUGUUGUGUUUCAUGGGAUGCAAAAUUCAUUUUGUUUCUCAUGAAAGGAUUGACUUGUUCGGAUGUAUUAGGGUUAAUAAACCAACUAAUCCCAUAAUUUGUUGAUGUCGGGUCCUAACAAAUUACUGCAGUAUAUUGUAGAUCAAUACACUAUUUGAAAACGUAUUUGAUCCACACAGUGAAUGUUUGAGGGUGCAUUUCUCGCGAACCAGCCAUACCCUAAACGAGGAGCCGGUCUCCUUGUAAUUGAGCAGGCAGGUGAAGUCUGGUAGCAAAUAUCCAAGAGCAGGAAUUCUAUGCUCAAUCACAAGGACAUCCUCUUUUGGACUAUAAUUCGAACAAGGUUCCUGCUAGGAGCCGAGAGCCUUUCCUGCUGGAGAGCGGGGUCGGCAGGCCUAGUCUAUAACGGUUAGCGAGACGUGCACUCCUAUUCGAGAAUCUAGGCACGAAACCAACUCAGCUGCAACUACGACAUUCAGGCAUCCACUUCCGUAAGCUGAGGGAGGUGAUGGACGUGGAUCGUAGGGCGUCGGAUUUGUAAGACGGCUAUAAAACGGUAAUCAACGAAGGUAAAGGGGUUAGACACUUUUACACUAGAACUUAAGAAAUAAGACCAUUUACUAAAAAAGGAGAGAAACACUCAUAGGUGUUCCACUGCCUAAGAGAUCAUGAGAGAGCCACGAGAUCAGUGGCCGAGUUUCCCAAAAAGUAAACCUAAAUUUCUGACUUGAGCGUAGGAGGAUUUUUCCGGCGUGCUCUGACAAGUUUUUGUGUGCGCAUGAGUCUGCUAAGUCAUACAAGGCAUAGCUUUGCUCGGUUAGAAGAGUUACGUGAAGUAUCCUAGGUUGGUCGUGAGUUCGGGAGUUAAGGAGAGAUCCUGGUUGCAGACGAGCAGACACCAGAAUCUCGCAUCAACAGUGAAGAUGAUUCAAUAUUAAGCAUGUCAUAUAAUCUAGAAGUGGAUAUUGGACCAAUUUGAUGAUAAUGAAUUUCUUUCAAUCUCAAUCUUUUUCUUUUUAGCAACAUGACUAGUAAUUGUGCAAAUUUAAACUCUGAGAAUGAUUUCUCAAUCGGUUUCUAAAAUGAUGACCAUGCAUGUAUACGUGUGUGUGUGUAGAGAGAGAGAGAGAGAGAUCACACGUGUGUGAUUUCCUUUUGCCAAUAGGAUAUGCAGAGAGCUUGAUCUUACCCAAUAGCGAAACAAACUUCCUAAUAAGUGAAGGUAUAGUAUAAAUACUUAUACUUUCAUGUUAUUUUGUUCAUCGGUAGCUUGAUUAUUUUAUAUGCGUCUUCGAUUUUAAUUUUCUUUCCCUAUAAUCGCUAUUAUCUUUGAACUGGUCAUGAUUUGCCUAUUAGAUUUCUCAUGUUGUUUUGAGGUGCAAUGGAUUUUGAAUUUAGUGACGAGCAGUGGAAGCCAGAAGGCAAAUUAUGAAAAUGGAUAAAGAUCUAUAAUUAGCUGUUAUGGGAUGUCACAUAUCAUAUUGAUGGUAACAUUAUAUAUAUGUACAUAUAAUUAAUGGGGUUGGCUCACGAGCCCAUUAAUAAUCGUAUAUUAGCUUAUAUACUUCAAACAAUGUACUAUGAAGUAAUUUCACAAAUACUUGUUAGCUUAUGUGGAGCUUUAUUGAAUCAGUAGUUCACAGUUCAAUAAAAUGCAGGUUUGCUAUUUGAAGUACAUGGUCAUGGUGCGUACAUUCUUCAUAAGGCUAACUACUAAUUUAUCAUUGAAACUUGAAAAAUGUGAUAGAGAGAUGUAGAUAACAGCCGCAAAACACUGAGAUUGAAAAUCAGGGCUACUAAAUUCUAUUAAAAGCCCUUAAAAUAGACAGCGAUCAUCCUAAAAUAUUAAUUGCAAAGUUAUGCACUAAUAGAACUAUUGACUACUUAUCUUUAGCAGAAGGUAUAUUUUUAACUACAGCUUUCUGCUUUGUUCUAAGAACUAGGCAAAAGUGGUAUAUCUUCAAUCCAAUCAACAUAUAUACCACUUAUUUUCCCCUUCACUUCUGUCCAUUUUGAUUUGCACUUCAUAUCCUGCACUUGCUGCUUAGAAAUAGUCUUAGUCUGGACAUUGAAAGUAGAAAAAGUACUUGAAACAAUCAUUGGCACAGCCCGAGAUUCCAUUGAAUCGUGGACUCCAAGCUUUCAUAGUUCUAUAAAGAAAAUGACAAAACAUCAUACAACUGGCAUUCGGCUUUUAACAUUUGCACAACCUGAGCGCGUUAGCAAGCCCCUUAUUGCGUUCCCAUUGAAUAGACCUACUUCUGUUAUCCACAGAAGAUCCACCUCUCAAAAUGUUUAUCACCAGGCUAUUCUUAAACUGAGCCUAAACUGAGUAGAAACUUCCGCACAUCUCUCAGCAUUUACAUGAAGAAAGCGACAACUAUCCUCAUCUCUCAGCACAUCUCUCAGCAUUCUACAAAGUUGCAUUUCACUAAGCAAUCUAUCCUCUCCAUUCCUAGCAAAGUGACAUUGAUUCCCGUAUUUGUAAUCGCCUAACUUGGGUUUUGGGCAUAGCGUGGUCUUAAAAUUACCACCCAAUACUUUGUUCAGUGCCACUGGCAUCCACAAGCUCUAGCCUUGUUAGCUGAAUCAUAUUCAAUAGGACAGUGAGACAGCAUUUCACUGACAUAUUCAAUUUGACUACUUAUAUUGACGCAAAUAUUAGAAUUUGAAAUCACUUCUUUUAUUGGAAUAUUAUAUUAAAAUGACCCCAAAUGAAAGUUCUUGAAUGGAAAUGAUUUUUAUUUAAUUUUCCAACAGAUUCAAGAAAACCCAGAGAACAUUAAUUUACACAGUAAUAUGAUUAAGAGCUGAGAACGUACAUGUAGUAAAUGUCUAUCAAAAAACACCCAAGGGUUUCUUUAAAAUUAGAAACUAGUAAACAAAAAGAAAGAAUCAUUUUACAUUUUUAUCAACUUUGGGGUGAGUGAGGAGUGAGAAAUUGAAACCCUAAAGUAAUGACAACAGUAAGAUUCAGUAUGAAGUGAAACCCCAAUUUGAAAUGUAGGCAUGAGUUGCUGAGUCAGUAGAUGAAGCUGUAAAUAGGCAUUCGGUUUCCUUCUUUUCGGUUUGGAGGGCCAUGGAAUAGUGUAUUGGAGUGGGCUCCAAGUAAUAGCCUCUAUCACUGGAAUGACACAUCUAUAAAAUGUGAUACAUGGGGAAGGAUUGGACAUUAUAUUCUUAGAUUAGCGCCUUAUUUAGGGUGUAUAUUAAGCAGAUUAUAUAUUACAUGGAGAUGGAGUUUAUGAAAUAGAUUAAAAAGAAAAGGAAAUUUUGGUGCCUAAAGUUUGCCACUUGGAAUAUUUCGGUGUCUAAAAAUUCACUCACCACUUAUUUCAUGUUUGAUUAUAUGUUGAAAAGAUAUUAAAAUAGUAUAAUGCUAUUAAGGCUUAACGUAUAUUUUUUAUUAGUAGAGUGUAGAAUUUUUAAGAAAUAAAUUAUUAAAUUAUUAUAACUAACAUAUUAUUUUAAAGUUGUGUUAUGAAAAAAAUGAAAUAAAAAUGUACAGUAAAUAAGAAUAUUUUAAAACUUUUAUCUUUUUAAAAUUAUUUUUUAACAUAAGGUGAACUAUUUUUUUUUUAAAUCACAUAUUCUAGUUAAAAUCAAAUAUGUAUUUAUAUGAAGCUUGUAAAUUUUUUUUUUAGUACUGAUAUUUGGAUAUUACCAAUAAAAAAAAAGGUAAUGUGCAUGCUGAAUUAUUUUUGUAGCACACAAAAGGACAACACCGUUUAUGUUAUCAUACUAUCACUUCUGUUAUGAUAAUAUUUUUUUGUGGCCAAAUAUCUUCUUUUUUUUUUUAAGUAAAAGUGUGGACAAAAUGCAAAUCAGUUUUUAAUCCUCAAUCUCUCCCAAAAUAUAAAUUCGUAGGUACAUGGGUUGUUAAAACUAUAGCUGACAAAAAGUUACUAACAAAAACAGAAUGUCCAUUUUAUAACUUUCUUAAAAAACUUUCCUUAACUUUUUUAAAAAGUUACCAAUAAAAAGUUAUUUCUAAUUUUUAUUUUGUUAUAAUUUUUAUAACAAAAUUCGUAGUUCGUAGUUAACUAAACUCUUCUUAUUCCCUUUCUCAACUGCCAUACCCUAACCUUGUUCCCCACACUAAACCACGCUCAAUUAAGGCCAUCAGAUUCUCCCGGGCCCACAUUAAUCCAACUGCUCACAGAGACCGACAGCCUCUCUAUCUCCAUUUCAAGCUCCCUCUUCAACUGGCUUCUGCUACCGUCCUACUCUUUCUCGGCUUCGGAGUCCGUAUUUGCUCGGCCUGUCCCACGAAGCUCCCUCUCACUCCAAUUGUCGCCCCACAAGACCAAUUGCUUAAUCAAGACACCGAACAAGAAAAGGAUGAGAAGUUGAAACAAGAAUUUGAGAAUUGGAAAUAAAAAACGUACGCAUUGACCGUGCCUUUGAGAGUCGUUUCUCUUCAGAACUCAGUGCCUCAAUCUUGGGUUAAGGAUUUUAUGCGAAGUCAGGGAAAGAGAUUGAAGUUUCAGAUGAAUUUGUGUGCUAGCAUUGAUGGGAUCUUUAACAAUUUAUCUGUGCCCUUUAACAAAGUUAAGGCUAAGUCAGCUUCUUAUAUGGCUGCUGAUUUGGUUAGUGUUGGUGAUUCAUGGCUUAGUUUUGCCAUUAAAAAGAGAUUGAUUGAGCCAAUGGCUGGAGCUGAAGACCAAGAUUGGUUCAAAUGCUUAAGUCACAAAUGGAAGGUAACAUCUUUGUCUUUGAUCCUCGAGGUAAAAUAUGGGCGGCACCGUACAGGUGGGGCACAACGGUGAUAGCCUACAAGAAAAGUAAAUUUCGAAAGCAUAAUUUGGCUCCGAUUGAGGUAAUAAUUUUCUUUAAACUCAUUUAGUUUUAUAUCAAACAAAAUCAAGACUGCCUUUCUUUUCAAUAUUUUUUAUGAUAAUAUCUUUAGAAGCAUCUCAUUGACGGGUAACAAUGGCAUCCCUGAAAGAGUCUAUAAACUCAAUGAUAUUAUCUUCUACAAAUGGUUCAUUAAACUUUGUCGUUGUACUCAAAUGUACACUCAGAUCAAUGAGAAGCUAUGCUACGUUAGCAUGUAGUGAUGGCACUUAAUAAGUGAGUUGCUAGGAUGUGAACUAGAAAAAUUAAAUAUUGUCUCCUUGGGUAUGCUAGCUGGUAAGUCAGGGUUAAUAUCAGAGCUUAAGAUAGUAUAACCGUGAGAACCUAUUGACUGCCAAUUAAAAUAUCCAUUGAAAUGUCUAGGGAGUUAUGAAGGUGGAGGUAACUUCCAAUUUCUAAGGCCACAGAGUAGACAUCAUCCAGGAUCCUAAAAUAUCCAGUUAACCUCCUGCUCGAUGCGAUUAAUAAAUUUGGUCAAUGCCACUGAAACCUGCUAACUGACGUCACAAUGCGACAUGAGCACUUCAAAAUGGGACAGAUGGUCAGUAGCACUAAAUUUUUCUUGCCUAAGAUUGAGCAAUUGGUCUAACUACUAAUCCCUAUUGUAGGUUGAUCAUUAUUUUUUCAAUUAUGUUCAGUUUGACCCAAAAAGUUGCAGAAUCUUGAGCUGAAUAUUGUCACUGAACACUGUCAAUGUUGUUUAGCAUAGCCAACUAACUUGAUGUUAAAACAAACACACAGUGUGUCUCAUGUCUCACAAUUCAAAUUAUCAUCUGUAAUGAUGGAGAAUUUUUCCAAUGUAUGAAGUAUGCUUUGAUACGUGGGUUACCUUGGAGAAGAUAUCUCAAAAUAAAGAAUAUGGGGAGAAAACAGUUCAGUAGUUUAUUAUUCUGUAGUCAAGUUUUGUCUCGAAAAUGGUCAAAAUUUAAAUGAAUAAGGACAGGGAAUCUUCAUUCUUUUUUCCCUUUUUUAUACCAAGAUAUCUCUCAACCUUUAUAUAAUCCCCACUGGAUAUCUGCUUCUAAUAAUUAAAAUAAAAAUUUCACCGCUCUAACAAUAAAAAGUAACAUCUUUAAUCAAAUAAUUUACAGUUCCUCAUCACCUUAGUGUGAGACUAUCAGUACAUUCCAAAAACUUAAUAAAACUGGUUUGAUCCUGUUUAUUGAUGUUUAAAUGUUGUUCAUUGUGACAUGUAGAAAUGAUGAGGCGAAGUUUAUUUGGACAUCAAUUAGUAAGAUCUUGUUUGAAGUUGUUUUCUGAAAUGAACUGCCCAAUGGUAGUUUUUUGGGGGCAUUUGAUGGCUCUUUUUUUCCUCAUUUUCAACAUGUGCCUGCUUGGAACAGGAAGGAUUAGGCUGCAGAGUUGUUAUAUAUUUUUAGAUGCUCUGGUCAUUGCACAAUUUGUUCACACUGGAAAUUAGAAUGAGAAAUUUGUUGAUGCUGUUUUGAGAGAUCUGCAUUCUAUGCACAAUAACGUGAUUAAUGAAAAUGCAUUGUAGGACUGGAAAGAUCUGUGGCAGCCUGAGCUCGCAGGAAGAAUUUCAAUGGUUAAUUCUCCCCGAGAGGUUAUUGGUUCAGCUUUGAAGAAUAGGGGAGCAUCAUACAAUUCAAACGAUAUUGAUUUGCAAGUUGCUGGUGGGAAGAUUGCUGUUCAGCAGAAUCUGGCAUUACUGGCAAACCAAGUACUCUUACAGAAAUGAUAUCUGGUCAUUGCAUGUUAUUGCCUGACAACUGAUUUUGUUUGUACAAGUCUGCUUCUUCAUACAUAUGAAUGCAUAUGUUAGUGUUUUCUUCUCCUUUUCAUACAUAUAAAUGCAUAUGUUAGUGUUGUCUUUUCCUUUUCAUACAUAUUAAUACAUAUGUUGGUGUUCUCUCAUGAGAUGGAUGCAAUAGAGGCUUUUGCUCCUAAAUUUAGCUGAAGAAAUGGGAAGGGAUGUGAGAUUCUGUCUCAUUAAAUUAACAAAAACCCAAAACAAUGAAAAUCCAUAAUAAUGUGGUGUGGGUAAAUUGGCUCCAUUUGGUUCGUUUCCUUAAUGUGACUGCGCGAGCAAUAGAGACUAACAAAAUGAAGUGACAACAAGAAGUCAGUGUCCUUUGAUGGAUGCAUUUUUAGGCAGAAAUAGGUUUGUAAUUGACCAAAUUUGCCUGGCAUGCCAAUUUCAAAAAAAUUAAAUUAUGUGGUUAUUGGCUGUAAUGAAGGGGGAUAGUCGGUGCAAUCAGGUGGAUCCUGGAAAGUUCAACAAAGUUUGGUAUGGCGUAGUGAAAUUGGUUUGUGCAACUCAGGAGUCUUUCAGGUGAACGAUGAUAGGUUUUGAUUUAUGAAUAUUAUAAAUCUACUGUGCAUAUUAUUCUAGCAGAAUCAUCUAUAAGUUCUAGUUAUUGAAAUUGUAUACUUUGCCCGGUUUGAGUUAAGGGCACAUGUAAUAUGAAAGAUAGUUGUCGCAUCUUUUAGGUUACCUAACAUUUGAUCAAUCCUAUUAUGGGGGCUUCAAGAUGUCUAACAAUAUGUAGAAUGCCCAUGCUCCUCCCCAUUGUUUAUCUUAUACAAUAAUUUGUUUUAGAUGCUAAUAUCUUUGUCGAUACUGGUAACAAUAUUACAAUAUCUGCCUUUAUUGGGUUUUACAUAGGUUCGACUGUUUGACAGUACACACUAUCUGAAGGCAUUUGCAAUUGGAGAUGUAUGGGUUGCUGUUGGGUGGAGUAGUGAUGUUCUUCCUGCUGUCAAACGUAUGUCUAAGGUUUUAUGAGAAACGAAAGAUGAGUGUUUGUUUGAACAAAGUUGUUGCCAAUCUUGCAGAGUUCGAAAAGAAAGAUCACGGAGCGAAUGCCACCGAUUUCUUCAUCAUUUUAGCCUCCAUAGUUGAAGUUUCCUCAUUUGAAGCUGUUUAUGCAUACGCUUUUUCCCUGCUCUAGUACAGGAAAUUGAAGAAUUAACCAGAUGUGAUAUGCUGAAAGAGGGAAGUUUUCUUCCUUGAAUGUGGCCUUUGUGAUUUGUCUUGAAGGAAUAGGAUGAUCACUGGCAAAAACCCUAUCAAGGUAGAUUUUAUGAUGUUAACAUAUUAUUAAGCAUUUUGUUACAUCAGCAAUGAUGCUUUCAUAGCAUGAAAGUGUCUAAAUUUAACUGAAUGAUCUUGAUUAAUCAAUUAUGAGUUUUAAUCGAGUAAAAACUAAAUACAAUAAUCGUUGACAAAUACUGAAAUUGGGUAAAUAUGAUCUUGAUAUUGAGAAUCUGAAAACACAACCCACACAGGGAAUCACCCUUCGCGUGGGGAUGGAGAUGUUUACUGCAGCGAUAUUGCAUAUGUCCACUGCUCUUUGGGUUAUGGUGCGACUUGCGAUUUCAAGGUUUCCCUGAAACAAUGAAAAGAUUGACGUACCCUGCAAUGAAUGAAAGCGGCUGGACUAAUUCUGAUUACCUAAUUGACUCAGGAUCGGCUGGCAAUAAUGACAGUUUAUUAACAAUGCACAGUCCCGAGUACUUUCCAGGAUCAGAUAUUACGUGGUCUAAUGUUGAUAAUAAUAGAUUAUCAAAUGACAAAUCGUUGUUCUUGGGUGUUGAUUUCAGAAAUAAAAUACGUUCUGAGAGAUGCUGGUCUACUAUUGCAAGCCCCCAGAUUUAAGAAUCUUUUGAUGAUAAUUUACCACCUGUAACUGUGCCGGAAGAUUCACCUAGCACUGAAAAAGAUGAUAAUUUAAUUGAUAUGGACAGUUUCCAUAUCACUUUUAAAUCAUCUUAUGUAAUUGUGAUGUUAGGAAGCAUUAGUGAUCUACAUGUGAACUAUUAUUGGCGCCAUUUGUGGUUUUAUUUUAUUAAAAUAUGGAUGACUUCCCGUUACUAUUUCGUUGUAGACAAUCUUAUCAAUUAACAUAUAGUUUAAAAUCAUUAUGAUCUAUUAAUUUUCAUGAUAUUUAACUGAGUUAAAACUAAGUGCAUUCAAUAAAUCUUUCUUCCUUUAAAAAACUGUUGCGCUUUAAUUUUAGUGCUUAAUAUUUACAGAACUCUGGUACAGGGAAUUCGAAAUCAAACUAGUAACUACAGAUUAUCUAAUUGCAAGUUUUUGUCCAUAGUUGCAGAUUUGUAGUGAUUAUCUAAUUGACUGAGGUGACAACAAUUUUUUUUUUAAUUUUCAAUAGCAUAAUGUGGAAUUCAAUAAUUAAAUUCUCCUUUUUAAUUUGUUUCCAGUUAAAUUAUUAAUUACUUAAACUUUGUUUUAAGUCUUUAAUUUUAUGUCUUGGCCUAUAUGCAGGGUUGGAUUCUUGAGCGUGUUGGACACGACCAACAAUGAAAUUGACAGUAAACAAACAUUACAACACGUUGAGUGUCGACUCCAGUAGCUGCCCUACAAGUCUACAACUUUACAAACAAUAAUUGAGUACACACAUUUGAUUCUCGGGACCCUCCAAUGAAUUUCUAGCCCCGUUGACUCCGCCGACAAAAGUUUUGGAAAAUAAAAAAAAUUCAUAGAAUUCCACCAAAUACAAAACGCGUGGAAUUUAAUUUUCGGCCAUGUGGACCAAAACACAAUUUAAUGAAAAAAAAGAUAAGAUUUCUAAAAUGUGUAGAAAGUGAUCCAUAUUUUACUGAAACAACUUGUUAAAUUUUUCAAGGAUUUAGAAUAUUUGAUCAUAAAUUACGCCCAUGUUAAUUUUUCCGCUAUUGACUAUCAUUUUCUAGACUCACUGUCACCUUUCUUGAUGAACGGUACUUAGUCUCUCUUCUCCUCUUAUAAAAAUUAUAUUAAUUGAUUUCUUAUUAUAAUAAAUAGUCUUUAAGAACGUAUAGAUUUAUUGUUUUCGUGACCAAAUUAUGCCUGCUUAAGGUUGAGACUAUUAAUAAAAUUAAUAUUUAAUGUUUAUGUUAAAAGAUAUAAGAUUUUAUGCAUUCAUUAAUUGUUAUUAGCUAAAGGAUUAAUUAUUUUUUCAACCCAAUCAGUUGAUGCAUCUGCAAGAGUUUUUUCUUUUAUUUACCAUAAUUAUAUUCCGGGUACAAUAAAUUAUCUUUGGUGCUUGGAAAAUAUGACUUCUUACUUCAAGUUUGAUGUGUCUCUCUCCGUAAGCUUACUGGAAAUAUAUCCUCAUUUACUGUCAUUUAUCUAAUAUCAAAUGAAAGAUCUCACUUUUUCAAACUAUCACUUCCAAGUCUCAUUGUCACUUAGCCAUUCUUGGACCAUUCAAAACCAAUCUGUUGAAAUAAUCAAAUAUAUGCAAAAUUAGAGUCACGAUUGUUGGUCCCCCAAAUUCUAAUUAUAUAACUUCUAUAUAUCUCAUUGUCAGGUCACGAACUUGUUGGCACAUUUCCAAAUUCCUCUUCCAUCAGCUCUCACACGUUAAUUUUUAGGUUAUCUAAAUUUCAAGGAUUUAAAAUCUUUGAUCAUGGAUUACAUGUUUAAUUUUUCUGCCAUUGACUGUCAUAUUCUAGAUUUAAUGGUACCUUUCUUGAUCAAGCGUAAUUACUCUCUCGUCUCCUCUUAUAAAUUCCUCUUCCAUUAGCUGUUAGCCUAUAUGGCUAUAGAUAUUGAUUUUGAUGAUAACAAACCACAUGUGUUGAUUAAACAAAGAUUUAUGAAUUGUGCAUUUAUAAUAAGAAAAUGAUGUUAUGGAAUUAAAGUGUUUUUGGACUAAAGUGAAAGUAUUUUAAAACCUUUGAUAUUAUUUUAAAAUUUCAGAUUUGGACCUAUUUGAAAAUAUUUAAAUAUUUUGGGUCAUUCUAUAUUUUUACAUGGUUUGGGUGAAAUCAUAAUUUCAAUUUGAGUGUGUGAGACACUUGAGUGAAGAGGUUGGGAGAUAAUCUCUUUGUUGUAAGGGUUCAUUGACACAUUGAAGUCAAUUGUAAACGUUUGAAGCCUUAAAAAAACUUGGAUAGUGAAAUCCUCAAGUUUGAAUCGCUUGGAGGCGUGGACGUAAGCGGGGAUUGCCGAACUACGUAAAAAUUCGUGUGUUUGUUUCUCUUCUCUCUUGCUCAAUUGUUAUUGUGCUUUUAUUGAACUUAUUACUUUUGAAUUUAUUAAUGCAUUAAAUUGGAUUGUUAUGUGGCUUUGUUAGGAUAUUUUUUAAAAUACCAAUUCACCCCCCUCUUAGGUUGCACACUUGUAUUUCAUUAGCAUUACUAGGAAUUUGUUGAUCUCUAAGAUGCUAACUUGAGUGAAGAGUUUCCAAAUUGAUUGUUACAAAACAACAAAAAAACUAGACACACUUGAUCUGUCUAAUAAUUCUCUUUCGGUAAAAUUAAUUAAUUUUAGGGGAAUUUUCGGCCAACCUCUGUAAUUUCAAAGUGAUCAUUAAUUAAUUAAACGAUACAAAUAUCUAAAGUGAUUAGAUGUUUGCUGACAAUACAAGUUCAUGGCUUGAAAUUUGAUCUCUAUCGAUUGGUUUACAAAUGGACGCACUUGUGCCUUUGUGGCGAUAAUUAAACAGAGAUGUGAAGUUGUAAAGAUUUGACAAGUUCCCAUGAUUAGUAUUUUUUUUCAAAAACUUUUUUACAACAAAUUCAUCUCGCCCAAAAAUUAUAUUUUGCUAUCUAACAAUAAUUGAGCACUUGGCCGCAUUGACUCCACGUCUCCACCUACUUUCUAAGUAAAAACAUGGAAAUGUAAUCUCCACAAAAUGUCAAACGUGUGGAAUUUAAUUUUUGGCCUUGUGAACCAAAAUGCAAAUGAAAGAAAAAGAGAGAAAAAAACAAGGCCCAAAGACUACGAAAAGAUAUAAAAGUCUUUGGGCCUUUUUAUAACGGUGGAUUUUUUAAAAGGAAAAAAUAACAACACUUCUAUGGUUUGUUUUGAUAAUCACAUUUACAUAUACUCUCUAAUUUUUAAAAUGGACACAUAAAUCUUUUUUUUUUUUUUCUACAAACGUAUAUUAUUCGUAUUUUUUAUUAUUUUUAAUAUCAUAUUGUUAUUUUUUUUAGAAGAUAUUGUUAUUUAUUAUAAAUGUUUAAAGUAAAUUUUUAGGUUGAAAUAUAAUAAAAAGGUAUAAUCGUUCUCUUAUUAAACACCCAUACUUUUAAUUUCUAUCCAUUUGUCAUCUCAAUCUCUCUCAAUUAUUCUUUAUUGCUAGCUCAAAACGCGUUGCUGUUGCAAAUUAUAGCAAAAAGACAAAUAUGGAAAAGAAAAAAGGGAAGAAAAUUAAUGCAUGAAAGAUUUGGAGAAAACAACGAAGUAAGUCAACUAUAAUCUAGUUGGGUGUGUAAAUUGUUUGAUGCUUUAUAAGCAAAUAACAUAUAGAGACAGACAAUGUGUGUUCGUUUUUUCAUAGUUAAAGAUAUAGUUAGAAUGGGUGGUUCAAAAUCAAAAAUGGUGAUAAUGUUUGUUAUGUUAUUAAUAAUAUUUAAAAGUGGGUGGAGUGAGGGAUGUUUGGAUCACGAGAGAUUUGCUCUUUUGCGACUUAAACAUUUCUUCGAUGAUACUAGUAGUUAUCUUUACGAUUGGGGAGAUGGUGAGGGAGCUACUGAUUGUUGUCAGUGGAAAAGGGUUGAGUGCAGCAACACCACAGGUCGAGUGAUAGUGCUAGACCUUUCUAGCAUGUAUUGGGGAGAGUACAGCUGGUAUCUGAAUGCUUCUUUGUUUACUCCCUUCCAACAACUUGAGUCACUUGAUUUAACUGACAACAAAAUAGCCGGUUGUGUUGAGAAUGAAGGUGCUUCGUUUAAUUUAAUUAAUUUACUUUCUCCACCCUAAUUUAAGUUGAAUAUCAAGACCGAGCAAUUAUACACAUAUUCAUUUAGUCGACAAUUUUGACUUUUUUUUAAAUGAUUAAUUUUGAAAUUACACCAAUAUCUAUGAUCCUUUUUUUUUAUUUUACUUGCAGGUAUAGAGAGGCUAUCAAGAUUGAACAACUUGAAGAUGCUUAAUUUAAGUGAUAACUCGUUCAACAAUAGCAUUUUAUCAUCUCUAACUCAUCUUUCAUCAUUAAGAUCAUUAAAUUUAUUUUGGAAUAGAUUGGAAGGAAGUAUUGACGUUAAAGGUACAUAAUUAAAACUUCAUCCCUUCUCCAAGCUCUUUCAUUAACUUGCUAAAAUAAGAUUCAAGGCUUUGAAUUCAAAUUUUUUUAUGAUUAGUAUUAAAAAAAAACAGUUUUAAGCAAUUUAUAAAUACAAGUUUUAAUGUUUCUCAUAAUUUCAUCUUGUACUUUCAUAUGUCUUGAAUUUAAGAUUAAAAAAAAAAAACUCUAAUAGCGAACCAAACACCUCCACAACUAAUUAUUAUUAUUAUUAUCAUUUUUUUUUUAUUUGUGGUGAGGUUUGAAACAUUCAACUCAAUUUGUACUUAUUACAGAAUUUGAUUCUUUGAGAGAUUUAGAGGAGCUAGACAUUGGCGAGAACAAGAUUGACAAAUUUGUGGUCUCAAAAGGUACUAGAACGACUGCAAAAAAUGUAAACUUCUACAAAUUAGCUAGAUUCUUUGCCAUUUGGUUUAUUAUUUUGCAGGUUUGAGGAAGUUGAGGUAUCUCAGUUUAAGUGGUAUCAAACUCAAUCAUAGCAUAUUAUCUUCUCUGACUGUCUUUUCUUCGUUAAGAGAAUUAUAUCUAGAUGAUACGGGAUUCAAAGGAACAUUAGAUAUUCGAGGUAAGUCUAAGCCCUGCUUUCUCAUUUUAUAUAUGCCAGCUAGACUUGUGUAUCAUCGACAUAAUUUAAUAUUUAAUUUGAUUAGUCUGAAGGAAUUACAUGCUAAUUUAAACAUACUUUUAUUUACUCUGUCAAUCAAUUAAUUAAUUAAUUACUAUUUGGCUUGGUUUGGAUGAAUUCUCAUGAUGUUUUAAUUUCUUUAAAUUAAUUAAUUAAUUAACUCUGUUUUUAAGUCUUAAGUCUGGGCAUGUUUGCAGAAUUUGAUUCCUUCAACAACUUAGAAGUGUUGGACAUGAGUUACAACAAAAUCGACAAUCUUGUGGUUCCUCAAGGUAAACAAUUAAAAUAUUAUUCAAUUACAUUAAUAUAAUUCAUUUGGUUAGGGAAGGCCCAAAAGGUACAAAAAAAAUUAAAUAAAGAAACAGAGAAUUUGUAUUAUUUAAAAAACAGAAUGUAAUAAAGAUUUGAUUCUAGUUCUUUAAUCUUUAAAGCGAUUGAAAAAUAAUGUUGCUCUUUUCCCAAAGCAUAAAAUACGAAUUGAAUGCCAAUUAACUUAAUCAUUCAUUUCGUUUAGCUCUAAAUUUAGACAAUGAAUUUUUAUAUUAUUUCAAAAACAGGACGUAAUAGAAUUUAAAAAAAAAACAGAUUGUAAUAAAGAUUUGAUUCUAAUUUUUUAAUCUUUACUGCGAUUGAAAAAUGAUACAGCUCUUUUCCCAAAGCAUAAAAUACGAAUUGACUCCCAAUUAAAUUAAUCAUUUAUUCCAUUCAUCUCUUAAUUUAAAUAAUGAAUUUUGUUUUCUUAAAUCGUAUUCUAAUUACUAUUAAAAAACAGGUUACAGAGGUUUGAGGAAGUUGAAAAGCCUUUAUCUAUUGAGAGUUAGAAUUAGAGAUGGAAGCAAGUUGUUACAGUCAAUUGGAUCAUUCCCAUCCCUCAACACUCUUUACCUUUCGUCUAAUAAUUUGACGGAAACAGUGACAACUACUACUCAAGGUAAUUAAAAGGUACAAAUGUCGCCAAAUUUAUAAAUAAAUUGUUAAUUAAUUAAUUUUUCCGUAUUAUUAAUAAAGCUAAAUUCGUUGCUCCUUCCUUCUAAAUCUAAACAGAGUUGCACAAUUUCACCAACUUGGAAUAUUUGACAUUGGACGAUUCCUCUCUCCAUAUAAGCCUUCUGCAAAGCAUUGCAUCAAUAUUCCCUUCGUUAAAAAAUUUGUCGAUGAUUGGUUGUGAAGUCAAUGGCGUCCUACGUGGUCAAGGUAAAAGAAAAGUGUUAAUUGUGAACUCGCACAAUGGUGUCCUACGUGUUCAACAUUUUUAUUUAUUUAUUUUAUUGUUUAAUGUUUCUGCUAGGUUUUCCUCAUUUCAAGAGUUUGGAAUAUUUGAAUAUGGAUUUCACGCGCAUUGCACUCAACACCAACUUUCUUCAAAUCAUCAGUGAAUCGAUGCCUUCUCUUAAGUACUUAUCACUGUCAGAUUCUACUCUUGGCACUAACAGCAGCAGGAUUCUUGAUCGAGGUUAAUCAGAUGCUCCCACCCUCCCUUCUUAAUCUAUAAUAUUAAUUUUCAAUUCAAUAUUUAAUUACACAAACGAAUCACUUAUUAUAAAAGAAUAAUACGCAUUCAUUAAUUUUUAUGCUGUAUUAAUUGAUGAAUUUAAUAAAUUUUCAGGCCUCUGUUCGUUGGUGCAUCUGCAAGAGUUGCGCAUGGCUGAUAAUGAUUUAAGAGGUAGCUUGCCUUGGUGCUUGGCAAAUAUGACAUCCCUCCGAAUAUUAGAUGUUUCUUUCAAUCAACUUACUGGAAGCAUCUCCUCAUCUCCCCUCGUUCAUUUGACAUCCAUUGAAGAGCUGAGGCUUUCAGACAAUCAUUUUCGGAUCCCAAUUUCACUUGAACCACUUUUCAAUCACUCAAGACUCAAGAUUUUCCAUGCUAAAAAUAACCAAAUGAAUGCAGAAAUAACUGAGUCACAUUCUUUGACCGCCCCAAACUUCCAAUUACAAUCUCUCUCAUUGUCUUCCAGUUAUGGAGAUGGUGUCACAUUCCCCAAAUUCCUUUACCAUCAACAUGACCUGGAGUAUGUUCGUCUCUCACAUAUAAAGAUGAAUGGAGAAUUUCCAAAUUGGUUGUUGGAAAACAACACAAAAUUAGCAACUCUUUUUUUGGUUAAUGAUUCUCUUGCAGGACCUUUUUGGUUGCCAAUUCAUUCACACAAGCGGUUAGGAAUAUUGGAUAUAUCCAACAACAACAUCCGAGGCCACAUUCCAGUAGAAAUUGGAGAUGUUUUACCAAGUUUAUACGUUUUCAACAUUUCCAUGAAUGCUUUAGAUGGUAGCAUUCCCUCUUCAUUUGGUAAUAUGAAAUUCCUCCAAUUGCUGGACUUAUCCAACAAUCAAUUGACUGGUGAAAUCCCCGAGCACUUGGCCGUCGGUUGCGUCAACUUGCAGUUUCUCAUGUUAUCAAACAACAGCCUAAAAGGUCACAUGUUCUCUUGAAAUUUUAACCUGGCCAAUUUGAUGUGGUUACAAUUGGAGGGCAAUCACUUCGUAGGAGAGAUCCCACAAAGUUUGUCUAAAUGCUCCUCCUUAGAAGGAUUGUAUCUUACCAAUAAUAGUCUCUCGGGUAACAUUCCAGGAUGGUUGGGUAAUCUCACAUGGUUAAUACAUAUUAUAAUGCCCGAGAAUCAUCUUGAAGGUCCUAUUCCAGUGGAGUUUUGUCAACUUUAUUCGCUUCAGAUUUUGGACAUUUCAGACAACAACAUAUCUGGAAGUUUGCCAUCCUGUUUCCAUCCUCUCUCUAUCGAACAAGUUCAUCUUUCAAAAAAUAUGUUACAUAGACAGCUAAAAAGAGGUACAUUCUUUAAUUGCUCUUCCCUUGUGACAUUAGAUCUUAGUUAUAACCUCUUGAAUGGCAGCAUUCCGGAUUGGAUUGGUGAGCUUUCUCAGUUAAGCCACCUUAUCUUAGGUCACAAUAAUCUUGAAGGUGAAGUGCCAGUUCAAUUGUGCGAAUUGAACCAACUACAAUUGUUAGAUCUUUCUAAUAAUAGUCUUCACGGUUCUAUUCCUCCAUGCUUUGAUAACACAACACUUUAUGAAAGUUACAACAACAGUUCUAGUCUUGAUGAGAAAUUUGAAAUAUCUUUUUUCAUCGAAGGCCCUCAGGGAGAUGUAGAAAAGUGAAUCCGUGAAAAAUUUGAGUUCACAACAAAGAAUAUUGCGUACAUUUACCAAGGAAAAGUGCUUAGCCUCCUAUCAGGACUUUAUCUUUCUUGCAAUAAGCUAAUCGGUCAUAUUCCUCCUCAAAUUGGAAAUUUGACAAGGAUUCAAACAUUGAAUCUAUCAUAUAACAACUUGACAGGAUUGAUCCCAUCAACAUUUUCAAACUUGAAGCAUAUCGAAAGUUUGGAUCUUUCCUACAAUAAAUUAAAUGGGAAAAUCCCUCAUCAACUUGUGGAGUUAAAGACAUUGGAGGUUUUUAGUGUGGCAUACAAUAACUUAUCGGGCGAAAUUCUAGAAUGGACUGCACAAUUUGCAACAUUUAACAAGAGUAGCUAUGAGGGAAAUACUUUUCUUUGUGGAUUGCCAUUGCCCAUUUGCAGAUCACCAGCAACUAUGUCGGAGGCUUCAAUUGGCAAUGAACGAGAUGAUAAUUUAAUUGACAUGGAUAGUUUCUUUAUCACAUUUACAACAUCGUACGUAAUUGUGAUAUUCGCAAUUGUUAUUAUUUUAUAUGUAAAUUCUUAUUGGCGACGUAGAUGGUUUUACUUUGUUGAAAUGUGGAUAACUACAUGUUACUAUUUUGUUGUAGACAAUCUUAUUCCAACAAGAUUUUGUCAUUGAAAUUAUUUAGUAGUUUAAUUACGAUUCUUUAAGUACUAAUCAAGUUUGUAUAGGAAAUAAUUUUUUAUUAAAAUUGUAGUAGUAUUUAGCAUUAUAUAGCUUCCAACUUCCAAGCACUUCACAUUUGUCUCUACACUUACAAAACUGAGUGAUCAUGUUUUGCAGAUCUGGAUUUGGAGCAGGAUGGAUCCAAACCCAUAUCUGUCCACCAUAACUUAUAGCUUCCCUAUACUGUGCAGCAUACUUAAAUAAGAGAACCAUCUCCAAUGUUAAAAGCAUUCACUCUAUAACAUUCAUUUAGAAACUAUAUUCAGAAUAAUUUUAUAAUUAAACACAAGAAAUGAAACACCUAGAUACACUUGAUCGCCUAUUUUACUCUAAAAAAUAACGAUUAUGGUGCUAUCAUCAUCUUCUUCACUAGCAACAUUAACACCAAAUCGAUGGACCCAUACAUUUCAUCAAGAAAGGUAUAUAUCCAAUAAAGUUGAAGCCUAACAAAAAAAUCAGGAAGAUUAAUGCCUCACCACAACAAGGGGCAUAACAACAUCAAAGUAGAGAUUAAACAGUAUUCUCAAAGCUAAAACUCUCAAAUCCACCCACCAGAAUUUCAUAUCUCCUCAACAAUUUUAAGAACUAAAGAUAAUUAGGAUUUAACAUUAGUUUUUUAUAUAUUAGUUUCAUAAUUUACAAAUCAAUGAAGAUGAAGAUUAUGCGAAUAAAUUCAAAUUAUACCAUACAUUCUCUAGAUGUUACCAAAAAUUUCUAAGUCAAUCCCACAUAUUUCAUAAUUUUAAGACUAGAAAAUUCACUAGUUAGAAGUUUCAUUACCUUCAAGUGGAAGAUGAAGAACAUUAUGCAAGUGAUUCAGAUUAUAUCAUACAUACUCCAAAUGCAACUAGAAAUUAACAAGUUCAUGUGCACAUAUUUCAUAACAUUAUGAUUGAAAAGUUUCACAAAGAGAAAUUCUAAAUUCAAUCUCUUGCAUGAAGGCAGUUUGAUUGAUUUGAGUUACUUUAUGAUCAAGCUACUAAUAUAACAUUCAAGUCAGGGAGAAAGUAAAUUAAAAAUGGGAAGAAAUAACAGUAAAAAUUUGUUGCUAAACAUGAUGUGUAUUUUUUUCAAGGCAAUUUGGAAACACAAUUGUUACUACAGAUAUUCUCCUCAACUUAGAGAUAAAUACAAAUAUUAAAAUGCACAUGAUCGCACAUAUUACUUGGAGCUUAGUAAGAUUUCAUUAAAAGAAGCAAUCAAACCACUUAUCAAUUGUCGCAGUCAUUCUAUAAACUAAAAUAGCAAAUAUAAUAUAAGAAAAAGAACAUAUAGAUACUUGGCAAGAGUUCAUUAAGAAGUCACAUCACAUUCGGGUGAGGAGUUUGCUUCUGAUAUCUUGCUAGCUGGGGCUUUUUCUCGUCUUUCUAUGUAUGCCGAGGGAAACCAACCAGCUUGGCCCUUGCAUUCACCUUCCAACCAUCCAGUACGAGCCACCUUGAGAAGUUAUAACUAAAACGGUGAAUUAAACAAAAGUUGACCGUUCAAAGACCUAAGGGGAAAACUAAUUCUUUUAUGUAGAAUGAGUGAACUAGUUGUGAUCACUGGAAUAACAACAUAACUAUGGAAGCAUAACAAGAUAUAAAUUCACAUGUCUAUAAGGGUAAACUGGGUGGUUUAGAACUGAGCUAGCAACCCUACUAGAUUAUGAUUUGCAUUUCAAUGUAAAAGGGAAUAUAUGGUAGGAAGAAAGAAAACCAACCAUCAUUUGUUAACUCAUUGCUUUUCAAUCAAAAUUUUAAGAACAAAAUGCCAUGUGCUUUGAAUAUCAAAUAAGUAUAAGCAUUAUUUCUAAAUUCCACAUAUCAUAAGUUGUUAGAAGGAUAAGUUAAUAGCAUAGUAGAAAAAUCUAUGUGUCAGUAUUUAGAGGGGAAAGUACCUGGCGAACCACAACAUAAUCAUCAAUUAAAAGACUUAGCUCUCCAUUUGCUUGAGCAUCAAAUGGAUGUAUAACCUGCAAGAUAAUGGGAUAAAUAGAACUUAAAAAAAGCAUAACAAAAGCAGCAACAGUAGCAGCAGCGUUCAUUGUAACCACUAUGAUCAUGGCCAACAAAGAUAUAUUAGAAACAAAAUUCCAUUUUUACUACGACAUUAAUAUGUACUAUACGAUAUCAUGACGAUUGGGUUACUAAGAGCUAUCAAAGUCUAAUAAGUUAUGUAUAACUUUUGUAGUUAUUUAAAUUAUGGAUCAGAUUUUAAAUUUGAAAUUUUGACUGCUCUCCACAAAACAUGGCCUGUGCACAAAAAAGUCAUAGAUAAUGAGGAUUACAAGUGUCCGACAUCUUUUGAGUGAUGGAUUUAACAUGAGAGCUUAUGGUCAGUCAAUUUCCUCUGCCUAGCAAUAUAAGCUUUCUCGGCCAGAUUUAUCAUCAAAUACAUAGAUUGCCCCCAAGUCACAUCCAUAUAAACAUAAUUUUUCUAGGUAAACCAAGUAAGGAGAAUCAUAAUUCGGACAUAAUCAUAAAAAGGCCCAUCUAACUUAAGAGAAAAUCUUAAAAAGAGGGAUGCUGAGCUAUCAGUCUUGUAUCUAUAAGCAAUAUCAAGACUUUACAUCACCUGCUACAUCGUGAGUGGUUACACAACUUUUAGUGGUUUGUCUUUCUUUGGCAUGCCUAACUCAGCUUUGAUGUUGCUGAGAUAUUGAUAGUAGAGAGCAGAAGCCUUACUUUCGCUAUAAAUUAGACGUCAUUCUGAUUAAUAUGCGUUUGCAAAUCAGCUCUGUUUGAAUCAGUAUUCUGAUAGACACAUGAGGCAUUUACAUCCAUUUCCAAAGUCACAUGUUGCGGGGAGGACUCAUUUGAUUGCUCCUAUACGAUCAUCUAAUUCAAGUAGCAAGGGUUGGAAGAGAAUAAAAAGUCACAAUUAUUCUUUUGCAUAAGUGAGACGAAAAUGGUAAAUGCAAUAUUAUUAGCAGUAAAUAAGAAGAGAACGCUCCAAGGAAUAGAUAGAUGCAGACAAGCAAGUUAAAAUGCAUAGUCCCAAACCUCCGCAUACAACUUCUCUAAAAUAGCAAUAACGUGUUGAUGAUAUAUUUUCUCAGCAUCUACCUGCAAAGGCCCGAGACCGGGAAAACAACAAUAAAACCACUAGCUGAAGGAGAAAGCAAAGAAAAAAAUACACUUGACAUAAAUCUUGACAAGAAGCACAAUUUAAGACAUAACAAACCCCAAUCAUAUUAUUUUUGCUAGUCACACGCUAGUCUGUGCUAGUGAUGUAAGAAGUCACAAGGUCUCUUCAACAUUUGAACCAAUAAAAUUAUUAAGUCAUGGAUGUCACUAGCAAUGAUUUUAAUAUAAAACAUUAAAUAUUUCAGAGUUGUAACUUUAAAAUGGAUUCUUUUAUUCAAUACCAUAGAACUAAGUUUCCUUAUGAGAAGAUAGUAGUUUCGAUAAUAUUUUACAUAUAAUUUUUGCGAUACCUUCGUCUCGCACUACCAGUGAUACCCUCACUCUUNNNNNNNNNNNNNNNNNNNNNNNNNNNNNNNNNNNNNNNNNNNNNNNNNNNNNNNNNNNNNNNNNNNNNNNNNNNNNNNNNNNNNNNNNNNNNNNNNNNNUGUUGAAAUUUAUCUAAGUUCAAAAGUAAUGCAGAGUGGGUUUCUAAACUCCAUUCCACUAGCUACUUCCUUUAAGAAAAAUUCCACAUCAUUGGUUUGAAUUUUAACUGGUGGCAUAGGAUCAUAUGUCUUAAGCUUGAACUUCAUUGUGAUUUCGAAUUCCGAAGUAUUUAUAUCAAUAACUUGAGCUAUCUUCUCCACCAAUUCGGCAUAUGUUGUCGAUCGUGGUAUCAUUAUCCCUUUAGCCUUGGAACCUUUGAAUUUAUACUCGUCAUUUUGCUCAAUCCAUUCACCAUUGAAGAGAAUAAGCACACGUACCAAAACCAUAUAUGAUGAUACAAUAAAAACAAUAAUAUCAAAUUUCAUAUACAAGUAACUACACGACCUACACAACUACAUUACUUACAUGACCUACAUGACCUACAUGACUAUAUUACUUACAUGACCUACACGAAUUAUACGACUUACACGACUAUAUUACUUACACGACUUACAUGACUAACUAUAUGACAUACACAGUAUCAAAAGGAAUGCACGACGCGAAACAUUUUCGCCAUAAAUAAGUUAUAAACAACCUAUAUUGCAUAUAUUUCUAUAUAUAAGAAAAAAUGGUGAAAAUAAAACAUUAUAAUGUGAAGAAAAUUUCUAAAUUUUCCUAAAAAUAAAAAAACUUAAAACCCAACAACAUUAACAUACCUUAUUGGGUUGUUUAAUAAGUAAUGCACAUUAUUUCAGUUAAAAAAAAGUGGGUGUUAAAGAAAUGAAUACAUAAUCAUAUUUGUGUAAGAAGUUAUGAGAGAUUUUGAGAGAUUCUAGGAGAUUUUGAGAGAAUUUCGGCAGCAAGAAGAGAUUUGGGUGUUAAAGAAAUAUGAAGACAAGGAAGUUGAGUGAAUUUGAUUCAUUCAUUAAGGGCAUUUUAGACUUUACUCACAUUUGUUAGGGUAUCCAUGAAAACAAAAAAGGAAAGGGGUAUUUAAAUAAUUUUAAAACUAUUAAAGGGUAUUUAAUUAAAAACCCUAGGAGAAGAUGAUAGUGGAAGUAUGCAGUGUGGCUGCCAGGUACUUGGAUUGUAUUAUCGGGUAAGGUAAUAGUAGAGAAUUAUAAGUUUGAACAGAGCAUGUUGGACUUUUGUUGACCAAAUUCAAAAGCCCAAUGGCACGACCCAGAAGCUUUUGAAUAGAAAAACUUGCUAGAAAGCAUCAGUUUAAAUCACUACUUAAACGCUGCACCGCUUUGUACUGUUUUAGGUAUGUAGCGGUUGUGCAGUUGUAAUUCACGGCUGACGCUACGUGUUUGUUUGUACUGUUCUAUUCAGUGAUAGAGUAUUAUUAGUUAGGCCAAAACUAUGUUGCAACAGUGGUACAGUACCACUGUUGCUUUCAUAGCUGGACCCUAUUAGUUAUUUCAAAGGGAUAAAUAAGAUUGGUUACAACAAAUCUACUAUUUUUAUAAAAUUCAAGUAAUAUAGAAUAAAAUAAAAAAAUAAAUACAAAAUUGACUUUUAUUUUUUAUGGUUGACUAUAUUUUGUGUUCUCUUCGGGCACUGCUACAAUUGUUCCCCAUAUAUCAAUUACACCACAUACUAUCGACACAAGAAAUGAAAUCUAAUAUCACCUGUUUAGUUAAAAAAUCACUCAUGAAAAAAGUUUACCAUUUUGAUUUGAGGAUCCAUAUUUUGAACUGCAAGCUAAUGUUCAUCAAGAAUCACUGAUGGCCGUUGAGUAGAAAAAUUAUUUUUGGACAAAUUAUUUUUGUUGAUAGAAGAAUUUCUUUAGGGACUACUAAAUUAUUAAUAAAAAUGUCGAACACACCCACAUAUCAUCGACACAAUUGAUUUUGAGGAUCCAUGCUUUGAAUUGCCGCCUAAUGUUCAUCAAGAAUAGAGUAUGGCUUGUGAGUAGAAAAUUUUCUUAUUUUGGCCCAAAAUAAAAAGAAAUUAAAUUGGAUGAGAAUCUGCCACUUUCUCAUGAAGAAAGGCAUACGAAGCAUACCAUGAUACCAUACAAUAUAAGGAGCCGCCGUUCUUUGGUUUUUCAAACUUUGAAGGGGCCAAUAUUGCCAAAUUCCCCCUUGAAAAUUCUGACUACGACAUUAUUCAUCGCUUGAUGCAAUCAAAGUAGUGACAAAGUUAGGAAAAAUAUGAGCCCUAAGUAAUUGCUAGGCAGGGUUCCUGAGAGCAAAAUUGUCCUAAGCAUUAUAUGCAUACAUGGUGCGGUACAUAGAGCACGUUGAAUUCCCCACUAUAACACAAAUCCAGAAAGAGAAGUAAUAACUCAACUGAUAUAAAGACAAAAAGAAGAUAAAAUGAUAUAGAAAAAAGAAUUUCAAAGAGACAGCAACAUACGAUAGGCUGAAGCCACUUGAUCUACUCAUUGAUUGCAGCCUUAAACUUGCAAAUAGUUACUGUAUGCUAGUGCUCUAAGAAGUGAAAAUGAUGCAAGCCCUGAUUCCCUUUUGACUUCCAUUUACUGUCAAACAUUCUAGUAAUACAAAAAAUUGUUUAGAUAUCUUGCUAUAAAUAUAGUUGUUUGACUGUCAUAAUAAAGUCACAAAUAACCAUUCAUAUUGAUCUACUGUCACACAGCAUGCUUUAUGCAUACAACAGCUGUAUGUAUACCAACUCCUAACCUUAUCAAUGCAUUUGGCAAAAACUUAAGAAGAAAACUAUUUCUCCAUCUCUUUUUUGAAAUUUCACAAUAACCAGCACAAUGUGAAAGCUAUGUUCUAACCUUAUGAUAAAUGCUCCAGACUCCAAAAGGAUUUUAUAUAUGAGUUUUUGUUGCAGCAGAUAUAUUGACUUAUCAAGUAUGAAUCAUUUUCUGGAUGAACUAUCUUUAGAUAAAAGAAUAUUAGAACCACUGUAGAAUAUCUUUACGCUGCUGGUUCUAACAAGAAUCUGCUUGUGGCAACAAUUGCUAGAUCCACAAUUCCCCAACUUGAAAUACAUAGUUGCACACCAUGAGAUAGUGCUACGAUCUACUGAGAUCUAACUUAUAUGGUACUUUAAGCUACUAAUGUUUGCAUAUUUCUACAUGUUAAAUUAACACUAUCAUCUAUAAUCACUCCAAAACAACAAAUGAUAAGCAGCUUUUGGCCACUUAUUACUAGCAUCCACAAUUAUAAUAAGAGAUCAUGGGUUUACUUGUUGCACCUACUUAAUUAUCUGCAGUUGACAUCCUGACGCAAGGUUUAAAUAGUGACUGCUUAGAACCCUUGUAGUUGGAUCUUGACCUCUCCCAUUGUAGCCAAGAUUGGUUACUCUGGUAAUGAAUCAACACUCUCCUGCUCAGGGCCAUGAAGAUCUGAAAGCUCAGCACUAGUGGAGAACUUCAUCAAUCUCUUCUUCUCAGCAUACUUGAGACAAGGCUGCAUUACGAGACCAAUCACCACAGCACCAACGCUUAAAGCUACAACUUUUAAAGAAGAAAGAGCCAACACAACACAACACAAAUCAAUAUGGUUGGAGGAAUACACAUGAUAAUGGCUCUAACAGUGCCAGUGGGUAUCUUGUAGGGACGAGAUGCAGCAGGAUAUUGUAUCCUUAACCAUACAAAUGCUAUGAACUCCAUAAUCAUUCCAAAACAGUACAGGAAGUUCUCUGCAGCUACAAUAUCUCGAAAGCUCAGCCAUGAUAGCAAAACCACACCAGAUGCUGAGAAUAUGAUUCCAAUCAAAGGAGUCCCAUAACAAGACCUCUUAGCAAAAAACUCAGGUAGCAUUCCACGCUCAGCCAUCCCCAAAAGUUGGAAAGAGUCGCUGCUCAUCUCAGCCACAAACAUGCCCAUAUUGGACAUUGCUGCAACCCCCUGGAUGCACCAACUCAACCAAACUCCUCCAAGCACUUUAGCGAUACCUGAAAAGUAACCAUCGGUCCACAAGUCGCGAUCUAAUGGAAUAGCUCCAGUUCCAACUAGAAAGGGAAAGAAAUAUCCAAAAACGACCAAGAUCAAAGCAUAAAACAAAGCCUUUGGAAGAGUCUUCUUUGGGUUAUCCACCUCUCCAGCUAGUGUACUUAUUGAGUCCCAGUAGUUGAGAUUCCAAAACAGGGUGUUCAAAUACAAAUUCCAAUCCACUUCACCUAAAUUUAAUACAAGCCAUCUUGAAGGCUCUAACUUGGGAAGGGACACAAGUCCCAUAACCACAAAAGGAAGGAGUGAGAAAAUCCCUAAAAGAACAGCAGCCCAUCCCACAAUGGUUAGACCCCUAUAGUUCAUGAAAGUGAGAACAAAAGUCAAAGCUAACGCCGCAAAGGCUCUAGGUAACCCAUCGCCCAAAGCAGGGAUACCAGACUUCAAGUAAUCAAGAAACAGAACUGGGUAUAAAGCAUUAUCAGUAACCCCACUUAGCCAUUUCAUCCAAACUUGCUCAAAACCCCAAUAUGGGCCUAAGGCAGAUGAAACCCAAACCACAUAACCACAAUUUUCAGGAAACACGGUACCCAUCUCGGCAGUAAUUAAAGCUUCAGGGACACUCCAUAUAAUCGGAAACACCAAGAAACCAAGAAGUGCUAAAAGAGGACCAGCUGUCUUUACACUAUCCUCAACACCAAACGGCCCCCCAGAAACCUCAUAGAAUAUAAGGAAAAUAAGUGGCAAGAUUGAUACUUUUUUAGUGCCAUGGACUCUAGGAGAAGAUGGUUGGUCAUUGAUAUUAAAAUAUUCAACAGCAUCAGACUGCCCCAUUUCUACUGAAACUUGCCUAUUUACAGUGCUCCUCAAUUUCUGCAUCAAGUUUAAGCAUAACUAUCAAAAGGGUAUCCGCAUCUAAAUUAUGAAACAAAAUGAGCAUUUACUUAUUAAAAAAAAAAUCAAAAAACAGAAAUGGAUUUCACAGAACACAUGAACUUAAGUUCAACAUUAAACAGGCGCUUAAGAAAACAAAAGGGUCUGUUCGUAAAGCCAUCAGAUUGCAAGAUUGAACAACAUUAACGGAAUCAAUAGAAUGGAUGUAAAGAGAACUGAAAAGAAAAUAAAAUAAAAGAUGAAGAGAGAUAAAACGAACCAUCAAAUAAGUGCAUGCAGAGCAGAGAGGCAGAUACUAGUGAAGCUCCGUCAUGUUAGAGAGAGCCUAAAUCAAUCAGAGCUCACUGAGUUUCUUUUAAACCGACCGGCAAAUUUGGAGUAGCACAACAUAAUAUUUUUGCUUUUAUUUUUGGAACACUUUUGAAUGGAAUUUUUUGUUUUAAAAAAUGGCAAAGGAGAUUAGUAUUUCUAUCGUUAAAAUAAUAAUUUUCCUAACAUUAUUUUUUAUAUUUUUUAAUUUAUUUUUAUAAUAAUUUUUUAUUUAAAUAUUAAUAAAAAAUAAUUAAAUUAACAAUUUAAUCCUAAAAUAAAUAAACACGGUUUUGGGUUUUUUCUUUUGUUCGUUUAAUAUCAUCUGGUUCCCUGAUUUGUGACUAAUUAUCAACGGAAUCCCGUUAGUUUCUAAAUUGAAAUAAUAGAAGGUCAUGAGAUUAUUUACUCCAUUUAGCACUGCAGACUUAGAGUAUAUUGAAAAAGCUUUGUCAAAUAGUAGUAAUAGGGGCAUAAGAAAUAAAUUAUAGCUAUCACAAAUUCGUUAGGAGAAUUUCAAAUUUUUCCAUCAAUAAUGGCUAUGAAGCAAAAUUACUUUAGGUUAUAUUGCAACACUAAUACUUCAAAUCCUGACAAUAAAUUUGAAGAACUUGUUAAAAAGAAAAUGGUAAUGUUAUCAUUUUGAAAGACAAAAAAAAAAAGAGUGAAAGUGGCGUUACCUCAUGGUCAUUAGUGACUUGUUGCAAUGAUAGCUCAAAAUUAAAAAUUUGUGAAGAAUUAGUAGACAACGACGAUAUUAUAUUUAUACAGUCACCAACGUAUUGAUUUUUGUUUAAUGUUUGAUUGAUAGAAACUUUUGUCGUCGUCGCCGUUGUUGAAUUCGUGCUUAGAAUACCACAAGAGAAGAAAAAGGGAUGAAAGGGAAGAGAAGAAGAGAGAAGUGGUGGAUAGCAAAUAUGAUAUGCUAGCUACACACAGGCCUUAGAGAGUUUUUUUUUUUAAUAUUUAUUGUAUUUUUGUUUUUGUUAUUGGUUUGUCAUAUGCUUCCAAGGCAACAAUGCAUUACAUCAUAAAUUGCACCUUUUAGGGGAGGUGGUAAAAAACAUGAGAGCAAUGCAUUCUAGCGCAUACAUGCAGAAAGAGUUUCCAAAUUUUCAAAAGUUUCUUUAUUUCUUCCACCUUUUUUUGCUUAAAAUAAAUUUUAAUUGUAUUUUGCAUUAACUUAGAGAAAAAAAAAUCCAAUUCUAUGCAUAAACGCAUACAUUGAUUAGAAAAUGAGUUUUAUGGACACAAAGGGACAAUAUAAGAGAUUCUUUUUGUUUAUUAGAAGUAACAUAACUAGUUAGUGUAACAUGUAAUUAUAAGCUACCAAUAAUUUGCACUGAUGAUAAUUAACGGUACAGAUUUUGAGCUAUGAAUGUCUUGUGGCUAGUUUAAUUGGAUUUUUGAGUUUUCAGCAGAUCUAUUUUAAUGAUUAUUAAAUUAUUUUCACUUCUUAUGCCUUAAUAAAAAAAAUUCAAUAUUUUUUGCUGUAUUCUAUAUUUUAAAACUUAAUUUUUAGUUCUUUAUAUUGCAAACCAAACUGAGUCAAAUAGAGUAUGCUCUUCAAAUAAUUUUUCCAUUGCCUUCAAGAAGAAUUCAUUUUAUUUUUAUAUAUUAAUUCAACACUUGUAAACCGGGCCGUCAGAUUGCACAUAAAGCAAAUGAUCAAACCGUUACAAGACCGGCCCAGGCCCACUGACUCUAUUUUCUUUAAUUUGACCAUUAAAAAGCUUUUGGCCACCCCCACCAAAUAAAUAAGCUCUUGUUCUCUUUUGUAGGGGUGGGCAAAAAAACCGUAGUCUUAAAAAAACCGAACCGAACCGACGGUUUUUUCUAAUUCGGUUUGGUUUUUAUUUUUUUAAAAAACCGAAAUAUACCAUUUGUAAAAAAAAACCGAAAUGUCGGUUUGGUAUUCGGUUCACUUAGCUGAACCGAAAAACUGAACCGAAAAACCGAAUUAUUUUUUGAUUUUAUUCAAAUCAAACAUGUGUUAAUUUUUAACUGAUUGUGCAAGAUAACUAACAUAAACUUGCAUACACACAAUCAUGAGUAUAUAUAUGUAAGUGUUACAAUUUCGUAAAUCUUUAUUUCCCCCAAAAUAAACCCUAAAGCUAAAAUCAAAGAUUCAAAAUCGAAACCAAAUCCAAAUCACCCACCCCAAUCCACUGCAAUCACAGCCGACGCUGCUCACCGGCGAUAGUGUCACCGUGCAACACGCUGCUCACCGCGAAAGCUGCAGCUUCUUUUCACCGUGGGACAGCUUCAACUCACAGGCCUGAGGCCACCACGCGACAGCUUUGCUCUGCUCACCUGAUUGGAGUGGAAAUUCGAUGGUUUUGAAUGGUUUAUAUAUGCAUGUGAGGUGUUCGGCGCAUAUAAUCAACUUAAUUGUGCAAGAUGGGUUGUCACAAGUGAGUCAAUCAAUAGCUAGUAUUCGAAAUGCGGUGAAAUAUGUUAGAUCAUCUCCGGCAAGAUUACAAAAGUUCAAAACAUGUGUUGAUAGGGAGAAAAUCUCACGUGGAGGGCUUAUGGUGUUAGACGUGCCGACUCGGUGGAAUUCAACAUAUUUGAUGUUAGAAAAAGCGGUAGCAUUUGAGAGGCUAAAGGAAGAUGAUGGCCAUUAUACAAACUGGUUUGAUGAGGAUGAGAGUGAAUAAAGGAGGGUGGGGCCACCGAUUGAUAAGGAUUGGGAAAAUGCAAAGAGGUUAGUCAAGUGUCUUUCGAUUUUUUAUCAUGUGACUUUAAAAUUCAGCAGCUCUUUAACAGUCACUUCCAAUAAUUUCUUGAAUGAAAUGUGGAAAGUUUAUAUUCAUUUGAAGUCACUGGUUGAUUUUGUUAACAUAUAUGUUUUCAUAAUGUUAAUUUUGAUGAUAACAAACAAGAUUAAGAAUGAUUAAUCUUUUAAGAUCAAAUUAUUUUUUAUAUAUUUUAAAUAAAUCAUUAUUUUCACAUUAUAAAUGUUUUAUAUUUAAUGGAAAAAUGAUUUUAUGAAAAAUGAUUGUUUAAAUACAUGAAAUGUUUGUCAUCAUCAAAAAGGGGGAGAUUGUUAACAUAUAUGUUUUCAUAAUGUUGAUUUUGAUGAUAACAAACAAGAUUAAGAAUGAUUAAUCUUUUAAAAUCAAAUUAUUUUUUAUACAUCUUAAAUAAAUCAUUAUUUUCACAUUUUAAAGGUUUUAUAUUUAAUGGAAAAAUAUUUUAUGAAAUUGAUUGUUUUUAUUCUUUUUAAAUAAAUCAUUAUUUUCACAUUAUAAAUGUUUCAUACUUAAUGGAAAAAUGAUUUUAUGAAAUUGGUUGUUUUUCAAAGUUUAUGGUUUAAUUGAAAGAAUUUUGAAAACUUUGAUAUAAACAAGUAUUGCUUGAAAUUUUGGUAAAGGACUUAUUUGAAAAGUGUCAUAGCAUCUUUGGGCGAAAUCAUAAUUUCAGAAAGUUUUGGGAUUAACGAAGAAUUAUUUAGAAAUUCUGAAAUUGGACUUAUUUGCAAAGUUUAAUAACGUUUUGGGCCAUACUACAGUUUUAUAAAGUUUUGGGGUCAAACUAUAAAUUUUGGGAAAUGUUUUACUGUAGCAGUUACUGUAGCAAGCGGCUUACCGGAUACUAAUAAACGGCAAGUCGGAUACGGGGUAGUAAGCACCAGAACGAAAGCGGCUAACCGGAUGUCCAUAAACGGCAAGCCGGUUACGACAAAAAAUGUGCAUAACGGCUAGUAACGGCUAGUUUUUGAGUUCAAACUAUAUAAACUCAAAACCAAUUCAUUUUUGGUAACUCAAGCAAGCAUAAACAAGUGCACACAACUUAUAUUGAGCUUCAAAUUCGAAAAUCUUCAUAGAUUAAAUCUUCAUUGGGCUAUCAUUUGUAAAUCCACUCUUAAAGAGAGUUUUUGUUGUAAUUUUCAUUUCUCAUCAAAUUGUGAGAGUACAAGUGUGAGAAACACUUGGAGUGAAGAGAUUGGAGAUAUAAUCUCUUGUUGUAAAGGUUCAUUGACACCUUGAAGUCAAUUGUAAUCGUUUGAAGCCUUGGAAAGGCUUGGAUAGUGAAAUCCUCAAGCCCGGUGUGCUUGGAGGCGUGGACGUAGGCGGGGAUUGCCAAACCACGUAAAAAUCCUUGAGUUUGCUUUCUCUUCCCUUACUCUUUAAUUAUUGUGCUUUGAUUGAAUUUAUUGUUUUCGAAUUUAUUAAGGCAUUAGAUUGCUUGUUGUGUGGAUUUGUUAGGAUAAUUUUUAAAAUUCCAAUUCACCCCCCCCUCUUGGGUUGCACACUCAUAUUUCAGAUUUUAAUGAUUUUUUGUUAAAUCAAAUGGGUUACAAGAUGGAGGAAAAAUUUGUCAAGUAUUGGGGUCAUUUUUUUGAAAAGGUUAACAUGUUGUUGAUUGUGGCAAAUGUGCUUGAUCCUCGCUGCAAACUUGACUUUGUUAUAUGGUGUUUUAGUAGCUUGUAUGAUAUUAGAAAGGUUGAUGAAUUGAGAGCUAAUAUUAAAGAGUUGUUGUUGAAGCUUCUUGAAAGCUAUGGUGGUGAGAGUAAUCCAAAUAGAGGUGAGAGAUGUACGGCUGUUCAUGAUGGUGCUAGUAGUAGUAUUGAGUUAUUUGAUCCUUUUACACAAUUUAAAAAGAUGAAAGAAAGUUCAAAUGAUGACAUUAGUGGAAAAAAUGAUGUUGAAAAGUACUUGUCAGAGACUUGUGAGAGUGCUAGUAAUCCCCAGUUUGAUAUUUUGACUUGGUGGAAAUUGAAUGGGCCUCGGUAUCUGAUUUUAUCUCAAAUUGCCAAAGAUGUUUUGGCAAUUCCGGUGUCUACUGUGGCUUCUGAAUCAGCAUUUAGUACAGGAGGGCGCAUUCUUGAUCCUUUUAGGAGUUCUUUAACUCAUAAAACAGUCGAGUCAUUAAUAUGCACUCAAAAUUGGCUUCGUUCAACUCUAUUAGGAGAGCGUACAAUACAACCAAGUCAGGAAGAAGCUGAAUUCUAUGAAUUAGUUGAAACAUGUAAUAUUGUAAUUUAUUAUGUUAUUUUUUUCUAUUUCACUUAUAACAUUUUGAAUAUUAGAAUUAAUUAUUUUAAUAUAAUUGUUUUAAUUUCUUGAAGAAUUUUUUAGGCCAAUGCAAUCUCAAGAACAACAGCAAGUAGCUGAGGAGUAAAUGACAAUUGAUUGAUGUUGCUUACCAGUAAGUUUUCUUUAUUUUUUUUAAACUAGCAUCUUAUUUAUAUAGAUUGUUUAUUUAAUUAUUUAUUGUUUAAAUUUUUUUUAUAGAUCCAAAUAUUGAGUUGGAAAAUGCCUAAAGUUGAUGUUGAUAUUGAUGAAGAUGGGAGAAUAUUGUUGGCAUUUGUUUGCAAUUUUUUUUUUAUUUUGUGUUGUAAGUUGUAAUUGUUGUUAUUUUUAUUUCUCUUUAUAACAUUAUGAUUAUGUUUAUAUAGAUGGAGUAUUGGAGUUUGGUUAUGUAUUUUGAAAUUUUAAUAUUUCAUAUUUUGGGAGUAUCUUAUUAAUAGUUAGUAAGAUAUUAGUGAUAAAAUGUGUUUUGAAUACUUUGUAUUUAUUGUUAAUAUUUGUAAUAAAAUUAGAAUAAAUUAAUUGUUAAAAAAAUUAUUACAUUCAUGAGGCCCAAUGGGCUAAAAAUUCAAAAUAGGCCCAAUAGGCCCAGAAUCGAAAAAACCGAACCGAACCGAACCGAUCCGAAAAGAACCGUUUGAGUUCGGUUCUUAUUGAGUUCGGUUCUUAUUCAGUUCUUUUGAUAAAAUAACUGAUUUAAAUCGGUUCUACUUAAUUUCGAUCCGAACCGAACCGUGCCCACCCUUACUCUUUUGUUCCCUCUCAAAGGAAAAUAUCUAAUCACCGGAUAAUGAUUCCGGUGACACAAAAGAUCGAAACACCCCCUAAAUUCCCUAAAUUUAUGAUAAUACCCCACCAUGGAUGAUUCCGUUGAAAUGCCGCCUUACGAUGAAAGGCCUAAAAAGGGUUUUAACUUCACCUCCAUGCGCUUGAUCUUAACCCUCGUUUUCCCAAUUUUAACUUGCUUUUUGUUGGCAUUUUUUAUUGGAAUCGUAGUUGUUUUAUUCGGCGAAUCAUCAGUUUCCAGUUCCAUUUUUGUCCCUUCCCAGUGCAAGAUAGUGUCCAACAGUAAGCUUUUUUUAACAUUUUCAAUUUUUUUUCCAUUUAUGAAGUCCAAAAAAUUUAUUAAUUUUGAUUUUUUUGAAUGAUUUUUCAGGUGUUGAUAUAAGGUCAUCAAAAGUUCGUAAACUUGGGGUGUUCAAUUAUAAGGCGAAGCGCGUGUUUUAUCCAUUUGAAGCAAGUAAAUUUCGCUGUCGGUAUGAUUACUAUUGGGCUUCUAUCUUCAAGGUAUUCAUACAUUUUCCCCUGUACUAUAAGCUUCUUAGUGGCGGUCUUGUGUGCGGAAGUGAACGGUGUGGCUGACAGCUUCUUGAAAAUUAUAAGUUUGAACAGAGCAUGUUAGAGCACCACCAAAAGGCUCUUUAAAUAAGAUUUUAUUAUUUAUUUGAAGAGCCACAUCAAUAUUGAAAACUUCAAAAGACACUUCAAUUAAAAUUCUUCAAAUAAGAAUUGAUUCUCUCUCUUCAAAUUUGGAGAGUUAAUUUAUUCCUCUUCAAUUUAUAUUUUAUUACUUUUCAUUGAAGAAAGAGAGAAGUGCUUUAAUUGCUAUUGACUUUUCCUUUAAAAAACUAAUUAUAUGAUUAAAACAAUAUUAACUUAUUUAUAUUUGAAGAGUCUUUUGGAGAAUAUCAUAUUUUUUCACCCUUCUAUUUGCCACAUAGGUAAACAAAUAGAUAUUUAAAGAGUAAAAUUUAUAGAGGCUUUUAGAGAUGCUCUUAGACUUUUGUUGACCAAAUUCGAAAGCCAAAUGGCACAGCUCAGAAGCUUUUGAAUUGAAUAACUUACUAGGAAGCUCCAAUUUUUUGUUGGCUACAGUAAAAGGAUGUUGUUUUAUUCUUCUUAUACUUUACGCUUGCAUCAGCUUAAAUCACUUCUUAAACGCUUUGCUUUAACUCCACUGCUUCGCUGGGGCGGAUUUACCUUGGAACAAGUGGGGACUUAAGUCCCCACUGAAAAAAAAAAAUUGUUUUAAUAAUUAAUUUGAUUUGCCAAAACUUCUCAAUAAAUUUUUCUUAAGCCCCCCAUAAUUUCUUUCAACAAACAAUUGAUCUAAAUGAGUUAUUUUCUGUCAGUUGUAUCCAAAUGAGUUCUCUGCAAUUGAUAUCAUGGCACUUAAAAUUCAACUUGAUACAUAUAUUUUGGAUAUGCGCACUAGUGCGAGACUAAAAGACAUAAGGUAUAUCCAUUGGUUUACUUGUUAAUAAUAUUAGCAUUGACUUUACCUGUUGCCACUGCUAGUGUAGAGAGAGUAUUUUCAGCCAUGAACAUUUUGAAGAAUUGAUUAUAAAGCUGUGAGUAAUGGAUGAAUGAUAGUUUAAUUAUUUACAUAGAAAAAUACUUAUUUAAUAAUAUUGAUAAUGAACUUGUAAUGCAACAUUAUUAAUGUAUGAAAACUUGAAAGGACAAUUGUAAACAUAUAUUGAAGUAUGAUAAAUCUUUCAAAUUUAUAUAUUUAUUACUUUUUAAAUUUUUUUAUAUUGCCGUUGAAUGAGCCCCCAGUCAAUCAAUAUGUUGUCUUCGCCCUACUUCGUACUCUUCUAUAUAUGUAUCGGGUAUGCAGUUUUAGUUAACAGCUGAGACUACGUGUUUGUUUGACGUGGUAGUUACGUUACGAGUCUGUUAAACAUUCAAUGAUUAAAGUAUUAUCAGUUAUUUCAAAGGGACAAAUAAGAUUAGCUACAACACACCCACUAGUUUUAUAAAAUUCGAAUGAGAUGGAAUAAAAUAAAAAAAUAAAUAAGUAAAUUGACUUUUAGUUUUAGUGGUUGAAUAUAUUUUGCAUUCUCUUAGGGCACUGCUGUAAUUAUUCCUUAAACGUCAGUCAUACCCACAUAUAAUAGACACAAGAAAUGAAAUCUAAAAUCACCUGUUUAGUUAAAGAAUCAUCAUGAAAAAAUUUUGCCAUUUUGAUUUGAGGAUCCACAUUUUGAACAACCAACUUAUGUUCAUCAAAAACGGAUCAUGGCCUGUGAGUAGAAAAAUUAUUUUUGGACAAAUUAUUUUUUUUAAUAGAAUAAUUUCUCAAGGGACUAUUAAAAUUACUAAUAAAAAUGUCAGACACACCCACGUACCAUCGACACAAUUGACUAUGAGGAUCCAUGUUUUGAACUGCCACAUAAUGUUCAUCAAGAAUAGAAUAUGGCUCGUGAAAAGAAAAUUUUCUGAUUUUGGCCUGGAACAAAAAAAAAUUAAAUUGAAGGAGAAUCUGCUACUUUCUCAUUAAGAAAGGCAGACAGGGUAUACUAUGGUACCAUACAAUAUAAAAAGUCUCCGUUCUCUGGCUUUUCAAACUCUGAAGGGGGCAAUAUUCCCCAAUUCCCCCUUGAAAAUUCUGAUUACGACAUUAUUCAUCACUUGAUACAUAAGUACAAGUAGUGACAAAAUUAGGAAAAAUAUGACUCAUAAGUAAUUACUAGGCAGGGCUCUUGAGAGCAACAUUGUACUAGGCUUUAUAUGCAAACAUGGUGUGGUACAUAGAGCACGUUGAAUUCCACACUAUAACACAAACCCAGAAAGACAAGUAAUAUCUCAACUGAUAUAAAGACAAAAAGAAGAUAAAAUGAUACAGAACAAAGAAUUUCUAAGAGAUAGCAACAUACAAUAGACUGAAGCCAGUUGAUCUGCUCAUUGAUUGCAGCCUUAAACUUGCAAAUGUUUACUGUAGCCUGGUGCUCUAAGAAGUGAAAAUGAUGCAAACCUUGAUUCCCUGUUUACUUCCAUUUACCAUCAAACAUUCUAUUCAUAAGAAAAAAAAUGUUUAGAUAUCUUGCCGUAAAUAUAGCCAUUUGAUUGUCUUAAUAAAGCCACACACAACCAUUCAUAUUGAUCCACAUUGCCACAUAGCCUGAUUUAAGCAUACAACACCUGAAUGUAUACUGACUCCUAACCUUAUCAAUACAUUGGCGACAACUUAAGAAGAAAACUAUUUCUCCAUCUCUUUUUUGAAAUUUCACAAUAAAAUAGCACAAUGUAAGAGCUGCAAUGAAAAUGGACCAUCUGGAACUAUGGCGGAAGCUUCAACUAGUGUAGUGAUUUGACCUUCUUAUUAACCUAGCGAGAUCAAACACUGCCCUUGAUCUUGAACAGAUCAAUACGAUACGCACAACUUAUGAUUGAAUCCAGAAACAAUCAAAUCUUUAGCAAGAAUAAUUAAUCAGAAUCAAGAAACAAGUUUAAUGAAUAUAAACCUAUAAUUGGAACAAACACAGCAAAAGAACCCAAGAAUGACACAACCAGCACCAAGGGAGAAGCUUUCCAGUGAGAUUAUAUUGAUGAUCAAAGAAGAAUCUUUUUACAAAGCUAACAAAAGAGAUUUCAGAGAAUAAGCUAUGACCCUCUCUCUUCUCAAUCUCUGUCUAGUUUGUUAACAGUGAUGACCCCAAUCUCCUUCGUUAGCCAGCUUCAUAACUGCGUCAGUGACAAACUAGCAAACCCAGAUUGAGCAGACUAACGACACGUGCAUAACGGCUUUAACGAACUUGGUUAAAGAACUGCUCACAUGUUCGUCACGCGUGUUGCUUAAAUGAUAGCCAAAACGACUUCAACCAGAUGCCGUUUUGAAGCUUAUGAAUUAUAAGUGAAAACACGUGCUUGUCUCGUGACAUUUAAAUGCAACAACAAGCCCAAAACACUGCCGGUCCACUAUGUUGAGUUUGCCAUCUCUAAGCUUCACAACUAGCAGCGGACAAGAUGAUAAUUUAAUUGACUUGGAGAGCUUUUAUAUCACUUUUACAACAUUCUAUAUAAUUGUGAUAUUGGGAAUCGUCGGUGUUGUAUAUGUGAACCCUCGUUGGCGACACUGGUGGUUUUAUCUUUAUUGAAAUAUGGAUGACUUUUCGUUACUAUUUUGUUGUACAUAACCUUAUUCUCAGGAGAUUUAAUCAUUGAAAUUAACAUGUUAGUUUCAUUAGAAGGCUGAGUGGUUAGGGCUGCUACCUUCCAACUUGGAGGGCAAUAGUUUGAACCCACAAGCGCAAUGUGGGGGUAUUUCAUUCUUUAAUUACAUUGUAUAAUUGAAUAAAGAUAAUAUUCUCUCUUACCCAAGUGUGAGUGGAGUAGACAUCCUUCGAAUAUUAGCGAGGGUUAAAACUUGGGCAGAGCUCAAUAAGUAUUGAUGUAAGUUGGUCCUAAUAAUAGUCUGAUUUGUAAAUAUCAGUUAUAGUCUCAUGUUUCCUUCCUUAAUUAUAUUGCAUAAUUAAGUAAAUGUACUCUUUUCUCUUACCCAAGUGUGAGUGGAGUAAACAUCUCUCGAAUAUUAGUGAGAGUUAAAAUCUGGGCAGAGCUCCAUAAGUAUUGAUGUAAUUUGAUCCCAAUAAUAGUAUGAUUUGUAAAUACCAGUUAUAGUAUCAUGUAAUAUGAGUUGUAAUUUGAGUAAUAAUUUCAUGUAAUUACAAAAAAAAAUGUUACUUUCAUUACUUUUUUCUUCGUUAAAAUUCUCAAGUAUCAAUUAUGUUUGCUUAAGAAAUAAAAUUUCAUUAUGAAAAUUGUAGCAGUAUUUCCGAGCACCUCACAUUUUCAAUGAUUUUUCAUAAAUCAAUUAAUCUGCCAUACCAAUAUCAGGUUUAGUUUUUCAGACUAAAUGAUCAAGAAAGCAAACAUACAAAUUCACAUUUUAGAGGGGUAAACUAGCUUUUAGAUUUUAGAACUAGGCUAGCUACCUCACCAAAUUCCAAUCUGUACAGUGAACUACAAGAUUAAGAAAAUAAUGUAUUUAUAGUUUAAUUGAAUCAUGAGAAAACAAUGUAGUCAUAGCUCAAUCGGACAUGAUCACGGAGAGGCAUAUUCUUUUCAAGUUAAUUUGAUCCAUUUAUAAGAAAUGAAGUGGAUUGAAGUUAAAAGUUCAAAUAACAAAUCCUUGUUCUUGAGUUUUACGACGUCGUUACUCCUUCAAGAGGCUGAUUAUGCGAGUGAAUGAGGAAACAGAAUGCAUUAUCCAAUUUCACUCAUAUAGAAAAUUAAUUUUUUAUAUAUACUAAUCAACACUAGAUUGAUUAUGUUUUGUAUGUUUAUAUGCUAAUCAACAAUAAAUUAUAGUAAAUGAAGAAAUGCUUCAAAAUUUUUUAAUUUAAUUUAGAAAAUCAAUUAUUAACAUUAAUAUUCCUAAUAAAAAUUAUUUUCCAUCGGUAUUCAAAAUUUUCACUUAUAGAAAAUGCGUUUUACGUGAAUACAAGUUAUUGUGUAAAUUUGAAUGAUAGCGAAAAAUAUUUUUUUUAAUAAUUGUAAAAAUAAUUAACCAUAACAAAUCGCUUGCGUAAAUAAUAAUCAUUAUUUAAAAGGUAGAAAGAUGGUUAGUGCACAAUCAAAUUUUAAGCCCCUACCUCCUCGGCCCAAUAUUCAAACUUAGAUGAUCAGCCAAAUAAAAUUAUUUGAAAAUCAUUCAAUCAGGUUCUCGGGGCAAAAAUACAAGAUCCUUAUUUGCAUGAUAUAUAUGAAUUAAUGUAAUUUAUUUGAAUUAUCCAAAUUCAUUAGAGAUAAAACUAUAAAAUAUACGAAAAAAGUUAGAAGGAAGGGUGUGUUGGGAUAUUUUACAAACUAUAGGAAUCUGGUGAGAUUUUGAGCCAAACUGUAGGGAGUUGAAGGCAUUUGCCCAAUAUGUUUAGCCGUACACUAACCGUUAUUUGAUCUUGUUGUUGGUCCCGGAUGAGCUAUAGUCUUAUUUUAAUUUUAUUUAAACUCACCAUAAGAUUCGCAGAGCUCCUAACUAACUUAAAUGACUCUGCAGAGCAUGUCAACACAUAGCAUGUUUAACCGUUUUAUUUGUAGAAGAAUUUAUGAUUUCCCAUUAGCAUUAUUAUUGAAGUGGGGCGGGUCAAAUCUCAAUUGCUUGAAAAUUUUAUUUAUUAUUAUUAAUUUUGAAGUGGGGUGGGUAACGGUUCGUUCAAUUCGAGGGAAUCAAAUAUAUCAUCCAAGGUAGAAUUGUGGAAAAUUAAAGCAAAAUAAGAAAUAUGGACAGAAAAGAAGAAAGUUAAUGCAUGAAAGACAUUUACAGUUGAAAUUGAUAAUCAUGUUUCUAUUUUGUUAACUAAUCAAAUGGAAAACUGAACUGUAAACAAACAUUAAAACGUGUGGACCAAGCUAGCUGCCCUACAAGUCUACAAUAAUAAUUGAGUACUUUGAUUCAUCCUUCUAUGAAUUUCUACCCAUAUUGACUCCUCCGAAAUUUCCACAAAAUAAAAAAAAAAAAAAAACUGAAUUUCCACAAAAUGCAAAACCCGUAGAACUUAAUUUUUGGUCAUGUGAACUAAGAUGUAAAUUAAAGAAAAAGUAUAAAAUUAAAAAAGAUAAAAUUUCUAAAAUGUGUGGAAGGUGAUUCAUAAUUCACUGAAAUUACUUGCCCCAGAUAUAUAGGUAAACCUAUCUAAUUUCAUUAAAAAUAGUUGGAAAAAAUUAACUAAUAGAAAGCUACGGAAAUUAACCCCCCACAAAAAUAACUUUUUAUAGAAGAAUUUAUGUUUUUUAAAAUAUGUUAUCAAAGUGUAUUUGAUCAAAUCUCAAUUGCUUAGUAUGCUUAGGAUUUUGUGAACAUCACUAAAAAGCGAAAGCUAUGAAUGAUAGGGGUGAUGCUUGCAAUAUGAAUAAAUAAUGGACUGAUUCAAUUGAUGAUUACAUUUAUAUAUUAUUGAUUAUUUAUGAAUUUUCAGACUUGUUACGAUGUAUAACUAUGUGAUUUUGAAACUUGAAACCGUGGCAAACAUUGAAAGGAAUUAUAACUUGAAAUCAUGACUCACGGGGUAUGUCAUGAUUCACGUGCACAAAAAAAGGUAGAAUUGUGGAAAUUUAUAACCCAACGACAAAUACGGAAAGAAAGGAAGAAAAUUAAAAGACUUCGGGCCUAGCCUGCGUGUAUUAAUUAUUAGAUUAUUUUUUUUUUAUAAGGGUAAUCAUCAAUUUACUCCAUAACAAUCUUUAAUUCAUUUCUUAAAACUAUCAAAACUUUAAUUUAUCUUUUAAACAUCGUUACCUCUUCAUUGGUUUUAAUAGUUCAAAGGGUAAAAUUAUGUUUGCAUAUUUUCUUGACCGCCAACUAAAUGAUAAAACUCAAAAUUCAAUCUUGUUAUCUUGUUUCAAUCCUCUAUCAAUCAAAUAAGAUUUCUAAAAUAUGUGGAAGAUAUUGCAUGAUUUCCUCAACCUACCUGGCCCGAACAUCAAGGUAAAUAUCUCUAAAAUAGUUUAUUAAAUCUCAGUUGCUAAGUAUAGUAAGGAUUGUGUGAACAUCAAUCAAAACUAUGAUUGAUAGAAGUGAUCUUUGCAAAAUGAAUAAAUAAUUAACUGAAUCAAUUGAUUUACAUAUUAAAGUUUAUGAAUUUUCGGACUUGUUGCGAUAUAAUAAUAGCAUAUGAUUUUGAAACUUGAAACAGUGGUAAAUAUUGAAAGGAAUUAAUUUGAAAGCAUGAUCCGUGGGGAAUGUGAUGAAUCGUGUUUACCAAAAAGGUAGAAUUGUGGAAAUUUAUAACAGAACGAUAAAUAUGGUAAAAAGGAAGAAAAUUGAAAGACUUGGGGCCUGGCCUGGGUGUAUUUUCUAACAGUCCAAUGGACAAAAUUAUAUUUGUAUACUUUCUUAACAGUCAACUGAUUGAUAAAAGUCAAAACUGGUCUCUUUUUUUUUUCCUUGUUUCAAUCCCCUCUCAAUCAAAAAUGUUUCCUUGUCUAAGCAAUGAGGAAUAUGGCUGAAAAGAUUGCUAUUAGAAAGAUUUAUCAAUUGUAAUUGGUUUAAAAUUGAAUAGACACUUCAUUUUUAAGAUUGUUAUGAGUCAAUAUAGGUCCUAUUUGGGAUUGAGUUCUUGUAAUUUUUAAGCUACAGCGGCUGUGGAAAAAAAAUUAUAAUUAUGAAAUAAGAGUUAAAAACAUGUAAUAAAUAUAAAUUUUAAAUAAUAGUUUUGACAAAAUUAUAAAAUAUAUAAUAUAUCUUUCAUAAUACAAGUAAAAGAUCAUAUCAACAUAGAUUGCAAGCCACAACAGUUAGUGUUUACCAAACAAUUUAGUGCUGUAACUUUCAAGUUACAGCUGCCCAAUCUCAAUUUCAAAUGCACUUAUAAAGUGACUUGCUUCAAAAGCCUAGCAACCCAAAUUGGAAUGCUUUCAUUCAAGUGGCUAUAACUAAGAUAUAACGUCCCUAAGGAAGAGUAAUUAAAAAAUGUACCUUCUUUAACAUGUCCGUAUGGCAUUUUUUUUUUAAGUGAAUUUGUGUGAUAGAGAGAGGAUGUCAGCAAGAUAGUAAACUCCUAAAUAUAUUAUUGUUUGUAAUGUCUAAAAUUUGAAGAGAAUCAAGCUAAUAAAACUCCAUUGAAAUUAGACCUUCAAGAGUACGGUUCUUGGGCAUUAUAAAAUGUUGUAAUGUCGAGAGAUUACCCAACCAUUAUGGAAUCCUACCAAGAUGAUUGUUACCACUAAGAUACAAUCCUUCUAGUGAACAACAAUCAGACAAAUUUUUUGGGGAUCUCUCUUACAAAGUGAUUACCAUCCAAUCGCAAUUUUGAAUGAAAAUAAAUUUUUUUUAUUGGGAGUUUGACCUUAACAUUAAAUUUAGACAAUGAAUUUUAACUUUCUUCAAUUAUUAAACAGUUUACAGACAUUUGACAAAUUUGAAAACACUUCAUCCAUAGAAAGUUAAAAUUAGAGAUGGAAGCUAGGUGCUACAGCUAAUGGGAACAUUAAUUCCUGUCCCUCAUCACACUUUAUUUUGGGUCUAAUAAUUUUACGGCAGCAUUGACCACUGCUCAAGGUAAGUAAAACUUACAAAUGUGUGGCAAAAUAAAUAAUUAAGUGCAUAAAUUGUUAGCUAAUUUUCUUGAUAUAUACAGCUAAAGUAGUCGUUCCCCUUUAAAAAAAAUGUUAAACAAUUUCGGCUGAGCCUGCUUGUGGUUUUGAUAAAAAGGAGGGGCUGGCUUCAAAUAUUUGAAUAGGCAUCUCCGCCGUACCUCAAACAAAUCUGUCAUUAUUUGUGCCAUGAAACAUGUUUCGGCCGUCGAAGUCACGAGAGGGUUGAUGACGCUACUACGUAUGAUGACACACCAGCCGACAGUGUAGUAACAGCUCAAAAACAAAAUCUACCAAAAUCAACGAAAGUUAAUAAAAAUUUAUUUUAUUAAUAAAAAUAAAUAAAUAAACUUAUUAUUUUUGGAGACGUGUGUAUUUGAGUCUGUGGACUGAAAUGGAAAAUAUGAAGAAGUUCAGAGUCGUUGUGCAGAUUGACUUCAGUUAAAUGGGUCUAGUAGAUAUUUUAUGCUGACGUGGCACGAAUUAGUUAUAAUCUGUUACAACGUUUCCAGAAACAUCAGUAUAAAUAGAAGCUGAUGAGCAGUGCCUGUUGUACGAUCCUUUUUCUUCGUCAGUUGUUCGUCAAUUUUCAUAGAAUCUGUUUCAUUGUGAUCUGUACAAAGUCUUCUGUAAAUCCACUUAUGUUUGAUUAGUUGUUGAUCACUAACGAAGUAAAUUUUUCCUUCAAAUCUUGCUGGUUCGUGCCCCUGUUUCAGUUCUGGAUUUUUCUUUUUCUUUUUUUAGUUCUGGUUUCUUAAUUCAAUUGAAUUUCUUGGUGCUUAAUUCAUCAAGAUUCAGUGGAAUCGACUUGAAAAGGAAAACAUUAUCCACCUGGAACGACUUCAAGUCCAAAGUAAAAGACAAGAGUGGCUCCCCGCAAUUUUCUUGUUUUCAGUAUAUUUUCUCUUUUUCUUUUUUAAAAUCUUUUGACGCAUGCAUAAUAUACCCUUGUUUAUUAUCUCUACUUUGCUCUGCUCAAGUCCAUUUUUUUCAAAUAUUAUUUUAAAUAAUAAAUUUAAUAAAAGUACAUUUGUGUAAUUAAGACUCUGCUAUUAUAUCACACAUACGCAUAUAAUAUAACUAAGCAUUUGUUAUUAUAGCAAAGAUCCAUAGCAUGAAAGUGAAUAAAUUUAACUAAAUGGUUAAUUAAUCAAUUAAGUUUCAUGAGCUUUAAUCGAGUUAAAACCAAGUACAAACAUCGUUAACAAAUACUGAAAUUGAGUAAAUUAAAAAAAUAAAAAAAAUUAAUUCAAGUAAUAUGUAGUUUUUACAUGUUGAUCAGCAGAAUACAACAUUAAAUUUUGUCAUUGACAAUAUUGCAUACCAGUCAUCUAAAGCAUUACCUCACGAGGUUUUAUGAGAAACGAAAGAUAAGUGUUUGCUCUGAACAAUUAAAGUUGCUGCUACCAACCUCCCCGAAGACCAAGAAGACGGAACAGGAAGCUAAUGCAUCAAUGUCUUCUUCAUUAUAGCUGCUGCGUAGUUAGGUGUAGUUUCCUCAUUUGAAGCUGUCUAUACAUAGGCUUUCCCCCUGCUUAUGUACAAAUAAAUGAACAGCCUUGAAGCUUUAUUAUUCGCAACAAAAGGGAUUACCAAUUGGAGAAGACUUUACAGAGUUCCUCUCACACACUCUCUCAAUUUCAUCUAGAAGUCCCUCCGAAAGCAUCUCCCAAAACAGUUAGUCAUCUUUUAUACUCUGUUUUCUAGAAACAGAGUCCUAACUAAAUUAAUUGACUGUACAGUGCAUUUCAACAUAGCAUAUUUAACCGUUUUAACAGUAAUUUUAACCGUCUUCUGAGUUAUCAUCAACAAAUUCAUUCAUAUUUCUCCAGUCUUACGGACGAUAUCAUAUGUUUAAUAAUGAAUGAAUAGUCUUGGAUCAGUGUUUUGCAGCAAAUUCACAUCAUAGUUUUGAUUCUUUAGAUAUGAAUUCAUCACAUUACCGAAAAGAAUAUGCGCUAAAAAAUGAUUCCAAGACUAUUUGACUACCAAAAGCUGCUGUCAGAGUGCACUGAAAUCUUGACUCCUCUCAGCGAAAAAUAUAUCAAAGUUUAGAUUAUGUGUUCGAGCUUUAAUAAAUGCCUGAGUUAAUAAUAAUAACAACAAUAAUAAUAAACUAAAAAGCAAAAUUACUAUUGAAUGAUCGGAAAAAAAAAAAUUUGAAAACGUGUGAACUCCAAUAACCACCCCACAAAUUUAGUGGCGAAUUUUGGAGAGGGCAAGGCCGGGCUUCUCAGAAAAAAAAUGACGAGUAGAAUUGUGGAAAAUUAAGCAAAAUGACAAGUAUGGAAAGGAAGGCUGAAAGUAAGGCAUGACGAAAGGCUUUGAGAAGGCUGAAGACUACCAAAGAAGACAACUGAAAGCUAGUUGGGGCCUGGGUGUAUAAAUUGUAGAUGUGUUUGUUAUAAAUAACAUAGAGCCCUUUUGUUAUUUAUAGUUAUAGAGAAAGAGAGAAUGUGUGUUUUUUAAUAGUUAGAGAUAUAGCUAGAAUGGGUGGUUCAAAAUCCAAAAUGGUGACAAUGUUAGUUCUCGUAUUAAUAAUAUUAGGGAGGGGGGGGGGGGGGGGUGUGGAGUGAGGGAUGUUUGGAGCAUGAGGAAUUUGCUCAUUUUCGGCUUAAACAUUUCUUCAAUUCCCCUUAUAGACUUCAAAACUGGGUAGGUGAACAAAGGGAAAGGGUUGAGUGCAGCAACUCCACAGGCCGAGUGGUACAACUACACCUUAGUCUUACUAGGAAUAUCGAUCUGGGAGUGUGGUAUCUGAAUGCUUCUCUAUUUACUCCCUUUCAACAACUUGGUAACAAAAUAGCCGGCUGCAUGCGUUGAGAAUGAAGGUCCUUCAUUUAAUUUAAUUUACUUAAUUUCUCCCUCCUAAUUAAUGUCUAUAACCAUUAGGAGGAACAAGGGAUUUUAUUAACUCAAAUAUAUCUAAUGGAGCUCAUUCUUUGGUUUUACUUGCAGGUAUAGAAGCAGGUGUCAUCUAACAGCUGCUUUGAUAAUUUCCCACCCCUUCAUCUUUGAUGGAAAGAUGAAAUAAAAACAAAAUGGUGAAAAUGGUAUUGGUACCUGAGGCUAUGUAAUCUAAUUCAAAAACUGCACCAUCAAAACGAUUACAUAAGUCCCAGAAGAAUCAAACGUUAGUUUGCAAAAUAUCAAUUGCUGGAGUUGUUUCGGUUGCACGUUAAUAUCAAUUCCGCUCUUGAUUUUUAUGGGCAUGUUGUAUUGUACUUGCAUACGAAAAUCAUAUUUUAGUUUACUUCACUCAACACUUGGAUUAAAGUUUUAGGUGGGGAAAAUUGAAGGAGACUAAAAUGACUCAAAAAAAUAGUUGAAUGAGUGAGGGUUUUGUCUUCAUUUAAGGAGCUCUUUAUAAAUUUUAGGAUUCUUUUUCCUGAGAAAAUUUAUGCCAACUCAUUCUUUGCUUCUUUUUUGAAGGGACACAUGCAACCGAAAGUAUAUUCUUGAAUUCUCCAGGAUAAGAGACAUACGUUUAGAUUCUGGAGCAUUUAAAACAAUGUCAAAUUUUAGAUUGCUGAAAUUUUAUAUAUCCGAGUAUGAUGGUAUUCCAAUUAUAAGCUCCAGGGUGCAACUUCACUGAGGUUUAGAAUGCCUUCCUAUAGAAUUGAGAAAUCUCCAUUGGCCUAAAUAUCUUUUGAAAAUACUGGCAUCAGAUUUUGAAUUGGAGAACCUGAUUGGACUCAGCUUGCCUUGUAGUAAGGUUAAGCAAAUUUGGAAAAGAGAAAAGGUAUAAUGUAUUACUAUUACCAAAGUAUCUAUUUUUCUUUCUUUAAGUAUUUAUAAUGAAUAACUUUGAAAUUCAAUGAUGCUCAUUUAGUAUAGUUAUGUAUCUUUGGUUAUAGGAAGCUGUCAAGUUAAAAUCUAUAGACCUUCACCACCCCUCUAUCUCAAUAGGAUCCCAGAAAUACUAAAUCUUAAAAAAAUAAAUCUUUCAAAUUGUGAAAGCAUGCUUACGUUACCCCCGUAUAUCCACAAUUUCAACUAGCUGAGUAUGUUGUGUUUCAGGGAUGCAAAAUUCAUUUUGUUUCUCAUGAAAGGAUUGACUUGUCCGGAUGUAUUAGGGUUAAUAAACCAACUAAUCCCAUAAUUUGUUGAUGUAGUAGAUUGUAGAUCAGUACACUAUUCGAAAAUGUAUUUGAUCCACACAGUGAAGUGGAUAUUGGACCAAUUUGAUGAUAAUGAUUUUCUUUCAAUCUCAAUCUUUUUUCCUUUUAGCAACAUGACUAGUCAUUGCGCAAAUUCAAACUCUGACAAUGAUUUCUCAAUCGGUUUCUAAGAUGAUGACCAUGCAUGUAUAUGUAUAUGCGUGUGUAUAUGUGUGUGUGUGUGUGUGUAGAGAGAGAGAGAGAGAUCACACGUGUGUGAUUUCCUUUUGCCAAUAGGAUAUGCAGAGAGCUUGAUCUUACCCAAUAGCGAAACAAACUUCCUAAUAAGUGAAGGUUAGUAUAAAUACUUACACUUUCAUGUUAUUUUGUUCAUCAGUAGCUUGAUUAUUUUAUAUGCGUCUUCGAUUUUAAUUUUCUUUCCCUAUAAUCACUAUUAUCUUUGAACUGGUCGUGAUUUGCGUAUAAGAUUUCUCAUGUUGUUUUGAGGUGCAAUGGAUUUUGAAUUUAGUGACGAGCGGUGGAAGCCAGAAGGCAGAUUAUGAAAAUGGAUAAAGAUCUAUAAUUAGCUGUUAUGGGAUGUCACAUAUCAUAUUGAUGGUAACAUUAUAUAUAUGUACAUAUAAUUAAUGGGGUUGGCUCACGAGCCCAUUAAUAAUCAUAUAUUAGCUUAAAUACUUCAAACAAUGUACCAUGAAGCAAUUUCACAAACACUUUUUAGCUUAUGUUGAGCUUUAUCAAUAAAAUGCAGGUUUGCUAUUUUACGUACAUGGUUAUGGUGUGUGCAUUCUUCAUAAGGCUAACUACUAAUUUAUCAAUGAAACUUGAAAAAUGUGACAGAGAGAUGUCGAUAACAGCCGCAAAACACUGAGAUCGAAAAUCAGGGCUACUAAAUACUAUUAAAAGCUCUUAAAAUAGACAGUGAUCAUCCUUAAUCGCAAAGUUAUGCACUAAUAGAACUAUUGACUACUUAUCUUUAGCAGAAGGUAUAUUUUUAACUACAGCUUUCUGCUUUGUUCUAAGAACUAGGCAAGUGGUAUAUCUUCAAUCCAAUCAACGCAUAUACCACUUAUCUUCCUCUUCACUUUUGUCUAUUUUGAUUUCCACUUUAUAUCCUGCACUUGCUGCUUAGAAAUAGUCUUAGUCUGGACAUUGAAAGUAGAAAAAGUACUUGAAACAAUCAUUGGCACAGCCCGAGAUUCCAUUGAAUCGUGGACUCCAAGCUUUCAUAGUUCUAUAAAGAAAAUGACAUAACUUUAUACAACUGGCAUUCUGCUUUUAACAUUUGAUCAACCUGAGCGAGUUAGCAAGCCUCUUGUCGCGUUCCCAUUGAAUAGACCUACUUCUGUUAUCCACAGAAGAUCCACCACUCAAAAUGUUUAUCACCAGGCUAUUCUUAAACUGAGCCUAAACUGAGUAGAAAUUUCCGCACAUCUCUCAACAUUUACAUGAAGAAAUCGACAACUAUCCUCAUCUCUCAGCACAUCUCUCAGCAUUCUACAAAGUUGCAUUUCACUAAGCAAUCUAUCCUCUCCAUUCCUAGCAAAGUGACAUUGAUUCAUGUAUUUGUAAUCGCCUAACUUGGGUUUUGGGCAUAGCGUGGUCUUAAAAUUACCACCCAAUACUUUGUUCAGUGCCACUGGCAUCCACAAGCUCUAGCCCUGUUAGCUGAAUCAUAUUCAAUGGGAGAGUGAGGCAGCAUUUCACUAACAUAUUCAAUUUGACUACUUAUAUUGAUGCAAAUAUUAGAAUUUGAAAUCACUUCUUUUCUUGGAAUAUUAUAUUAAAAUGACCCCAAAUGAAAGUUCUUUAAUGGAAAUUAUUUUUAUUUAAUUUUCCAACAGAUUCAAGAAAACCCAGAGAACACAAAAUUUACACAGUAAUAUGAUUAAGAGCUGAGAACAUACAUGUAGUAAAUGUCUAUCAAAAAACACCCAAGUGUUUCUUUAAAAUUAGAAACUAGUAAACAAAAAGAAAGAAUCAUUUUACAUUUUUAGCAACUUUGGGGUGAGUGAGUGAGUGAGUGAGUGAGAAAUUGAAACCCUAAAGUGAUGACAACAGUAAGAUUCAGUAUGAAGUGAAACCCCAAUUUGAAAUGUAGGCAUGAGUUGCUGAGUCAGUAGAUGAAGCUAUAAAUAGGCAUUCGGUUUCCUUCUUUUCGGUUUGGAGGGCCAUGGAAUAGUGUAUUGGAGUGGGCUCCAAGUAAUAGCCUCUAUCACUGGAACGACACAUCUGUAAAACGUGAUACAUGGGGAAGGAUUGGGCAUUAUAUUCUUAGAUUAGCGCCUUAUUUAGGGUGUAUAUUAAGCAAAUUAUAUAUUACAUGGAGAUGGAGUUUAUGAAAUAGAUUAAAAAGAAAAGGAAAUUUCGGUGUCUAAAGUUUGCUACUUGGAAUAUUUCGGUGUCUAAAAAUUCACUCACCACUUAUUUCAUGUUUGAUUAUAUGUUGAAAAGAUAUUAAAAUAGUAUAAUGCUAUUAAGGCUUAACGUAUAUUUUUUAUUAGUAGAGUGUAGAAUUUUUAAGAAAUAAAUUAUUAAAUUAUUAUAACUAACAUAUUAUUUUAAAGUUGUGUUAUGAAAAAAAUGAAAUAAAAAUGUACAAUAAAUAAGAAUAUUUUAAAACUUUUAUCUUUUUAAAAUUAGUUUUUAACAUAAGGUGAACUAUUUUUUUUUUUAAAUCACAUAUUCUAGUUAAAAUCAAAUAUGUAUUUAUAUGAAGCUUGUAAAUUUUUUUUUUUAGUACUGAUAUUUGAAUAUUAUCAAUAAAAAAAAGGGUAAUGUUCAUGCUGCAUUAUUUUUGUAGCACACAAAAGGACAACAAAGUUUAUGUUAUAAUACUAUCGCUUCUGUUAUGAUAAUAUUUUUUUGUGGCCAAAUAUCUUUUUUUUUUUUAAGUAAAAAAAAGUGGACAAAAUGCAAAUCAGUUUUUAAUCCUCAAUCUCUCCCAAAAUAUAAAUUCGUAGGUCCAUGGGUUGUUAAAACUAUAGCCGACAAAAAGUUACUAACAAAAACAGAAUGUCCAUUUUAUAACUUUCUUAAAAAACUUUCCUUAACUUUUUUAAAAAGUUACCAACAAAAAGUUAUUUCUAAUUUUUAUUUUGUUAUAAUUUUUAUAACAAAAUUCGUAGUUAACUAAACUCUUCUUAUUCCCUUUCUCAACUGCCAUACCCUAACCCGAGCAAAUUGCGUAGGAUAUACCUGUUUUCCCUCAAAAUACUUAAAAUAUACCUCCAUAUAUUAAAAUUGCUAGCUUUACACAUUUAUACUUAAAAAGAUCAGGGAAAAUACAAAAAUAACCUUAAUAAAAAUACUCAACUUAUUAAUAUGCUUAAUCGACUCAUUUAAUAUUCUUACUCGACUUUUUACCGGACCAUACACUCGACUUAGUUAAUAUGCUUACUCGACUUAUUUAAUAUUCUUACUCGACUUCUUACCCGACCAUAUACUCGAUUUAUUUAAUAUGUUUACUCGACUCAUUUAAUAUUCUUACUCGACUUCUUACCCGACCAUAUACUCGACUUAUUUAAUAUGCUUACUCGACUCAUGUAAUAUUCUUACUCGACUUCUUAUCCGACCAUAUACUCAACUUAUUUAAUAUGCUUACUCGACUCAUUUAAUAUUCUUACUCGACUUCUUACCGGACCAUAUACUCAACUUAUUUAAUAUGCUUACUCGACUCAUUUAAUAUUCUUACUCGACUUCUUACCGGACCAUAUACUCGACUUAUGUAAUAUGCUUACUCGACCCAUGUAAUAUUCUUACUCGACUUCUUACCCGACCAUAUACUCAACUUAUUUAAUAUGCUUACUCGACUCAUUUAAUAUUCUUACUCGACUUCUUACCCGACCAUAUACUCGACUUCUUUAAUAUGCUUACUCGACUCAUUUAAUAUUCUUACUCGACUCAUUUAAUAUUCUUACUCGACUUCGUACCCGACCAUAUACUCGACUUCUUUAAUAUGCUUACUCGACUCAUUUAAUUUUCCUACUCGACUUCUUACCCGACCAUAUACUCGACUUAUUUAAUAUGCUUACUCGAUUCAUUUAAUAUUCUUACUCGACUUCUUACCCGACCAUAUACUCGACUUACUUAUCUCUAAUUCUUACUCGACUAAAUUCUCGAUUUACCCGACUUCUUCCUGCACUGAUUCUUCAAUCACUCAUAACUUAAAUGUAGUCUUAAAUCCCUACAUUGAAAUAGUGUGUGUGUGCAAGCACAAAAAAUGAAUAAUGUACUACUAAAAUUCAUAAAUCAUUAGGAAGUACACUUAUAAGAAAAAUAGAGAAUGGUGAGAGAAGCCCAAAAAAGAGAAGCAAUGGGAGAAGAGAGAUGUGAAUUCUUAGUUUUUUUAAGGUUAUUUUUGACUUGUCCUAUCUUCAUAAGGUAUAUGUGUGUAAUAGGGUACAAAUUUGGCAUUUAAGGGUAAAUUGAGGGUAUUUAAAUAAAAAACCCCCUAACCCUGUUCCCCAUGUCCCCACUAAACCACGCUCAAUUAAGGCCAUCAGAUUCUCCCGGGCCCACAUUAAUCCAACUGCUCACAGAGACCGACAGCCUCUCUAUCUCCAUUUCAAGCUCCCUCUUCAACUGGCUUCUGCUACCGUCCUACUCUUUCUCGGCUUCGGAGUCCGUAUUUGCUCGGCCUGUCCCACGAAGCUCCCUCUCACUCCAAUUGUCGCCCCACAAGACCAAUUGCUUAAUCAAGACACCGAACAAGAAGAGGAUGAGAAGUUGAAACAAGAAUUUGAGAAUUGGAAAUCAAAAACGUUUGAGAGUCGUUUCUCUUCAGAACUCAGCGCCUCAAUCUUGGGUUAAGGAUUUUAGAAGUCAGGGAAAGAGAUUGAAGUUUCAGAUGAAUUUGUGUGCUAGCAUUGAUGGGAUCUUUAACAAUUUAUCUGUGCCCUUUAACAAAGUUAAGUCUAAGUCAGCUUCUUAUAUGGCUGCUGAUUUGGUUAGUGUUGGUGAUUCAUGGCUUAGUUUUGCCAUUAAAAAUAGAUUGAUUGAGCCAAUAGCUGGAGCUGAAGACCAAGAUUGGUUCAAAUGCUUAAGUCACAAAUGGAAGGUAACAUCUUUGUCUUUGAUCCUCGAGGUAAAAUAUGGGCGGCACCAUACAGGUGGGGCACAACGGUGAUAGCCUGCAAGAAAAUUAAAUUUCGAAAGCAUAAUUUGGCUCCGAUUGAGGUAAUAAUUUUCUUUAAACUCAUUUAGUUUUAUAUCAAACAAAAUCAAGAAUGCCUUUCUCUUCAAUAUUUUUUAUGAUAAUAUCUUUAGAAGCAUCUCAUUGACGGGUAACAAUGGCAUCCCUGAAAGAGUCUAUAAACUCAAUGAUAUUAUCUUCUACAAAUGGUUCAUUAAACUUUGUCGUUGUACUCAAAUGUACACUCAGAGCAAUGAGAAGCUAUGCCACUUUAGCAUGUAGUGAUGGCACUUAAUAAGUGAGUUGCUAGGAUGUGAACUAGAAAAAUUAAAUAUUGUCUCCUUGGGUAUGCUAGCUCGUAAGUCAGGGUUAAUAUCAGAGCUUAAGAUAGUAUAACCGUGAGAACCUAUUGACUGCCAAUUAAAAUAUCCAUUAAAAUGUCUAGGGAGUUAUGAAGGUGGAGGUAACUUCCGAUUUCUAGGGCCACAUGGUAGACAUCAUCCAGGAUUCUAGGAAAGUGCAGUUAACUUCCUGCUCGAUGCAAUUAAUAAAUUUGGUCAAUGCCACUGAAACCUGCUAACUGACAUCACAAUGUGACAUGAGCACUUCAAAAUGGGACAGACGGUCAGUAGCACUAAUUUUUUCUUGGCUAGGAUUGAGCAAUUGGUCUAACUACUAAUCCCCUAUUGUAGGUUGAUCAUUAUUUUUUAAAUUAUGUUCAGUUUGACCCAAAAAGUUGCAGAAUCUUGAGCAGAAUUUUGUCACUGAACACUGUCAAUGUCAUUUAGCAUAGCCCACUAACUUGAUGUUAAAACAAACACACAGUGUGUCUCAUGUCUCACAAUUCAAAUUAUCAUCUGUAAUGAUGGAGAAUUUUUCCAAUGUAUGAAGUAUGCUUUGAUAUGUGGGUUACCUUGGAGAAGAUAUCUCAAAAUAAAGAAUAUGGGGAGAAAACAGUUCAGUAGUUUAUUAUUCUGUAGUCAAGUUUUGUCUCGAAAAUGGUCAAAAUUUAAAUGAAUAAGGACAGGGGAUCUUCAUUCUUUUUUCCCUUUUUUAUACCAAGAUAUCUCUCAACCUUUAUAUAAUCCCCACUGGAUAUCUGCUUCUAAUAAUUAAAAUAAAAAUUUCACCGCUCUAACAAUAAAAAGUAACAUCUUUAGUCAAAUAAUUUACAGUUCCUCAUCAUCUUAGUGUGAGACUAUCAGUACAUUCCAAAAACAUAAUAAAACUGGUUUGAUCCUGUUUAUUGAUGUUUAAAUGUUGUUCAUUGUGACAUGUAGAAAUGAUGAGGCGAAGUUUAUUUGGACAUCAAUUAGUAAGAUCUUGUUUGAAGUUGUUUUCUGAAAUUUCUGAAAUGAACUGCCAAAUGGUAGUUUUUUUGGGGCAUUUGAUGGCUCUUUUUUUUCCCUCAUUUUCAACAUGUGCCUGCUUGGAACAGGAAGGAUUAGGCUGCAGAGUUGUUAUAUAUUUUGAGAUGCUCUGGUCAUUGCACAAUUUGUUCACACUGGAAAUUAGAAUGAGAAAUUUGUUGAUGCUGUUUUGAGAGAUCUGCAUUCUAUGCACAAUAACAUGAUUAAUGAAAAUGCAUUGUAAGACUGGAAAGAUCUGUGGCAGCCUGAGCUCGCAGGAAGAAUUUCAAUGGUUAAUUCUCCCCGAGAGGUUAUUGGUUCAGUUUUGAAGUAUAGGGUAGCAUCAUACAAUUCAAAUGAUAUUGAUUCGCAAGUUGCUGGUGGGAAGAUUGCUGUUCAGCAGAAUCUGGCAUUACUGGCAAACCAGGUACUCUUACAGAAAUGAUAUCUGCUCAUUGCAUGUUAUUGCCUGACAACUGAUUUUGUUUGUAAAAGUCUGCUUCUUCAUACAGAUGAAUGCAUAUGUUAGUGUUUUCUUCUCCUUUUCAUACAUAUAAAUGCAUAUGUUAGUGUUGUCUUUUCUUUUUCAUACAUAUUAAUACAUAUGUUGGUGUUCUCUCCUGAGAUGGAUGCAAUAAAGGCUUUUGCUCCUAAAUUUAGCUGAAGAAAUGGCAAGGGAUGUGAGAUUCUGUCUCAUUAAAUUAACAAAAACCCAAAGCAAUGAAAAUCCAUAAUAAUGUGGUGUGGGUAAAUUGGCUCCAUUUGGUUUGUUUCCUUAAUGUGAAUGCGCGAGCAAUAGAGACUAACAAAAUGAAGUGACAACAAGAAGUCAGUGUCCUUUGAUGGAUGCAAUUUUAGGCAGAAAUCAGUGUCCUUUGAUGGAUGCAUUUUUAGGCAGAAAUAUGUUUGUAAUUGACCAAAUUUGUCUGGCAUGCCAAUUUCAAAAAAAUUAAAUUAUGUGGUUAUUAGCUGUAAUGAAGGAGGAUAGUAGGUGCAAUCAUGUGGAUCCAGGAAAGUUCGACAAAGUUUUGGUAUGGCGUAGUGAAAUUGGUUUGUGCAACUCAGGAGCCUUUCAGGUGAACGAUGAUAGGUUUUGAUUUAUGAAUAUUAUAAAUCUACUGUGCAUAGUAUUCUAGUAGAAUCAUCUACAAGUUCUAGUUAUUGAAAUUGUAUACUUUGCCCGGUUUGAGUUAAGGGCACAUGUAAUAUGAAAGAUAGUUGUCGCAUCUUUUAGGUUACCUAACAUUUGAUCAAUCCUAUUAUGGGGGCUUCAAGAUGUCUAACAAUAUGUAGAAUGCCCAUGCUCCUCCCCAUUGUUUAUCUUCUACAAUAAUUUGUUUUAAAUGCUAAUAUCUUUGUCGAUACCGGUAACAAUAUUACAAUAUCUGCAUUUAUUGGGUUUUACAUAGGUUCGACUGUUUGACAGUACACACUAUCUGAAGGCAUUUGCAAUUGGAGAUGUAUGGGUUGCUGUUGGGUGGAUUAGUGAUGUUCUUCCUACUGUCAAACAUAUGUCUAAUGUUGCUGUUGUUGUUCCCAAGUCUGGUGCUAGCUGCCUGCCAUUCUACUUCGAUAUUCACAUUGUUAUCUCCUUCAUAUUAGCGAUCAGUAAACACGAUAAUGUGGCUAAUAAGUUCGUAUUCUCUUUAUAGGCAAUCCCUGCUGCCUCAAGACUUGAAACAAAACAAAUUGGAGGGCGAGUCAGAGGUCCAUCUCCAUUAAUCCAUCAAUGAAUAGAAUUCUGCUUGCAAACAGCGAGAUUUUUGCCUUGCAAGCAAGAGGUUAUCCCGGGUGCAUCUCCCUCUGCCCUUGAAAGUACUCUGGUUAAGUUGCCUGAAGAACUUCUGGAGGGUAAACCAAGUCUGGAUACUAACUUAAUUGCUGGAGUACUCCCGGCUGAAAUUCUGGCCAGAUGUGAGUUUUUGGAGCCAUUAUCUGAAGCUACUUUGUCAGAUUAUGAGUGGCUGGUUGUUAAUCUGCAAAAACCUGCUCCUGUCUUGAUGAAAAGGGUGCAACAUUACUUGUCAUCAUUAAUCUAAAGCUUUCUAGCAAGAGCUACACUGAAAAGUUAAUGGCGCUGCAUGCCAGUCAUUAUAAUGCUGUCAGGGCAAUUGGGUCAGGGCAAUUAGGUCUGAGCAUAACUUCAUUAGGAAAAGAGGCUUCAGCUACGUUAAAUAUUACAGGAUGUACUGAGAUGGCUGAAGUUCUGAAGGUUUUAUGAGAAGCGAAAGAUGAGUGUUUGUUUGAACAAAGUUGUUGCCAAUCUUGCAGAGUUCGGAAAGAAAGAUCACGGAGCGAAUGCCACCGAUUUCUUCAUCAUUUUAGCCUCCAUAGUUGAAGUUUCCUCAUUUGAAGCUGUUUAUGCAUACGCUUUUUCCCUGCUCUAGUACAGGAAAUUGAAGAAUUAACCAGAUGUGAUAUGCUGAAAGAGGGAAGUUUUCUUCCUUGAAUGUGGCCUUUGUGAUUUGUCUUGAAGGAAUAGGAUGAUCACUGGCAAGAACCCUAUCAAGGUAGAUUUUAUGGUGUUAACAUAUUAUUAGGCAUUUUGUUACAUCAUGAAAGUGUUUAAAUUUAACCGAAUGAUCUUGAUUGAUCAAUUAUGAGUUUUAAUCGAGUAAAAACUAAAUACAAUAAUCGUUAACAAAUAUUGAAAUUGGGUAAAUAUGAUCUUGAUAUUGAAGAAUUUGAAAUCACAACCCACACAGGAAAUCACCCUUCGCGUGGGGAUGGAGAUGUUUACUGCAGCGAUAUUGAAUAUGUCCACUGCUCUUUGGGUUAUGGUGCGACUUGCGAUUUCAAGGUUGCCAUGAAACAAUGGAAAAGAUUAACAUACCCUCCAAUGAAUGAAAACGGGUGGACUAAUUCGGAUUACCUAAUUGACUCAGGAUCAAGAUCGGCUGGCAAUAAUAACAGUUUAUUAACAAUGCACAGUCCGAGUACCUUUCCAGGAUCAGAUACGACGUGGUCUAAUGUUGAUAAUAAUAGUUUAUUAAAUGACAAAUCGUUGUUCUUGGGUGUUGAUUUCAGAAAUAAAAUACAUUCUGAGAGAUGCUGGUCUACUAUUGCAAGCCCCCAGAUUUAAGAAUAUUUUGAUGAUAAUUUAUCACCGGCAACUGUGCCGGAAGAUUCAAGUAGCACUGAAAAAGAUGAUAAUUUAAUUGAUAUGGACAGUUUCCAUAUCACUUUUAAAUCAUCUUAUGUAAUUGUAAUGUUAGGAAGCAUUAGUGAUCUAAAAGUGAACUAUUAUUGGUGUCAUUGGUGGUUUUAUCUUGUUAAAAUAUGGAUGAUAUUUUAUUGUAGACAAUCUUAUUCAAUUAACAUAUGGUUUAAAACCAUUAUGUUUUAUAUAAAUCAAUCUACUAAUUUUCAUGAUAUUUAACUGAGUUAAAAUCAAGUGCACUCAAUAAAUGUCUUUUCCUUUAAAAAAACAGCUACGCUUUGAUUUUAGUGCUUAAUAUUUCGUAACUACAAAUUAUAUAAUUGCGAGUUGCUGUCCAUAGCUGCUAAUUUGUAGUGAUUAUCUAAUUGCCUGAGGUGACAAUAAUUCUUUUAUCUUCAAUAGCACAAUGUGGAAUUCAAUAAUUAAAUUCUCCUAUUUAAUUUGUUUCAAGUUAAAUUAUUAAUUACUUAAACUCUGUUUUAAGUCUUUAAUUUUAUGUGUUUAUGCAGAAUUGGAUUCUUGAGCGUGUUGGACAUGACCAACAAUGAAAUUGACAGUAAACAAACAUUACAACGUGUGGACUCCGGUAAGCACCAAUGAAUUUCUAGCCCUGUUGACUCCGCCAACUAAAGUUUUGUAAAAUAAAAAAAUAAUACAUAGAAUUCCACCAAAUGCAAAACGCGUGAAAUUUAAUUUUCGGCCGUGUGGACCAAAACAUAAUUUAACGAAAAAGGAAAAAAAUAAUAAGAUUUUUAAAAUGUGUGGAAGGUAAUCCAUAUUUUACUGAAACGACUUAUUAAAUUUUUCAAGGAUUUAGAAUAUUUGAUCAUAAAUUACGUGCAUGUUAAUUUUUCCGCCAUUGACUAUCAUAUUCUAGACUUAAUGGUACCUUUCUUGAUGAAGGGUACUUAGUCUCUCUUCUCCUCUUAUAAAAAUUAUAUUAAUUGAUUUCUUGUUAUAGUUAAUAGACUUUAAGAACGGAUAGAUUUAUUGUUUUCAUGACCAAAUUAUGCAUGCCUAAGGUUGCAACUAUUAAUAAAAUUAAUAUUUAAUGUUUAUGUUAAAAGAUAUAAGUUUUUAUGCAUUCAUUAAUUGUUAUUAGCUAAAGGAUGAAUUAUUUUUUCCCAAUCAGUUGAUGCAUCUGCAAUAGUUUUUUUUUUCUUUUAUUGACCAUAAUUAUAUUCCGGGUGCAAUAAAUUGUCUUUGGUGCUUGGAAAAUAUGACAUCUCUCCGUCAACUUACUGGAAAUAUCUCCUCAUCUACUCGCAUUUAUCUAAUAUCAAUUGAAGAUCUCAUAUUUCCAAACUAUGACUUCCAAAUCUCAUUAUCAUUUGAGCAUUCAAAACUAAUCAAGUGUGGAAAUAAUCAAAUAUAUGCAAAAAUCGAGUCACAAUCUUUGGCCCCUCAAAAUUCUAAUUAUAUAACUUCUAUAUAUCUCAUACAUUUUCCAAAUUCCUCUUCCAUCAACAUCACUAGGAGUAUGUUCAUCUCUCACACAUUAACUUGAGUGAAGAGUUUCUAAAUUGAUUGUUAGAAAAUAAUACAAAAGCUAGACACGCUUGAUCUGUCUAAUAAUUCUCUUUCUGUAAAAUUAAUUAAUUUUAGGGGAAUUUAGCCAACCUCUGUAAUUUCAGAGUGAUCAUUAAUUAAUUAAACAAUACAAAUAUCUAAAGUGAUUAGAUGUUUGCUGACAAUACAAGUUCAUGGCUUGAAAUUUGAUCUCUAUCGAUUGACUUACAGAUGGACGUACUUGUGCCUUUCUGGUGAUAAUUGAACCAGAGAUGUGAAGCUGUAAGGAUUUGGCAGUAGUAAAUUGUUAUAAAGACAUAAUGACAAAUUCCCAUGAUUAUUAUUUUUUCCAAAAACUUUUUUACAACAAAUUCAUCUCGCCAAAAAUUUUAUUUUGCUAACUAACAAUAAUUGAGCACUUGACCGCAUUGACUCCACGUCUCCACCUACUUUCUAAGUAAAAACAUGGAAAUGUAAUCUCUACAAAAUGCCAAACGUGUGGAAUUUAAUUUUUGGCCUUGUGGACCAAAAUGCAAAUGAAAGAAAAAGAGAGAAAAAAACAAGGCCCAAAGACUUCUAAAAGAUGUAAAAGCUUUGGGCUUUUUUAUAAUGGUGGAUUUUUUAAAAGGAAAAAAUAACAACACUUCUAUGGUUUGUUUUGAUAAUCACAUUUACAUAUACUCUCUAAUUUUCAAAAUAGACACAUAAAUAUUUUUUUUCUACAAAUGUAUAUUAUUCAUAUUUUUUUAUUAUUUUUAAUAUCAUAUUAUUAUUUAUUAUAAAUGUUUAAAGUAAAUUUUUAGGUUGAAAUAUAAUAAAAGGGGAUAAUCGUUCUCCUAUUAAACACCCAUACUUUUAGUUUCUAUCCAUUUGUCAUCUCAAUCUCUCUCGAUUAUUCAUUCUUUCUAGCUCAAAACGCGUUGCUGUGGAAAAUUAUAGCAAAAAGACAAAUAUGGAAAAGAAAAAAGGGAAGAAAAUUAAUGCAUGAAAGACUUGGAGAAAACAACGAAGUAAGUCAACUAUAAUCUAGUUAGGUAUAUAAAUUGUUUGAUGCUUUAUAAGCAAAUAACAUAUAGAGACAGACAGUGUGUGUUCGUUUUUUCAUAGUUAAAGAUAUAGUUAGAAUGGGUGGUUCAAAAUCAAAAAUGGUGAUAAUGUUUGUUAUGUUAUUAAUAAUAUUUAAAAGUGGGUGGAGUGAGGGAUGUUUGGAUCACGAGAGAUUUGCUCUUUUGCGACUUAAACAUUUCUUCGAUGAUACUGGUAGUUAUCUUUACGACUGGGCCGAUGAUGAGGGAGCUACUGAUUGUUGUCAGUGGGAAAGGGUUGAGUGCAGCAACACCACAGGUCGAGUGACAGCGCUAGACCUUUCUGACACGUAUUCGGGAGAGUACGGCUGGUAUCUGAAUGCUUCUUUGUUUACUUCCUUUCAACAACUUGAGUCACUUGAUUUUAGUUUAAACAAAAUAGCCGGUUGUGAUGAGAAUGAAGGUACUUCGUUUAAUUUAAUUAAUUUACUUUCACUCUCCUAAUUUAAGUGGAAUAUUAAGACUGAGCAACUAUAUGCAUAUACAUUAGUUGACAAUUUUGACAUAUUUUUUGAAGUGAUUAAUUAAUUUUGAAAUUACACCAAUAUCUAUGAUCUUUUUUUUUUUUUUAAUUUUGCUUGCAGGUCUAGAGAGGUUAUCAAGAUUGAACAAUUUAAAGAUGCUUAAUUUAAGUUAUAACUGGUUCAACAAUAGUAUCUUAUCAUCUUUAACUCGUCUUUCAUCAUUAAGAUCAUUAAAAUUAUAUGCGAAUAAUUUGGAAGGAAGUAUUGAUGUUAAAGGUACAUAUUUAAAACUUCUCUCUUCCCCAAGCUCUUUCAUUAACCUGCUAAAAUAAGAUUCAAGGCUUUGAAUUCAAUUUUUUUAUGAUUAAUAUUUUAAAAAAAAGUUUUAAGCAAUUUAUAAAUACAAGUUUUAAUGUUUCUCAUAAUUUCAUCUUGUACUUUCAUAUGUCUUGAAUUUAAGAUUAAAAAAAAAACUCUAAUAGCGAACCAAACACCUCCACAACUUAUUAUUAUUAUUUUUUAAUUUGUGGUGAGGUUUGAAACAUUCAAGUCAAUUUGUACUUAUUACAGAAUUUGAUUCUUUGAGAGAUUUAGAGGAGCUAGACAUUGGAUGGAACAUGAUUGACAAAUUUGUGGUCUCAAAAGGUACUACAAAUACCAUAAAAAAAUGCCAACUUUUACAAAUAAGCUGGAUUCUUUGCCAUUUGGUUUAUUAUUUUACAGGUUUGAGUAAGUUGAAGUCUCUCGGUUUAGCUGGUAUCAAACUCAACCGUAGCAUCUUAUCUUCUCUGACUGUCUUUUCUUCGUUAAGAGAAUUACAUCUACGUGAUACCGGAUUCAAAGGAACAUUCGAUGUUCGAGGUAAGUCUAAGCCUUGCUUUCUCAUUUUAUAUAUGCCAGCUAGAUUUGUGUAUCAUUGACAUAAUUUAAUAUUUAAUUUGAUUCGUCUGAAGGAAUUACAUGCUAAUUUAAACAUACUUUUAUUUACUUUGUCAAUUAAUUAAUUAAUUAAUUACUAUUUGGCUUGGUUUGGAUGAAAUUCUCAUGAUGUUUUAAUUUCUUUAAAUUAAUUAAUUAAUUAACUUUGUUUUUAAGUCUUAAGUCUGGGCAUGUUUGCAGAAUUUGAUUCCUUCAAUAACUUAGAAGUGUUGGACCUGAGUUGGAACGAAAUCGACAAUCUUGUGGUUCCUCAAGGUAAACAAUUAAAAUGUUAUUUAAUUACAUUAUUUUAAUUCAUUUGAUCUGGGAAGGCCAAAAAGGUAAAAAAAAAAUUAAAUAAAGAAACAGAGAAUUUGUAUUAUUUAAAAAACAGAAUGUAAUAAAGAUUUGAUUCUAGUUCUUUAAUCUUUAAAGCGAUUGAAAAACAAUGUUGCUCUUUUCCCAAAGCAUAAAAUACGAAUUGAAUGCCGAUUAACUUAAUCAUUCAUUUUGUUUAGCUCUAAAUUUAGACAAUGAAUUUUUAUAUUAUUUCAAAAACAGGACGUAAUAGAAUUUUUUUUAAAAACAGAUUGUAAUAAAGAUUUGAUUCCAAUUCUUUAAUCUUUACAGUGAUUGAAAAACGAUACUGCUUCCCAAAGCACAAAAUACGAAUUGACUCCCAAUUAAAUUAAUAAUUUAUUUCGUUUAGGUCUAAAUUUAGAAAAAUGAAUUUUGAUUCUCUUCAAUCCUUUCCUAAUUAUUAUUAAUAAACAGGUUACAAAGGUUUGAGGAAGUUGAAAAGCCUUGAUCUAUCGGGAGUUGGAAUUAGAGAUGGAAGCAAGUUGUUACAGUCAAUGGGAUCAUUCCCAUCCCUCAACACUCUUCACCUUUUGUUGAAUAAUUUUAACAAUAUAGCGACAGCUACUCAAGGUAAGUAAAAGUUGGAGAUGUGACCAAAUUUAUAAAUAAGCUGUUAAUUAAUUAAUUAAUUAAUUUUUCCGUAUUAUUAAUUAAGCUAAAUUCCUUGCUCCUUCCUUCUAAAUCUAAACAGAGUUGCACACUUUCACCAACUUGGAAUAUUUGACAUUGGACCAUUCCUCCCUCCAUAUAAGCCUUCUGCAAAGCAUUGCGUCAAUAUUCCCUUCGUUAAAAGAUUUGUCGAUGUUUGAUUGCAAAGUCAACGGUCUUGUACGCGGUCAAGGUAAAAGAAAAGUGUCGAUUGUGAACUCACUCAGUGUUGUCCUACGUGUUCAACAUUUUUAUUUAUUUAUUUUAUUGUUUAAUGUUUCUGCUAGGUUUUCCUCAUUUCAAGAGUUUGGACCAUUUGGACAUGGUUUUCGCGCGCACUGCACUCAACACCAGCUUUCUUCAAAUCAUCCGUGAAUCAAUGCCUUCUCUUAAGUACUUAUCAAUGUCAGAUUCUACUCUUGGCACUAACAGCAGCAGGAUUCUUGAUCAAGGUUAAUAAUAUAAAUAUUUAAUUACACAAACGAAUCACUUAUUAUAAAAGAAUAAUACGCAUUCAUUAAUUUUUAUGUUGUAUUAAUUGAUGAAUUUAAUAAAAUUUCAGGCCUCUGUUCGUUGAUGCAUCUGCAAGAGUUGUACAUCGAUAAUAAUGAUUUGAGAGGUAGCUUGCCUUGGUGCUUGGCAAAUAUGACAUCCCUCCGAAUAUUAGAUGUUUCUUCCAAUCAACUUACUGGAAGCAUCUCCUCAUCUCCCCUCGUUCAUUUG